AAAGUAUUUGAGCUUGGGACAAUUAUAGAGUUCCAAUGAAGUGAGGUUUUGAAGAUCAACAAUUGAAGAAGAUAGGCGUUCCAGAUUUGGAAAAUUGGAAAUCCACAGAGAUGUUAGAGAGGCAGGAAGAGGAAGCGCAGUCCCCAAUCUUAUGUCCCCUGGCUCUGGUGGAAAUGAAUAGUACUCAUUUAUGUUAUCCAAUCUCAUUUCCAAGGGCAGUUGAUGCCAUUUUCAAGGGCAAAUGCAAUUGGAAAUAUGUAAUUUUUGGUUUUAUAGGGAUUAUUUCCGAGGGCAUUUGAUGCUGAUGGUGUUGUUGUUGAAAAUAAAUUUUUCGCCGACGACCCAUCGAAAAUUGUGCUUUUUCAAUGCGACUUAAUACGAUGACAGUCGACUACAUGACUUUAUUGGAAAUGAGUUUUUCCAAGGGCGUUUGUAUAUUUCCGAGGGUAUUUGUCCAAGGAAAUAGCCAUUAUUCUUGUAGUGAAUGUUAGAAGUUAAGGAGCCCUCCAAAUUACAGAAGAAACUCGAUAAUCUCGAUAAGACUAAUGUUGAAAAUAUGUUAUCCCUUACUUUAAUAAUUGAAUUAUUCUAAUAUCAAAAAAUUUCUAUAUAUGUAUAGAGACUCGAUAAAAGUAAUGCUGAAAAUAUGUUAUCCCUUACUUUAAUAAAUUAAGGGAUCUUUUGUUAGAAAAUUUCUUUCAUUUAAUACAAAUUAACGGAUAAUUUAAAAAAAACAUAUUUUAAUAUACGAUAAGAAAAUAUAUAAUAUCAGAGCGUGUGUUUUUCUUACCUUCAAGCUUGACCCUAAAUCAUUUUAUAUAUAUAAAAUAUAUAAUACACUAUUAGAGUGUAUGUUUUACUUGCCUUUAGUUUACCCCUUACUAGAUAAUGACUCUUAUACUUUAUUUUAACUUAAUUUUUUAUAUAAAUUUUGAGUUAAUGGUUUAGUGCAAUUUAAUUGUAGAUAUUAAAAAUCAAAUUAGCAUUUAAUGAUGCCACUUCAUCCACUAUUCAAUUGCAUGAGAUUAAUGACUCAAAAUUUAUGUAAAGAACUUAAGUCAAAAUUUCAAGUUGAAAUAUUGCUCCUUAUAUUAUAUAUAUAGCGAGGGCAUUCUCACUUUAAUUAACAAAUAAAAAAGAUAUAGUUUUUAAUGUAUUGACAUUUAUUUUUUUAAUUUUAGUGAAAUUCUUAUUUUUAGUAAAGUGAGGAUAUUCUUAUUUUGUAUAUGUGCGUGUGCAUAUGCGCGGGUGCAUGUAUGUUUUUGUUGCCAAAAGAGUACAUGUUGAGUGGAAAGGUACAAUUAUAUCGAACAAACCACCAGACUAGAUCGAUUUUUUCUACUAGCACUAAAUAAUUAUUUGAAACAACUAAAUAAUUAUUUAAUUAUGUUUCAAAUAAUUAUUUAAUCAUGCCCUUAAUUAAGAAAUAUACAGUAUUAAAAAAACUUUAUUUUAACUAGUGGAAAAGAACAAUAUUAUUUGAAUUGGUCUUGGAGAAUGGUAGGUGAAUGAUGCCAAAUUAAAUUUGCGCGAAUAAUCCAAAAUCAUGUGAGACUUGCUCAAUUAUAGCAUCACGUGUCCUACACUAUAAUUAAAGCAAAUGAAAUCUGUGACAAUAAAUAUGUAAUCAAGUAGCCGGUCCAAGGCCAAGUUGUCAAUUAUUCGAACCAAAAAAGUUGGAUUUUGACAAGACAUUACAUAUAAUACAAGAAGCUGCUGGCAUCUUCCAAACAAGCUCGGAAAAGCAGUUAGUAAGACUUGUACACAGGAAAAAAGCAUGGGAAAUAAUAAUGUGAUGGGAUUGGGAGGCGCUGUCUUGGCAGCGAUCAUAGCUAUGAUGAUACUCUUCUUCACCGCAAAUCAAUCUUGUGCUGCAGGCAACGGCACCAACAUUAAUAAUUUCCAUACUGAUCCUGAUGUGUUGUUUUUUCAUGAUGAUCCGGAAUUGGAGUUACCUGCUGCUGUAACAAACGUAUUGAAUCCCUCCAGUCUACCAUUCGGUUGCGGAAGAGGCGUAAAUUAUCGCUCUUGUACCCCUAAUUCCCAGAAUUCCAAAAAGGGUGAACAUUGCACACCUGCCCCUGGCAGCACGUAUCCCCCAGCCAAUCGAUUGUGCUAGCUAGCUAAUGAUACAUCUUUAAUCUCCAAUCUUCAUCUUUAUCCUGAACUAUGCCAUGAUGUGGGUUUAUUCUGCUUGCAUGUUGUAUUUAAUUUAUAUAAGUAGCUAUAAUUAAUUAAUAAUCUCUCUUUCCCUUCCUUUCUCAAUUCUAUAUCUCUCCAUAUAUUAUUAGUUAUUAAGCCUUAUGUUUGUACUGCUGCAUCCAUGCAUUUGUAUUAAUAAAUUAAUUAAGAUUUCUAAUUUAAUUCGUAUUGAUUAAUUUGUUGUUAAAUUAGCUAGGUUCCACCAUUUUCAUUAUAUCAUUCAUAUUCACUCGUUUCAAUUAUACCAUACCCUUCCAGAGUUUGUUUCUUUUCCAUGUGCGUACGUAUUAAAAGCCCGGAGAAGUAAUUAAUUAAUCAAUUAACUAUUAAUGGCAUUUUAUAUCGAGCUGGACCUACUCUUAAUUACCAGCCUCUUGAAGGGAAACCGGUCACAAUAUAAAUCAAACAACUGAACGUACACCUUCAUUAGAUUUCCAACCAAUGCCUUUGUAAGUAACAUUCAUUGAUUUAUCUGCUCCCUAGUACCCGCCUUAAUUGAUUGUUACGACAACAUCAUCCCAAAUAUUUUAAUUACAAUUAUAUAUGUUAGCCUUUUUUUCCUUAAAUAAAUAAAAUUACACAGAGACACAGAUACAAUUAAUGUGGCGUAUGGGAGGAUAUUGGUUGAAACUUGGAAGUAAUAUCAGUUAAUUCAUACCACCAUUCUUUUAAUAUCCAACCUCUAUCUUCAGUUCUUCACGAAUAUGAAAUCUAUUGCUUUCUUUCAUUCACUUUGUGUGAUAUAAUGUCUCGCAACCUUAGCCCAUUGUUUGAGAAGUUAUCUCAGUUAAAGUAGCAGUUGAGACUUGAACGGGAACUUUGAAGUUCAUGCAAGUGUUGUUCAUGUACCAAAUAUACAUCGAGCAAACAUUUGACCAACGGAGCUACAUCUAAGUAAGAGAGCACAUAGAGCACUAGGGAGCUUUUGAUGACUUGGCUCCAAUAACGCCGGUUAUUUAUACAUGGAGAAAUUAUACAUAUACAAGAUAUAAUGGGAAAUUUUCUGUCAUUUUGAUUUUUACCCCGGUGGUUUCUCCAUAAUUUACAAUUUAUUAUUAAAUUAACGGUAUAUAAGUUAUUUUACCUAAUUUAUAUUCUCAAAAUAUUUAAAUUUUAUAAAAAUAAACUAAUGUCCUAAUUAAGCUUUUUAUUUUUUUUUUCUGCUUGACAAAUUUAUAAAGACGUCAUUUUUAAGAAGGAAACAAUUUCUCUUCAUCUUUUUACUGCUUGAUCGGAACUCGGGGAUUGAAAAAAGAAAAGGAUUGAUGUUGAAGGAAAGAAUUGGGUAUAGAAAUAAAAUUGUGUUCUUUUACAAAGUUAUUAAAAGUCAAACUUAAUGAAUUUAAUUGCUAAUAAUUAGGUUACAAUAUACAAUGAAAUCUUAAGCUUUCAAAUUUUUUUGCCCUAGAAAUUAACUUUAUAACUACAUUAUUGAAAGCUCAAGAAAAAUUAGAAGAGGGAAAACUAGAAGAGAAUCCAAAUCCUACUCUUAUUAAUUAAUUAUAAUAUUUCUUUUUUAAAUGAAAUCCAAAAUUUUCCUCCUUUUUUCCCCUUUUUAAAUAUGCAAAACUUAAAAACCGGGCAUACUCUGUGUAUAUUUCUGUAAAAUCGUCGUUCAUUAAGAAAAUUUCUUAAUCUAAUUAGGUAACUUUAGGGUUUGUGACUGCAACCAAUAAAAAGAAAAAGAAUCAAAAGGACAUCUUUUAUUUGUAAACACACAUCAAAUCUCUUUUAUCAAUCAAAUUCUUUUGAUUAUUAAUACAAGAGGCUACAUAGCAUAUUCCAUUUUCUCCCUCAGCUAAAAUAAUGAAGUUAAUUUGUAAAUCUAAAUCCUGUUACAAAUUGUUUUACUUAUUAACAGCCGGAAAUUAAGAAAGUUAGAUCUCCAGGCUCCGCUGGAUUUUAUCAAUGCUGCAUUACUAAAAAUUCCUGCAAAGGACACAUAAAUUGCUGCAAUGGAGAUCUUUACAAAGGAUGUGAACAUUGCUGUGUUGGAUAUAAAAUGCAAGGGAUAUGAAUGUAAAUAGCGAUCGUUUUCAUUUCUGUUUAGCGUUUCUGCUUUUCCAAGGUUGGUAAAUGGAGAGUAAAGAAACAGCAGAUCACCGAAGAGGAUUCACUAACGUUAGUUAAUUUAGGGGUUUCCUCGAGAUUACACCUUUUGUUGAGCUGAAUGUGUGAGGCAGUCCGACUUUUUCCUUCUGCAAUGUGAUUGCUGCUUCAUUCCAUUUGAGUUGUUCGGGUGGGACUAAUUGCUCAACUUCAAUGGAGGAAUAUCAGGCAUAUCGGCAAUUAAGCUGUAUUAAAUACUGAAGAUAGAAAGUCUUGUUGGGCAUAAGACGAAUGAAAAACACUUGUUCUUGAACACCUUUUCAUAGUUUCAAAUAGAAGUGAGAGAGAAGUGAUGCUAAAAAGGCUGCCAAACUUAAUAUUUUUCUACGAGAAUUAUGUUUCAUGUGGAACCGAUUUUUGUUUCGUGAUCUUGUUACAUUCUUACCUCUUUGUUCAUGGAUUGAUUGGUACAUGUGUAUUUUCAAAUCAAAAGUUUUCAUCUUAUGAACUUGCAUCAUCUUUGUCCUCUUCUUUCUCUCCUCUAGGAUGAGCAAUAAUGAAAUUCAUUGAUUUGUCAUUGUUUGAUUUAUGAUAAGCGGAUUUCUCAUCCUACAAAUUUUUUCGGCCAAAUAUGUUAUUAAAUACUGUAUCUUCGCUGGUAGUAUUUCGAGAAAUAGCAUUUGCUUAUGAUUUGACUUAACAAACAACAUCCAGUCCGCUUAUAUUAACCCUGCUGUGUUUUUUUUUUUCACAAUAUCUGUUUCUAUUCUUUGUUGAGGACUUUUGUGAAUCUGUGAUACGAGCUGACAGAAUGGUUGCAUCCAAAUUUAAUAUGAGAAAACAGAUCCUCUAGCCUGUCCGCUUAACAUGUUAGGAAAUUGAGCUUCCUCUCAAGAUCACUCCAAGCAAUUUAUCAAGUAACAAAUUAAUAGAAAAAAUUAAAUGGAGAAUACACCAAUCACACAACACAAGAUUUACCUAGAAAACUCCAAAUCCGGAGAAAAACCACGGCCGUUGUCGAGAGACAACCAGAGAAAAAUAUUCACUAUGUGGAAAAUUAUUACAACCACUCUCCGAAAUAAAUUUCUCUCACCCAAACCCCAAAUACAUAAUUAUGAGAAAUAUCCCUUAAUAAAGCAAACCCGUAAUACCAAUAUUGAGGAGCCAAAUGCUCCUUCAAUAUAACUACAUACUUAAGAAUAUUUUUAUCUAUCAAUUCUCACCAAAAUUUGGAUCGCUUCUCUGGGAUUUGGAUACCUGGCUUUCAAAUGAGAGCUUCCCUUUUAUAGGAAAAUUUUUGCCUAAAAUCAAGCCAAUUUUUCAACAUUCAAUAGCCACCAUUUCAAUAGUUUUGAUCACUUCCAAUUGCUUAUCAAACUUCUUGACUAUCUCCAAAUUGAAUUCAAAUGAUAUCUUCCAAAUUGACUUUUCAACUCUUUUUUUUUUUAAUCAAUUUUCAACAUAACACGGAUAGAAUAUUAAUAAAAAGAAUGAUUUUCCUUUUUAAGCUUCUAUGUCAAAUUACACAUGCAAAAUGAUAAGAAUCCUUUUUCCAUUUGUAUGUAUUUUGGAGGAGGCACGUCCACGAGUUCACCAUACUGCAAUUUUUAAUUAAUUCUAUUUAUUUCUCAAAUUACUUUUGUUAAAAUUAAUUUAUCUCUGUUGUUUCUCAUUUCCUCUUCUCAAUAUAUUUGAACACUAAUGGUGUGUUUUUUUAUCAGCAACUGGAAUGAAAAUUUGGAAAUCGGAAUCAAUGAUGCAUUUAUUUACAAAAUUCAGGCCUGGAAUCGAAAUAAAAAAUAGUGUCGGGACUAUAGAUUUUGGUAAUCAUUAGCAUAGUUUUGAUUCCUAAGGGAGGGCCUGGGAAUUAGAAUCUAAUUUCUAGAAUUAUUCAUUUUACUCCCAAUAAAUUUUCGUAAUCUCUAAAUUGACCCCAAUUAAAAUUUGACAUUUUUGCAUUUUAAUUCCUAUAGAAUUUAUGAAAAACUCAAUUUUUUUGUAUUAUUUACAAAUAAGUCCUUCGUUGGUAAUAAUAAUAAUAAUAACAACAACACAAAUAAUAUUAGUAUUAUCAUCGUCAUUAUUAUUAUUAUUUAUUAACAUCAUUAUUAUCAUUAAAAUUUAUUAAUUUUAUUAUUUUAAUUGUUAUUAUUUAUUAUUAUUAAUUAUAUUAUUUAUUAUUAUUAAUAUGAUUAAUGUCAUUAAUUUAUUAUUAUUAUAAUUAAAAUUAUUUAUUUUAUUUUUAAUUAUUAUUAUUGUCAUUAAUUUCAUUAUUAUUAUUAUCAUUAAAAAAAAUUUACAAUACAAAAAUUAUCCAAUCAAUAAAUAAUUACUAUUGAAGGCAUUUAAUAAUGUCACGCAUACAUUGUAUAUCCAGAAUAUCUUCUUAAAUAUAAAUUACUAGUCAUCGGUAACGUAUAAAUAGAAAAACUAGAAUUAAAACCUUUUAGAAUUGUAAGUAGCUAGAUUUCAUUAAAAAAUUCAAAAAUUAAGGGUCUUCACUAAAAUUUAACCUAUAUAUCUAUGUGAAAUUUGCGUUUCGGCUCUUGGCUCCUUGGUUUGAAAAAAAAAAAAAAAUUAAAAAUGAGUAUCUGCAAAUUGAAAAAAUAGUGCAUUCACCUUUUAAAUAGAUUUUAAACAUAGUCGAUCUGUCUAAUAAUUAGUACCUGCUCUCGCUUGUAUUAAUCAUGGCUAAGUUUCCACCCAAAAAAUUCCUACUCAAACAAUAAAACCAAUAAAUUACAAAAGAAAAAAAUAAUCCGUAUUGUUUGUUGUUUGUUUUAUCGUGGCUUUGGUUCUCUGCAACGUUAUUUGAGUUCUUUGCAAGAAUUAGCUCACCACUAUGUGGAGCUUGUUUAAGAAAAAUAUUGAAGAAGAGACAGCAUAAUUAAGUUAACAGUAGAUAUAUGGCUAGGCAAACUUAAUCGAUAUUAAAAUAUUGAUACACAACAAUUUUAUUUAUUUAUUUUCCUUCUAGGCAAACAUGGUACAUGUGAACAGCUAGAUAAAGAGAAUCUCUUAUAUAUAUCAAGAGAUCUUACAAGUUAAAUUAAUUAAAACAACCUAAGACACUCAUACAAUUGACGGAUAAUAACAGUAUCCAUCCUUUUAUUUCCUUAAACAUAACAUAAGAGAGUAACACGGCAUGUACUUAACCACUAUGGUAAGGGUUUCUUCCAUUUUGCGAGACCACAAGAAGAUCAAUAUUUCCAUUAAUUUCAUCAUCAGCAAUAAGUGAAAAAAAGGGGUUAACUGGAAGCCCCUCCGACCAAUCGUUAUAACCUGAAAAAUUCAUGUUAUAAAACUUAAUCACAAAUACACAUAUUAAAAUACGAAUUAUAAAUGAUAUUUAAUUGAAAAUGCAUGGCCUAUAUAUAUACCCGGGCAAGGAGUUUCCAUAAUCUUCAAAUCAGAAAGGCAAAAGAUUUCUGUUGGCUUCGAGUGAAUUGUAUUCACAACUCAAAAGGUAAGUAGUUGUGCUCGACCGAGUUCUUAAUUCUGGUUUGAUCUGAUAUAUAUAUAGAUCAACUGGCCGACACUACAGUGAGAACGUAGCAAAUAAACAAGUGAUGCACGGUAAAAUAAUGUAUCAACGGUGGCUCUAUAUAGCUAAAUUAUUGCACGUGCGAAACAGGGUCCAAAAAAUAAAUAAUUCUAAAUAAGAAGACGAACUGACGAUCAAAGCAAUAACACUAACCAAUAAUGCAUGGUAAGGAUAACAUAUCAUAUAUAUUAACGGCUAUGUACGUUUCAAUUAAUGGAUCCACGAAAUAAAUAGUUGUACAUAAUAAAUCAAGCAAAGUAGACGAUUAUUAUUAUGGUUGUUGCAAUUUGUGUGAUCAAAUAAGAUCAAUCAACACCAAACUGCAACCCAAGAUCUUCAUAUCAAACCAAACAAGAUGCUCACAAGAUUUGAUUAGGGCUAAGUUUAAUCAACCAGAAACACAAAUGAAAAACUAAAUUGAGUAAACAAAGAAUCAAGAACAAGACGAUUUAACGUGGUUCAGCUGAUUUACAUCAGCCUACAUUCAUGGAGAAACAAUAUGAUCAGCUUUUAUUAAUUUGCAAGGAAUACAACCAAGCUUUAUAGAGCACAGUGCAGAGAUCAAGAAGUCAAUCUAACUGAUCCCAACUUCUCUCUUUCUCUCUCAAAAUACUUUCUCUUUCUCUAUAUUAGAAUCAACUGUUUUAACGGCUCUUUAAUUGAUUUCAUGAAGCCUAGAAGCUCACGCAUUGUGCACGUGAGAAUAACAACCUUUAACGACUUGGCUUAAGCACGUGAUGGGCUUGUGACUUACUAAAGCUGAAACGACAUCUCUAGAGGUCGUUUAAGAGAUUAUUGAUGACACCCAUCAAAACGCUUCUUUUUAUGUUGUUUCACUUAUACGAGUUCUUCCUUAAAAUGCAACAAUCCCAUGUCGUAUUGGUCAAUUCUGAUUUGCUUCAUCAGCUACUUCAACAAUUCUCCACCUUGAACAAAUCAGCCUGAUCAACAUUGUUCCUCUCCCUAUGUGUGUCAGCAACCACACAAGCCAACCAUGUUCAAGUGGAACUUGAGAUUGGCUGUUGAAACCACUUUUGUUAUCAUGUCAGCAAGGUUACUGUCUGUAUGGAUUUUAAUCAUUUUCACCACCCCUUUUGACACUCAAUUUCUUAUAAAAUGUAGCUUUAUAUUUAUAUGUUUCGUUUUUUCAUGAUGAGCUGGGUUCUUGCUCAGAUAGAUUGGGCUUGAACUGCCACAGAAUACUUCAACAGACUUCUGAGUUAAUCCCAGUUCUGCCAUUAGACCCUUCAACCACAAAGCUUCUUUAACUGCUUCUGCAGCAGUAGUAUACUCAGCCUCUGUUGUUGACAAGGCAACAACAUGUUGUAGACUUGCUUUCCAGUCAAUCAAGCAGCCAUUGAACAUGUACAUGUAGUUGUUAAUGAUCUCCUUCUAUCCAAAUCUCCAGCAAAGUCAGCAUCAACAAAACCACAUAUUCCUUUGCCUUUCCCAUUUGAUCUGCCAUAGACUAAUCCAUAUUCAAGUGUGCCUUUCAGGUACCUCAAUAUCCAAUUUACAACUUUCCAGUGGUCCUGUCUAAGUGAUGCCAUAUACAUGUUUACCACACUGAGAGCAUGUGAAAUAUCUAGCCUAGUCAAGACCAUUGCAUACAUCAUACAUCCUACAACAUUUGUAUAAAGGACCUUUGACAUUUCAUCCUUCUCCUUAUCUUACUUUGGACAUUGUAAGCUUGAGAGCUUAAAAUAUGCAGCAAGUGGGGUUUUCACAGACUUACAAUCUGUCAUGCCAAAAUUUCCAAGCACCUUUUCCAGAUACUUCCUUUGUGUAAGAAACAUAAUUCCUUUCUCCAUGUUCCUUAUGAUUUCCAUUCCUAGGAUUUUCUUAGCUUGACCCAAAUCCUUUAUGUCAAAUUUAGAAUUCAACAGCUGCUUCAAAGCUUCAAUUUCAGCUCUAGACUUACAAGCAACCAACAUAUCAUCUACAUAUAAUAACAAAUAUAUGUAGAUAUUUGUUUUUACCAACUUAUAGUACACACAGCAGUCAAAAUUGCAUCUCAAGUAGCCAUGUGAUAGCAUAAACUCAUCAAACCUGAGAUACCACUGCCUUGGGGACUACUUCAAACCAUACAAUGACUUUUUCAGCAAACAAACAUAGUCAGGCUUCUUAGGAUCAGUAUACCCUUCAAGUUGAGUCAUCAAAAUCUCAUCUUCUAGUCUCCCAUGCAGAAAUGCAGUCUUGACAUCCAGUUGAUCAAGCUCCGUGUCAUUCACUGCAAUUAAUGCCAAUAAAACCCUUAUUGAAGCAUGCCUGACCACAGGUGAGAAGAAUUCUUUAAAAUCCAUUCCUUUCUUCUGAGUGUAUCCCUUAGCUACUAGCCUAACUUUGAAUCUUCUAGGUUCAGCAGCUGUUAGUCCUUCCUUAAACCUGAAAAUCCAUUUGCAACCCAUUAUUUUCUUGUUUUUGGUCUUUUCAACCAGUGAUGUUAUCUCAUCAUCCAUAACUCUCUGUCAUUCAGAUUUAUAAGGGCUCUAAAUUGCUUCAAAGUAGUUCUUAGGUUCAUCUACUUCAAUAUCAUGAGAUGCAACUAGAACAUAUGCUAUUAAAUCAGCACAUCCAUACCUCUAUGGAGGUCUUGUUUGUCUCUUCUUUCUAUCUUUAGCUAACUGAUAGUUUUGUAGCUGAGUUUGCUGUUGUUGGGAUUGAGUCUGAGUUUCAGUGCAUUCUUCUUGAUCUUCACUACUGUUUCCAAAUUUUCCAUCAUCUUAAGAUGACUUGUGAAUGAUUUGCUCCACCUCAAACUGAUUACUGGUCUUUUCACCCUCUCCCUGUUGACUAUCUCCAGCAGGUUUCUUAUUUUCCAGUAUAGCUCCUUCAUUGAAUAUCACAUCUCUACUAAAGAUACAUUUUGGUAGGUUAAGAUCAGUACACCACAGUUUAUAGCCCUUAACCCCUUCAUGGUACCCAAUAAACUAUCCUUUAAGUGCUCUUGGUGCCAAUUUACCUUGUCUGAUAUGUGCAUAUGCGGGGCAACCAAAUACCCUCAAAACAUCAUAGCUUGCUGGUUUACCAUGCCAUAAUUCAAAUGGGAUUUUGUAAUCCAGAGCAACUGAAGGACUGAGGCUUACCAAGUAACAUGUUGUUAAUAAGGUUGCUGCACACAGACUCUUAGGGAGUUGUGCUUGAACCAACAUACAUCUAACUUUAUCCAUCAAAGUCCUAUUCAUUCUCUCUGCUAGCCCAUUUUGCUGAGGUGGCAUUCUCAUUGUUUUGUGCCUAGCUAUCCCUUCAUGUGCAUAGUAGCUGUCAAUUUUUUUAUUGCAAAAUUCAAGACCAUUAUCAGUCCUGAGUUUCUUCACCUUCCUCCCAAUCUGAUUCUCAACCAAUGACUUCCAUUCUUUGAAUUUUUCAAACACCUUAUCCUUGUGCUUCAAAACAUAAACCCAAACUCUCCUUGAGAAAUCAUCAAUUAUUGACAGAAAGUAACUAUUACCACCUAGUGAAACUGUUUGAGCUGAACCCCACAGGUCUGAGUGUAUGUAGUCUAAUAUUCAACAGGUGGUGUGAGUUGAGCUUUUGAAACUGCUCCUAGUUGUUUUUGCUAGUACACAGUCUUCACAAAAAUCUAGCUCAGUGAUCUUCUCAUCUCUCAGUACCCUUUUGUUUCUGUAGUUCCAUUAGACCCUUCACACUCAUAUACCCAAGUCUCAAAUGCCAAAGUUUGGUCUUGUCUUUUUCAGACCCAGUAGAGACACUAGACAAUCCUAUAAUAGCUUCCCCAUACAAGACAUGGAAAGAUUCAAGCUUAAUACUAAAGCCAAUUUGAUCAACCAUUCCAAGAGAAAUCAGAUUCCUCUUAAGGUCAGGGACAUGCCUAACUUCUCUAAAUUCUUAGAUUUCCCUAUUUUGCAAUUUAAGAUUCACAUCCCUCAUACCUAUGAUUCUACAAACUGCAUUGUUUCCCAUCAUUACCUUCCCUCCAUCAAUUUCUUGAUAAUCUGAAAAAUAAUUCUUGUAUGAACACAUAUGAAAGGUACAUCCAGAGUCAAGAAUCCAUUUACCUCUCUGCAUGUUCUCAGUUGCCAACAAACUCCAGCUAAUUCAUAUUCUUCUUCUUCAACCGUUGCUGCAUCACCAUGUUGACUCUUCUUUUUAUUCUUUUUGUUAGGACAAUCUCUUUUGAAAUGCCCUUCUUUAUGGCAUUCGAAACACCUCAAAUUCUGAGACUUUGCCUUAUUCUUAUCUUGCUUCUAUUUCUUCUUUCCAUUACCCUUGCUAGCUUUACUUGUUGCUAUGAAACCUUCACCAUUUUCAUACCCCCAGACUUUUGCUGUAACCCCCUUGUAUUUAGGGUUGCCUUAACUUCAUCUAAAGACAAAGUCUGUCUACCAUACAUGAGGGCAUCAACAAAAUUAGAGUAUGAUUGCGGCAGUGAACUUACUAGAAGUAGGGCCUUACCUUCAUCAUCUAACCCUUCAUCUAUAGUAUUCAAAGUAUCACAAACUUUAUUGAAUUCAUCGUUGUGAUUAUCAAGAGAGGAUCCCUCAGCCAUUUUGAGGGUAAACAUCCUCUUCUUGAUAUAAUCUGUUUGCUAGAGACUUCGUCAUGUAUAGUUUUUCAAGCUUUGCCCAAAGCUCUGCAACUGUCUUCUCCUUGGCAACCUCCCUUAUUACAGAGUCACCAAGACUCAAGAUGAUGAUGCUUCUGGCUUUCUUGUCAACCUCAGCAGCCUGCUCAGGUGUUCUUGAUGAUGAAGUUUCUUUUCCUUCUUUUUUGGUAACAGGUUCAAUUGCAUUUCCUAGCCCUUGUGUGAUCAGCAAAGCCUCCAUUUUCACCUUCCACAUAUUAAAGUCAUUCUUCCCAUUAAACUUCUCCAAAUCAAUCUUCGUCAUUGCCAUACUUGGAUCUGAUUCUCAAGACCAAGCUUUGAUACCAAUUGUUGCAAUUUGUGUGAUCAAAUAAGAUCAAUCAACACCAAACUGCAGCCCAAGAUCUUCAGAUCAAACCAAACAAGAUGCUCAAAAGAUUUGAUUAGGGCUAAGUUUAAUCAACCAGAAACACAUAUAAAAAACUAAAUUGAGUAAACAAAGAAUCAAGAACAAAAUGAUUUAACGUGGUUCAGCUGAUUUACAUCAGCCUACAUCCACAAAGAAACAAUAUGAUCAUCUUUUAUUAAUUUGCAAGGAAUACAACCAAGCUUUACAGAGCACAGUGCAUAGAUCAAGAAGUCAAUCUAACUAAUCCCAACUUCUCUCCUUCUCUCUCAGAAUACUCUCUCUUUCGCUAUAUCAGAAUCAGCUGUUUUAACAACUCUUUAACUAAUUUCAUGAAACCCAGAAGCUCAUGCCUUGUGCACAUGAGAAUAACAACCUUUAACGACUUGGCUUAAGCACGUGAUGGGCUUGUGACUUACUAAAGCUGAAACGGCAUCUCUAGAGGUCGUUUAAGAGAGUAUUGAUGACACCGAUUAAAACGCUUCUUUCUAUAUCGUUUCACUUAUACAAGUUCUUCCUCGAAACGCAACAAUCCCAUGUCGUAUUGGUCAGUUCUAGUUUGCUUCAUCAGCUACUUCAACAAUGGUCUUCUUAUUUCUUUCAUGGACCCAUUGAUUUCUACUUCCACAUUCGUUUAUUUCCACAUGCAGUUGAAACAUUUUUAGCCAUUAAUCUCACAAUUAUCAAACUUCAACCUUCUUUUUGCUGGUUUGAUAUAUAUAUGUAAAGAUCAAGUAGCCGAGAAAACAGAUAACGUAUGCAUGGGUCCACAAAAUAAGUAGGCAAGAUCAUGUCGGAGCAUGGAUGGGUCCACAAAACAUAUAAUUUUUUUGACACGUCUAAAGUAAUGCCAUAAACUUCAUGAAAAAGAAGGAAAAAUAGAAAAAAAAAAAAGUAGGUUCUACUUUUUGUUUCAUUUUCUUAGCUUUCCUUGAUGGGAUGGGAGUGGAGCCUCAUUUUUUGACACACAAAGUCUAUACAAUCUUAACUUUCUAUCUCUAAUACAAUCAAAUGAUUGAGCUUAAAAUGUCGAUUCGUCAUUUUUAUUAUGUAUUAAUAGCAAAACUAAAUAAUUAAUGGACCCUAUAUUAUAUUAGUAAUUAUUUUUUUAAUAUUAAUAGCAAAAAUUGAGGAACAGGCCUGGAAGUAGCCAUUAUGGUUGGAUGGACGCAAGACUCGUAUGAACACAAUCGGCAAAGUUGUUAACAUGCUCAAUUUUAGGGGAGUAUAUUGAAGAGAUGAGACUUUUAAAUGAAGCACACCAUUGAGGACAAUAAUAUUUUUAAUGGGGAAAGAAUGUUAAUUACGAUCCCAAAUUUAUAUUUUUAUUUAUUUUAAAUUGUAUUUAUCCUAUUGGUUGUGAUUAACUCAUACUUGGACUCAGUAAAUUAGUAGUCAGUUACUUAACUAAUUAUUUCUGUUAGUUCGGGAUUGUGGUUCAUAUUCUUUAAUUUUAAGUUUUUAUCCAUGAGUUAACAUUUGAACUAGUAUCAAUGUCAGUAAUAGGAGGCGCAAACAUUAUUUAGCAAUUAUAUUGAGAGGUGUUUGGUCCUCCGAAGCACCAACAACAUGUUUAUGAAGGUUUGAGUUUUCUCCAAUUAACCUGUUUGUCACUGAUUCUUUUAAUUUUGUUUGAUUUUCUGUUGCAGAAAAGUUAUGUCUCUAACACAAUUAAUGACAUUAUUUUGUCAUGAUACACACACACACACACACACACACACACACACACAUAUAUAUAUAUAUAUAGAGAGAGAGAGAGAGAGAGAGAGAGAGAGAGAGAGAGAAAUGUUCCAGUCCGUAAUUUUAAAGUGCGAGAAAGUACAGUAAAGUUUUAAAACUGCAUGGUUUUAAAGGCUUAAAACUGUAAGCCUUUAAAGCCGUGCGGUUUUAAAGCUUUCACGAACUUUCCCGCACUUUAAAAUCCCUGACCGAAAAACUACUAAUAUAUAUAUAUAUAGUAGUUUUCUGGUCCACACUGUAAGUGUAACACCUCAGUCUAAAAUCCAAGGGCAAAUAUGUCCACAACUCACAUAUGAUUUAAAUAACUCUUUACAAACAAUAAAAUUCGAGUCUCAAAUACAAAAGCCAGCGGAAUAACUUAAAAAUUUAGCCAAACCAUCUACCAUCUUCAACUUGUCACUCAUCACGAAUCAAUCCUGACUUCUGGAAACUAAAUCACAAUAAACUAUAAUGAGUACAAAACCCAGUAAGCAAACUAGUUUUUGUUAUACGGAAAAUACAUACAUACUUAUACAUAAUGCAAUGGAUUAUAUGCCAUGAUCUUUUGGAAAUACUGUAAAAUAAAUUCAUAAAAAUCUCUUUAUGUCGCUUUCAAACUUUCUCAUUUUCUUUCGAUGAAAUACGUAUCCUGCAAUGUGGCACUUUGUGCUGUGCGUGGCACUUUGCGGCGCUCUGGCCCUCAAGAGGUGGCCCCCGCAUAGUCCCAAGAGGUGGCCCCCACACAACUUCAAGAGGUGGCCCCCAAUGCAAAAUCUCAUAAAACAGAAAUUCCGUUUGCUAAAAUCCACUUUCUCAUUCAUAGAAAACUCAAUGCAUUUUCGUGCUCAUGCCAAUGAACCAUCACACAUACAUAUGCCCAUGUACAUAAUCACGUUCAACACAUGCCAACACAUCACAUAAACACAUGGGCAAAGACAUUUAAAUCCAUAUCCGUAUAUAUAUCAAAAUAGGCUUUUCACACAAGUCAAACAUAUAUAUUGUUUAGUGUGAUUCGUUUUAAAGUCUAGUUUACUUACCUCUUGGCACACUACCUUAUGAAAUCUAUAAAUUUUAAAAGGAUAAGGAGAUAACUACCAAGUUUUUUUAUUGAAUCAGCCUGGUUUUCAAUGAUUUCCUUCAUAAAUCUCAUGACAUAAUAUCCACAUUCAGUAUUUGUAGUUUGUUGAGGACACUACACAUAAAUUUUGAACUAAUUAAUGUCAUUUACAUAUGUAAAUAAAUUUAAAUUGAACAUAUAUAUGUUCAAUUUCAUAUACCUUAACCCUUUUCCAAACAAAGGAUUUCCGAUUCGCAUUUCCCAUUUUUGCUACAAAAAUCUUGAAAGCACUUAAGAUACAUAAUUAAAUACACAUUUAGUCAAGCAUGUUUUAAUAAAUGCAUUAUAAUUGACAAAAAAUGACAAUAACUUAUAGUGAUACAAAGUUCUUCAAAUCAGGGCGAGGUUCAUGACCGAGCGAAUCAAAAAAAUAUACUAUAAAUUUGUGCGGAUCCACAACAAUCAACAUCCAAUGUUUGCUAUAUAUAAUGAUAAAUAUCAGCCUUGCAUAUUUUUGUAAAAGAAAAAGAGAAUAAACUCCAAAUGCUAUAUACAAUUAAUAAAAUAACAAACCUGAUAUUGUAAGGAAACAUCAGAAGCUGUUGUGGAUCAAGUAUUUCCAUUCUUGAUACCAUUGCACGAGCUCUAGUCUCAUCAUUAUUUCCGGUUUCAUCACAAAAGAUUGAAGGAUUACCAAAUUUGCAAAUAUGUUCCUAGGGACGAUCCUUCAAGACUUCGUAAAGAUGCCUACAAAAAACAAGUAAUAAUUACUUCACUGCAUAAAUUAAAAUUAUAACUAAUUAUUUUGCCAAGAAAAUAAGUAAUUUAAUUAAAUUACUUCAUGUAACAAAUUAUUGUUGCGACCCCAAUCUUUUCCAUGCUACAAAAUUGUACAAUGUCAUCAACUGAUAAAUAUAAUUCAGCUUGUUCAUUGUUGAAGAUCCCUGGAUAAAUUUCAAUAAAUAAUGCUUUAGUCAACACUCGGCAAGCGUACUUGCAAAGAGCAUCUAUUCUUGCUAGCACUUUGUAUUCCUGCAUAUUCUCAAUAGAUUUAUUUAUGUAACUACAAAUAUGUAUGAGAUAUCUACAAGCGAAAACAAAAAUUAAUUAACCACAACACAAAAAAGAAUAAGACAUUAUAGGCGUCAAUGAUAUGCUCAGUUAAAUGCUAAAUUUAUACAUGAGUGCAACAUAUAAUGGAAAUACUUGAUCCACAGUUAAAUGCUAAAUUAUAAACAUCUGAAUAUUUUAAAUGCUAAAUUAAAUGCUAAAUUAUAAACAUCUGAAUUUUUUAAAAAUAUGUAUCAGUUUUUGAAACUAACAUUAUUUCUCUCAUUCAUAUUUGUUCAUAUAUUCGAUUCAAGAUGUUUUAUUAAUUAAUUAUUAAAUUGUAUACUUUAUGUCUUUAUUUCUAUAUUACUUGUAUUAAAAAUAAAUAAGUUAAAAUAAUAAUUUUUAUAAUUAUAUACUCUAUUAAAUUAUAAUCUCUUUAUAGUAAUAAAAUUAUUUUGAUUCUAAUAAUAUGAUUAUAAUUAUAGGUAGAUUUUACAAUAUUCUAUAUGAUGCUAAAGGAAAGAGGAUGAAAUGAUUAAUUAAUAUUGUAAUAUCACAUAAUAUUAUAUAAAUGCUUAUUCUAUUAAUUCUCCGUUAGUUUUUAUUUUUUUAUUAGUUUUUUUAAUAAGAAAGUAUGUGUGUAUAUAAAUUAAUUUUAAGUUAUUUGAAGAAUUUGAAAUAUUUAUAAUUUUGCAACAAAUCCCACAUGGCGCUUGUCGUUCUUGGUUUCCCAAUUUCGUAAAAGAUAAGAUGAAAGAAAAGAGAAGGGGAAAAGAAAAGAAAGAUAAUCCAAUUAAAAGAAGGAGGAGAGGUCAAGUUGACGAUUAUGAAGGAAAAGAAUAGAAGUCGUGAGGUUCUGAGAUUGAUAACUGAUUAAAUUUCAAAGGAGCAUGACAUGAUUCGACCAAAUUUGUAACUUCCCUAAAAUAUAAAUCCCCAGAAAAUUUUUUACUGUUCAUCCAUAUUUUCAACAUUUGCUAUUCAAAUAGAGUAAAUUAGACAAAGAAAAGAAAAGAAAAAACAGCACAUGUAGGCCACCCACAAUCAAACAAUCUAUCAUUUUCUUUCUCAAACAUGAUUAAACAAAAGGAAAGAAAGUACCUUAUGUGGGGACCGAAACUUUUAAAAUCCAAUAUACAAGGUAGCCGAAUGCUUCAACAAUUUCUUUGAUAGUGAUGUGGUCCCAAGCUUUACAAUCUUCUUGCCAACAUGUGUGGUCCAGAGCUUCCAGAUUUCUUCCCAAUUUGUCUUCACUUCCACUAUGUGUGAACAGUUAGGGUUUACGAUUUUGGGUCUAUAUAAAUAAUGGGUGAAAUUAAGAGUUUGGAACUUGGAAAUAGAAGAUAGGAAGAUGUUUUGUAUGGGCAAAGGGGAAUUUUACAGAGAAAGAAAGUCAUAGAAGAAUGGAGGCUGAAACAAAGAGACAAUGAUAUUUUGCGGUAGACAAAGAAAAUAAAGAGGGAAAGUGGCAUUUUUAUACUACAAACUAAAUGACACAUUUUAAAAAGAAGAGUCACCUUUUAAUUAAUUAAAGAUGACUUCUUAUUUAGUGGUGAGUCAUUUUUAUGUCAUAAAUAAAAACAAUUUUAUAAUAUAUGACUUCCAAAAGUAAAUAAAAGUCAUCUAAACUAAUAGAUGACAAUUAAUAGUAUGUUUGUCAUGUAUUACAUGUCAUCUUUGUCCUGUUUUGUAGUAGUGGCAUCCUCAUGUAACAAAUGCGUACUGAUACCAUCAACCUAAAAUCAUCAAUAACGCCUCAUAAGAUAUAAUCAAAUCUCAAUCAUAAACUCUAAUGUCCUCAAAUAUAUCAAUUUAAACAACUCCGAAGCUCAACCUCAAAUGUCCUCAAUAAUCGGCCCUCAAAACAUAACAGUCCAUACUUCUCCGAUUUUUAAUAAAUUAUUCUCUUAUUGGAAGAAUCUCAAAUUUUACAGACCAUAUGCUGACACAUUGAAAGUUCAUUGAUAAAAAUUUCAUAACAUAAUUCCUUCAAAAACGAUUGAAAAUAAUUCACGUUUCAGAUAUCAUCAAUACUGUCAAACAGUUUUCUGAUUUGAACACAAUUACUUUAAAAAUACAAAACAAUUUACUGCUUUAUCAUAAAAUCAUGAAACUUUCCAGAAUCAUACUAGACAUAUAUAAAAAUCAUUGGUCCAAAUUUCAUAAUUUUUGAAGAAUUCUAGCUAUGGUAAAAAUAAUUUCGUCAUUCACGUUAUUCACUGAAAUCAUAAAUUUCCAGGUUUUCAGACUUGAAUUUGAAAAAUCAUAAUUAAUUGAAAUCUUAUCUGAUUAACUUGAAACAAGUUUCAAACCAUUCUAGACGAUGUCUAGUUUAACAUACCCAAAAAUCAGAAUCAAAAUCGAUUUGUAAAAAUUACUAUGAUUUUCGUAAUAAUUCACUGUCAGCAUAUUUCUGCAAAAUCUUAGAUUUCUACUUCUAUUGCAAUCAUGCUUCUCCACAACAAUUUCAUAGAAAACAAUAAUUAAAACGUACCUCCAAAACUUCUCCCAACAAUAACAACUUGAUCCAAUGUGUUGUCUAUGGCAAAACUAAGAAGAAGACUUUCUUCUUCUCUUUUUUCUUUUCUUUUCUCUCUUAUAAUGAAAAAGACAUCUUGUUCUAUUUAUACUAGGUUAAAAAGGAUUACUAAAAAUUAAAAAGACUUAAAUACCCUUAGGAGAUUUGGGGUAUUACAGUAAGUCUUUAAAAUCGUGUAGUUUUAAAGAUUUUGAGGACUUUUCCACGCUUUAAAAUUUUGGACUGGAACAUUUCUACAUAUCUUAAUAACUUUAUCAAUGUAAAGCUAGUAAUGUUUUUACUUAUUUAUAACGGCAAAUUUGAAAAAGAAAAAAUUUGCAUCAGCAAUCACCCUUAAUUACAAUAGAAAAUAUAACUAAAUCUCAUAGAUUUUUACGCUCUUUGAAAAUCAUCAUUCUAAAAUCUAAAUCAAACCUUAUCCGUGGACAAAAAAAUCUUAUUCAAACAAUAGAACCAAUAAAUUAUAGAAUUACAAAGGGAAAAAAAAAGUAACUCUCAUUGUUUGUUGUUGUUUUGGGUCCCUUUUUCUUAUUUUUGGUUCUUUGCAAUGUUAUUUGAGGUCUUAGAAGUUAGAAUGCUGCGAGACAAAUGAGUUUUGAGGGGAGAAUAAGAUAAGAGAGAACAAGAAGAAAUUAAAAAAACGAAAGAAAGAGAGAAAAAUAAUUAAUUUUAUUAAAAACAAAAGGGUAAACGCUUGUUUAGUCCCUAUAUUAUGAGGUUAGUGCCCAUUUAGUCCUUAUAUUUUUAAAAACACCUCAAAACGUCCCUGCUGCUAAAUAUUGACACUCAUGCCAUUAUUUUUUAUUCUUUUUAACUUGCUUUUACAAUAUUACACUCUUAUAAUAAUUUUUCUUUAUAUUAAUAAAAAAUUAGAUUAUCAAAUUAAACUCAAAAAUAAAAUAAAAACAAAAAAGGUAUAUAGUAAUUUUUGUGGAAGCUCACGUAUGUCUAAAAAAUUAAUAUUGUAAAAAAUUACAUUAUCAAUUUUUUUAGAAAAAUUAAUAUUUUUAACUCGAGAGUGUUCCACAAAAUUUUUUUUUAUUUUUUGGUGUUAAACUGGUAGUUUUUUUCUUUUUAAUAAUGUCUAAAAAAAUUAUUAUAAUAAGGUAAUAUUGUAAAAAUAAGUUAAAAGGAACAAAAGAUAAUGGCAAGAGUGUCAAUAAUUUAAUGGUAGGGAUGGUUUGAGGUAUUUUUAAAAAUAUAGGGACUAAACGGACACUAACUUCAAAAUAUAGGGACUAAACGAGCUUUUACCCAAAACAAAAAUAUAGCCUCAAUUUUAGCCAUUGAAAUGAUCUAAUGACUAAAAAACUGGUAUUAAUUUAAAAUUACAAUAAUGUUAUAUCUACUUAGUUGGGAUAUUUAUUUUGUAUUCAUAUUGAUGUGGCAAAUGAUGUAUCACUAUCUAAUUAAUUCAAGUAAUAAAUAAUUAUUAAACUUUAUCCUUUUUAAUUCAAAUAGUAAAUUUUUAUUGAUGACAGGUCAUUGGGAGUACAAACGAAAUAUUCCAAUUUAGUAAAUAUAACAUUCACUCUUCAAAUUAUUUUCCUUGAACAAAGUCUCAUGGUAAAUUUACUAUUUACUAAAUGUGUUAAUUGUCACGGUAUGCAGUUGAGAUUGAGCUUAGUUCUUAUUGCUGGUUUGAUAUGAUAAAUAUGGAUCAAGUUACCGCCACUACAGUGCCAACGUUGCCCAAAAAAAAAUUCUGUGGGGUACACUAUAGAUAAUGGAUCAACGGUUCAAGUUCAAUCCAACAAGCAACUCUAUAUAAUUAAGGGUGCGUUUGAGAUUAAGUUUGGGCAACAGUAGCUUACAAACUACAGUAUUAAAGUAUUUGAUAAACACUAGCUGCUGUAAGUUAGAAGUUAUGUUGAUAUAAUUUUUCACUUGUAUAAUAAAAAAUCUAUUAUAUCUUUAAGAAUUUUGUCAAUAUUAUUAUUUAAAAUUUAUAUUUACUACAUAUUAUUAAUUUUUGUUUCAUAAUUACAGUUUUUUUUCCACAGCAGCUGUAGUUUAAAAGUUACAUCACCUCAAUACCAAAUAGAACCUAAAUUAUUGCACAUGCCAAAACAAAAUAAAUAAUUGUAAAUAAGAAAGUCUAACAAAUUAAAGUAAUAAAUACAAUUACUAAACAAUUAAUAGUGCUUCGUAUAGAUAACAGAUCUACGGCUGAAGUUUGAUUAAUUGUAAGAUUAACGGCGUAAAUAAGAAGACAAGCAGUCUUUUCUUUCAAUAUCAUUGGGUAAAAUAAAUUUGUAUUGUAAUUGUAUGGCAUCUACUUUAUUACUAGGACCCGAACCCAAGAACUCAUCUCCAACUAUAUAUAUUUUUUCUUUCAAUUUUUUGCACCAUUCAUAGAAAAAAUAAAUUUAACACAAAAGAAUUACUUAAAUGUUCAUUCAUUCGAUCUAAUGGUGCACGUUUUUAGUGAAAAAGCCACAAUAAGUCAUCGUUAUUCUUCUACUAUUGAAAUGAAUAUAUCAAAUGGAUGAAAAUUAAAUUAAAAGAUUGAAAUGACUAUGUGGAAGAAAAUUGAUGUAAAAUGUUGAAGUUAAGAAGCCCUCCGAAUUAUAGAAGAAACGAAAUAUAUUGACACACAACAGUUUAUUUAUUAAUUAAGAGAGACAAAAUAUAUAAAUACAAACAAAGAAAAUCUCUUGCAUAUAUCAAGAUAUUUUACUAGUUAAGUUAAAAUAAAUUUACGCUCACGUAAUUGACAAGUAAUAACAAUACUCAUUUUUUUAUUUCAUAAAACAUAGUAUGAAAGAGAAAACUUCAUGCAUUUAACCAGUAUAAUUAGGAUUUCUCCCAUAUUGAGAGACUAUUAAAAGAUCAAGAUUGUCAUCUUUUAUGUCCUCGUCACUACAAUACUAAACACACGAUGAUACCUCCAACCCUCCAACCCAUCGAUCCUACCUGAAAAAAUUAUAAUUAAUAGGAAACUUAUUCACAAAUGCAUAUAUUUAGAAAAGAAUUACAAAUGAACGAACUUAGCCUAAAAAUUAACCUAAGGAGUUUCCAUAUAUUCUUCAAAUUAGAAAGAGAAGGUUCUCUGCUAGCUUCUUGUGAACCGUAAUCAAAAGUAAGUAGUAGAGCUUGAGCGAGUUGUUAUUUCUGCCGGUUUCAUAUGAUAUAUAUGGAGAGAGAGAGAGAGAGAGAGAGAUCACGUGGCCAACAAUGCCAUGGCAUUGAUUACGAAUCAACGGCACGGAUCAACGGCUGAAGUUUUAUUAUCCAUAAAAUUGCCAAGAUUAAGGGCUAGGGUUAAAAGAUUGCGAUAAGUCCGAAAUAUGUACGGGCAGGUCCACAAUAAUAUCAAUAACUGCAAAAGAAGACAAACAAAGUAAAUAGACAACAGAUCUGAACCGAACCGAACCAAACCAAACCGUAUUAUGGCAAUUUGGUCUGAAGUAAAAAAAUCAAAUGGUUUAGAAAUUUUGAACCAUUUGGUUUUUUAUUUGGUUCGGUUCAAAACCGAACCAAAUUACCAAACUAAAUGGUUCAAGAAAAAAUUAAAAUUAAAAUUAAAAAAUAGUUCAGAAAUUAUUUUUUUAAUUUCUAUUUGUUAGUUAAUACAUGAUAUUAUAUAUGUCAUAGCAUACACUUUAUUUUAUUGUUGAAUUUUAUUAUUUUAAUUUAUUAUUGUUAGAUUUUAUUAUGUUGUUUAUUGUUUGCUAAUUUAUAGACUUAAGAUUAUUGUUGUAUUAUAAUGUAUUAUUAUAUUAUUUUUUAUUGAAUAAUGAAUAUAUAAGAUAAAAUCAAACCAAACCGAAUCGAACCGUUCGGUUCGGUUCUAUAAUUUGGUUCGCAUUUAGUUCAUAAAUUCAUGAACCAUUUGGUUUCAGUUUGGUUCGGUUUUAGAACUUAACCGAACCAAACUAAAUAGUACCCACCCCUAUCUGAAACAUAUGGUCUGAUCUGGUCCACAAUGCUACCAGUAACUGCAAAAGAAGACGGACAAAGUCAUUAAACAUUAUUAUUAACUCGCCAAACAAAAGCGAAGCAAUUGUGCAUGGUACAGACAGCAGAUCGACGAAUGUGAAACAUAUGGUCUGAUCUAGUCCACAACUGCAAACAAAGAAAUUAUAUACCAUUUUUGACUUGCGAACAAAAGCGAAGCAAUAAUGCAUGGUAUAGACAUAAGCCAUUUUUACUUUAUUGCAAAUGUGAACAGAUGGCCUGAUGCGGUCCACAAAAUAUAUAAUUGUCAAAAAGAAGACGAACAAAGCAAUUGAUCAUAAGCCAUUUUUACUUUAUUGCAACAAAGCAUGAUUCACGCUUAUUGCAAUCACUAAACAAAGAGAGAUUCUAGAGUACAUAGAAUUAUUACGCUUGAUUAAUAUAUGUAUAUAUAUAUAUAUAUAUAUAUAUAUAUAUAUAUAUAUAUAAUUUCCCUGUCUAAUUCCGGGAAACUAAUUACUUUUUUAGGCCUAUGAAGUCAUUUCAAUAUUUUAAUUUUUUAAUCAUUUAUUUACUAUUUACAUAUUAAUAUUUUAAUUGUUAAUUUUUUACAUUUCCAAUUACUUAACAUAUAUCAAUUAUUUUUGUUGCCUUUACAAAGUUGUUACAAGAAUAUUAUGUUACAGUGGGGAUACUUUCAUACUUUCAUGAGUUAACGGCGGUCAAUGGUUAAAGAUAACGAGUUUUGGGGUAGAUUGAUGUUUUCAAUAGUAAGAGGGGGAAAUUUAAAGAUUGUCAAUUCCCUAAGGGUAAUUAGAAAUUAACCCAUAUAUAUAAUAGGUACAUUUGAUAUGAAACGUAUAAUUUAAUUAAAUAUAUCUAUUAAUUACAUUUUAAUUUUUUAAAAUAAAUAUACACAUAAUAUAUAUGUAUUAAUUUAUAUAUAAAUAUAUAAAGAAAAUUAUUAUGUAGCACAAAUUCCCGCCCUAUUAAAGAUCUCAUGAUAUCCAAAAAAUAAUUAUAUAUUUAUAGCAAAGUGUUGGUAUAUUUUGAAGGAACGAGUUCGGUACGGAAAUAUAAUAGUAUGUGUUUUUAAUGACGUUUAUAAAGUCAUUAAAUGUCAAAAGGAAUGAAUUUAGUGAUCAAUUAAUAAUUAGAUAGGUAAACAUGAAAUCUCUCGGUCUAUUAAUGUAGUAUAUUUUCUCCCUCAGCUAUUAUCAUUAAAUUAAUUUGUAAAUCUCGUUUCCGGCUACUCCUUCCAAAUAUACAUGAGUAGUGAUAUUUGGCCUUUUUAUUAUAACUCACAAUCUCCUAUUUUUUUGUUAACCCCAUUAAAUAUUUUAAAUAAAUCUUUAUCUCUCAACAUAUCACACAUAAUUAUGGAUUUACCUUUAUUACAAUUUCUAUCUUUUUUCCAAGCACUCACUAUAUAAAAUUUAUAAAAUCUAUUUUAAAAAGAGAAAAAAGCUCUCAUAAUCACUAUAAUCUCUCUUUUUUAAAAAAAAAAAAUUAUUCGUUGUUCUCAUAAUCAUUAAAAAGAAAAAGGCACCAUCCUUUAUUGAAUAUUGAGUAUUGUAAAUUAAUUUCUUUCACGAUUACAAAAGAAGAGUAUAUAAUAUUUGAGAAGAAAUAAUAAUUUAAAAAGUUUAAAAAAUUAGAGUUUAAGAAAUUAGAUUAGCUAAAUUAGAUAUUAAUAGAAAUUGUCAUAUGAGUGCAUUUAAAAGUUAUUUACCCUUUUAAAUCAUUUCAUAUAAUAAUAAAAUAUGUACUAACAUAAAAGUGAUUAGUGGGGACUGAUGAGAUAUAAUGAGGGGGUCAAAUAUCAAAUUCUACAUAUAUUUAAUAGCUAAUAUAAUUGUUUAAAUAGGAUUGUAAUUAAACUCAUUAAUUAACUACCUUUAAUUUUUCAGUAGGCGAUAUUUUUGAAACGUGAUGAUCAUGUGUGAAUAUUAUUCGAAAGUAAUGAUGUUACACUACUGAUGCUCAUUUAUUAACUGUUGUCUUACCUCUUAAUUAAUUUUUUGCAUUUGCACUUGGAAUUAAUCAUUUGGCUGUGAUAGUAAUGCUACAGCCAGCGGAAUUUGAGCCUCCCUUCUUCAAUGCCUGCUACGAGAAUGAAGCUAACAAUCGGGAUGGACAGAACAUUCUUUAGACAUAGAGUUCAAAUUAAGAUAAGGGGGGUCAAGAUUUUUUGUUAAAUUUUAUAAGAUAUGAUGAUGGUUGCUUGUAAUAUGUUGUAAUGGGCAAACUAUGGAAGCAUAACAUCUGCAAAGACUUGCUUCGUCUUUAAUGGACAACUAGCAAGUAAAAACCUUGUUUGAUAUGCUGCUUUUAGAAACCAAUUUGCAAUCCAAUUCAAUAUUACUAUUCAUUUUUCAGGUACAUACAAGUUGGGAAUGCUGUAGCAAUUCCAGUUGGUAAUGGUAUUGCAUUGGGAUACGCUUUUGGUCAAGCUUGCCAAGGAUUAGCCGAUGAUGAUCAGCCAUUGACUAUACUCCCUUUCAAGUUUCCCAAUUGUCUUGCGCAGUCUCUUCAACACUUGCAGAAGAAGAUUCUGAUUGAAAUUGUAAGGAAAACAUAAAUAUGAUUCAUCAAAUUAUACUCUUGUUAGUUGCGAGUUAUUACCAAUUUGAUUUUUAAUUUGCUAUUGAUGUACGGACAAGCAUAUUCAAUGUAUUAUUUGUUAUUGAAGAUGUUUCGAGGCAGGAAUUAGAAUAUGUUACAUCUUUUAGUUAGUGUUUUAGACAUAUAUACUUUAUACUUUUUCAGUUUGUAAUCACAUGUAUCAAAUAAAAGGUUUAGUUUUAGGGUUAAUUUUGGUAUCAAUCAUAAAUGUCUAUAUCAUUAUUGAAAGGGUGUUAAAUUAAAUGCCAAAAGGAUGAAUUUUUUUCCCUUGAGUAUGAGGGAUGUUUAUGAAAGUGACACCAUCAUAUGGCAUGGUGUCAUACUAUUAACAUAUUAUUUGAAUAUUAUUCACCAAAUAUCACAUAAUCAUGCCUUUUAUACAAGUGUAUAUAUGUAGAUGUAGUACAUACUCUUAUAUGUAGCCAUGAGAUCGAAUCCUGUCUUAGUAAAUGAAAAGUUACUUCUUGUAAUCUUAUACUACGUUCUUUGAUAAAGACUUUCGCUUUUUGCUUUGAAAUGGCAACUUCAUAAUGAAGUAAAGACUUUCGCUUUUCAUUCUUUAGUGGCAUUCUCGGAUGAAUUGACACAUUUUGUGACCCAUGCUUAAACCAUGUGGUGCUUUUUAUCAUCAUUAUUCCCAUUUCAAUUCUGCUUUUGGCUUUUAGGAAUUAAGGGUAUGCAACUUGCGAGCUUCUUUUGUCACCAACCCAAAAGGCCAAAACCAAUUAAAGAGGGCAACUCUCCUUCUUGUUCUAUCAUUCAUGUUUCAUUCUCUAGAUUGCCGUGCUCUUUGGUUUAUGAAAACGACAAAAUAUAGAACAUUAAUUAAUUUGAUAUGAUUUCAAAGCAUAAUGAGGAUGCAAUACGACAAAAUAUAAAACAUUUAUUAAUUUGAUUAAAUUCCAAAGGAUAAUGAGAAUGAGGGAACAAUGUAUUGGAAAAUUGCACUAGAAUUGGAUGUGGAUAAAAAUAAAAUGCGUUUUUUUUGGGGUUUUAAUUCAAAAGAGAGAAAUAUAAGUUGUAUUUUACUAAUUAAUCGAAAAAGAAAAGUUUAAAAAGUAUUUAUUCGUCAAUGGAAAAAAAAUUAUGAAAAGAUUUAAAACAAAUUUCACCAGUAUUUUCUCAAACCAAGAAUGGUUACUACGAACAUUAAGCAACAAACAGACAAUUUCCAAUUUAAUUAUUAGUUUUAUAUUUAUAUAUAUAUAAGUUCGUUUUGAUUUUUUAAUGAAUUAUAUAAGUGGGCCACUUGUCUAAAGUCAGACAGUCAACAACCACCGACAUUGUUAUAUAAAACUUCCGUUUUAAAAAUUUUAACACCUAAUGUGAAAAUAUCCUCAAGGGGCCCUAGACUUUAUAAAAUAUAAUAUUAAAUCUAGUGCUAAAAAAUACUACAACUUGGUGGCGUUUAUUUUUUAACUUAAUGACUUAAAGUAACUUAACUUAAUUAAUUAAGUUAAUUAGAGGUGUUUGUUUUUAUAACUUAAUGAGACUUUUUAGAUAAUUUUGACUUAAUAAAAUAAGCUAAUUUUUUUGGCUUUUUACUUAAUGGAGAAAUCUGAAUUAAGUCAAUUACUUGCUAAUGUCAAAAAUAUCCCUGUUUUAUAAUUUAUUUUUCAUGUCUAUCCCAAAACUCACCCAUAGAUAUUUACCCACAUAAAAAAUCUCUAUUUUUUCUUUCUUAUAUUAUAUACGAUAAAAUUUGAAAUUUAUGGUAUUUUAUAUAUUAAAAUUCCAAAAUAAUUAUGUAUUCACUUGAAUAUAGUUUUACUUAUAAAUAUUAAAAUAUUGUGGUAUUUAAUAUAUUAUUUAUUUGACAUUCAAAUUUAAUAAGGAUACAAAUGUAAAAGUACAUAUUUUCAGCUUUUUAAGUUGAAAAAAACAAACAACUUAAUACUUAUUUUCUGAGAUUCAGACGAAAAAAUAAACAUAUUAUUCAAAUUCAGACACUCAGACCUAUUCAGAAUUCAGACUAAUUCAGGUCUAUUCAGAUUUCAGACAAAAAAACAAACGUCACCUUAGAUUUACCUUAUAUUCUUGUUGUUAGAAGUCGAUAAAAAAUCUAUUCGUACUUUUUGCCAGGUAGUUUGGAUUCAUAAUAAAAACACUAUUAUUUAGAUUUAUUUUGAUGUUCGAACUCGAUAAAAAAAUUUAUUUAAAUUAUUAGUACAUAACUAGGUUAUUUGAUAAAUACAGGCAAAUUUUCUAACCAAAAUCGUCCAAAGAAGUUGAAAGUGUUUAUUGUUGUUAUUUCAUAUAUAUACAUACCCUACUUCUUGUUCUUUUUCUUUUCUCACUUUUUCAUAAGUUGACUUUAAAGGAAUACCCAUAAAAAGUGAUUGAAAAAGAUAUUCCACGUAGACUAAACCAUCCACUCAGGAUGCACCACGUGUAAAAAUCAUGACCUUUUCUCCUGCUCGGCAUAAAAAUAUUUUAAAAAAAUAAAUAUUAAAAAAAUAAAAUAAUAGAUGUAUGUAUAUAUAUAUGUGUGUACACACGCACGCGCUAAAAUACCGGGAACGAGAAAACAGACUUCUACUUUCUUCUUUCAAUUUUCUAAGCUCACGCUAGCUUUCUCUCUCUAAAAGUAGGAACCGUAAAUUGAGUGAACGUGCGGAAUGACGGCAGCGACGCCGGCGACGGAGGCGGUGGAGGAGUUCUUGAGGAAAUGCGAGGCGUCGGUGACGAGGCGUACGGUGCGUUUCGGUCGGUGUUGGAGAAGCUGGAGGAUCCGAGUAGUCGGACUCAGGCUCGGGUCUUCCUUUCGGAUCUUCAGAAACGGGUAGAUGACUCGGACGAGUGUCUAAACAAGUACCAUUUCUGGAUCCAAGAUGUCGUCUUGGACCAAUACGAAGGUCCAUUACUCUUGUUCAUUUUUUCUUGUUUAAUUCGGUCGACUUUUUUUUUUUUUUUCUCUCUUUUGAGCUAGUGGUUUGACUUUCUUUGAAUUAGGGACUAAAAGUGAUUGUUUGUUUUUUAGUUUGGGGAGUGGUUUUGUGGAAGGUAGUUCGGAGGAAAAAGUGCUUUUGAAAUUAAGUGAUUUUUGGGAAAGUAGUCUAGUGCUUAUGUGACAUAAGAAGUGCAUUGUGGAGAAGCAAUUGUGCUUCUAAUAAAGCCUUUUUUACAAUGUGAUUUAUGCUUUUUUUUUUUAAAUUCAAGAAGUGCGUUUUAGGAAUUUUUCUGAAAGAAACCCCAAAAAAAAAAAAGAAUGCUCUUUUUUUUUUUUUUUUGGGGUAGUUGAGCUGGAAACUUGAAGAAUCUGCAGAACUUAUUUGGGUUUCUGGUUCUAAAUCAUCCUCAGUUGGUUGAUGCAUUUAGUAGCUUUCCGGGAUUAAGCAAGCCUCAUAGCACAGUCAGAUACGCUAUAAAGAAGUUGCUUGGUCUGAGAGAGCGAAAAGCAAGAGACUUGAUGAAUGCUGUUGCAGAACAUAUAAGAAACUUGGAAAGUAGAUCAAAGCGCUUGAAAGAGGUACUUCUAUCUGCCCUCUUACAAGAAAAUUUGAAUUAACCAAUUACAUGUAGUACAUAAUCUUUGAAUUAUAUUACUCAAUUCUAAAUAUACGCCCUACCAUUUUCUCCACGGUGAUCUUUCUGCAACAGGCACUUGAGAAUUGUGGGUGGGAAGUGGUUCAAUCCUGCAGUGGUGUUUCAAUGGUGGCGAAGCCUUCUGCUUAUCUCAACAAAACUGUAAAGAUCAGCCGGCAUUCAUCUGACGGUGGUGAGAAAACUGCUACAGAACAAAUCAAGCCUGAUGACUCAAAUAUCAGGGAAGCCAUAGUCAAGGCAACUGGUUUGUGCAUCAACAGUGGCUCGUGGACCGGAAUUCCUGGCUAUUGUCGCUUCACAAUUGCACUGGGAGAAAGCGAAUUUGAACGAGCUUUGGAUUGCAUAGCUAAAUUCAAAAGCAUCGUACACGUAGUUAACUAAAAAAUGGUAUUGUCAUUUGUCAUGAUUUAUUUCUAUUGCCUGAUGAUGACACCCAUCAGGACUUGGUUGUCGUGAAUAAAUCAAAAAUCAAAUUGCACUGGUUUUUACCGGUUAUCAACAAUUGUGAUGUUUUGAGAUUAUAACAUACUUGACAACGCUGACUAGCGUCUCUCCUAUGUGAAUUGGGACAAAAAUUAUUUUCCCAAUCACGCUUUCGUUUGAACAAUUCCACUUCAGAUAUAUAAAAUAAUGAUGAAAUUGUGUUUUAUAAUUAGUUACGAGUAAUUGGUUCAAUAUUAAUACAAAACUAUUUUAACUAACAUGUGACUAUUUUAAGUAACAUGUGGCAUAUUCUAAUUACAGCAAAGCUUCCAACUAAAAUUCCCAAAUCAAAAGAAUUUCAAUCUCCAGAACAUUUUGCAAAAUGUUUCUUUUAGUCUCUACCCUGUGCUAGAAUUUUCUCUAAGUUUCUUUCGCAAAGACUUCUAAAGAACUAUCCAGAUAUCGAGCUAUAAUCCAGUCUAAUUGUAUAUAUUUCUCUAAUUCACCUCCCUCUAUUUCAUCAGAAAAUCAACAAACACUUUCAAAAAGCUAGCUAGCUACCCAGAUGGCAAAAUCAAGAAUUCUUGCAAUGACAAUGUUGUUUCUUGUUGUGGCAGCAACAUUGAUGAACAUGGCAUUACAAGCAAACGCUCUGAUGCCGUACACAUGAUCACCUUUCUUUGACAUGAUGUUCCCAAUGGCGGAAGAGUCUUUCAGGGUUCUUGAACAAACCCCUUUAACGAUCGCAAAAGGAGCUGAUCAUCAUCAAACUCUAGCCCUGGCGAGAGCAGACUGGAUGGAGACACCAACAACACACGUGAUCACGCUCGACAUUCCAGUGAUGAAGAAAGAUAAUGCGAAGAUUGAAGUUGAAGAGAACCGAGUAUUGAGAGUGAGUGGGGAGAGGAAGAGUGAUGAUUAUUAUAAGGAGGGACUGGAAGGGGAGAAAUGGCACAGAGCUGAGAGAACAUUUGGCAAGUUUUGGAGGCAGUUUAGGAUGCCAAUGAGUGUUGACUUGGAACAUGUUAAGGCUCAUUUGGAAAAUGGUGUUCUAAGGAUCACAGUGCCAAAGUUUGCUGAAGAGAAGAAGAGGCAGCCUAAGGUUAUUAACAUUGAUGAAGAGUCUGGUAAUUCUUUCGAUGAAGAUAUUAAGGCCACCAAGGCUCAAAUGUAAUUGAUUAAAGAAAGAAAUAAUAGCUUUGCUUGAUGUGCUAUUUGUUUAUGAUCUUUUAUUGGUUUUGUUGUGAGAUGUUUCUCUUUGGAUUCUCUGUUUAAUGUAUUUUGAUGGGUUUUUGAGGAUGACUUGUAUGUAUUGACAACAAUAAAGUGCUUUUUAAGUUGUCCUACUCGUCAUUCAUCCUCUGCUGUGAUAUUAAUGUGUUAAUGCGAAGAUUCAUUAUAAUUACAACAAUUUUGACGAAUCCAAACGUUCAAUAACUAAUUCAGGAAGUUGCUUAAAGUGCAUUAAAUUAGAGAGUAUAAAUAAUUGUGUAAUACAGUCCAGUCUUCGUGUGUUUAAUUAGCAAUAAAAAACCACUUUGCAACACCAUUAAAAAAACAUUUUAACAUUAUUGCUGAGGGAAGAGGCAGCUUAAGCUUAUUAACUCGUCUUAUUAAUGCUGAUGACGCAGCUGGUAAUUCUUUUGGUGAAUAUAUUAAGGCAGCUGAAGCUUAAAAUUAAUUAAGCCCACUAAAGCUUAAAACUAAUUCUUCUAGUGACGAUGCUUUGCUUAGUUCGCUUUUUGUUUUUAAUUUUUUUGGGCUAAAGUUUUGCUUAUUUUGCUUUUAAAAUUCUAUUCGCGUUGCUGUGGAAUAUUGUUUAUCCUUCGAUUUUCUGUUUUUGUUGUUAUCGGAUUUGAUGAUGGUUUAUAUGUACGAAGAUUAUGUAAUAAAGUGCUAUAUAUUGUGUAAUAAAGUGCUUUUGUAACUAUAUAUAUAUAUAUAUAUAUAGAUAUUUCAACAGCUGAGAACGAUUAUGAAAAUUACACAUUUGCACUCAAUAAGAAAUCAAUUCAUUAAUAUAGCCAUUAUUAAUACGCCUGGUUUAUUGUUAAUGAAAAUUAAAAAAGAAAAAAAAAGUCUUUUUCUUUGGCCUUUAUUAUGCAUUUUAAGAGGAAAAAAAUUUAUCCCACUCCAAUUCAUGAAGAUAUUCUCAUUUCUGUCAUAUUGAUGUGUUAAUAUGAAGAUCCAUUGCAGUUGGUGAAUUCAAAUAUUCAGUAACUGAUGAAAUUGUAUUUAUAAAUUCAUACUAAUAGCAAUUGAAGAUUAUAAUUAAUUUUGUAAUAUGGUCAAGCCCUCGUGUGUUUAAUUAGCACUCAAAAACCACUUUACAAUAGGCAUUAAAAGAACAUUAUAACGUCAUUGCUGAUGAGUUCUGGUGAAGAUAUUAAGUUAAGGCCACAAAAAUCGAAAUGUACGAAGCUUCGUUUGUUUUUUGUUUUUGAUUUUUUUUGGGGGCAAAUGCUUGGCUUCGUUUGCUUUUUCGUUUUUGAUAUUUUAUUGGCUUUAUUGUGUGGCAUGUUCUUGUUUUCUUUUGAUUUUCUGUUUUUGUUUGUUAUGGGAUUUGAUGUACGAAGAUUAUGUAAUAAAAUGCUUUUGAGUUUUAUACAAACACAACAAAAGAAGAACACUAACGUACUAAUUAAUUACUAAUAAGAACAUUAGCAAUUUUUGCUGAAGUCGGAUGAAGAGAAAUAUUACACAUACGUAACGGUACCGCAGAAGGAAAAAAUAAAAGAAACUAAAGUUUAUUUCAACAGCUAAGAAUGAAAUAGGCAUAAGAAAUUAAUCCAUUAAUUAAUUAAUUAAUACAGUCCCCCGCUACUAAAUAAUGCGAGCCCCUUACUGUACUUAACAUUUUUCUUUUUAUUAAUUUAAAACAAUUUUCAAUUGAGAUUUGAAUUUUAAAACUACAUACACAAACACACCUGAUUUUAAAGAAAAAAAAUUCUAAUAAUAAAAUAUUUUACAUAUGUAACCAUACGGCGAAAAAACAAAUAUAAGAAACUGAAGUUUCAACAGCUGAGAAUGAGAUAGGCAUUAGAAAUUAAUUAAUUAAUUAAUUAAUAGAGUCCUCCUUUGCUAAAUAAUGCGAGCCCAUUGUUCUUUUUAUUUCGAAAACCCAUUAAUCACCAACACAUAAUACACGCCCAAUUUAAAAAAAAAAAAACUACUAAUAAAAUAUUUCAGUCGUCCUCUGUUGAGUCGUCCUCUGUUGGGUCGUCAUAAAAAACCCAUUUACCAGCUAUGACAGCAAGAGGUAUAUGGGUUAACAAGUCCCAAUAUUGUCCUCCAUCCUUUCUGCACUUCUUUUCUAUCAACGGACAAUCCACGAUUUUUAAAUGCAAAAGUGAGGAAGGCAGGCCCUUCUCCGGAAAGUAUUUGAGCUUGGGACAAUGAUAGAGACCCAAUUCAGUGAGGUUUUGAAGAUCAACAAUUGAAGAAGAUAGGCGUUCCAGAUUUGGAAAAUUAUAAAUCCACAGAGAUGUUAGAGAGGCAGGAAGAGGAAGCGCGGUCCCUAAUCUUUUGUCCUCUAGUGGAAAUGACACCAUGUCGUCAUCGCAUCCACUGAUUGUAAGAUGUCGCAGAGAGGAGAAUCUGUGAAAUCCCCGUCCCCGCUCAAUCAUUGACUUCCAAAUCUCCAUAUUACCCCAAAUAUGAAGUGACUGAAGGUUGGUGGGAAGGCCAUCUUCUUCAAGGCUUGGAAGCUCACCUCCUAUUCUUAAUUGUUGAAGAGAGGUCAGAUUGUGCAAUCCCUUGGGUAAGGCCUCGAGAAAGGACACCAGAUUUCCACACCUCUCAAUACUAAUCCCUCGAAGCUGUCGGAGAUUAUGUAAACCACUCGGUAAAAUUUUCAGAUUUUCACAAUUAGAAAUCUCGAUUUCUUCAAGAGAUGUGUUGUUGUCCAACCUUUCUGCUAUUGACUCCAGCUUUGAACAACUCCGAACAUUAAGUAUCUUAAGAGACGGAGGUAGAUUGCCAACUUCAAAGGACUCAAGCGUGGCAGGUAACUCUUUUUUUGAAAAUAUACAUGUCAGAGAUGGACAAUCGAGAAUAUCUAAAUGCUCGAGAAGAUAUGAGGUGUACCUUCUGCUGCUGCUACUGCUCUGGAUGCCCUCUUCCACUGUCAAAGUCCUUAUAUUAUUGCACAUCUUGAUGUCCAACCUCUUAAGGCUCAGUGGUAGUUGGACUCCAGCAAUAUAUGUCAACGAAUGGCAAUGCCAAAUAGUCAACAUCUCGAGAGAUGAAUUGGUGCCGCACAUCCAUGCCUCUGGUAACGAUUUCAGUGCAUCACAUUUUUUAAUCUCAAUUUUCUUCAACUUGGAAGGCAGAGCAACCUCAGGAAAGGAAACAAGGGAACUGCAGUUGUAGAUUUCUAUAUCUCUCAAGGAACUGAGGCUGAACGAUGAUUGUGGCAACUUCACAAGGCCUUCGCAUCCGCUCAAUGCUAGAUAUUCAAGUCUGGAUGACAACUCGCAGAGCUGCUGUUGUUGGUCUUUCUCUUCCUCCGCCACCAAGGAUUGAAGUUUGGGACACCCUCUUAUCGUCAGUCUUCUGAGAGAGCAAAUGUCUUGCAGUAAUUCGUUAUGACUCUUCCAUAUAAAUGAUUGCUCUUUCAUAUCAUUUAUCUUCAAUUCUUCCAAUUUUGGCAGUCGCGGCUUUAAUGGCCCUGCGAGAAACACUUGAUUUGAUCUAUCUCUACAAACCACUGAAUUCUGUGAACCGAGAUGAUCAGUUGCACUUCUCCACACAACCUUUUUACAUCCACCAAUCUUUAAUUUGCAAAGAGCUGGAAGACUCGAAACUGAAACUGACAAUUCUUCACAUCCUUUAAUAACAAGCUUCUCCAAUGCAGGAAGGUGCUCUGGAAAUGUUCCUUGCAGCUUAGAACAUCUUAAAAUGUGAAGCUUUCUCAAUUUAGGAAACCGUUCAACUCCCUGACUGGAUCCAUGAGGAAUCCAGUCUUCCCAUCCUUGCAUGUCUUCAAAAUGAAGAGUCUCCAAGCAUGGAAAAGGAAUUGGAGUAUCAUUCCCAUAGAACUCUGAACCCAACCUCUUUACACUAGUCAUUCCACAUACUGCAAGAUGCUUUAGAGAGGGUAGUUGCCCGACUGACGGCAGGGUAGGACACAUGCCACAAUAUUCAAAUUUUAAGGUCACCAACUUUGAGAAUGAGGAAUCUCCGAACCAAGUUGGAAAUUUUGCACCUCUAUAGCCGCUGAUACAAAAUUGUUCCAAAAUUUUAUUGGGUUCUAGCAUGUCAAGCACGUCCUUUUCAGUUUCCGCCUCCCUUGAAGACGAGCCAUCAGUACUGAGUGUCCAUCGAAGCAAUAAUUCUCUAAGAUUCUUCUUUCCAUCCAAUUGAGCCUCCUUUGCAUCACCAACGUCUUUUACAUUCUCCAAUUUUGAAAUGUUAAGUGUCCCAUGAAGGUGCGUCAACAACUUUAGCUCUCGUAAACCGGAACCACUGCCUUUUCCCACAACAAAAUUACACAACGUCUGAAGACUAGUCAACCUACCAAUUCCUACUGGCAUUUCCUCCAACGACUUCGUAUUUGAAUUCUUAAGAUGAUGCAAUUUGGCGAGGUUUCCCAUGUCUGCACACAACUUCUUCAGCCGAUCACAAUCUUCCAACAAAAGACUAUGCAAAUUGUAAAGCUUGUUGACUGAUUCAGGCAGAGUUCUAAUCUCAGUUCUAGACAGGUUAAGGUACCUUAAAUACCUCAAAUCACCAAUUGAAUCCGGCAGCUCAGGGAUGCGGUAUCCACGCAAAGAGAAGACCCUCAAGCGUCGGAGUUUGAGCAACUUAGGAAGAAUGCUAGGAGCCAAGAAGCCAGGCGAACUUUUUGUCAACAUUACUGGUAAAAAAGUUCUCAAAUGCUGGAUAUCAUACAAGUCCCCAAACCUUUUACCGCCAUCAAAAUAUUCAGGAAUGUAUGAUAGAUGACGAAGAUUUUCGGAAAAACCUUGCUGCUUGUAAAUUUCUGAGGUAUACUCCAUUGUGAAGUAUAUCUCCCCCGCAGCCCAACGGGCAAGGUCAUUGAUAAGAUCGUGCAUCACAAAUCGUGAUGUAUUGUUGCUUAAUUGCUGGAAAAAAGAUCUUGAACGUAGCUCUUGAAAGAACUUUCGACCUAGAACUUCGUUAGGAUUCCCACUCUCUUUAUGAACCAAGAAACCCGAAGCACUCCAUAAUAAAAUUAUCUCCUCCUCUUCAAAUUCAUAAUCCUUCGGAAACAACGAGCAGUAUGCAAAGCAUUGUUUCAAAAUUGGAGGAAGAUAAUAAUAGCUCACUGCAAGAGCUGGUAUAAUGGGACAUCUAUCUUCUGGUAAUUCCCAUAUCUUGCUACUGAGCACAUCUUCCCACACACCUCUGUCAUGUUCUCCACAUAAAAGUCCUCCCAGUGUUUUUGCUGCCAAGGGCAAGCCAUUGCAUUUGAUCACUAUCUUCUUGCCAAUGUCCUCCAAUGACUUGUGUGAACUGAAAUCUCUUGUCCCCAAAGAGUGCUGAGCAAACACGGACAGACAAUCCUCAGUUGACAAGUUUGUCAAUUCAUAAGCUUGAUCCGGCCUCAUGAUUUUUGCAACCUGUUGAUUGCGAGUAGUGACAACAAUCUUACUUCCCUGCGCGCCAGCUUCAAACGGACGGCUCAUGUCAACCCAGUCAUUGUAAUUCUCAUUCCAAACGUCGUCUAAAACGAGCAAAAAUUUCUUUUGAGAUAACUUCUUCUUCAGCUUCUCUUGAAGCAAAUUUAAAUCACUGUCAUCAAUAGUCUGCUUGGUAACGGAUCUUAGAAUUGUUUUUGUUAGCCCCUUAACGUCGAAAUCCUCAGAGACACAAGUCCAUGCCUUGAGAUCAAAAUGAUCCUGCACUCGCUUAUCAUUGUAGACAAGCUGAGCAAGAGUGGUUUUGCCCAGGCCGCCCAUACCUAUAAUAGGAAUAACAGAGAAUCCACCAUCGUUGCUUAAAUCAUCCCUCAACAGCAGUUCAACAACAUCCUUCUUUUCUGUUUCCCUGCCAUAUACUUUGGCUUCAGUCACUAAAGAGGUUGUCUCUAGCCUUUGACUGGCUUUUUUGGACCCUCCAGCUGAACUUUCUUUCAAAUCUAGCAAGUUUUUCUGUGUCACAAUUUCUUGAAAUCUGCUGUUGAUCUCUUUGAUUUUGGACAUCAAGCCAUAAUCGAACUGAAUCGAUUGUGGAGUAAAAGUGGUGCAGCAAGCAGGAAUGAGCUUCCGAAACUUACUUGUUCUGGCACGACUGCUACUGGGUUGAUCAUGAGCAGCAGCUGGUUCUCCAUUUCCAAGCAGCAACAUCCUCCGGAAAGCCUCAGUUUGAAACUCAUCCAACAAGUCUUCAACAUCAUAAGCCAAGUUCUGAAGCUUGCCAAGCCACUUCUUCACAGACCGAUUAGUUGUCUUCUUCUCCUCAGCAUCAUCAAGCACCGCCUUGAUCAUCUCCAACAUAUUCUCCCACUUCAUUAGAUAGUCUUGGAUCUUCUCUUGGCGUGCAAAAAACAGAAUCCCCUCUGAAGCUAACUUAUUGACCAGCAAAUCAACGGACGCCGUAAGGAUUGCCUCUCCGAUGAUCGACAUUUUUUUUCUUUUUUUUUGGGCAAAGGAAGAAAGGAGCAGAAUUAUGGGUUAUGGAAAGCAGAAUGAGAAUAUUGAACGGGUGAGAAAAUGGAUAAUUAAGCGGAAUGAGUUUGUGAUUGUGAAGGGUCUGGUCCAGCAAGCUUAGUAGAAAUCACGCGUUUGUACUUUAUUGACCAAUGACUAAUAAUUUGGCAAUGCACCCACCACCACCACUUGGUAAGCAAAAUGAAAAAGUUUAAUAAGUGCAGGGGUCCAGCAAAAUACGACGUAAAAUGUGGCAAGUCUCCCCACUUGUUGUUCCUUGCAGCUAAGAAAAGAAAAAACAGAGCCCACCACCCAUUAAUAAUUUAGCAAUUCACCAAUCACCACAAAAUUCCAUUAGAUAUUCGUCGAUCAAGUAGUUAAUCCAGUGUCUGCUACGUAGAGCCUUCACUUUACAAAUCUUCAACUCAUAAACCAAGUUAAAUCAAGACGUUUCUCUCUCUGUAUAUAUAUUUUUUAACUCCUAAAACGUUUCUUUUUAGAAAUAUUUUACUUUAUUCAUCUAAUAUGUUAUCUAACAAAUAGACACAGAUGAAAUCACUCUAAAGUGAAGAUGAAAGGGAAAAAAAAAACAUUCCAACCACCAAUAAUUUAGCAAGCUUCACUUUUAUUCCACCAAAGUGUAAAUAAAGCCAGCCCCCACCACCAUCAAUAAUUUAGCAAGCUUCACACGCUUGUUGUCUUCUCCUUGACGAACUGGACGGGGUGGACCAAGAAUCAAUGAAAGAAUUUUAAAAAUAAUAAUAAAAGAAAAACAUAAACAUUUUGGACUCAGAGUAGAACCGUAAUUAAUGCUAAAAUUUAUUCCGCUAACGUUUUCAAAAUAUUGUUCUUUAUAAUUGUACAGCAAAUAAGACUAAGUUUUGGACAUUUUCAUAUUCACUUACUUUCAAAAGCAGUAUUUCGAAACAUUUUACAGAAUCAAGUAACAGUUAUAUAACGAGAAAAGUGCAAAGUUGUGUAAUUCCAAUGUUUUUUUUAUCACUGACACUCAGAUCAUUUUUUAUUUGGGUCGCCAACUCGCCAAUGAACCCAUGAUUGAAUGAGUGUUUAGAAAGAAAAUCAAUAAAAAACAAUGGUUCUGUUUUUUUGUUAAUUAGGUUAGUAUUUAUGAUUGAGUGACUCAGAACUAUAUUUUAGAUUGAGAAUCAAUGGUUCUCCCACACUGAGAGGCUGUAAGUUUAAGAUUGUCGUUUGCUAUUUUAUCGACAAGAGAGCACUCGAUUUUAUUAAAAGGAGAAAGUCAUAAGAUUUCCUUUAUGAGAAAAUGUAUCUGAUCAUUCCUUUUUACUUGAAAAAUUAAUAUACAAAAACUUACUAAUAAAUGACAUAAUAUACAUAAAUUAUUAAUUCAUUUGAUAGUUGAUUAUCGAAUGACAUUUGACCCAUGGGAGCAUGCAGUCUAUAAAAUAAUUCUUCUUUUUUUUUUUAAACAAAAAAUCGGUGAUGUUGAAAAGCAUUUCUGUAUAUUAUUAUUACUCUAAUUGGAGUGAACAUUUCAUAAAAAUAAUGCCGUAUGAAACUAAAUUAUUAAUUCAUUUGAUAGUUGGUUAUCGAAUGACAUGUGACCCACAAUAAAUAGUUAAAUUUGGCGGCAACAAUAAUUACAAGACGAACUUAAAGCAGCGCAUAGGUUUUUCUUAAAAAUACAUAAACAAUUCGAUAUUUGAAAUUCUAAUAUCUCAAUAAUAUUGAUCAUGAUUCAGUUACCAAUUAGAUCCACUUACAAUUUCUUUUUUUCUUUUUCUGAUUUCCAAUCUUUACCAAAAGAAAAUAUUUAGUGAUCCCUUUUAUCAACUUGGUUUUAUUGACUUUCUUCCUAUCAUAGAAGUGAAAAGAGAAACAGAGGCCAGCACCAAUUAGUGUUACCAGAUUCUGUAAAGGCAAAAUCAGUGCCCAGCAAAAAGAAGCUAUGUUUUCGUUAUAUGCUGCUUCCUAUUUAGUACAUGCAUAUAAAGAUAUACACGUGCACAUGCAGCACAUCUAUCUAAAACUUAAAAAACCGAAUUAGAAAUACAGGAUUUAUGGUAGAAAUACAACAGGAAUAAGAGUGAAAUUCCAAUUUUAAAAAUUGGGAGAAAUGAAAUGCGAUAUUUUUUUAUUAAUAAAAUAAUUUAAUUUUUUUUAAUUCUACCAGCAAAAACCAUUAACUUAUCAAGUUAUUGGUUUCAUUCACAGUUUACAGUCGGUUUCUUAGUUUCAUUCCUUAAUUCUACAAGAAAAAAACAGAAUACUUGACAUUUUUUAUUUGACAGUUUUUAAGAAAUGUCAAACAUAUAUGACAUUUUGUGAAAAACUGAGUAAUUGUGAAAUAUAAAUGACAAUUUAUUUAAACGUCAAAUAAUUGUGACGUUUUAUCAAAUAAAUGAUAAAUAUAUUACAUAUUUAUUGAAUAAUUAUCAUUUACCUUUUCCUUUUAUUGACUUGAGAAAAAAAACAAAAACAUUGACUAUACUGCUUUUGUUUUCGUUCUUAGAACAGAUUUUAGUUUCUUUUGAGAAAAUUCAAACUAUUCCCAUUACUUUCUUUUCAAUAAUCACCUCUCAGUUUUUCAUCAAUCACUCAAUUCCGAAUUUCAUCUCCAUUCUCUUUCGAAGAAGAACGCACGAAGAAUUUUAGCUUGCUUUCGCUGCUUCUCGAAUAUUGGGUAUUGUUUCCUUUAAUUUAGAUAAUUUUUUUUAUAUCUCUCUUUCAAGUUUGAUAAUUUAGGGUUAUACUUGAAUUAAUUGUAUUUUUAAUCAACCAAGGUUGAUUUAAUUGAUUCCAAGUCUCAAUUUCCUGUUCAACAAACAGAGAACGCACAAAUAAUUUUCAUUUUCAUACUCAAUUUUGAAAGAAUCAAUUUAUUUUAUCUUUGGUUAGUACACUUCUGUUCAAUUUUUGUUUAUUUAACUUAAGAUAUCUUUUUCUUUCUUUUCUUCAAGCAGAUUAUAGAUUAUAUUGAGAACAGAGCUUUCUCCUUAAUUCCGCCAAGAGCAACAUUGAUUUCAGGUGAUAAUUGAAUGUGUAAUAUUUUCAAUUGAAAUUAAUUGAGUCUCGUAAUAAUAAUAGGGAUUUGAGAUUUACAUCCUGUUGAAAUGAUUUUAGAGUGUUCUGCUAUUUGAAUGCGCAUUAAUUGUUCCUCUGUUUCAAAUCCAAAUCCACUGGUCUACUAUUCAUUAUGACAAUGCAUAUGCCGAUAUUGUCUUCCAUCCUUUUUGUACCUUUCAAUUUAGUGAGGUUUAGACAGGGGUUCCAGAUUUGGUAAAUCAACAAUCACCAGAUAUGUAGAGCGGCCGGAAGAGGAAGCAUGGUUCCUAAUCCUAAUCUUGAUUUAGAGCAGAUUAGGUAACAUGUGGCAUUCUACAUUCUUGCAAUGCCAUUUCUUGUUAUGGCAGCAGCAUUCUUGGUCAUGGCAUCACAAGCAAAUGCUUUGAUUUGAAGACUUGCUUGGCUAUGAAAAAUAAGGAGAGCAAAGGUAAUUAAUCUUGGUGUGAUCAACAUUUUUAUGGGGUUACUAAGAAAAAUAAAGAUAAUAUAAAGAAUGUUGUUGAGGGGUAUUUUCAUAUUUACACAAGUGUUCAAAGUAAAAAUUGAUUUCUUAAAACCCAUUAGCUAGCGCACAUAAUAAUGGGGAGAAAAUUUUAGACUACGAAUGGUCCCACCCAUUUAAUAAUAUUCUUCAAUCAAUUAUGUUUACUUAAAAAAAACAAACCCAUCUCUUUAUUACUUUCUAACUAUUCAUAUUAAUGUGUUAAUAAUUAUGAAGAACCGGUGUAAUUUAUAUGAUGUAGGAAGCACUUUAGGCAAAAUCAUUUGAAUCUAAAAAUUUCAUGAUAUUGUGCCAAAUAUCCAAAACAGAGCUUCCUACAUUUCAUUGCGCUAGCUAAUUUCUUGUACCAAAAUUAGGAAUCACUAAAGAGUAGAGUUACGUGACUGAAUAGUAUCAUAUCACAGAAACUCAAAACUCAAAAGUGCAAUAACAUUGAACAUUCAGCUGGCUAGCUUAUAUUAAUUAAUUAAUACUACUACUAGUUCUUUAUGAUUAAUUAAAAGAUAAAAUAUUUUACAAUCACAAAACAUUAUUCCAUCACUCAAGAGUAGAGCUUCCUACAUUGUUACCCAAGCUCUUUUAUAUCUCCCAAACAUUAUUAGAGUCCCACGUUUGUGGCACAUCAUGAAGUAAAAUGUGCCAAUUAGUAAGAGCUUCUUUGUUUUGUUUUCUUGGAUGUGUUGCAAUUUUCAAGUAUCAUUCAAAAUUUUACGCCAUCAACACAGGAAAAUUAUAUAUAUUCUGUCAGCACUUGCAUAUGUUGCAAGUGCUGACAGAACUUUUCAUUUGAUUUGAUAAUUGGCUAAGGGUGAUUUCGAUAACGUUUCCAAAGAAGAUAUAGAACAUAGAUCAAAAAGAAAAAUAAGUAAUUUGAUCAGUCGAUGCAAAAAAUGAGCGAGCUUCGUAGUCUGACUAACAGGACAUGGCUUGGAGCAAGGAUCAAUGGACAAGUUUGAGGUUUAUGAAAUAUUGGGAAAAGAGACAAAUAAUAAAGCCACUACAAGUUAAGCAGAUCAAAUAAACAGAACAGAGGAAAUAAGUGAUCAAUUUAUUACUUUGUGCAAUGGCCACAGCAACAGCGAAAAUAUGUCUACAUGACUACAUUAUCCGACUGGCAUGGUACUAUCACCAUGCAGCAUUACACUAACAUUUCCUUAUCAAUCAAUUUUGAUGGUAUGAUAUUAAAAACAUCGACUUCAUAAUUUUAUGUAAUUCAAAGAAAAGAUAUAAUUGAUUUGAGUUAGUUUAAAAUAUAAGGAAAGAGUAAUGGGGGAUGAUGUCGAUGUGGAAUGUGAUGAGUAAAGAUAGACAACAAAUAUUGAUAAUGUAAUAAUGAAAUAUGUAUUUAUUGAAAAUAAAUUGACAGUUAAAAUUAAUAGAUAUAUAUCCAAUGCAUCGAGUUUAUUUUAUCACUUCGCUAACUAUUUUGUAACUACAUGUUAAUUAGAAGUUCAAUUAAUUUUGACCAAAGACUCUAGAGAAUGUCAAAAAGAGAUUUGAUUUUUGUCUUAAAAAAAUAAGAAAUGAAAUAAGUCAAAAUCAAUCACAAGAACAACAAUAAGAGCAUAUUUUUAUAAAACCACAAAUACAUAUAAAUUUAGUUUCGAAUUAGAUAAUUAUUAAUUUGUAUAGUACGAGAGCUUUAUAGAAAAAGAGGAAUUUUUUAAAAGGAGAUUUGCUUAAGGAACAACUUUAGUUUGGUUUAAUUUGUGAAGGCUCAAGUAAUUGAAAGCAACGCAAUGGAAGGAAAUACAAGCUUUUGAUUUUGACAAAGUAAUCACUAAAAUAUUUGACAAGUUUGAGAUGUUAAAAAAACUGGAAAAAUAGACAAAUAAUGAAGACCCGACAAGUUGGCAAAGCAAAUAAACAAAGGAAAACAGAGCAAAUAUUUACCGUUAUACAUAUAUUUUUUUAUUUUUUCCGAAAAAGAAUGUUGCGAUAUUUUUUCCCAAUAAGAAGCACGGUUUGAUAUUACUACCAUAGACCUUUAGCUACCAUAUAUAAGCACGUGUCUAAUUACCAAAUGAAUUCCGCUAUAACAAAGAAUAAAAGCUAAUUUCAUUGAUGGCAUAUGUUGUGCUUUCUUUUAGUUGCAUAUAAGUAGAGCACUAGAUCAACAAAUAAUUGAAGACUUGUUUGGCUAUUGAACCAUAGGAAGGCAAGUCGUGAACAGUCUUGAUAUAAAGUCGUGAACAGCCUUGAUUUAAAGCGAUCAUUGUGAAUAUCCCUGCCCAGUCUGAAGUGGGCUUUGAUACUUGUGACAAUACUCGAUCGAGGCUGUAAAGAAGCCGUGGGUGUACAUUUCUGGUCCAACAAUCAAUCUAACUGGCUUACUUUACAGCAACAAAGAGAUAGAGAAUAUAUUAACUGCUUGUGCAGAAUAUGGAGCAAGAGCUUAUUUAGUGUCGUGUCAAAAUAAAUAUAACAAAGUUUAAGCUGAAUAUAAAUUGUUAAUUACAGGCAGAGCAAGUUGAGUUUAAAAAAUGCGAAGCACCCAGUCCCAAAACAGAGAAGCUUGACGUUGGCCGGCAGGAUUAAUAUUAUUUUUUUUUUAACAACAAUCAAAGCCAGUUGGGAAUUUAUUAAGAGGUUAAUUAGUUGAAGUAUAAAAAAGGAAUUAGCAGGAUUCACGCCCGACCAAAUCCACAUGGCCAAAGCAAAGGAUUAAGUUUGAGAGAUUAUAAUGAAAUAUAAGUAAGCUUCGCACAUGCAUGCGUCUGACUGACAGAACAAAUGAAGGAAACAUAAACUUAUCAUUUUUAAGAUGUAAGCAUCAAAACAUUCGACAAGUUUGAGGUUCGUGAGAUAUUGGGAAAAUAUACAAAUAAUAAAGCCACUACAAGUUAAGCAGAGCAAAUAAACGGAGGAAAUAACUGAUCUAUUUUGUUCUUUGUGCAAUGGCCACAGCAACAGAGAAACUAUGCCUACACGACUACAUUAAUCCUACUGGCGUGGUACUAUCACCAUGCAAAUUAACAUUAACAUUUCAUGAUCAAUCAGUUCUGAUGACAUGAUAUCAAAAACAUUGAUUUCAUAACUUUAUGCAAUUUCAUAUAAAAGAUAUAUAUAGUUGAUUUGAGUUAGUUUAACAUAUGAAGAAAGAGUAAUGGGGAAUGAUAUCACUGUAGCGGGUGAUGAGUAAUGAUAGACACCAAAUAUGGAUCAUGUAAUAAUGAAAUAUGUAUUUACUGAACAAUAUUUGGCAAUAAAAUGAUGCUUUAAAAAUUUAAUAUUGUUUGCUAGAAAAUAAUUUGACAAUGAUGCUUUAAAAAUUUAAUAUUGUUUGCUUGAAAAUAAUUUGACAAUUAAAAGUAAAAGAUGUAUAUGCAAAACUUUGACCUUAUUUUAUCACUUCACUAACCAUUUUGUAAGUACAUCUUAAAUCGAAGUUCAAUUAAUGCUGACGAAAGACUCCAGAGAAUGUCGAGAAGAGAUUUGAUUUUUGUAUACCAAAAAAUUACAGAUGAGAAAAGUUAAAAUCAAAUUGCAAGAACAACAAAAAGAAUAUAUUUUAUAAAAGCCACAAAUACAUAUAAUAUAUAAUCAGUUUCGAAUUAAGUAAUUAUUAGCUUAUAUAGUGAGAGAGUGUUAUAGGAAAGUUGGAAUUUUUUAAAAGAGAUUUGCAAAGGAAAAAGUUUAGUUUAGUUUAGUUUGUGAAGGUUCAAGUAAUUCAAAGCAAUUAGCAAUGCAAUUGAAGGAAAUAUAAACUUCUAAUUUUUACAAAGUAAUCGCUAAAAUAUUUGACAAGUUUGAGAUUUUCAAAAAGCUGAAAAAAAUAGACAAAUAAUGGAGACCCUACAGAUUGGUAGCGCAAAUAAACGGAGGAAAAUAGGGCAAACAUUUAUUUUUUUCCAAAAAGAAUAAAAGCACGUGUCUAAUUACCAAAUAACUUCCACUUUAAAAAAGAAUAAAUGCUAUUAUCAUUGUUAGCACAUGUUGUGCAUUUUUCAUUUAUUUAUUUGCUUUUACUUAUUGAAGUUACUUUGCAAACUGCUCCAAGCAAACUACAAAAUUUCUUAUAACUCUAGGAUCUUUGCAAUGGUCCUGCAAUUUGCUUUCCUUUCUAUUAGGUUAGCUGUUUAUUCAAAAGAAAAAAAAAAUGGGGAAAUGGAAACGUCACCCUCUAAAUACAGAUUUUGAAUUUUAUUAUUAUUAUUCAAAAUUAGAUAACUAUGCAAAUAAUGGGCGGUUAUAACCAGUGAAACUGUGUCCAGCUACGAUGCAGGUUUAUUUUUCACUUGAUUAAAUAUAUACAAAACUAAAUCACCUGAGCCUCUGGUUUCACUAUUUUUCAACUUCAAAUUAAAACGCAAAAAUUGAUGGUAUUGGAGUUCGUUGUUUAGUUUUUCUGUAGGUCAUGGGGAAUCAAAUAGCCAUCCAUUUUUAUGUCUAUUUUAUGUACUAGUGGUCACUGAGUAUUGGGAUGUCAUAGGCCCGAAAAGAUACAGCUGAAAAUCAAUCCCCUAUCUAAAGUGGAAAACAGUAGCUAGAACAGAAUCGAUGGUUUGAUGUCUUAGUUUAUUGGCUUAAACAAUUAAUAGUACAGAAAAUGCAUGAUAGAACUCAUAUUUUAGCAAUAAUCCUCAGCUCACUGGCCGUUAGUUCAGAGUGACAAUUCUUAUUAGUCAAAGAAUCAAGAUGAUUUUUAGUUGUAUAUGAAUAGAGCACUAGAUCAACAAAUAAUUGAAGACUUGCUUGGCUGUUGAACCAUGCCGAUGGCUAUUCAAAGACUACAGCUUAGCUCUGCCAUUCAAAGUUAGCAACUCAGCUGCCAAAGACUGCCAAGCCAUCAAGAUAAUACCAAGAUACAACGUCAAGAAUUACAUACAGGCCGUCACAUAUUACGUUUCUCCUCUGUUUUAAGAGAGAUUUACGAGCCCAUGCAGUAGAAGUAAUUAAUUAAUUUAUACAGUUCAGUACUCAUUCCUCCUCUGUUUCAAAUCUAAAUCCACUGCUCUGCCAUUUAUUAUGACGCAGGGUAUAUGGGUUAGCAAGUGUCGAUAUUGUCCUUCAUCCUCUGUGUACCUUUCUUCUAACAAGGGACAACACGAGAUCUCUAACCGCAAAAGAAAGGCAGGCAGGCCCUUCUCUGGAAAGUACUUGAGCUUGGGACAAUUACAGAGUUUCAAUCAAAUGAGGUUUUGAUGAUCAACAAUUGAGGAAGACAGGCGUUCCAAAUUUGGUAAAUCAACGAUCACCAAAUAUGCUAGAGUGGCGGGAAGAGGAAGCGUGGCUCCUAAUCCUAAUCUUGAUUUAAAAUUGGCUAUGUAACAUGUGGCAUUCUACAUUCUUGCAAUGCCAUUUCUUGUUAAAGCAGCAGCGUUCUUUCAUCAUGGCAUCGCAAGCAAAUGUUUGAUUUGAAGACUUGCUUAGCUGAGAAAAUUAAGGAGAGCAAACGAAAUUAAUUUUGGUGUGAUGAAUAUUUUUAUGGGUGUACUAAGAAAAGUAAAGAUAAUAGAAGUAAUGUUAUCGAGGAGUAUUUUGAUAUUUACAAAAGUGUUCAAAGAAAAAAGUGAUUUUUUGAAAUCUAUUUGCUGGUGAACAUAAUAAAACGGCAUUCUGACUUCUGAGUAAAUUUAAAACUACAAAUAGUCUUACUCUUUUAAUAAUAUUCUUCAAUUAAUUCUGUUUCUUUCACAAUAUAAAAUCCAUCUCUUUAGUACUUUCUAACUAGUCAUACUAAUGUGUUAAGGCUAAACCUAUGUUACGUGCAACGUAACAUACAUUCAACAUGUAAAAUAUCAGCUAGUACCCAAAAAUUUUAUGGAAACUACAUUAAGAGAAUUAAAAGAAAUACUUUUAAGUCUUCAAGAAGAAAUAUAAGAGAUAAAACAAGAAAUAGGAAAAAUAAAAAUUGAAAUGUCUGUAAUACAAAAAAGCCAAAAGAAAAAUAAAAAGGUAGAAAGACUCGAUAUAAUAAAAACAGGAAUAAUUGGAGCAAGCUUUAAAAAACCCACUCAAAAACCCCAGAAAGGUAGUUAUGAUUAUUGGUUUAUGGAAACACAAUAUCCGAAAAUAUUGCGAGAAUCUGAAGAACUAAAAGCAGAAAUAAAAAAGAAAGAUAAGGGAAAAGAAAAACUAGAAAUAAAAGAACAAACUCCAUCUGAGUCAAACUCUGAGUAAUGGACGAUACACUAGAAAGUUUAACUGAAAAAUUCAGUGACAUAAACCUUAGUGAUUUAGAAGAUUUUGAAAAAGAAUACCAAAUAAAAAUGAAUGUAGCAGGAGGACCAGAAAUGAAACCUAAUAUAACAGAACCAAGUCAUAGAUAUAUGACGAAGAAAAAAAAUAAUAAACCUUUUUAUGAAUAUAUCCCUACAGUUAAAAAUACACCUUGGAAAAAAGAGUUUGCACCCAAUCAGGAUACAUUAAAUCCUAUAAGCAAUACAGGAACAUUUUUAAACUUAGACUGUAAAAUAGAUCCUCGUAAAACAUUAGCAGAAUGGGGAAUACAAAUGAAACUGUUCUUUACAUACAAUGGGGCUAAUGAUGAUUGGAAUGUAACUACAAAUGAAGAAAAAAUAGAUAUAUUUGUAGAUAUCAUAUUAACCAGUUUUACAGGAAAUAUAUUUAAUUGGUGGAGAGGAUUAAGUGAUGACACUCAAAUGCUCAUAAAAGAUUCAACCAAAAUAGCUUUUAGAAGAAGUAAUGCUUUAGGGAUUGAAAGAAUAAUUGAAUAUAUUGCAAGUGAAUUUUUAGGAGAAGAUUGGCUAGAAAAUUCAGAAAGAGAAGAUAAUACUGAAAAACAAAGAGCAAGGUUAAAAUUAAUGAAUUUAACAAUUUGCAAUAUGUGUUUUAUUAAAGAAUAUACUUGUGAAUUUACCAAAUACUACUAUGAGCAAUAUCUAAGUUUAGAGGACCAAGAAGUUUAUAAAAAUCUCUAUUACUCUAAAUUACCGUACCCUUGGAAUAGUUAUUUUAUUAAUGAAUAUGAAAAAGAUAGUACUUCAACUAGACUCCCAGAUACUCUAGGAGCUAGAAUAAGAUUUCUAAAUACAAGAUUUAGUGAUAUAUGUAUCCAAAGAAAUCUAAUAAAAAAGAGUAAAAAUAUAACAACAAUAUGUUGUGAGAAAACAGAGAUGCCAACCCAAUGGGGUUGCUCUAUGCCGUAUAAAAGAAAAAGGAAGUUAUAUAUGAAAGAGAAAAGAUAUAAAAAGUAUACUAACUUCAAAAGGAAAUAUAGAAAACCUGGACGAAAAUAUUAUAAGAGAAAGUAUAAAAGUCAAAAGAAACAAUUAGAUAAAACGAAAUGUAAAUGUUGGAAUUGUGGAGAAAUAGGACAUAUUAGCACAGAUUGUAAGAAGAAGAAAGUUAGAAUUUUACAAAAGGACUUUAAUACAAUACAAGAAGAAUUAGAAGAAAUAAGCAAUAUAUCAGAUUAUGAAGGAGAGGAAAUAUAUAUAGUAAAAGAUUCUGAAAAUGAAUCAGAAUAAAAAGGAUAUAAUUGAAACGGAAGAAAUCGAAGAUAUUGAAGAAAUAGAAAGAGAAGAAAAUAAAAGCGGAUAUAGUCUUGUAGCAACUUUUAAUAAAGAAAAAUAUAACAAACUUUUGAAAUUGAAUGUAGAAAAACCAGAAUAUGGAAUAUUACAAAAAUUGAGAGAUCUGUUCAAAAGAAAAAGAAUAGUAUUACAUGAAUAUUAUGAACAAGAAAAAGCUGUAACCAUUACACAAGCUGAAGGAAAUAUUAGGUUCAGCUUAAUAAAUAAAAGAACCAUAGAUUUAGCACUAAGAAAGGUAAAAAAUGAAUCAACAAGAGAAAAAAUACAAUAAGUGUAUCUCGCUGAAAUUCAAAUAUUAAUAAAAUCACUCUUUAAAGAAGGAGUAGAUAGUCCCAUAGUGUUGUCAAUACAUGACCAACGAUUCCAUGAUCCUAGUAUAGGACAUUUAGGAACAGUAGAAGGAAAUUUAUGCUAUACUAAAUUAUUAUUUACAUGCCAUCCUAGAUACUAUGUGCAUAUAAAAUAUAGGAAUAUAGAUGAAACACUUAGCCUACAUUUUAAAUUACUUAAAAAGAAUCUGAUGAAAGAAGGAAAUAGAUUAAUGACCAUAAAUUAUUCAGCCCUAUACAGUUUUUGUAAUUCAAAUUAUGGAGAAGUUUAUGGAAAUAAACCAUAUAUAGAAAUAAACAAGGAAUGUGAAGAUAUAGCAACUCUUAUAGAACCCAUUAUGCAAGAUUAUAAAAUCCCGAUAACUUAUGAAUUAAACAUAGAUGAUAAGAAACAAUUUUUAAACGAUAGUAAUGAAAAUUCUAUAAUAAGCUUUGCUGGAAGAACCCUUUUAAGAGGGAGUUCAUCUAGAAGAUUAAGCACUGAUAAACAGAUAGCUAAUAACCUAACAUUAGCCAGACCCAUAAUAAGUAGUAAUGUAGUAAGAAUAUUUGGACAAUAUUUCAAUGGAAUAGAAUAUACCAUACCAUUACCUAUUUUAAUAGAUACUGGAACAAGCCAUAAUUAUAUGAAUCACACAAAAAAUAAAGGACUGUUAAUUAAAGAAAAGGAAAUUCCAAAUGAAUAUACUGAUUUCAAUGGAAAUAAACAUAUAUGUAAACAAGAAGUAAAAGUUCCUUUAAUCAUUGAAGGAAUUAGAAUAAUUGUAUCUUGUUACAUAGAUUCUUUUAUGACUACAGACCCUGAAAAACAUAUAGUAUUAGGAAAUAGUUUCUUAAACAGUUUAGAAUAUUAUAAGAUUGAGAAACACCAAAUCACCUUACAAAUAGAAGGUCAAAAGAUAGUAUGUGAAACAUGUUAAAUCAAGCUUAUAUCAAAUAUCCUAUGUCCGUAUAUAUACAAAUCAAUAUAGUCGAAAAAGACCUAGAUACGUGUGCCUUAAUAGAUACAGGUAGCGAAAUAACAAUUAUGAAAACUUUCUUAUCUAACCAAUGGCAAGUCAAUGGAAAAAUAAAACUUAUUAGUAUAACAGGAGAUAAACAACAUAUUAAUCAAAGUUUAUUGAACUGCGAAAUACUCUUAGGAAGUAAAAUUGUCCGUAUAAACCAGGUAUUUCAAUAUAACCAAAUGGAUUGUGAUAUCCUUUUAGGUAAUGAUUUCAUACAACAAUUUCAGUAUUACCAGCAAACUCCUUACAUGAUUACCCUUAAAACACCCUGUAAUCAUAUCCUUCGUAUCCCUCGAGAGUUUAAACCUUACAGAGUUCAGCCAGCCCAGCGUGGUGAUAAGGUUAUUUAUGAAAAACAUUAUUUAAUUUCUAAAGGACAGAGUUAUAAUAUACAACUUGAAACAAUAAAAUCACAGCUUGAAAAAGUGUAUAAAGAAAAUCCAUUAGCAUUAUGGAAAGCAGAUCAUCCUAGAGCAAAGAUAGAAUUAAUAGAAAAUAGGAUUAUAAGACUUAAACCUAUGAUGUAUACAGAGGAAGACAGAGAAGAAUUCAAAAUCCAGAUAAAAGAAUUAUUAAAUCUAAACUUAAUUAGAAACAGUAAUAGUCCACACAACAGCCCAGCGUUUAUGGUUAGAAAACGAUCAGAACAAGUUAGAGGAAAAGCUAGAAUGGUAAUAAAUUAUAAGGAAUUAAAUAAAUACACGAAGUUUGAUGGAUAUUUUUUACCAAAUAAAGAAGUGCUGAUAAAUCUAGUGAAAAAUAAAACUUAUUACUCAAAAUUCGAUUGUAAAUCAGGAUUUUGGCAAAUAAAAAUGGAAGAAGAUAGUAUCCCUUAUACAACAUUUAGUACCCCACAAGGUCAUUAUGAAUGGUUAGUAAUGCCUUUUGGAUUAAAAAAUGCCCCUCAGAUAUUUCAAAAUAGAAUGGAUAAAGUCUUUAAGGACUAUAGAUAUAUAAUUGUAUAUGUAGAUGAUAUAUUAAUAGCAUCAGAAACAUUAGAAGACCAUAGAAGACAUUUAAAAGAGUUUGUAAAUAUCUGUAUUAAAGAAGGUAUAGUACUGUCAGAAAGAAAAGCAGUAAUAGAACAUAAGAAAAUAGAAUUUUUGGGAAUGAUUCUUGACAAACAGGGAAUCAGACUUCAGAGCCACAUAGGCAAAAAGAUUAGUGAAUUCCCUGAUAAAUUAGAAAAUAAACAACAAAUCCAAAAAUUCUUAGGUUGUUUAAAUUAUGCUGAAGGUUUUAUAAAAGACUUAGCAAAAAAGAGGAAUACACUCCAAAAAUUACUUAGAAAAAAUAAUACUAGAGGAUGGAAUAUGGAACAUACAGAAACCGUAAAAACUUUAAAAGAGGAAUGUAAGGAUCUCCCUUCACUCAGAUUACCAGAGGAAACUGAUAAACUAGUAAUACAAACUGAUGCAUCUGAUUUGCAUUGGGGAGCUAUACUCAAAACUGAUAUAAAUGAAAUUUGUAGAUACACCAGUGGUACAUUUAACCAAGCACAGGUUAAUUAUCCAGUACAUGAAAAAGAACUCCUUGCAAUAUAUAAAGGAAUUAAAAAAUUUUCCUUAUUUUUGUUACAAAAACCAUUUAUUGUAGAAACAGAUAACUCUCAGGUAAGCUCAUUAAUUAACAGAAUUUUACCAAACGAACCACAAUAUAGAAGGUUACAUAGAUGGCAUGCAUAUUUGUCAUAUUAUAAUUUCAAGAUUAUACACAUCAAAGGUACUAAUAAUUUUCUUGCAGAUUUCUUAAGCAGGAACAUAGAAUUUGGAAAUGGAUCCUGAAAUAGAUAAGAUCCUAUCUGGAAUAGACGCUGAACUGCAUAGACUGGCAACAGAAGCAUCAGAUAUAAUCGAUGCAAUAAAUUACAUAAAAGAGGCUUAAGAGGCCCAUGAAAAAGGAGUACAUUUGUUAGUGUCACAAAUAAACGACCUGACAAAAGCACUCUUAAUAAACAAAGGCCCAACAGACAUCGCGCCAAUAAACACCAGCCCGAAAGGUGAAGGAAGCAGUAGUGGACCCAUCAGAGAAAAUAAACCUAUCUCUGACCCGGUGAUAAACCCAUCAAAUAUAAUAUCCAUAGAGGUUGAACCGCUAAAAUCAAGUCCUUCAAAAAAGUUCAUCCAAAUAAACAAUCUCCAGAUAGAAGAGGAGAAGGAACCCUUAAAUCCAAAAGAAGAAGAGUAUAAACAGUUCUCUACUUAGAUUUACUCUACCUGUUCCCAUAACAAUAAUAUCCACAAAGCACCUAGAAAAAAUAUGUACCCUAGGAUGAUAGCUACUAAAGGAGCAGAUCCACUCCUUGUAGGAAAAAUAGCCCGUUAUGGUUAUUUAGACUUGGUAUAUUCAGACAUAGACCUUCGAGAAAUAGCCAGUUUGGACGAGUUACUAGUUAAAGAAAUAUCCAAGUUUGCCCAAAAAAGACCUAUAUACCUCAAAUUCUACACCAUAAGUCCAGAAUACCAUCAAAAUGUAGAAUACCAGGCAUUUUACAUGAUCUCAGUAGGGCAUAUAACAAAAAAUUUCCAAUUAGAAGUAGGAACCGAAUAUACUAAUGUUCCUCAUAUUACAAAAAGCUGGAUCCAAACCAGAAGAGCUCGAGGUAUAAAAGCAAUAUGGAGCAUAGCAAAAGAUUUGUAUAAGAGAAAUUUCAGAACCAUCAUUAGAUUUCAAAAUUGCAUCCUUGUUACAGCAGAAGACAGUCAUACACAGUCAAACAUCCUACUGGAGCUAAUCAAUGAGAUAAGCACGAUGCGAUUUCCCAGUAGCAAUAAAACUAUGCAGCAGGCUUAUCAGCUUAUGGAAGCAAGCAAUCAGCCAAGAUAAAGAAGUGGCAGACAGAAUAAAAAGAGAUGGCCGACAAGAUAAAAGAUAAAGCAGAGAUGGCCGACAAGAUAAAAGCAGAAGCUAAAAUUGUCAAAGAUGUCCGACAUAAAGAAGACACGUGUUUGUCAGAAAUAAGGAAGAAAACGUUGUAAUAAUGUAGAAACGUAAGCAAUGAUGUAAAAGCCCAAUAAUUAAAGGGCAGUAAGGUAACUUUGUAAAGAAAAAAGUUUUGAUAUAAAAGAAAGAAAAGGAAGAGAAAGCUCUCAGAGCUUAUCAUUCAGCAAGAAUUUAAUCAUCUUGAAGAGUUUUUUUCCAAAAAUGGAUAGCUAAACCUUUUCUUGCUCUAAAUCCUAAAUCGAGACAUCACUAAUCAAACACCAGAGAAAGGAAAGAGAAACCUAAACUCAUUCAAGAUUUCUAAGCUUAACGAUCGGAUUCCAUACAGUAAGGCCGCUCGAGUCCGCUGAUCCCGUUGAGGCAAGGAGGCCGUUGAGGGAAUAAGGACAACCAGGCUGCAGGUCACUGGAAAAGGAUUGAAAAGCAGAGAAAUAAGGAUAAUUUAGGUAAUAAUUCUCAACCCUUAUCUGUUGGUGGAAGUUUGUUGCUGAUUAAUGAUGUGGAGAUUUAUGGAGGAAGAGCUAAUCUCCAGAAGUGAUAAGAAAUCUUUUAGCAUUCAAUGAACAACAAUAUCUUGUUAGGAAAUUCUAAAGAAUAUAUAAUAAACUCAACAACCAAGAUAACAUACAAUGAUUAUAUGAUGAUAAUAGAUUUUAAUCUAGGAUCAUUUAAGCAAAGUUCUUAUCUUUUGAGUAAAGAAGAGCUUGUUAGAACAGAAGAUCUACAAGCAGUAUGCACGCUUGACUUACCAAAAGAAAUAAAAAGAAAAAUUAUAAACCAUAUUGAAAUGGAUAAUUUAAAGCAUAAUAUAAUUAUGUUAACAAUAGAACAAGGAAUUGACGUAGCCUUGGCAUAUAUAGAACAUGAAAGUCGAGAAAUUGGACCAUCAUACAUAAACUACAUAGAAAAUUCAGAUAAUGAAGAACUUGAACUGUAAAAAAUAAUAUAGAGAAGCAACCUAUAAUAUAAAUCGGAUAUCUUUUAGGCGUUAUUUUAUAACAACCCACGUAACUAUAACCAGAACAAUUUAUAAACAUAAAAUGGAAACUGGAUUUUAUAUUAGUAUUCUAAAUAAUAUUUAUAUUUUAGUAAAAAUAGAGAUAUUCUAUUAUUCAGAAAAUACUACACAUAAUCCAGAAAUUUCAAAUUUAAAUAAUCCUACUUAUAUUUUAGAAACUAAUAACAAUUAUUACGAUUUUAUUUCCCUACUCCUCCUAAUAUUAUACCUAGGAUACUUGAAGGAGAACAGGUUAUAGCCUUAUAUUUAAGGAAUAAUAGUAGCACAGGAUACGAUAGAUAUACCCUAUAAUAUAAUAAUAAAACAUUCAUUAGAAUUAAAACCAACUAUUUACUCUUAUAUUUUGUUUUCUAUAAUUAUUUUAUUGUCAUCCAAUUUAACUUUGUUUUUUUUUUUUUGCUUAGUUUAUAAAUUUUAGUUUAUUUAGUUUUAUUCAGUUUACAUAUUUUAUUCAGUUUAUAUUUAGUUUAUUCAGUUUACAUUUAGGACACAAACCAAAUGGUAUCAGAGCCAUACAAUCAAAAAGGUUUAAUAAGAUUCAGUAACACUGUACCUAAUUCUAUAAUAUAAUAUCUUGCAUCUAUACAAAUAUGAAUCCAGUAGAAAGUAUAGUUAAUAGUUUAUAUACACUAAAGGUCUUUGAAAAAGAAGAGAUAAAAAAUUUAAUAAUAUCUCUUAAGACAGAAAAGAACAACAUAAGGAAUAUAGAAAUCGAACUAAUACAAGAUUUAUUGGAAAGAUCAAUAGAUACAUUAGGGGGUGAAAUUAUAAUAGAAAAGAAGAUGAAAUUCAUAAAAUUUUUAGUAUGUUGGUAUAAAAAAGAAGCAUUACCAUGAAUCAACAAGCUUUUAACACAAUACAUCAAAUGACAGAAGCUCUAGACCAAAUGAAUUUAGGAUGGGAAAAUGUGAUAACAAUUUAUAUAAAUCUAAUAACCCAAAAAAUAGAAUUAUUAGAACAAGAAAGAAUAGGAAUAAUACAUUUAGGACCAAAGAUUUAUUCUGAAUUUAUAGAUUUAUAUGAAUUUGAUAACCAUGUGUUAUUAUAUAGAGAAAUAAAAAGAACACUAGAAAGAAUAAAAAAUAGGUGUAUAAGUGAUCAAAGGAGACAAAUACACCCGUAAAAUGAAAAAACAUAAAGAACAAGGACUAAAAUGAUAUUUGCCAGAAAGGAAAAGACAAAGAACGUACGUUACACUUAACGUAACUUAGAGAAACCCAUGUGUUAAUAAUGAAGAACCAGCAUAAUUUAUACGAUAUAAGAAGCCCUUUAGCACAUUAACCCGAAUUUAGCUAAUGCAUGUGCCUAAUAUAGCGAAAUCAACAUUCAGCUCAUUAGAAUGCCAUUAUACAAAAAAACUGAAUAUUAAUAGACACUGGAUCAUGUUGGAUUGUUAGUUGUUAAUUAUGAUGGGAAUACAAUUUUCAUAACUAAUGCAUGUGCACUUUCAUUUGUGUCUAAAUAUACAAAAACUUGUAUCCGAUGGUUUACAUUUGUUUAAUCUAACGGCUAUAACAUGUAUACAGACAAACGCUACCGCUGCCAUCUUUCUUUGUCCUCGUUGUAUCCUUGAUCUUAUAUUAUCCUGGUGAUUCUUGAAAGAUCUUCCCAUUCUCACAUGCUGAGUCGCUUGCUGGGAUGAUUAAUACUCGAAGGUCCUUCAUUGGGACAUUUCAGCAAACACCUGAUUCAUUCUAUCAAACAUCUGCAUCACUAAUCGCUAAAUGAUAUAAAAUAGUUCUUUUUUGAAAAAUUGAUAUAAAUCAGUCACCUUAGAUUUUCUUAGUCUCAGAGCACAACGGGUGAUGAUUCCAUGAGAAAUAUUAAUAUGCAUGCAUCCGCUGCAUUAGUUAGAGCUGCUUGUCAUUUUCUUCGUUCUUUUGGAUACUAUUUUAAAUUUUUAAUCAGUCUAAUUCAGCUGCAUGUUUGCUUUCAGUCCAAAUCGAAAUCAGAUAUUAAGUACUUCUACUGGUAUGGACGCACCCAAAAAUCUAUGGGAUCCGUAGUUCUUGCAGAAGCGGCAGAAUGCUGCCAGCAAUUCAGGCAGAUAGAAGCUUGGUUGAGUGGUUGUUCUUCAAUGUGAAAUUCUACAUAAUGGCGAUCCUUUUAAUGGGGUUUAAAUUCUUUUUUUUUUUUUGAGUUGUUGAUUUAGAGCAGAUUAAGUAACAUGUGGCAUUCUAUAUUAAUUCUUGCAAUGCCAUUUCAUGUUAUGGCAUCAACAUUCUUGACCAUGGUUUUAUUUGCUUAAUUUUGCUUUCUGUUUUUGAUAUUUUCUUCGCAUUGUUGUUGUGGGAUUUGUUAUUUGUAGAUAGUGUAUAUGUAUGAAGAUAACGUAAUAAAGUGCUUUUGAUAAAUUCCCCUGGUCUGUUUACUUCACUAAUUCAUUAAUGAGCAAGUCCUCUAUAGAGCUGUGUUGUGCGUUCAAGUUUUGCUACAUGAAAUCGUUAGGUGAGGAGAAUUUUUAAAAGCAUACAUCGAAGUAAUGAUUAAAGGGACAAAAUCAACAUAAAUAUUGAUUAUCUUGAGUUAGAUUAUACAAAGAUCAAAUAAUGAUAAUCUAGUAAAUUUAUCAUAAUACACUACUAAAAAAUGCAUUUUAAUGACACAAAUUUUAUGACAUACAUCUUUAUGUCAUGAAAAUAUUAUGAAAAUACUUGCAUGAUGUAUAAUGCUUCUGUGAUUAUUUGAUGAUAAAUUCAUAAUUGAUGCUGAUAUGAAAUGAAGUGAUGAUAGGUAAAUAUCAUGCGAUUUUUUUUAUGGGUAAGAAUAUUUGAACCCACCAAAUUACUCUUUAAACUUACUUUUUUAUUGAUAAUUUUAUUACAAAAUUACCGAUAAUUUGAAUUACUAUUACAGAAAAACAAUAAUUAUAUAAAAUUAUUUUACUUUUACUCAUUGUUUAAACCUACCGCAAAACUCAAUCAAAGUAUGCUUAUUUUCUUCUUCUGCACAAGUGUAGUAAAGUUUUUAAUAAGUUCCUCCUUCAUCCACAGUUGAGAACUUUCUAACUUUUGUUUCUUGUUCUAGUAAUUUGGAUAUGCUGUGUUAGAUACUGAAUUUAUUAAAUUUCUUCUUCUCUUUUGAAUAAAAUCUCUUUAAAAUUCAAUUCAUAAAAAAAUAAAAAAUUAAUCUCCUUAUAAUUUAAUAUGUUUCAGCUGUCUUAGUGGACUGAUGCAAUUUGUUUCAAUCAAAGUUUUGAAGCAUCCUAAAUUAUUAUUAUUUUUGUUUAAUUUGUUUAGAGUUCAAUUGUUUAGGUCUUGGCUAAUUUUUAAUGAUAAUAUUUAUGAUUAAAUUAUAUGAGUAUGGUUAAUUUUUUUUUCCUUCAAAUUUAUUUUCUGAUGUUGCAUUUGGUUAGCAAAAAGAUAAAAAUAGUAGAAAAUGUCAGAAUUAUUGUAAUGAAAAUGUUGUUUUAGUCUGAUAUUGGGAAAAUAUCCUUAUACAUAUUGGCAUGAUAUUCAUGGGAGACCAAAUUGAGAAUGAUGGCAGACUAUGCAGUACUCACAAUUAAUUUAAAACUCACUAUUUCUAUUGUUUGUGUUUUAGUAACUUUGGGGGAAUUCCAACUAUAGUUACUAAGCUAUAAACUUGUUUAGGAUUACUAAUCAACUUGCUAGAAAGAGUUGCAAACUAAUUAGCUUUCUCUUAUAACUUUUACAGAUCAUCUGUGGAGGAGAACUGCAAGGAGUUGAAGACUCUAGACCCUAAACUUCAUAUCUUGAUUUAUAAGUGUAAUGGGCAUAAGUCCGAAUUAUGGGCUGGAGAUGGUAUAUGUAAUCAUUCUGCUCUUGGUGUUUUUUUUUUCCUCUAGUUAUUUUUGUUCUCUACUCCAUUGUAUAUUUGCAUUCAAAAGUAUUUUUUCUUUGUUUUAAGCUUUUAAAUUUAUGGAGAUGAUCUUAUUAGGCGUUAAAAAAAUAGUUGUAGAGCUUUACUAAAACUAUGUAAACUCUUAUUGAGAUUUGGGUUUGAUUUUGUAAGAUUGCUAAAAAUUUCAUAUUUUAUACUUGUUUUAUACUUUUCUAGUCGAAUUUCUUGCUUGUGGAAGAUAAAAUAAAAGUCCAAUUCAUGUUGUAAAAUUUUUUUCCUCCCUUUUUUCUUCCCUUAUAAUCAGGCUCUGGCUUUGGUGCUAUGCUUGGUGCAGUUUAUGGUUUCAAUGCAGGGAACCAAUUUCAUCAGAAUCAUCUUAAAGGAUCAAAGUGGCUUCCUUUUGUAACUGGGUAAGUCAAUGCUACUUCCUGAAUUCGAUUUGGAGUUCUUUCGGAAUAGAUUUCCUUCCCUUACAUCACUUGGCUUCUAGUUGCAUCUUCUUGGCUUUCUCCAGCGGACUUUUUUAUUGGCAAAUUCCUUUGUUUCUAUUGUUAUCAAGUGCUAGUGCUGGAUUUGGAGGUAUGAAUGGUGCCUUCAUUUUUAUUUUUUUAAUUUUAUUUUGGGUGUAUAGUAUUGUAAUAUACUUCUUUGUAUAUGUUAGAGUGCAAUUUAAGCACUAGUUUUGCAUUGUUUACUUCCCUUAAUAUCGAUGUUUUGCACUUAAUAAUAGUGAUUUACUUUUGUAGGUGCAAUUCUAUUGAUUGGUAAUAAAAUUAAGCUACAAGAUGAUAUUUAAUGAUGAUUGUUCUCUUGGAGAAAUUAUGAGCGUCAGAAGAACUUUGUUGAUAAGGCGUGGGCGCGUGCUGUCAACUACGGACCUGCAGUUUUUAGUUUAAACGUGUUUUGUAUUUUUGGUUAUUUUUGUAAUUACGAAUUUAAUAUUUCAGAUAUUAGCAUUUUAUUUUAAAUAGAAUUCUAGAGGAGAAGAGAGGGAGAGUAUUUAAGGGAGGAAUCUAUUGUGAAAGAGGGUAGAUUGGAGAAAAGAAAGAAACCCUAGAUCUAAAUUUUUCUCUUCUCACUAUGAAGAACUAAACCUAUUAUUCUGGUUGAAGGUUAAUGAAGCUUUGAUUCAUCACUACUGUGAGAUCUUUCUUAUGCUUUAAUUGUUUUAUUGCUUUUUGGGUAUUUGUUUAAUCUCUGAAUUAUUUUCAUGAUUAUGUUUGUUAAUUAGAUAACUGGCCACUAUUUAAUUAUCAACUUAAUCUAUUGUCGAUUAAAGGAUUCAUCGUAUGAAGAUUUUAAUGUUUGUGACAAAUAACAUAGUAGAGAGUUGUGUUGUGAGAAUAAACAAUCUAAUUUAAAUGAACCAUCGUAUGCGUUUGUUGAUUAGGAUUUGGGUCUCUCUGGUUUUUCAAGCUGCCAAUUGAUUAAAUCCUAUGAUCGUAUCUAGGGUUGUCUAUUGAUUAGGGAAAUAACCAACGGUCGUACCUUGGUUAUCGACUAGUUAAGGAAAGAUUGGCUAUUAGAGGGUCUCAGUAGCUAUAACCAGUCUAUUCAUAAGUAGUAAUAAUUUAUAUUUGAAUCAAUGAUCAGUAGUCGAAUCAAGCUGAGUUAAUUCCUUUAACCAGAGCUUUCUCCAAUUUGAAUUACAACUUUAAUUUGCAUUUUUGUUAUUUUAAUUUGAUUUUUAUUAUUGUCAACAAAACCCCCAUUUUAUGUUUUCCGUUUUAAAAGGAUUUAAAUAAUUACCGAUCUCUGUGGACACGACCCUGCUCAAUCACUAUACACAAUUUAUUUAGAGUAGAUAUUUAUUUUUGUUGGCUUCGACAACCAUCAGUAUAGCUAGUACAAAAUAGUUCUUCAACUUCUUACUUUUGGCUUUAAUGGGUUCGACAUAUGAUAGCGGAGCUCUAUCACCAUUUGAUGUCGGACAACAAAUAGGGGACAUAUGGGAUUAGAAAAAUAAGAAACAUGACCAAAAUAAAAAUCUAAUCUACUCAUAUAAGCAACUCAUCAAAUAAGUGUAUCACAUACUUAAGUGAAUAAGAUUCCGUGAUUUCUAGGAAUCCAAGUAAAAUUAUAACAUUCUUUAAAUAAGACUCACAAGCUUAUUAGGUGUUAUAUUGAAUCAUCUAAGUUGAAUAAUCUUUUGGGUUGAAUAUGUUAAUUUCUUAUUCCAUAUGUUUCAGCCUCUCAGUAGUUGAAUUAGCAAUGGAAAUUUGAAAAUGGAAAAACUCAAUGCAAUUAUUUUAGGUGCUUAUCAUAGAUAAGAAUUUCACUUUUUACACUUCAGUGUCUGUUGUCAAAUUUAUUAAGUAUGAACCUGGAUUAGGUUUGUGCUCUCGAGGAUUUAUAAAUAAGUGCUACUUGACUUAGAUGUAAGAAAAUUGAAAAGCAGAGUUGCUUGAUUGAAUAGCUUCAUAUUUUACAUCACAGAAACUCAAUUUUCAUUGCCAUAUGUAGCUCAAAAGAGCAUGGACAUUGAACAUUCAGCUAAUUUAUACUAACUAAUUAACAUGACUAUCAGUUCUUACUUCUUGGUACCCGACAACAUCCAUCCAUAAGAGUGAAACCCCCAUUGAUUUCAUAUAUACAAAAUAAAUAACUUACAAAGACAAUAUUUUGUAUCAAAUAGUUGAUUUCUUCAUGUGAAAUUCUACCUAAUGGCUAUCCUUUUAUCUGGUUUAAAUUCUUCUUUUUUCUUUGAAUUGUUGAUUUCUAAUGUUCUUGUCAUUUGCACAUGUGGCGUUCUGCACUCUUGCAAUGCCAUUUCUUGUUAUGGCAGCAGCAUUCUUGGUCAUGGCAUCACAAGCAAAUGCUUUUGAAUUGCUUUGUUUGUUUUUUGUUUCUGAUAUUUUUUUUUUUUGGCAUUGUGGGAUACUGUUUCUCUUUUGAUUUUCUGUCUUUGUUGUUAUGGGAUUCUGGUAUAGUAUGCAUCAGUACACGUAUGAAGAUGAUGUGAUAAAGUGCUUUUGAUAAAUUGCCCCAGUCAGUUUACUUCACAAACCAACCAUUAAUGAGCAAAUCCUUCUAAUGACCCUUGUACACAUUAGAAUGAAUGCAAUUAUAUAUAUACACAAAAAUAAAUAAUUCUCAAGUAUAUUAUUUGAUAAUCGCAAAAGCAACAAGUCACUCCAAUAAAUCUCAUAACACACUUGUGGUCUAUAUUGCAAGUCUUUGUAGAGAAAAUAUGAAGGACACACAAUUGAAUUUUUUCUAUGAUAAAGAACUCUAAACAAAUUCAUAUACAUAUCGCAGUACCGCUUACAAAUUCAUUUGUUUCUUCUUUUCCUUUGAUCAAGUGCUAAUUACAGCCUUGAUAUUUCAUUUGGUUUUAGUUAAUUUUCUAUAGGGUUGUGUUGUAUGAAAUUAAUUACAAAACAAUCUUUAACGAAGUCUUAUGAAAAUACCAUAUUAUAACUACAAAGUUAGGCUUCCUAAUCAAGCUACUGUUCAUCAGAUUGUGUAUUGUGUUACUGGUGAGCUCUUAUGUCAAUUAUGACCAGACGGCGCCUUGGCUAACUGUGAGUUAUGUGCGAACAUAAGAGCUGCAAAUGAGUUAUGUACUAUUUUUAUGUGACAAGGUAUGUGCUCUGUUUUUAUGGUCUUUCUCUCUGUAGUUCCCUCUGUAGUUUUUUUUUUGGGAUACAUUGAUAAUAAAAUUAGAAGUCUACUAAUAUGUACAAUCAGAAACCUAUUGGGGACUUUUUGUCUUUUGAUGCAGUUGUAGGGCACAGCUCAAAUAUUCUUUCCUCAUUUAAUAUUGGAGAAAUCCGACUCCCAAGCGAUUCUGUUUGCGGUUGUUGGACAAACUGUAAUGUGAAUUUAUAUCUAAUGGGUGUGAUAAUCCUUGUAGUCAGUUUGGGAUUGUUGAUAUAGAUAUGAUGUUUAGUCUCCAAAAUUCAGAUGAUGAUAAUCUUGUGAGAACUUUUUGUCAUAUUUUCUUUUGUGUUGGUGUUGGGAUCUUAAUUUUGUAACCAAUGUUACGGACAAUAUGAACCCAUUUUAAGUGAUAUGAUGCAAGUUCAUGUUCAAGAAUCCCUUUAAUGAAACAUUCCAGUGUUUAAUAAUGAUGAGUAAUUGAUUUAAAUUAAUACCAAAUAUUUUAAAUAACAUGUGGCGUAUUCUAGUGGGAUCCUCCAACUCAGAUUUCUAACUCAAAUGGAAACGUUUCGAAUUUCUUCAUAACAUUCUGUAGAACGGUUCUUCUCGUCUUUACACUUCCUUUUGUGAAUUUCUCCCAGUUUCUUUUGUGAGGACUUCUGAAUAAGCUUCCAGGUAUUGAGAUACAAUCCAAUCUAAGCCCAUAAGUAUAUCCGCCUCACAUUUGUCCAUUUCCCCAGAAAAUCAAAAAGCACUUUGCUUCGAAACAAUCACUCUCAAAAAAACCAUCUAGCUACCCAGAUGGCGAAAUCAAGAAUCUUGCAAUGGCAAUGCCAUUUCUUGUCAUGGCAGCAGCAUUGAUGAUCAUGGCAUCACAAGCAAAUGCUCUGAAGCUGUACGUACGAUCACCUUUCUUUGACAUGAUGUUCCCAAUGACAGAAGAUCCUUUCAGGGUUCUUGAACAAGCCCCUCUAACAAUCCCAAAAGGUGCUGAUCAUCAUCAAACUCUAACCCAGGCGAGAGCAGACUGUAUGGAGACACCAACAGCACACGUGAUCACGCUCGACAUUCCAGGGAUGAAGAAAGAUAAUGUGAAUAUUGAAGUUGAAGAGAACAGGGUCCUGAGAGUGAGUGGGGAGAGGAAGAGUGACGAUCACUAGAAGGAGGGAGUUGAAGGAGAGAAAUAGCACAGAGCUGAGAGAACAUUUGGCAAGUUUUGGAGGCAGUUCAUGAUGCCCAUGAGUGCUGCCUUGGAUCAUGUUAAGGCUCAUUUGGAAAAUGGUGUUCUGAGGAUCACAGUGCCAAAGCUUAGUGAGGAGAAGAAGAGGCAGCCCAAGGUUAUUAACAUUGAUGAAGAGCCUGGUAAUUCUUCCGGUGAAGAUAUUAAGACCGCCAAGGCUCAAAUGUGAUUUGAUUAAAGAAAGAAGUGCUUGAUGUGCUAUUUGUUUUGUGAUCUUUUCUUGGUUUUGUUGUGGGAUGUUUUUCUUUGGAUGUUCUGUUUAUUGUAUUUUGAUGGAUUUUUAAAGAUGGCUUGUAUGUAUUAACAACAAUAAAGUGUUUUCUAUAAAUCCGGGUCCUAAAUUUGUAAAAGAAAUUAAUAAAACGCUUGGUUUAUUGUUAAUAAAAAUAAAAAAGAAGUCUCUUUUUCUUUAGCAUAUAUUAUGCAUUUUAAGGAAAAAAAAAUUAUCACAUUCUAAUUCAUAAAGAUAUUCCUCUUCUGUCAUAUUAAUGUGUUAAUACGACGGUCUAUUGGAGUUAUAAUAGUUUAGAUGAAUCCAAAAUAUUCAACAAUUGAUAAAUAGUAUAUAUAAAUAUUAAUAGCAAUGGCACAUAAUCAAGUAAUUCAAGAACUUGCCCAUAGUGCAUUAAGUUAAAAGAGUAAAAAUAACAUUACAAAACAUGCCAGACCUUACGUGUUAAAUUAGCAAUUGAAAACUACUUUACCGUACAACACCAUUAAGAGAUAUUUAUAACACUGUUGCUGAUGAGGCAGCUGUUAAUUCUUUUGGUGAAGAUGUUAAGGCCACUAAAGCUGGAACGUAAUCAGGGAAAUAUAAUGUAUUCACUUAGUUUGCUAUUUGUGUUUUUAUAUUUGUUUGGCUAAUUCUUUGAUCAGAUUGCUUUUUGUUUUUGAGAUUUUAUUGGCUUAGUCGUGGGAUAUUAUUUAAUCUUUUAAUUUUGUGUUUUUAUUGUUAUGGGAUUUGAUGAUGGCAUACAUAUAGGAAAAUUAUGUAAGAAAGCGCUUUUAAUAAAUUAUGGCCGGUUUACUAUUAAUUAACUAAAUUUAAUUUACUCAAAUUACUCCUAUACACGAUCAAAAUAAUUUCAAUUCCAUGAUAUAAAUACGCGCGUGCGGACACACAAAAUGUAAAUAACUUUCAAAUACAAAAUAUUUAAAAUAAUCAUCAUACUAACAAUUCACAAGUUAGAUUAUAAUAAGGCCCCCAAGGCUUAAAUGUAAUUGAUUAAAGAAAGAAGUGCUUGCUUUCCUUGAUGUGCCAUUUGUCUAUGAUGUUUUCUUGGUUUUGUUGUGUGAUGCUUCUCUUUAGAUGUGCUGUUUAUUGUAUUUUGAUGGGUUUUUGAGGAUGGUUGUAUGUAUUAGCAACAACAAGGUGCUUUUUAUAAAUCCGGGUUCUAAUUUUGUAAAAGAAAUUAAUACUCUUGGUUUAUUGUUAAUAAAAAAGAAAAAAGAAAAAACCUUUUUUCUGUGGCAUAUAUUUUGCAUUUUAAGAAAAAAAAAAUCACAUUCCAAUUCAUGAAAGACAUUCCUUCUGUCAUAUUGAUGUGUUAAUAGAAAGAUUUAUGUGAAUUAUAACAAUUUUGAUGAAUCUAAAUAUUUAAUAACUGAUAAAUUGUAUUUAUAAAUAUUAAUGCCGGUGGCACAUAAGCACUUAAUUCAAGAACUCCCCUAUGGUGCAUUAAUUUAAAGAGUAGAAAUAUUUAAUAAAUCAUGCUCGGUUUACUAUUAAUUAAUCAAAUUUAAUUUACUCAAAUUACUCCUCUACAUGAUCAAAGUAAUUUCAAAUAUACAACACACAAAAUGUAAAUGACUUUGAAAUAUAAAAUAUUUAAAAUAAUCACCCCACUAACAAUUCACCAGCAAGAUUGUAAAUAGUCGAAAUAAUGAUAAUCUAGGGGGUCCAGUCAUAAUAAUUUGAUUUUUAUUUAUAUUAAUUAUAUCAGAAAGAGUACGCGAGAUUAUAUAUAUAUAUAUAUCCAACAGCUAAAAUUUCAAAACAAUAUUUGCCCAAGUCUGAUGAAGAGAAUACAUAUAUAUAACAUGCACUCGCACACAUUCUAUUGUUUAAUUAAAAAAUUCGAAAGCCCAUUAUAUACAUGAUAAAGACUCACCGACACCGAACCAUAUUCAUUUAAAGGAAUUGUUUUCAACUGAGAUUUGAAAUUAUAUACACAAACACACCCGAUUUUUUUUUUUUAAAAAAAUUACUAAUAAUAAAAUAUUUAAGACGUCCUCUGUUCAAUAAUCAAAAACCCAUUUAAAAUCUAUUUCAACUUUAGGUAUAUGGGUUAACAAGUCCCAAUAUUGUCCUCCAUCCUUUCUGCACUUCUCUUCCAUCAACGGACAUGCCGAGAUCCAUAAUUGCAAAAGUGAGGAAGGCAGGCCCUUCUCCGGAAAGUAUUUGAGCUUGGGACAAUAGAAGAGUUGCAAUUCAGUGAGGUUUUGAAGAUCAACAAUUGAAGAAGAUAGGCGUUCCAGAUUUGGAAAAUUAUCAAUCCAAAGAGAUGUUAGAGAGGCAGGAAGAGGAAGCGUGGUCCCCAAUCUUAUGUCCUCCGAUGGGAAUGACACCAUGUCGUCAUCACAUCCUCUGAUUGUGAGUUCACGCAGAGAGGAGAAUCUGUGAAAUCCCCGGCCCCGCUCAAUCAUUGACUUCCAAAUCUUCAUAUUAUUAUCAAUCAUAAGAGAAUGAAGGUUGGGGGGAAGGCCAUCAUCUUCAAGGCUUGGAAGCUCACCUCCUAUUCCUAUUGUUAAUUCUUGAAGAGAGUUCAGAUUGUGCAAUCCCUUGGGUAUGGCCUCUAGUCUGUUACAACCAGAUAUCUCCAGCCUCGUGAGUUUCGCACAAGGCAAUCCCCCUUCGGGAAAGGACUCCAGAUUUCCACAAUUUAAUAUCUUAAUCUCUUGAAGCUGGCGGAGAUUAUGUAAACCACUCGAUAAAUUUUUCAGACUUUCACACCCAAAAAUACUGAUUGUUUCAAGAGAUGUGUUGUUGUCCAACCUUUCUGCUAUUGACUCCAGCUUUGAACAUCCCCAAACAAAAAGGGACUUAAGAGACGGAGGUAGAUUGCCAACUUCAAGGGACUCAAGCGUGGCAGGUAACUCAUUUUUUGAAAAUAUACAUGUCAGAGAUGGACACCUGUCAAUUAAUAAGUGCUCAAGAAGAUAUGAGGUGUACCUUCUGCUGCUGCUGCUGCUCUGGAUGCCCUCUUCCACUGUCAAAGUCCUUAUGUUACUGCAACUCCGGAUCUCCAACCUCUUAAGGCUCAGUGGUAGCUGGACUCCAGCAAUAUAUGUCAACGAAUGGCACCACAAAAUCUCCAAGAUCUCGAGAGAUGAAUUGGUGUCGCACAUCCAUGCCUCUGGUAACGAUUUCAGUGCAUCACAAAUCGAAAUGGAUAUUCUCCUCAACUUGGAAGACAGAGCAACCUCAGGAAAGGAAACAAGGGACCUGCAGCCGUAGAUUUCUAUCUCUCUCAAGGAGCUAAGGCUGAGCCAUGAUUGUGGCAACUUCACAAGGUCUUGGCAAUCUCUCAAUUCUAUAUAUUCGAGUCCGCACGACAAAUCGCAGAGCUGCUGUUGUUGGUCUUUCUCUUCCUCCGCCACCAAGGAUUGAAGUUUGGGACAGCUUCUUAUCUCCAGACAUUUGAGAGAGCAAAUGUCUUGUUGUAAUCCGUCAUGACUCUUCCAUAUAUAUGUUUGCUCUCUUGUCGACAAAAUUAAUACUUCCAAUUUCGGUAGUCGUGGCUUUAAUGGCCCUGCGAGAAACACUUGAUUUGAUGUAUCUCUACAAACCACUGAAUUCUGUGAGCCGAGAUGAUCAGUUACACUUCUCCACAACCUUUUUACAUCCACCAAUUUCCAAUUUGCAAAGAGCUGGAAGACUCGAAACUGAAACUGACAAUUCUUCACAUCCUUUAAUAACAAGCUUCUCCAAUGCAGGAAGGUGCUCUGGAAAUGUUCCUUGCAGCUUAGAACAUCUUAAAAUGUGAAGCUCUCUCAAUUUAGGAAACCGUUCAACUCCUUGACUGGAUCCAUGAGGAAUCCAGUCUUCCCAUCCUUGCAUGUCUUCAAAAUGAAGAGUCUCCAAGCAUGGAAAAGGAAUUGGAGUAUCAUUCCCAUAGAACUCUGAACCCAACCUCUUUACACUAGUCAUUCCACAUACUGCAAGAUGCUUUAGAGAGGGUAGUUGGCCGACUGACGGCAGGGUAGGACACAUGCCACAAUAUUCAAAUUUUAAGGUCACCAAAUUUGAGAAUGAGGAAUCUCCGAACCAAGUUGGAAAUUUUGCACCUCUAUAGCCGCUGAUACAAAAUUGUUCCAAAUUUUUAUGGGGUUCUAGCAUGUCAAGCACGUCCUUUUCAAUUUCCGCCUCCCUUGAAGACGAGCCAUCGGUACUGAGUGUCCAUCGAAGCAAUAAUUCUCUAAGAUUCUUCUUUCCAUCCAAUUGAGCCUCCUUUGCAUCACCAAUGUCUUUUACAUUCUCCAAUUUUGAAAUGUUAAGUGUCCCAUGAAGGUGCGUCAACAACUUUAGCUCUCGUAACCCCGAACCACUACCUUUUCCCACAACAAAAUUACACAACGUCUGAAGACUAGUCAACCUACCAAUUCCUACUGGCAUUUCCUCCAACGACUUCGUAUUUGAAUUCUUAAGAUGAUGCAAUUUGGCGAGGUUUCCCAUGUGUGCACACAACUUCUUCAGCCGAUCACAAUCUUCCAACAAAAGACAAUGCAAAUUGUAAAGCUUGUUGACUGAUUCAGGCAAAGUUCUAAUCUCAGUUCCAGACAGGUUAAGGUACCUUAAAUACCUCAAAUCACCAAUUGAAUUCGGCAGCUCAGGGAUGCGGUAUCCACGCAAAGAGAAUCAAAAUGAUUUUUAGUUGUUCAUAAGCAGAUCACUAGAUCAACAAAUAAUUGAAGACUGGCUUGGCUAUUGAACCAUACGCGGAAAUUCGAAGACUGAAACUUAACUCUGCCGUUCGAAGUAAGCAACUAAGGUGCCCAAAGCCUGUCAAGCCAUCAAGACAAUAUGAAGAUACAACAUCAAUAAUAAUAACAUCAAAAAAUACAUAGAGGCCAUUACAUAUUACACCUACCCCAAUUAGAAAUUAGUUAAUACAGUCCUAGCUCCUCUGUUUUAAAAGAAAUUCACAAACCCAUGCAGUAGGAAUAAUUAAUUAAUUUAUACAGUUCGGUACUCAUUCCUCUUCUGUUUCAAAUCCAUAUCCACUGCUCUGCCAUUUAUUACUACGCAAGGUAUAUGGGUUAGCAAGUGCCGACAUUGUCCUCCAUCCUUUGUGUACCUUUCUUCUAUCAAGGGACAACCCAAGAUCUCUAAUCGCAAGAAAAAUAUUUCAAAGUAAAAAAUGAUUUCUUAAAAUCUAUUAGCUAGUGCACAUAAUAAAAGGGCAUUCGUGGUAAAUUUUAGAUUACAAGUAGUCCCACCUUUUUAAUAAUAUUCUACAAUCAAUUCCGUUUGUUUUAAAAUAAAAGGAAUCUAUCUCUUUAUUACUUUCUAAUUAGUCAUAUUAAUGUGUUAAUAAUGAUGAAGAACCAGCGUAAUUUAUAUGAUGUAGGAAACCCUUUAGGCAAAAUAACCUGAAUUUUUUAGAGUAGCGGCUAGACAUAUUGGGCAUAACCUCAGUUUCUGUUACUUCUUUGACCCUGCCUAAGCUCUUUUAAGGGCUAAUAUCAAAAUUUCGUGAUAUUGUGCCUAAAGAGCUUCCAAUUCAAGGAGCUCCCCUGUUUUUGACUGAAACAUAUGUAAUCCGAAAAAUUUAUAAUUAGAUAAAUCAUUCAAAAUCUCCCUGAAUCUAACCCACAUUUCUAUGGUUUAAUAACAUAUCACAAAGGUGCCUAAUAUAAUGAAAUUAGCAUUAGUUCACGAGAUUGCCAUUAUAUAUAUUGAAAAAGAAAUUAAUACAAGAAACUGAAAAUUAAUUGACACUGGAUCACGUCGUGUUAUUAGUUUGAUUAUGAUGGGAAUAUAAUCUUGGUCUUUUAAUUAUCAUCUGUUAGGAAAUUGGUGGGUGAAGCAGACACGCAACUAAAGUAAAAUUGUAAGAAAAUAAAGAACAAGCACAAAAAUGGACACUAGAAUUUACGUGGUUCGGCUUUUAACCUACAUCCACGGGCGAAAACAGAAGGAAAUAUUUUACUAGUGAAAAGGAGUUACAAGUAUUGUAGUAUUUUAGCUCACUUCCCAAAACCCCAAUACACCCAAACUCUCAUAACACUAAUCACUCAAGAGUUUAUUAAACUCUUAAUACUCUCAACUCUUAAGGAAGGAAAUGCUUCUCUCUCAAAAUGAAAUAAAUUUGCUCAUUCUCUUCGUUUCUAUUUAUAGAGAAAGCUUUGGCACUAUUCAUCAAUUAUAUAUUUUUUUUUUCUUCUUUCUUUUGUCAAAGCCGUGUGCCUCUUAUUUCUUCUUCAAACAUUUACAGCUUCUAGAUUGCGGCUUCUCAUUCUCCAUUCUUCUUUUGUUUUCUUUUCCAACGAAAGAUGGUGUUGACCAUCUAGAUAGCCAUUUUUUUUUGACAUUUCUCCCACUUGGAGAUUAGAUUGAGGACCAAUCAAUCUCCACAUCAUCUAGCUACCGCAUGUGCACUAGUUUCAUUUGUGUCUAUCAUUGAAGAGUAGAGUUGCUUGAUUUGAAUAGUAUCAUAUCAUAGAAACUCAAAACUCAAUUUCGUUGCCCGAGCAUACCAUGCCAUAUGUAGCUCAAAAGUGCAAUAACAUUGAACAGUCAGCUAGCUAGCUUUUACUAAUUAAUUAAUACGACUAUCAGUUAUUUUUGAUUAAUUAAAAGAGAAAAUAUUUGACAAUCAUGAAAACAACAACAAUUCACUCCAAUAAACAACAUAAUAAAUACAUGAUAUUUAUUAAAAGUCUUUUUAUGAUGUAGAUUAGAAGGGAAAAUACGAAGGACAUAUUAUAUAUUAUAUAUGAUUGAAUUUAAUCCAUGAUAAUUAGACAAAAUAACACUAAUCUAGCUAACUAAUCCAACCAUCAUAAUAAUUUGAUUUUCAUUAUUUUAUUGUGUCCAAUCAUGCUAAUUUAAUAAGAAAAACACAGAACACUUGAGGAUUUAGAUAUUCAACAACUUUGGCCAAGUUUGAAAAAGAUUAGGGCUUCCUUCAUGCUUUGUGUUCUUAUGUUACACAUGAUCAUAUUAUGUGACAUUUGACAGAAAACUGAAAAUUAUUCAAAAAAAAAAUCUUAGUUAGCACAUGAUCAAAAUGAGAGAAUAAUGCACACACAUCACAACAAUGUUUCAUUCAUUUUGAAUCUAUAUUUACAAAACUUGUCCGAUGGUUUACAUUUGUUUAAUCUAACGGCUAUGACAUGUGUACUGUCAAAACGCUACAGCUGCCAUCUCUGUUUGUCCUUGUUGCAACCUUGAUCUUAUAUUAUCCUGGAGAUUAUUGAAUGUUCUUCUCAUUCUCAUGUGCUCGAGGGUCCUUUCUUGAGACAUUUCAGCAAACACCUGAUUCAUCCUAUUAAACAUCAGCAUCAUUAAUCAGUAAAUGAUGUAAGGUAGCCCUGUUUUGAGAAGUCAACAUAAAUCAGUCACCUUAGAUUUUCUGAGUCUCAGAGCACAAUGGGUGAUGAUUUGAUGAGAAAUAUUAAUAUGCAUGCAUCCCCUGAAUUAGCUAGUGCUGGUUGUCAUUUUCUUCUUUCUUUUGGUACGGUUUUAGAUUAUUAAUCAAUCAGAUUCAGCUGCAUGUUUGCUUUUAGUCCAAACCAAAAUAAGAUAUUAAGUACUUUUGCCAGAACAGACGCAACCAAAAUUCUAUGGGAUCUGUAGUUCCUAGUUCAUGCAGAAGCGGCCGAAUGCUUCCGGCAAUCAGGCAGAUAGAACCUUGGUUGAUUCGUUUUUCUUCAUCUGAAAUUCUACCUAAUGCCUAUCCUCUUAAUUGGUUUAAAUUCUUCUUUUUUUUCUUUGAAUUGUUGAUUUAUAAUGUCUUGUAUGCAAAAAUUUAUAAUUUCGGAUGAUGAUAAUCUUGUUUAAGAAGAGAUUUCUAGUUACGGCAGCAGCAUUCUUGAUCAUGGCAUCACAAGCACGUGCUCUGGUUUGCUUAGUUUCCUUUUUGUCCCUGAUAUUUUCUUGGUAUUGUGGGAUAUUGUUUCUCUUUUGAUUUUCUGUUUUUGUUUGCUUAGUUUCCUUUUUGUCUCUGAUAUUUUCUUGGCAUUCUUGUUCUCUCUUAUAAUAAAGUGCUAUUGAUAAAUUCGCCAGGUCGGUUUACUUCACUGACCAUUAAUGAGCAAAUCCUCCCAGUGACCCUCAAACUCUUCUACACAAUUAUAAUAAUUUCAGUUUUAUAUAUACAAAAAUGAACAGCUCUCCAAUAUAUUAUUUGAUAAUGACAAAUACAACAACUCACUCCAAUAAAUCUCAUAAUAAAUAAAUGGUCUAUAUUGCAAGUCCUUUUAGGACACAUUAAAAAAGAAAACGUAAGGAAUGGCAUUGCAAGAAUAUGGAAUCAGAAUAACAGUGAUACAAAGAGAAAAAAAAGGGGAUGGUCGGGUUGGGUUGCUUGCAAAAUUAUUGGUGCGGGGGUCUACUUGUUUUUGUUUCACUUUAUUAAUUAAUUACCGAAGCAAACACGUCAUCAUUUGAAAAAGAAUCACUAGCACCAGCUUAUGAAAAAUAAAUUUGUAAGACAUAUUAAUUUCAAUGAAAAUGUAGCGUGAUUAUGUUAUGAAUUCAUUAACUUACUUCAUUAAUAUUCUUCAUCAUUAUGGUUAAUGGCUUAGCAAAUGCAGGAGCAGGGGUCACCCAAAGUAAAACACUUUCUCUUGUAUUAACCUUUGCUAGCCGUCGAAGUUAAAUUUUUUUUUGAACAAGUUAAAACAGUUCCAACUCAGAAUUAGUAGUGCCCAAUUGGGUUGUUAUAAAUAUUUCGGAAUUUCAGUCUAAGUUGAAUUGUUUAAUUGUGUAUGCACAAACAAGCUUGACCACUUCUUUCAUAUUGAUACCUAUAAAUUGCAACCUUAUUUUACGUUGAUGCACAAUCUAAUUUAACAAAAAGAAUAUUCAAAUUGUCACAAAAUGUUUUCUUCUUAAUAUAUAUAUAUAUAUACAAUAGUUAAUUUUUCUUAUUCUUCACUCCAGGAUCCAGCUCCAUACCCCUCUCUUUGUCGUUAUGCUGCUCAGCCGUUAGAUUUUAAUUACAUUAAUCUAACAGUUGAGAUUUGUAAAUGAAUAAUGAUGUGGUGUUUGGCUACUAUCUGAGCCCACUGCAUCUAUUUGGUUUUGUGAUUUUUCGAUUGACUAGUUCUGAAAAUAUCGGCAGCCAUCGACGGCAAAUCUGAACAAAGGCAAUAGGAGGUGAUCGUGGUGAAAUUGUUUUUUGUCAUGCGAAUCUAACGACUUUCGAAUACGUUCAUUCAAAUAUUAAAUGCAAUUCAGGAAAAUAGAAGCUUGGUUGAUUGAUUGCUCUUCAUGUGAAAUUCUACCUAAUGGUUGUCCUUUUAAUGGUUUAUACUGUCUUAUAUGCAAAUUAAAUUCGGAAUUCGGAUGAUAAUAAUCUUGAUUUAGAACAGAUUAGGUAACACGUGGCAUUCUACAUUCUUGCAAUGCCAUUUCUUGUUAUGGCAGCAGCAUUUUUUAUCAUCGUUUCUAGAGAGAAUGAAGAGAGAGAGAAAGUAUCAUCUUAUUCCUUGUUAGUUUCUCCGUGUGAGCUCUGUAAAAUACUUUGAUUCAUAAAUAAAACUCAUUUUAGUCGAUUCUCCCUUGGAUGUAUGUUCUGCCUCAUUGCACAGCCGAACCACGUAAACAGUGCUGGUUUCUGUUUUUUUUCAUUUGUGUCUAUCACUAAAUUAUAAUUGCAAUAGGCAGAGGCUAUAGCUUUUAAAUAUUUGUUAGAUCCAUUGAGAAUAAUUAUAUUGGGCUAAUUUUCAAACACAAUAGGCAGAGGCUAUAGCUUUUAAAUAUUUGUUAGAUCCAUAGUAUUAUCGUCAUCGUUAUCAUUUAAACAAAGAAACAAAAUAAAUUUCAUUAAACUGUAGUAGUGGAUUAAAAGUUAGUCCAUAGUAGACAUUAAGAUUGAUAGUUAGUUCAUAGUAGACGUUAAGAUUGAUACUUUCAAUUAGCAUAUUCAUCAAAGGUAUCCAUGAUGUAUAUACUCGAGCUCCACUUGGGAUGUAUAAAUAACUCGACACAAACAUUCAAAUCAAAAGUUUAAAAUUGACAAAAGAUAUCUUUAUUAAAUGAGUUAGAUCUUUGUUAUCGACUCACUUUCGGUGAAUAAAUGAGUGCUUUCACACCAAGGGAAACGGCAUUUAAUAUUUUCAGCUACCUAGCGUUGACUUCUCCAAAGAAGCAUGUGAGUGUUCAUAUUCGGGCAACUAGUAUAUUAUUUCAUUACAACAUAGUUAAAUAUAGCGUAAUAUAAUAUUUAUAAUGGAAUUAUAAUAUAAUGUGUGUAAUAGUAUCAUAUUACAUCACAUAAACUCUCUCAAUUAUUGAAAAAGAAAAUCUUAAAAGAUCCCUACUCUGUACUUAAAAAAUCUUCAAAGUUUGCAAUUAUUGAUAACUGAAAAUUAUUGAAAAAAAAAAUCUUAAAAGAGAUGUGUUGAAUUGUGAAAUUAAAACUGAGUUUCAGACAUUUCUGACAUGUCGGUUUAUAUCCUUGAUUGUGCAUGCCCUGUCGGUUGCUUGAUGAAACAGGAGAAUAUUGACAUCUGUGUAUUAUCGUUUACUUCCUGCAAUUAAAUCACAUGUUGUUCACGUGAUUCCAUUUACUCUAUACGGCACAUUUGGCAGUCGUUUUGGUCACUUACCGAAGCACGGGUUAAGUACUUGAUUCAAGGUUGUUAACUGACCUUUACAAGGCGGGAAAAACAAACCCGGAAUGCAGCUAGUGAGUGGGGGACUUUUCUGGACUCUUCAUGAUAUGUAUAUAUAGUCUUAGAGGCUAUAGUUGAGACAUAUGAAAAGCUUGGAACUUCUUCUUAAUGUUUGUAGUUUGAUCUCGGUGAUGGAGAUAAGAUUGCUGCCCUGUUCUCCAGGCCGAACCACUUAAAUUGUGCCUCUGUUUUGCUUGAUGACUGCCAGUGGUGAGAAAACAGCUACAGAACAAAUCAAGCUUGAUGACUCAAAUAUUAGGGAAGCCAUAGUCAAGGCAUCUGGUUUAUGCAUCAACAGUGGUUCGUGGACUAGAAUUCCUAGCUAUUGCGGCUUCACAAUUGCACUGGAAGAAAGCGAAUUUGAUCGAGCUUUGGAUCGCAUAGCUAAAUUCAAAAGCAUCGUACAAAUAGUUAACUAAAAAACGGUAUUGUCAUUUGUCAUGAUUUAUUUCUAUUGCCUGAUGAUGAUACCCAUCACGCCUUAGUUGUCGUGAAUAAAUCUAAAAUCAAAUUGAACUGGUUCUUACUGGUUUUAGCAACAUUUGUGACGUUUUGAGAUUAUAAUAUAUGACAACACUGAUUAGUGUUGUCUCCCAUGUGAAUUGAGACAAAAAUUAUUUUCCCAAUUGCACUUUCAUUUGAACAAUUCCACUGUAGAUUUAUAAAAUAAUGAUGAAAUUGUGUUUUAUAUUAAGUUAUGAGUAAUUGGUUAAAUAUUAAUACAAAACUAUUUUAAGUAACAUGUGGCAUAUUCUAAUUCUAGCCAAGCUUCCAACUAAGAUUCCCAAAUCAAAAGAAUUUCAAUCUUCAGAACAUUCUGCAAAACGUUUGGCCUCUACGCAGUGCUAGAAUUUUCCCUAAGUUUCUAUCGCAAAGACUUCUAAAGAACUAUUCAGAUGUCGAGCUAUAAUCCAGUCUAAAGUGUAUAUAUCUCUCUAAUUCACCUCCCUCCAUUUCACCAGAAAAUCAACAAACACUUAGCUUCAAACAAACACUCUCAAAAAGCUAGCUAGCUACACAGAUGGCAAAACCAAGAAUUCUUGCAAUGACAAUGUUGUUUCUUGUUAUGCUAGCAAUAUUGAUGAACAUGGCAUCUCAAGCAAACGCUCUGAUGCCGUACACACAAUCACCUUUCUUUGACAUGAUGUUCCCAAUGACGGAAGAGCCUUUCAGGGUUCUUGAACAAACCCCUUUAACAAUCGCAAAAGGAGCUGAUCAUCAUCAAACUCUAGCCCUGGCGAGAGCAGACUGGAUGGAGACACCAACAGCCCACGUGAUCACGCUCUACAUUCCAGGGAUGAAGAAAGAUAAUGUGAAGAUUGAAGUUGAAGAGAACAGAGUACUGAGAGUGAGUGGGGAGAGGAAGAGUAAUGAUUAUUAUAAGGAGGGAGUUGAAGGAGAGAAAUGGCACAGAGCUGAGAGGACAUUUGGCAAGUUUUGGAGGCAGAUUAGGAUGCAUAUGAGUGCUGACUUGGAUCAUAUUAAAGCUCACAUGGAAAAUGGGAUUCUGAGGGUCACAGUGCCAAAGCUUGCUGAGGAGAAGAAGAGGCAACCUAAGGUUAUUAACAUUGAUGAAGGGUCUGGUAAUUCUUCCAAUGAAGAUAUUAAGGCUACCAAGGCUCAAAUGUAAUUGAUUAAAGAAAGAAGUGAUUGCUUUGCUUGAUGUGCUAUUUGUUUAUGAUCUUUUCUUGGUUUUGUUGUGAGAUGUUUCUAUUUGGAUGCUCUAUUUAAUGUAUUUUGAUGGGUUUUUGAGGAAGGCUUGUAUGUAUUGACAACAAUAAAGUGCUUUUUAUAAAUCCUAGUCCUACAACACUAAAAGAAAUUAAUACGCUUGGUUUAUAGUUAAUAAUUUUUUUUUUUUUUAAAAGUCUUUUUCUUUGGCAUAUAGUAUGCGUUUUGAGGGGAAAAAAAUUUAUCCCACUCCUAAUUCGUGCUCUUCUGUGAUAUUAAUGUGUUAACACGAAGAUUCAUUGUAAUUGCAACAAUUUUGACAAAUCCAAACGUUCAAGAACUGUUAAAUUGCAUUGAUAAAUGCUAAUAGCAAAGGAACAGAAACGAUUAAUUCAAGAAGUUGCUUAAAGUGAAUUAAAUUAGAGAGUAUAAAUAAUUGUGUAAUACAGUCCAGUCUGCAUGUGUUUAAUUAGCAAUCAAAAACCACUUUGCAACACCAUUAAAAAAACAUUUUAACAUUAUUGCUGAGGGAAGAGGCAGCUUAGGCUUAUUAACUCGUAUUAUUAAUGCUGAUGACGCAACUGGUAAUCCUUUUGGUGAAUAUAUUAAGGCAGCUGAAGCUUAAAAUUAAUUAAGCCCACUAAAGCUUAAAAGUAAUUCUUCUAGUGACGAUGCUUUGCUUAGUUCGAUUUUCUGUUUUUAAUUUUUUUGGGGCUAACGUUUUGCUUAUUUUGCUUUUAAAACUCUUGUGCACCGUCAAAACAAUUUGACUCUUGAUAUAUAUGUAUAUAUAUAUAUAUAUAUAAAUGAGGUUUCAACAGCUGAGAAAGAGAUAGCCACUAUACAUUACACAUUUACACCCAGUAAGAAAUUAAUUCAUUAAUAUAGCCAUUAAGAUGCUUGGUUUAUUGUUAAUGAAAAUUAAAAAAGAAAAUAAAAGGUCUUUUUCUUUGGCCUUUAUUAUGCAUUUUAAGAGGAAAAAAAUUUAUCCCACUCCAAUUCAUGAAGAUAUUCUCGUUUCUGUCAUAUUGAUGUGUUAAUAUGAAGAUCCAUUGCAGUUGGUGAAUUCAAAUAUUCAGUAACUGAUGAAAUGGUAUUUAUUUAUAAAUUCAUACUAAUAGCGAUUGAAGAUUAUAAUUAAUUUUGUAAUAUGGUCAAGCCCUCGUGUGUUUAAUUAGCACUCAAAAACCGCAUUACAAUUAGGCAUUAAAAGAACAUUAUAACGUCAUUGCUGAUGAGUUCUGGUGAAGAUAUUAAGUUAAGGCCACAAAAAUCGAAAUGUACGUAGCUUCAUUUGUUUUUUGUUUUUGAUUUUUUUUGGGGCAAAUGCUUGGCUUCGUUUGCUUUUUCGUUUUUGAUAUUUUUUGUUUUCUUUUGAUUUUCUGUUUUGGUUGUUACGGGAUUUGAUGACGAUGUACAUGUACGAAGAUUAUGUAAUAAAAUGCUUCUGAUAAAUUAUGGUCGGUUUAGUAUUAAUUAACCAAAUUUAAUUUGCUUGAUCAAUUGAUAUUUGUUAGGAUUGUUGUUAUACAAACACAACAAAAGAAGAACACUAACGUACUAAUUAAUUACUAAGAAGAACAUUAACAAUUUUUGCCGAAGUCUGAUGAAGAGAAAUAUUACACAUACGUAACGGUACCACGGAAGGAAAAAAUAAAAGAAACUAAAGUUUAUUUCAACAGACAACAGCUAAGAAUGAAAUAGGCAUAAGAAAUUAAUCCAUUAAUUAAUUAAUUAAUACAGUCCCCCGCUACUAAAUAAAGCGAGCGUCUUACUCUACCUAACAUUUUUCUUUUUAUUAAUUUAAAACAGUUUUCAACUGAGAUUUGAAUUUUAAAAUUACAUACACAAACACACCUAAUUUUAAAGAAAAAAAAUUAUAAUAAUAAAAUAUUUUACAUAUGUAACCAUACGACGGAAGAACAAAUAUAAGAAACUGAAGUUUCAACAGCUGAGAAUGAGAUAGGCAUAAGAAAUUAAUUAAUAGAGUCCUCCUCCUUUGCUAAAUAAUGCGAGCCCAUUGUUCCUUUUAUUUCGAAAACCCAUUAAUCACCAACACAUACACGCCCAAUUUUUUUUUUAAAAAAAACUAAUAAUAAAAUAUUUAAGUCGUCCUAUGUGUUAUCGCUAAAAACAGAUUUACCAUCUAUAGCAACAUGCGGUAUAUGGGUUAACAAGUCCCAAUAUUGUCCUCCAUCCUUUCUGCACUUCUCUGUUAUCAACGGACAACCAUAGAUAAUUAAUUGCAAAAGUGAGGAAGGCAGGCCCUUCUCCGGAAAGUAUUUGAGCUUGGGACAAUGAUAGAGACCCAAGUCAGUGAGGUUCUGAAGAUCAACAAUUGAAGAAGAUAGGCGUUCCACAUUUGGAAAACUGUAAAUCCACAGAGACGUUAGAGAGGCAGGAAGAGGAAGCGUGGUCCCCAAUCUUAUGUCCUUCGGUGGGAAUGACACCAUGUCGUCAUCACAUCCUCUGAUUGUGAGUUCUCGCAGAGAGGAGAAUCUGUGAAAUCCCCGGCCCCACUCCAUCAUUGACUUCCACAUCAUCUUAUUGCCAGCAAUCCAAAGUGAAUGAAGGUUGGUGGGAAGGCCAUCUUCUUCAAGGCUUGGAAGCUCACCUCCUUUUCCUAUUUUUAAUGUUUGAAGAGAGGUCAGAUUGUGCAAUCCCUUGAGCUGGCGGAGAUUAUGUAAACCACUCGGUAAAAAUUUCAGAUUUUCACACCCCAAAAUACUGAUUGUUUCAAGAGAUGUGUUGUUGUCCAACCUUUCUGCUAUUGACUCCAGCUUUGAGCAUCCAUAAACACGAAGGAACUUAAGAGAUGGAGGUAGAUUGCCAAUUUCAAGGGACUCAAGCGUGGCAGGUAACUCGUUUUUUGAAAAUAUACAUGUCAGUGAUGGACAAUCCUUAAUUUCCAACUCCUCGAGAAGAGAUGAUGUGUAACUUCUGCUGUUGCUGCUGCUGCCACUCUGGAUGCCCUCUUCCACUGUCAAAGUCCUUAUAUUAUCACAAUUAUGGACGUCCAAGCUCUUAAGGCUCGGUGGUAGCUGGACUUCAGCAAUAUAUCUCAACGAAUGGCAGUACAAAAUCCUCAAGAUCUCGAGAGAUGAAUUGGUGUCGCACAUCCAUGCCUCUGGUAACGAUUUCAGUGCAACACAUUCUCCAAUCUCAAUUUUCCUCAACUUGGAAGGCAGAGCAACCUCAGGAAAGGAAACAAGGGAACUGCAGCCAAAGAUUGUUAUCUCUCUCAAGGAACUGUGGCUGAGCGAUGAUUGUGGCAGCUUUACAAGGCCUUGGCAGCCGCUCAAUCUUAGAUAUUCAAGUCUGCAUGACAACUCGCAGAGCUGCUGUUGUUGGUCUUUCUCUUCCUCCGCCACCAAGGAUUGAAGUUUGGGACAACUGUCAAUCGUCAAUCUUUUGAGAGAGCAAAUGUCUUGUAGUAAACCGUCAUGACUCUUCCAUAUAUAUGUUUGCUCUUUUGUCGACAAAAUUAAUUCUUCCAAUUUCUGUAGUCGCGGCUUUAAUGGCCCUGCAAGAAACACUUGAUUUGAUGUAUCUCUACAAACCACUGAAUUCUGUGAUCCGAGAUGACCAGUUGCACUUUCCCACAUAACCUUUUUGCAUCCACCACUUAUGAAUUUGCAAAGAGCUGGAAGACUCAAAACUGAAACUAACAAUUCUUCACAUCCUUCAAUAACAAGUAUCUCCAAUGCAGGAAGGUGCUCUGGAAAUGUUCCUUUCAGUUUAGAACAUCUUAAAAUGUGAAGCUCUCUCAAUUUAGGAAACCCUUCAACUCCUUGACUGGAUCCUUGAGGAAUCCAGUCUUCCCAUUCUCUCAUGUUUUCAAAACGAAGAGUCUCCAAGCAUGGAAAAGGAAUUGGAGCAUCAUUCCCAUAGAACUCUGUACCCAACCUCUUUACUCUGCUCAUUCCACAUACUGCAAGAUGCUUUAGAGAGGGUAGUUGCCCAACUGACGGCAGGGCAAUACACAUGUCACAAUUUUCAAAUUCUAGGGUCACCAAAUUUGAGAAUGAGGAAUCUGCUAACCAAGUUGGAAAUUUUGUACCUCCAUAGCCACUGAUACAAAAUUGUUCCAUAUUUUCAUGAGGUUUUAGCAUGUUGAGCACAUCCUUUUCAGUUUCUGCCUCCCUUGAAGACGAGCCAUCGGUACUGAGUGUCCAUCGAAGCAAUAAUUCUCUAAGAUUCUUCUUUCCAUCCAAUUGAGCCUCCUUUGCAUCACCAACGCAUUUUACAUUCUCCAAUUUUGAAAUGUUAAGUGUCCCAUGAAGGUGCGUCAACAACUUUAGCUCUUGUAACCCGGAACCACUGCUUUUUCCCACAACAAAAUUACACAACGUCUGAAGACUAGUCAACCUACCAAUUCCUACUGGCAUUUCCUCCAACGACUUCGUAUUUGAAUUCUUAAGAUGAUGCAAUUUGGCGAGGUUUCCCAUGUCUGCACACAACUUCUUCAGCCGAUCACAAUCUUCCAACAAAAGACUAUGCAAAUUGUAAAGCUUGUUGACUGAUUCAGGUAGAGUUCUAAUCUCAGUUCGAGACAGGUUAAGGUACCUUAAAUACCUCAGAUCACCAAUUGAAUCCGGCAGCUCAGGGAUGCGGUAUCCACGCAAAGAGAAGACCCUCAAGCGUCGGAGUUUGAGCAACUUAGGAAGAAUGCUAGGAGCCAAGUGGCCAGGCGAACUUUUUGUCAACAUUACUGGUAAAAAAGUUCUCAAAUGUUGGAUAUCAUACAAGUCCCCAAACCUUUUACCGCCAUCAAAAUAUUCAGGAAUGUAUGAUAGAUGACGAAGAUUUUCAGAAAAACUUUGCUGCUUGUUAACCUCUGAGGCAUACUCCAUUGUGAAGUACAUCUCCCCCGCAGCCCAACGAGCAAGGUCAUUGAUAAGAUCGUGCAUCACAAAUCGUGAUGUAUUGUUGCUUGAUUGCUGCAAAAAAGAUCUUGAACGUAGCUCUUGAAAGAACUUUCGACCUAGAUCUUCGUUAGGAUUCUCACUCUCUUUAUGAUCCAAGAAACCCGAAGCACUCCAUAAUAAAAUUAUCUCCUCCUCUUCAAAUUCAUAAUCCUUCGGAAACAACGAGCAGUAUGCAAAGCAUUGUUUCAAAAUUGGAGGAAGAUAAUAAUAGGUCACUGCAAGAGCUGGUAUAAUGGGACAUCUAUCUUCUGGUAAUUCCCAUAUCUUGCUACUGAGCACACCUUUCCACUCACGUUUGUAAGGUUUUCCAUGUAAGAGUCCUCCCAGUGUUUUUGCAGCCAAGGGCAAGCCGUUGCAUUUGAUCACUAUCUUCUUGCCAAUUUCCUCCAAUGACUUAUUUGAACUGAAAUCUCUUGUCCCCAAAGAGUGUUGAGCGAACACGGACAAACAAUCAUCAAUUGACAACUUUUCCAAUUGAUAAGCUGGAGCAGUCCCCAUGAUGGCUGCAACCUCUUGAUUACGGGCUGUGACAAUAAUCUUACUUCCCGGUGCGCCAGCUUCAAACGGACGGCUCAUGUCAACCCAAUCAUUGUAAUUCUCAUUCCAAACGUCAUCUAAAACAAGCAAAAAUUUCUUUCCAAAUAGUUGUUUCUUCAAUUUCUCUUGAAGCUUAUUCAAGUCGUUAUUAUCCACAUUCUGGUCACUAGCAAUUGAAAGUAGGAUUGAUUUUGUUAGCCUCUUAACGUCGAAAUCAUCAGAGAAAUAAGUCCAUCCCUUGAGAUCAAAAUGAUCCUGCACUUGCUUAUCAUUGUAGACAAGCUGAGCAAGAGUAGUUUUGCCCAGGCCGCCCAUACCUAUAAUAGGAAUAACAGAGAAUCCACCAUCGUUGCUUAAAUCAUCCCUCAACAGCAGUUCAACAACAUCCUUCUUUUCUGUUUCCCUGCCAUAUACUUUGGCUUCAGUCACUAAAGAGGUUGUCUCUCGCCUUUGACUGGCUUUUUUGGACCCUCCAGCUGAACUUUCUUUCAAAUCUAGCAAGUCUUUCUCUGUUAGAAUUUCUUGAAAUCUGUCGUUGAUCCCUUUGAUUUUGGACAUCAUGGCGUAAUCGAACUGAAUCGAUUGUGGAGUAAAAGUGGUGCAGCAAGUAGGAAUGAGCUUCCGAAACUUACUUGAUCUUGUACGACUGCUGCUGGGUUGAUCAUGAGCAGCAGCUGGUUCUCCAUUUCCAAGCAGCAACUUCCUCCGGAAAGCCUCAGUUUGGAACUCAUCCAACAAGUCUUCAACAUCAAAAGCCAAGUUCUGAAGCUCGCCAAGCCACAACUUCACAGACUCAUCAGUCUUCUUCUCGUCAGCAUCAUCAAGCACCGCCUUGAUCCUCACCAACAUCUUCUUCCACUUCACUAGAUUUGCUUGGAUUCGACCUUGGCGUGCAAAUAAACGAAGCCCCUCUGAAGGUAACUUAUUGAUCAGCAUCUCAACGGACGCCAUCAGGAUUGCCUCUCCGAUGAUCGACAUUUUUUCUUUUUUUGGGUUUUUAUGGACAGAGAAUGAAACUGAAUUAUGAGCUUGUGGAAAGCAGAAUGAGAAAAGUGAAUAAGCGGAGUGAGUUUGUGAUUGUGUCUAGCAAGCCUAGAAAUCAAGAAAAACCCACCGUAAAAGUGAAAAGUAAAACGGAGCCCACCACAAAUAUAAAAUCAGAGGAGCACAGAAAUUAUAAAAAAAAAAAAAUCAAACAUGGAAUGAUUUGUGAAGUUAUUAGCGAUUUGUAAAAGAGAUGGUGGGGUUGUGUUGUUUGCAAAGUUAAUAGCGUGGGUCUUUGUGUUGUUUGCAAAGUUAAUAGCGUGGGUCUAUUUGUUUUUGUUUUAACUUUUAUUAAUCAAUUAGUGAAGCAAAUAUGUAAUGAUUUGUAAAGAUCACGGGCAUCAUAUUAUUGGGAGGUAUUGUGUAUAGUAUUCACAAUUUCUUGUAAGACUUAUUAAUUUCGUUGAAAAUGUAUCGUUAUUAAGUUAUUAUUUAAUUCAUUAACUUGAGGUAUUAAUAUUCAUUAAUUGUGGUGCGGGUGAAUUUACUUAUCUUGUCAUUAUUUGUAAUUAAGAAUGAGGUUCAAUUAAUUUAUUGGAGAAAAAUUGAUUUUAAUUCUUAGGAUUUGAUUUUACUCUCUUUUACUUUUUGACGUUGCUAAAGAGGCAGUAAAAAACUUGCUAAAUGUCAUCAAAUACUUGUAUCUCAUCUCACAAAUUGGCAAUAUUUGUUUGGUAUUUCAUCUCAACGGGAUGCCGUAAGGAUUGCCUCUCCAGUGAUUGUCAUUUUUUUUUCUUUUUUCCCGCACAGAAAGAAACAGAAUUUUGAGUUUUAAAGCAAAAUGAGAAAAUUGAGCAAAAUGCAUGUAGCAAGUCUUCCGCUUGUUUAUUCCAGUAAAGUGAAAAUAAAAACAGAGCCCACCACCCAUUGAUAAUUGAAAAAUGAUAAACGAACGAAGGCGCGACGAAGGGACGACAGAAAACGCGUUUCCUCGUCCAAUUUUGUUCUUGUGGACCGACAAUAAAAUAUUUUUUAUGGGACCGACUAUAAAUAGUAAAAUAAAGAAUAAAAAAAAGAUAGUGUAAACGAACGAAAGCGCCACGAAGGAACGACAGAAAACGCGUUCCCUCAUCAAAAUAAUAUUCUUUUGUGAGAUCAAUAAUAAAUAAUAAAAUAUUUUUUUGUGGGACCGACUAUAAAUAGUAAAAUAAAGAAUCUAUCUAUAUAUAUAUAUAUAUAUAAAGUUAGGACUUGAGCAGGUGAUGUGGCAUCACCAUUUCUCAUCAUCUCAUAUUCUUUAUUAUCUAAUAAAUUUGUUGAAAUUAAAAAAUAAUUACAUUACAAAAUAUUAAAAUAGAAAAUAAUUAUUAGAUUAUAAAUGAUUACAUGUCUUUUCAUAUUUCUAUUUAAAUUUAACAAUAUGUAACCAUUAAUAAUAAUUAAUUAUAAGUCUUAAAACAUUUAUUUAUUUUAUUAUGCCAACAAUUAAAUUUUAGUUGCUUAAAAUACAUCAAUUAAUUAAUAUUAAUAUAUGAAGGAAGGUUCCUUCAUCUUCCCUCAACAAUACCAUUAGAGCCUAAUUUUAAUGUCAUAACCCAUAUUUAAUUAUUCAAUCUUUUGUUUAAUGCAUUUUGGCUUCUUCAAACUCCAUAAACGUUAAAUAUUUAAGAUUUAUGGCAUCAUUAUUUCUCAUCUUUUUAUAUUCUCUAUUAUCUAAUAUAUUGGUUGAGAUUAAAAAAUAAUUACAUUACAAAAUAUUAAAAAUCUAUAUAUAUAUAUAUAUAUAGUUGGGACUAGAGGAGGUGAUGUGGCAUUAUUAUUUCUCAUCUUCUUGUAUUCUCUAUUAUCUAAUAAAUUGGUUGAUAUUAAAAAAGUAAUUACAUUACAAAAUAUUAAAAAUAAAAAAUAAUUAUUAGAUUAUAAAAGAUUAUAUGUCUCUUCCUCUUUCCAUUGAAAUUCAAUAAUAUGUAACCAUUAAUAAUAAUUAAUUAUAAGUCUUCAAACAUUAAUUUAUUUUAUUAUGCCAACAAUUAAACUUUAGUGGCUUAAAUAUAUCAAUUAAUUAAUAUAGGAAAGAAUGUUCCUUCAUCUUCCCUCAAUAAUGCCAUUAGGGUCUAAUUUUAAUGCUAUAAUCUCAUAUUUAAUUAUGCAACCUUUUGUUUAGUGCCUUUCGGCUUCUUCAAACUCGAUAAAUAUUAAGUAAUUAAGAUUUGUGGCAUUAUUAUUUCUCAUUUUUUAUAUUCUCUAGAAUCUAAUAUAUUGGUUGAGAUUAAAAAAUAAUUACAUUACAAAAUAUUAAAAAUAGAAAAUAAUUAGUAGAUUAUAAAAGAUUACAUGUCUCUUCUUCUUUCUAUCUAAAUUCAACAAUAUGUAACCAUUAAUAAUAAAUUAAUUAUAGUUUUGAAACAUUCAUUUAUUUUAUUAAGCCAACAACUAAACUUUAGUGGUUUAAAAUAUAUCAACUAAUUAAUAUAGGAAGGAAUGUUCUUUCAUCUUCCCUCACCAAUACCACUAGGACCUAAUUUUAAUGUCAUAAUUUCAUAUUUAAUUAUGCAACCUUUUAUUUAGUGUCUUUGGCUUCUUCAAACUAUAUAAAUAUUAAGUAUUUAAGAUUUGUUAUGUUUGAAUUUUUUUAUUAUUUAAACAACAUCCUCUUUAGAAAUGUUCUUGUGUUUUUAUUUUUUUGACUUAUUUAAAUUUUUUGUAUUGUGUGCUUCAUGGAGUAUUCUUUUCUUCAUGAGUUAAACAAUAAUAAAGAUAGUUGGAUGAUAAGGGUUAGGUUUUGUAAAAUGUGAGAGUCUAUUAAUACUGAGAAGAAUGGAGAGUUGAUUAGUGUGGACAUAAUUUUUAUUGAUGAAAAGUUUGUGUACACUUAACUAUACACAUUAAUAUAUAUUUUUAAAGUUAACAAAAAAAUAAUUAACUUUCAUAAAUAACAUUAGUUUUAUAAGACUGCGUCAUCUUUUAAAAAAAAAUCAAUUCAUAUUUUUUAUCUGUUUUGUUAAGUGUAAAGAAAUAAAAAAAAUAAUACUAAAUUCUUUUUUUAAAACCGCACGAAGUGCGGUUCUAUUUCCUAGUAAAAAAUAAAAAAAUAGGAUAGUGAAAACUGAAAACGAACGAAAGCCGACGAAGGGACGACAGAAAACGCGUUCCCUCAUCCAAUUUUUCUUUUGUGGGACCGAUAACAAAUAAUAAAAUAUUUUUUGUGGGACCGACAAAAAUAGUAAAAUAAAGAAUAAAAAAUGAAAAAAAAGGAAAAUGGAAUGCAUCCACCUUCGCUUUGGAAGUCUUCUACUUAUAAAAGCAAGCUAAAUUAAAAAGAUUUUAAUCUCUCUUUUUAAUACUAUAAGUGCACUGCAUUUUUUUUAAAUAAUUACCUAUGCAAAUUUGUAAUGUAAUGAAUAUUCAUAUUCCUGUCGUGUCGAAAUGAGAUAAAAUGAAAUUUUAAAUAACACAAAUUCGACUCGUUUGUUAGAGGUAUAUCCUUAAUAAGCUAAUAACAUAAUUAACAUAACGCUAUUAUUACACUAAAUGAAAUAAAAAGACGGUAGCCACCAAUAAUUACACUAGCAAGCUUCGCAUGCUCGUGUUUAAGGAGUUGGACAUUGGUGAAUUAAUCAAGGACAAGAAACAAUUUCAAAAAACAAAAUGGAUACUAUACAUUGUCUUUUUUUUAAUUGUACAGAAAAUGGGACUAAUUUUCAAAUAUUUUCAAAUUCACUUAUUAACAAAAGCUAUGCAAAACGAUUUCCUUUUUAUUUUGAAACAUUAUACGGAAUCAAAUAACAGUGAUUCAAAGAGUGUAAAGUGGUAAUUCUCUUAUUGUAUUUUCUCUCCUUUUUAAAAGGAGAUGGUGGGGUUUGGUUGUUUGCAAAAUUAUUGGUGUGAGGGUCUAUUUGUUUUUGUUUUCACUUUAUUAAUUAAUUACGAACCAAACAUGUAAUCAUUUGUAAAGGGGUCACUAGCAUUGGAUUAUGUAAGAUGAAUUCGUAAGACUUAUUAAUUUCAAUGAAAAUGUAGCGUUAUUAAGUUGUCAAUUCAUUAACUUGAGGUACUAAUAUUUACUAAUUGUGGUGUUUAAUUUAUUUAACUUUUUCAUAAUUUUCAAUUGAGAAUGAAGUUCAAUCAAUGUAUGAAAAUUUUUAUUUUUAGAUUUUUAAUUCCUAUGAUUUAAUUUCAUUCUGUUUCGAUUAUUGACGUGUUAAAAGCUUGUAGACUAUCAUGAAAUGCUUGUAUCUCACCUCACAAAUUGACAAAUAUUGGUUGGUUUCUCCAAAGGCUGCCAUGACGAAUUGAAAGUAAAAACAACCACCAUUGAAAAUUAAUUUUAAAAAUCUUUUUUACUUGAAAUUUUUUAAUCGUGUGAUAGACACAAAUAAAUAUCUCGUAAAACUGUGUUGCGAUCCCGAAGGUACUCAUCCACUACUUGGACACGAGAAGUGCCAGGAACAUAAGUAACCAAGUGAGGUGGAGGAAUACCAUAGACAGCUUCAAAUGGGGUCAUUUUGGUGGCAGAAUGGAUGGACGUAUUAUAGUUGAAUUCAGCCCAUGGAAUCCAUUCAACCCAUUUUCGUGGCUGAUCUCUGGCAAAACAUCGCAAGUAUUGCUCUAAAGUACGGUUCACUACCUCAGAUUGGUCGUCCGUCUGAGGAUGGUAACUAGAACUCAUGCUAAGUUUAGUUCCUUGUAAUUGAAAUAAUGCUUGCCAAAAUGAACUUACAAAUACUUUAUCCCGAUCACUUACAAUGGAUGUUGGAAUGCCAUGGAGGCGAACCACAUUAGCUACAAACGCUUUAGCAAUCGUGACUGCCGUGUAUGGAUGUUUGAGAGCCACAAAAUGAGCAUACUUGGAUAAGCGAUCAACAAUUACCAUGAUGACAGUAUAACCAUUUGACGACGGAAGUCCCUCGAUAAAAUCCAUUGAUACUUCAGUCCAUAUCUGAAGAGGAAUAGGUAGUGGUUGUAGCAAAUCGGCCGGACGCAUAGAAUCAGAUUUGUACCUUUGGCAGAUGGUACAACGCUGUAUAAAUUCCUUCACAGUUUUACGCAAGUUUGGCCACCAAAAGCUGAGUUUAAUUCGAGAUAGUGUCUUAUGGAACCUAAAAUUCCCACCAACUAGAGACGAAUGACAAUCAGUCAUGACUUGUGGAAUUAAAGUGGAAGUGGGAUUCAAAUAAAUUCUGCCCCUUUUAAACCACACUCCAUCUCGUUGUGUCUGUUGUGCAAAUUUUAAUGUACUCGCAAGCGCACGAAUCUAUUGUAGUAUAGAUCAAUGGUGACGAGUGUCGAUCCCACGAGGAGGUGGAUUUUAAUUAUGUAUAGAAUUAAUUUUGGAAAUGGAUGAUUGGAUUUGUGGUAGAAAUGAUUUGGAAUAUGCUAAAACUUAAAUUAAAAUGGCGAGAAUAAAUUCUGAAAUUAGAAUCGAAAUGACGAGAAUAAAUUGUAGAGGAAUCUAUUGAAAUAACGUACUUGGGUAUCUGGAUCCGUAUCAACAUGCAUCAUGGGCUAAAUAAUCCGUAUUAAUGCCAAUUAAAUCAUGAGGGGGGAAUCCACACCUCAUGAACCACGCUCUAAUCAAUAUGGUGCUAAGGGCUUAUCGUGCCAAAUAAUAAUAACCUUAUACUAGAGAGCCGGUGUAACCAAGGCGGUAUCUAGACAAGAUCAGUAUUAUUUGUCGACGAGAAGUCAAAACAUCCACAAAAACUAGAGGGGAAGAGAAAAUAAAUUUACCAAAUAAAGCCCAUGACACAUGUUGAGACUUCACCUUCAACCCAAGCUUGAAAGAAAAUUAGCUACUCAUAAUUGAACUAAGGGCAAAAUGGGAAUUUAUUAAAAUACGAAGAAAAUACAAGAUGGAGAGAGAAUUACAAAAAAUGGAUCCCAAAAAUGGAUUCAGAGAUAUCAAAUUAGGGGGGAGAGGCCCCCUUUUUAUAGAUACAUGGAGUAAAUCAUGGCCAUCGGAUUAAAAACAGUUUGGACGCUCAGGAUUGCGCCACGUCAUCAGUCAACAGUCCACGGUUUGACCACGCGGAUGAACAGUAACACGGUUUGACCCGACUUUGAACAGUAACGCGGUUUGACCCGGAUGAACAGUAACGCGGUUUGGUUGAAACUAAUCCUGUGUGAUGCAUGCACCGUACGCGAGAUUUUUCGUCCACUGAUAUACUGCCACGUCACCAUCAACAGUACAUAAGAAUUUUAGCCCAACAGGAUCGUGACACCUCAUCAGUCAAUGCCACAUCAUCGGUCAAUGCCACGUCAUCGAUCCGUCUAUGUGAACAGUGCCGUGAACAGUAACGUAUACAGUACCGUGUACGUGAAUAGUACCGUACAUGUGAAUAGUGUCAUUUUUCCUUUUAUGCUCCUCCUAAGGUUUUCGACCGUCCUGAGUUCAAAAGUGAUGUCCGUUUUGUCGUCUGAUCUCUCCUUUAUUGUGAAAUGACUAUAAUGCCCCUAAAAUACAUAAAUUACUUAAUUAAAAUAAAACACACGUAAUUAAAUCACAAGAAUGUUAAAUACAUAAAAGUAAGGGUUGUUAGUAAGACUUGAAAUGUAAAAUGACGGUUUUCUCCUUUAUAAAUAUGCAUUUUCUAACACUCAACACACCCCCCAACCAGCUUAUUGCUAGUCCCUAGCAAAUAAAGCGAAAACAAAAUUCAAAUUCAAAAUGAUUUUUUUUUUUUUUUUUAGAAACACUCGUGUUUAUUCAAUCAGAUUAAUGAUAGCAAUCAAAUAAAAGUAUAAGCAUUAUCUCCAGUCUAAAGCAACAUCACACCCACAUCAACCAUCCACAUGAAUUAGCCCAGUAGACUUUGUUAUAGCUACUUUCAAGAAUGACAUGUCAAACCCCAAAAUCUCACUUGAAGUAGUGACACUCUCACAAAGAAAUUAAAACCCAAUAAACAUAGUCACUCCAAUGAAUGGUAAUUGAGAGAGAAAAUAAUAAAGAAAUGAUAUCACAUGCUCUCACCAAGAUGAAAUAAAUAUGCUCUCAGCUUAGAAAUAAUACGAUCUCAAGUCAAAUAAAAUGUUAGUCAACCCACUUUAUUUAUCUUUUUUUUUUUUUAUUAUGCAUCACUACAUCUUUUUAGCCCAUAUAACUAGCUUCUACUUCAAAAUAUAGUUCCCUAAAAUCAAGAAGGACUUUUAUUAGGACAUAACGUAGGCUAGGGAUAUGGCUAACAAAGAAAGGAAAUAAGGAAAACAAAGUGUAUGUUUGAGAAAAAUGCAGAAUUUUUUUUUUUUUUUGGAAGUUGCAAGGUGGAUUUCACUUAUUAUUGUUAUUUUUAUUCUUUUGAAACAACAACUUUUGUUUUUGUUUUUUUUUUCUUUUUACUUUUAUUUGGCAUAACUUCACUGAACAACAUAAUUAUUUACAUUUUCUCAAACAUAAAUAGGUGAUGGAACUUAAAAGACAUUGGGUAAUACUCCAAAUCGGAGUGGGUCAAGAUGAUAAGUUGACAAAGAAAAGGUUUUUGUUCUUUUUUUUUUUUUUUUAAAGGCUCAAAAGGGGUAACUAUGGAUAUUUAAUAAAAUGGAUGGCUAGAAAGGCUCAAACGGAUCAAAGAUGGCCUUUCCAUCGUCUUUUAGGGCUCUAAAUAAUCAUCCAUAUCUACUAGUUAGAUGGGCCUCCCAAUGUAGCAACACAUAAUUUUUUUUCUUUUUUUUUUAUUUUACAAUUUUUUUUUUUUUUAAGGGUUAACUCAAAAGAAAUCUAGAGAUCGUAUAUACAAUAAUAAACUGCUAAGCUGUAUAAAGAAUGGGCAAAAGGGUUACUCUCCAAGAAAAAUGAUAGGCUCAAAAGCUCACUUGGUACUUCUUAUGACAUGUUCAUUCCUUCAAGCAACUCAUAUUUGUCUCUGACAUUAACAUAUAAAGUAGCAAACAUAGUGUAACAUCACUUCAGACUAAAGAUAAUACAAAUACUAAAAUUUGAAAUUCAUCAUGUCAUCCAAUGUUAACACAAAUCACAAUUUUUUUUUUUUUAAAUUUGAAACAACAUUCUACCCCCCAACCUAUUCUAAACAUGAAAGGAAAAUAUGCAUGCAGAAAUGUGAAAAUGAUGUAGAAAAAUUUAUUAGAAAAAGAAAUUUUUUUUUUUUUUUUAACUAAGAAGAUGCGUUUCUAGAGGCACGACACUCCAUAUUCAGCCAUCUUCGACUCAAAAAUUGGAAAAUAUAUAUUUAUAAAGGAGAAAGAGGAAGAAAACAGUUUUUUUUUUUUUUUAAACGAUGAAGAUGCGUUUCUAGAGUAACUACACUCCAUAUUCAGCCAUCUUCAACACAAAACGUUAGCAACAGUUAGUUUCUACAACAAAAAAUCAGUAAAAACUUAACCAAGAUUCCACAAUUGUCGACUAUUCCCUCCCCCCAACCAGAACGAAACAUUGUCCUCAAUGUUUGAAAGGAAAGAAGUAGAGUUUAGAAGACAUCACCUGGGUGGUGCAACACAGAAGAAAAUAUUUACAGGCGGAGAGUUAAAUCUAAUUUGUACUUCUUACUGCGGCUACUGUUACCAUCAUUAUUUGGUCGCUCCAACACAAAGGUCCAGGGAUCUGGCUCCGGUUUAUAAGCUUGUAACAUAUCAAGUAGCUCAUUAGCAGUGUGAGCACAAAUAAAGAGUUUUUUCACAUUAGAAGGAAUGAAAUAGUUUUUUAUUGCAUGGUUAAGAAAUUCGAUAAAGCCAUCAUAAAAGUUAUUCACAUUUAACAAACCGAUGGGUUUCUGGUGGAUGUGUAGAUGGGCCCAAGAUGCUAGUGUCAUAAGUGCCUCUAGUGUUGCAAGAUCUCCUGGAAGGAAAAUAAAAGCAUCAGCAUGAUUAAGCAUUUCAGUUAUUCUUUCUUGCAUACCUGAGACGACUAACUCUUCUCCAGUUGAUGAGUCAGACGAACUGCCCAAUGGUUUUAGGACUCUUGGGAUGAUGCCUAACACUUGACUUCCUCUGAUAAAAGCUGCUUCUGAGACCAUUUUUGAUAACCCUCGGUUACCUCCUCCAUACACCAAAUGUAAUUUUCUCGCUGCUAUGCUUCGACCAAGAUCUAUGGUUGCCUCAACGAACUCUUUAUGUUUGCCAUAGGUAAAUCCAGAAAGCACACAAAUGUUCUUGAAUUGUCUAUUGGGAGUAGCUGCCAUUGGAAUAUUUCUCAAAAACAAUUUGUGAGUGUUUGACAAAAGAAAUCACAUUUAAGAGUCUUGGUGACAGUGGGUCACAACUGUGUAUGAAGUGGCAUGUUAGUGUCAAAUAAAGUGUAAAGCACAUGGCUCGCGAGUAAAAAAGGAAACAGUAAAAAGAAAAAAGCAAACAAUAAAGAAAAUUAUUAAAGACAAUAAUGCAAACAAUAAAACAACAGUGAAAUGGAAUAAAAUAACAAUAAAGUAAAAGGAUAUUUACACGUAGUUGCGACUGUGGCUCACAUCUUCCUCUGGUUUUACGUCCAGAAACGGCUUGAACGCCCUCUAUGGGUCGAGGAUAGGCUUCCCAUCCAGUUUUCUUAUAAACUGGCAAACAGGGUCGUUUAUAGUCAGAUUCUCGAGACUAUAUCGUGCAUGCUCUUUCUGGAAUAAUGGCCAUAACUGGAGAAUCGCUCCUUGCACAUAUCCACUGGGAUGCGUUUCAAGAGACAGAAGGAUAUCAUCCAAUGACUCCUUAUUCAAGCCAUCCCUAAUGAAUUGAAUCUUAUCUUCUCUGUUAUCAGACAUCAUUCCUAAAGAACAUGGGUUUCUAUCGCAACUCAUUCUGGCACACUUGUGACAAGCAACAGAAAUUCUUCGAGCUCGUCGUUUUCUUGCAUAAUUUCCUUUACCACAAUCAGGCAUGUAUGCAAUAAAUUUAGGAGGUAACUCACCUGCUAAUCGUACUUUAGCCUCGAUUAACCAACGGAUGUCUGCAGGUAUGUUAUUCCUCAUGAGUAAUCGCAUGCGUUCAGAUCGGGCUUUAUAGAUCGUAAGAAGGGCAUUCUGAGGAAGUGAAGGGAAACGCUUGUGAAGCUUCGCUAGAAUCUCGUUUCUGUCCAUACCUUUGCCUCAGAAUAUCAGUUAUUAUGGGAAACUGAAGUAACCGACUUGAUUGUCACGGAGUACCGUUAUCCGCCACUUCACCGGGGUAACAAACUAAAGCACACAAACAGAAAAACAAAUUAAAACACACAAGAAAAUUAAAAUCGUCCUCUUAUUGAAUUUACCUCAAGCUCCAACUGGAUGUCGUAAACACUUCUCUCAAUGUCUCUGAGUUGGUUUUCUAAACCCUCAACAUAAGCUACUAACUCUGGUGGUUGUAGAGCCCAAAUGCGAUGUGUUUUACAAAAUUGAAUCUGCCUUUUGAGAUGAGUUUUGACACGUUGAAGUGGUUUAAGAAUGUUCAGGAGGAACGGUCUAAGUAUGGUACUCAUGAUUAAAAAUGAUAAGAGAAAACUUAAUGGUAAAAUAAACACACUUAUGCAAAAAUAAUUUCAAUUAGCAAAAGAAUAAUAAAAAGAAAGAAAGAAAAAUCAAAUCAACGAAAAGAAAAAAACAAAUCAAUUCAAAUCUGGUGGGUCACUCAAAUUUAUUUCGGUGUCUUCUCCAUGUGGUUGGUAUUCUAGAUAUGGCUUUAAUCUUUGACCAUUAACUUUAAACGUGACACCGUUCUUUGGGUCUUUAAUUUCAAUUGCCCCAUGUGGAAAAACAGUAUGAACAAUAAAUGGACCAGACCAACGAGAGCGUAACUUACCUGGGAAUAGGUGCAAGCGAGAAUUGAAUAAAAGCACUUUCUGACCUGGAGUGAAAGAUUUUCUCAUAAUGUGCUUGUCAUGAAAGACUUUCAUCCGUUGCUUGUAGAUCUUGGCAUUUUCGUAUGCAUCAUUGCGAAUUUCUUCAAGUUCUGCCAGUUGUAAUCUUCUUUCUGAGCUGGCUUGCUGCAUGUCAAAGUUGAAUUUCUUGAUGGCCCAAUAUGCACGAUGCUCGAGUUCCACAGGUAGGUGGUAAGCUUUUCCAUACACUAGCCUGUAGGGUGACAUCCCAAUCGGGGUCUUGAAAGCCGUUCUAUAUGCCCAUAAUGCAUCAUCAAGUCUUAAUGACCAAUCUUUCCUGUCUGGCCUCACCGUCUUUUCUAAUAUGUGCUUUAUUUCUCGAUUGGAUAUCUCAACUUGGCCACUGGUUUGCAGAUGAUAUGGAGUCGCCACUUUGUGUGUGAUUGAAUACUUUGUCAAAAGAGCUUUGAAUGCUUUGUUACAAAAGUGGGCACCACCAUCACUGAUUAUUGCUCGAGGGAAUCCAAAGCGUGAGACAAUAUUGCUUUUCAAAAAUCCUAUCACCACCUUGUGAUCAUUGGUUCUACAUGGAAUUGCUUCUACCCAUUUUGAGACGUAGUCAACACCAACCAAUAUGUAUUGAUGGCCAAAAGAAGGGGGAAAGGGUCCCAUGAAGUCGAUACCCCAUACAUCAAAAAUCUCAACCACUAAAAUUGGAUUUAGUGGCAUCAUGUUCCUUCGCGUAAUGCUCCCCAUUCGUUGACACCUAUCACAUGAAGAACAGAAAGUGUAAGCGUCUCGAAAUAUAGUUGGCCAAUAAAAACCACAUUGUAAAACUUUAGUUGCCGUUUUCUUAGCACUGAAAUGGCCUCCACAAGCUUGUUCAUGGCAGAAUGAAAGAAUAUUCUGAAUUUCAUUUUCAGGGACACAUCGUCUAACAAUUUGGUCUGCACAAUACUUGAACAAAUAUGGGUCAUCCCAAAAGAAAUUCUUUAUCUCUGCAAAGAAUUUAGCCUUGUCUUGCUUGGUCCAAUGCUCUGGAAGUUUACCUGUAACAAGAUAAUUAACUAUAUCAGCAUACCAAGGUAAUACUUCCACACUCAUUAAUUGUUCAUCUGGGAAUGACUCAUUCAAUAUUAAUGGCUCUGUUAUUGUGUCAAAAUGGAGACGAGAGAGGGGGUCCGCCACAACAUUUUCUGUCCCUUUCUUAUCUUUGAAUUCCAAGUCAAAUUCCUGCAAAAGUAACACCCAACGAAUUAGUCUAGCUUUUGCAUCUUUCUUUGUGAGAAGAUAUUUAAGAGCAGCAUGAUCUGUGAACACAAUUAUUUUACAACCAAUGAGAUAAGAUCGAAAUUUUUCCAAUGCAAACACUACUGCUAGCAUUUCUUUUUCAGUAGUUGAAUAGUUCAACUGUGCAUCAUUCAAUGUCAUACUAGCAUAGUCAAUAACGUGAGGAAUUCGAUCAACUCUUUGUCCUAAUACUGCUCUUACUGCAUAAUCAGAUGCAUCACACAUGAGCUCAAAUGGUAAGCUCCAGUUUGGGGGCUGAAUGAUGGGUGAUGAUGUCAACAAAUGCUUUAAUUUUUCAAACGCAACAAAACAUGAAUCAUUAAAGAUAAAAGGUACAUCCUUAGCAAGUAAAUUGCAUAAGGGUCUAGAAACUUUGCUAAAAUCUUUAAUGAAACGUCUAUAGAAACCAGCAUGCCCAAGGAAAGAUCUUACUUCUCUGACUGUUUUGGGUGGAGGAAGAUUAGAAAUGAGAUCCACCUUGGCUUUGUCAACCUCAAUACCUUUACUUGAAAUGAUGUGACCGAGGACAAUACCUUGUUUGACCAUAAAAUGGCACUUCUCCCAAUUUAAGACCAAGUUCUUCUCGAUACAUCUCUGCAGAACUAGUGUUAGAUGAUGUAAACAUUGAUCAAACGAGUUACCAAAAACAGAAAAGUCAUCCAUAAAGACUUCAAGGAAUCGUUCAACCAUAUCAGAAAAAAUGCUUAGCAUGCAUCGUUGAAAUGUAGCAGGUGCAUUGCAUAAUCCAAAUGGCAUUCUCCUAUAUGCAAAUGUGCCAAAAGGGCAAGUGAAAGUAGUUUUCUCCUGAUCUUUUGGUGCUAUGGGGAUCUGAUUGUAUCCUGAGUAACCAUCUAGAAAGCAAUAAAAUUCGUGGUCUGCUAAUCUAUCAAGCAUUUGAUCGAUAAAUGGUAAAGGAAAAUGAUCUUUACGUGUGACAGAAUUCAAUUUUCUAUAAUCAAUGCAUACACGCCACCCUGUAGUUACUCUAGUUGGUAUCAAUUCAUUAUUAGCAUUGGUAACUACUGUGACUCCUGACUUUUUGGGGACAACUUGUACAGGACUGACCCAUGAACUAUCAGAAAUUGGGUAAAUGAUACCUGCAUCUAAUAGCUUAAGGACUUCAGUUCUAACCACUUCUUUCAUAUUAGGAUUUAACCGACGUUGCAUUUCCCUAGUAGAUUUAGCAUUUUCAUCGAGGUGAAUGUAAUGCAUGCAGUCUACAGGGUUUAUACCUUUUAUGUCCGCUAUGGUCCAUCCUAAUGCCCCUUUGUACUCUUUUAAAACAUCCAACAACUUACCUUUUUGUUCGUCGUUUAGGGAUAAUGAGAUGAUUACCGGUAGAGUGCUUUCUUCUCCCAAAAACGCAUAUUCCAAUGUGUUGGGUAAUGGUUUGAGCUCGAGUUUCGGUGGUGAUUCUGAUGAUGGGAUGAGUUUCUUCUCUGAUGGUGCUAGUUGUUCAACUCUUGACUUCCAUUUAUUAGUGUCCAUAGAUGGUGCUGAGUUAAGUAGGGCAUUGACCUCUUCGACCGAUCUGUCAAUAUCAAAAUCCAAACCAAAGUGAGUUAAACAUGUUUGUAAAGGAUCAUCACUAAGGUUUGAAACAAAAGUAUCAUCAACUAAUGCUUCAAUUAAAUCCACAUCAACAAGUCCAUCAUCUGUAUUGUGAGGUUGUUUGGCAAUGUUGAAGAUGUUCAGCUCCAUAGUCAUGUUGCCAAAGGACAACUGCAUAUUUCCAGUCCUGUAUUGAAUGUGAGCAUCCGCAGUUGCCAAGAAAGGUCGGCCUAGAAUAAUGGGGAUGUGCUUCCUUGAAUCCUGUAUUGGUUGAGUGUCAAUUACAAUGAAAUCAACAGGAAAAUAAAACUUGUCUACCUGGAUAAGCACGUCCUCCACAAUACCACGAGGUAUUUUUGUGGACCGAUCUGCAAGCUGUAACACCAUUGGAGUUGGGUGUAAUUCUCCAAGUCCAAGUUUCACAAACACAGAGUAAGGCAACAAAUUUACACUAGCUCCUAAAUCCAACAAAGCAUUCUCAAUUGUGUGGUUCCCUAUACUACAUGAGAUAGUGGGGGAGCCUGGGUCUUUGCAUUUUAGAGGAAUUUUAUGUUGGAGUAUAGAACUAACGUUUUCUGUUAAAAAUGCCUUCUUUUGAACAUGCAUAUUUCUCUUUUUAGUACAAAGGUCUUUAAGAAACUUGGCAUAAGAUGGAACUUGCUUUAUAGCAUCAAGCAAAGGGAUGUUAACACUUACCUGUUUGAAGAUUUCAAGAAUCUCACCUGUGGAUUUUCCCUUCUUUCCUUUUGCUAACCUUUGAGGAAAUGGAGCUUUCGGAACAUAUUCUCGUGGGUUGGUUUCUUCUCUGUCCUCCGGUGGUGAGUCCUCAACACUCACAGGUACAAUUUGAUUUUCUUUUGUCACCGGCAUCUCCACUUUGUUGUCGACUUCUUUUCCUUUUCGUAAGGUCAUUACUGCUUUGACCUCUCCAUGCUGUUGUGGUGAACUGGUACUUGCUUCAUGUACUCCUUUAGGGUUAGGCACUGGUUGACUUGGAAACUUGCCUUUCUCAACAGUCAUUGCCAAGGUCUGAACUGAAGAAGCGAGUUGUCCCACCAUCUUCUCCAGGCUUGAAACUGAUUGAGCCUGUGAGUUGAAGCCUGCUCUUAACUCAUUUCGUAGUCCAUCAAUGGUGCGGUUCUGUUGCUCAAUCGUGGAAUGAGUAAGAUUCUUGAGAUUCUGGAAUGAAUCCUCCCAUGGUCUGGGUUGAGAGUAAUUCUGGUUCUGAUUGUAUGGUCUGAAUGGUGGCUGAGAGGCUUGAGGAUUUUGAGGAAUUUGUUGCAUUGGUGGAGCUGGAGCCGCUGGUCCAUUCUGUUGGAAUCCUUGAGACCAUGAAAAAUUGGGGUGAUCUCUCCAUCCAGGGUUAUAUGUGUUGGAGUAUGGGUUAUAAUUCGAUGGUUUUCUCAUUACACCUAUGGCAUUGGCUUGAUCUGAGUAUGAGUCAUGGUCAUGUGGUUCUGUUGAUUUAGCAGUCGAUAACGAUGCUAUUUGUCGAGCAAGACCCUCAACCAUCUCCUUGACUUCUUUGAUUCCCGAAGUUGACUCGCCAAUUUGAACCUCAUUUACUCCCUUAAUUCUUCUAGUAUUCCUGAGUGAUCGACUCCGUUGUUGGGAAUUAUCCGCUUGUCGCUGGAAGAAUUCCUAAAUCUCUGAUGCACUUUUUGACAUUAGCUCUCCUCCACUUGUUGCCAUUAGCCAUUCUUGCACAUUCGGCAAUAAUCCCUCCAAAAAGUAUUGGCAUUGGUGCCAUUUCUCGUACCCAUGAUGUGGACACUUCAAGAGUAGCCCAUUGAAUCGCUCCCAUGUUUCGAAAAACUGCUCGUCUUCUCUUUGGGUAAAUUCCGAGAUUUCCCUGCGAAUAGCAUUGGUUUUAUGCACUGGGAAAUAUUUAUUCAAAAAUUUUGUAACCAUUUGUUCCCAUGAUGAAAUGCUAUUAGCAGGUAAUGUAUUAAGCCAUGAACGAGCUCUAUCCUUUAAAGAAAAUGAGAAUAAUCUGAGUUUAACAUCAUCGUCUGAAAAAUUUUCAUAUUUAAAAGUUUGACAAAUGGCAUGAAAAUCAUUCAGAUGAUUAUAUGGGUCCUCAUUUUCUAGGCCAUAGAAUGUUGGGAGACAAUUUAGCACACUAGGUUUUAGUUCAAAACUCCUAGCAGCUACAUUUGGGUACCUUAUGCAUGAUGUGCUCAAAUUAGCUAAGGGACUAAAAUAGUCCUUAAAUGGCCUCUCCUGUGGUGCUUGUAAAUCCAUUCCAAAUUUAUUUUUAAUGUGCUUUUGUGUGCGAAGUGUUUUUUCUAAUUCAAGAUCUAUAGGUUCAAGAUUAGGUAAUAAUGACCUACGACCAUGCAUGCAAAAUAAAUAAAAUGAAAAUGAAGAUGGAACAAAACAAAUACAAAUAAAAAUAAAGAAGAGAGAGAAAUUACAAUACUAACCUUAUUGCGCUAUUACAACCUUUCUAUAAAAAUACACAAAAAAUACGUGAAAUAAAUUAACUAAAAAUUGAAUUAAUAAAAUAAAAAAUUACAAAGAAAAAAAAAUAAAUUGAAAAUUAAAUUACAGAAUUUUAAAGAAGAGAAAAAGAAAAGAAAUACUAACCUUUAAAUGUAGAUUCACUUUUUUUUUUUAAAUACAAGAAAACAAUUAAAUGGAAAUAUUCACAAAAAUUAAUUCUAUGAAUUAAAAUUACUUACCUCCCCGGCAACGGCGCCAAAAACUUGUUGUGCAAAUUUUAAUGUACUCGCAAGCGCACGAAUCUAUUGUAGUAUAGAUCAAUGGUGACGAGUGUCGAUCCCACGAGGAGGUGGAUUUUAAUUAUGUAUAGAAUUAAUUUUGGAAAUGGAUGAUUGGAUUUGUGGUAGAAAUGGUUUGGAAUAUGCUAAAACUUAAAUUAAAAUGGCGAGAAUAAAUUCUGAAAUUAGAAUCGAAAUGACGAGAAUAAAUUGUAGAGGAAUCUAUUGAAAUAACGUACUUGGGUAUCUAGAUCCGUAUCAACAUGCAUCAUGGGCUAAAUAAUCCGUAUUAAUGCCAAUUAAAUCAUGAGGGGGGAAUCCACACCUCAUGAACCACGCUCUAAUCAAUAUGGUGCUAAGGGCUUAUCGUGCCAAAUAAUAAUAACCUUAUACUAGAGAGCCGGUGUAACCAAGGCGGUAUCUAGACAAGAUCAGUAUUAUUUGUCGACGAGAAGUCAAAACAUCCACAAAAACUAGAGGGGAAGAGAAAAUAAAUUUACCAAAUAAAGCCCAUGACACAUGUUGAGACUUCACCUUCAACCCAAGCUUGAAAGAAAAUUAGCUACUCAUAAUUGAACUAAGGGCAAAAUGGGAAUUUAUUAAAAUAUGAAGAAAAUACAAGAUGGAGAGAGAAUUACAGAAAAUGGAUCCCAAAAAUGGAUUCAGAGAUAUCAAAUUAGGGGGGAGAGGCCCCCUUUUUAUAGAUACAUGGAGUAAAUCAUGGCCAUCGGAUUAAAAACAGUUUGGACGCUCAGGAUUGCGCCACGUCAUCAGUCAACAGUCCACGGUUUGACCACGCGGAUGAACAGUAACACGGUUUGACCCGACUUUGAACAGUAACGCGGUUUGACCCGGAUGAACAGUAACGCGGUUUGGUUGAAACUAAUCCUGUGUGAUGCAUGCACCGUACGCGAGAUUUUUCGUCCACUGAUAUACUGCCACGUCACCAUCAACAGUACAUAAGAAUUUUAGCCCAACAGGAUCGUGACACCUCAUCAGUCAAUGCCACAUCAUCGGUCAAUGCCACGUCAUCGAUCCGUCUAUGUGAACAGUGCCGUGAACAGUAACGUAUACAGUACCGUGUACGUGAAUAGUACCGUACAUGUGAAUAGUGUCAUUUUUCCUUUUAUGCUCCUCCUAAGGUUUUCGACCGUCCUGAGUUCAAAAGUGAUGUCCGUUUUGUCGUCUGAUCUCUCCUUUAUUGUGAAAUGACUAUAAUGCCCCUAAAAUACAUAAAUUACUUAUUAAAAUAAAACACACGUAAUUAAAUCACAAGAAUGUUAAAUACAUAAAAGUAAGGGUUGUUAGUAAGACUUGAAAUGUAAAAUUACGGUUUUCUCCUUUAUAAAUAUGCAUUUUCUAACACUCAACAGUGUCAACUAUUGUGAUGAAUGAGAAUGACUCAGUUUCUUAUAAAAAGAGUCUUGUUGUACCUCUCCUUGCAAUUUUUGCCACCAAUCUGCAUGUGGUCCCGAAAUAGACAUGAACUGAAAUUCAACAACACGAGAGAGUGUGUCAACAGCUUGAUUUUCAGGUCCGCGUUUAUACUCAAUUUUGUAGUCAUAACCAAGGAUCUUUGGAAGCCAUCGAGCCUGUGCAGGAGUGGUAAUUCGCUGCUCAAGUAAAUUCUUGAGGUUUUUUUUAUCGGUGUGGACAGUAAAUGGUUUCCCGAGGAGAUAUGGGCGCCAUUUCCAAAUUGAUUUGACAACAGCCAACAUUUCUUUCUCAUAGGUAGAUAGUAAUAAUGUCGUCCCCCUCAAAGCUUCACUGUAGUAUGCUAUUGGCUGGUUAUUCUGAGUGAGUACUGCUCCAAUUCCAAUCCCGCUAGCAUCACAUUCGAUUACGAAUUGUUGAGAAAAAUCUGGAAGGCCUAGGACUGGUGGAGACAUUAGUGCUUCUUUUAGCUUGGUAAAAGCUAACUCGGCUGCCUCGUUCCACUUGAAUCCUUCCUUUGAUAACAACUGAUAUAAAGGGGCUGCUAUACAUCCGAAGUGGCGGAUAAAUUUUUGGUAAUAGCCUACUAGGCUGAGGAACCCUCGUACUUCUCUGACAGUGGUUGGCGUUGGCCAUUCAAGAACAGCUUGUAUUUUGGAGGGACUUACUGCUACUCUUUGUUCUGAAAUGACGUGACCCAAAUAACCCACCUGAGAAACACCAAACCUGCAUUUUGUUUCCUUAACAAAUAGUUUGUUAGUAUGCAAAAUAGAGAGGACAAUCCGGAGACGUGCAAGGUGAUCAUUCCAUGUCUUUGAGUACAUGAGGAUGUCAUCAAAGAAGACCAAGAUAAACUUCCUUAGAUAAGGGCGGAAAAUGUCAUUCAUGAGGCAUUGGAAGGUGGAUGGGGCGUUGGUCAAGCCAAACGGCAUUACGAGAUAUUCGUAGUGCCCUUCGUGUGUUCUAAAGGCUGUUUCUGGUAUAUCCGCAUCGUGUACUCGGAUUUGGUGAUACCCAGCCCUUAAAUCUAACUUGGAGAAGAAUUUAGCUCCAUGGAGCUCAUCCAGAAGUUCAUCAAUUACAGGAAUCAGGUAUUUAUCUUUGAUCGUGAUGUUGUUCAUUGCACAAUAAUCCACACAGAAUCGCCAAUCACCAUCUGUUUUUUUAACUAAGAGGACUGGUGAUGAAAAUGGGCUUUUACUCGGUCUUACCAGCCCUGAUUGCAAAAGUUCUCUCACCAUCUUCUCUAUUUGUGUUUUCUGGUAAUAAGGGUAACAGUAGGGUCUUAUGUUGACAGGGUGUGUAUUUGGUUGUAGUGGGAUGUAGUGAACAUGUGGUCUCUUUGGUGGCAGGCUAGUAGGUGGCUUAAAAACAUUGGAGAAUUCGGUUAAAAUCUGAAUUAUGUCACCUAGGUAAAGAUUCGGCUGGAAAUUAUUGGGAGAGAGAGAGAUUUGGAAUAGGAAUCCACUACCUUGAAUAAAGUUGAAUUCUUUAUCAGAUAAGGCUGCUAAAGGGGUGUGUUUAAGACCUUGGAAUGUAUAGGUCUCUUCUCCAACUUUGUAGGUCAUCGUCAACUGCUUGUAAUCCAUCUCUAUUGGUCCAAUAGUCUCUAGCCAUUGUACGCCCAAAAUCAAGUGACAGGCUGCCACAGUAAGCACAAAAAAAUCAGCAGUAAUUGAUUUACGUUGAAUGGAGAUCGUGAGUGCUUGGCACAGGCCUUUGCAUUCGAUUUGUUCUUGGUUGGCGACCGUCACUUGGAACCUUUUAUUCUGAAGAACAGGUAGCCCGUAUUUAGUGACUACAGUUUGAUCAAUGAAAUUGUGCGUGCUGCCGCCAUCUAUGAGCACCGUUACCGGUUUGUUCUUCAGUUUACCCAUCACACGGAAUGUUUGCGGAUGACUGGCUCCUGAAAUGGCAUAGGCAGAAACUUCAGGCGUGACUUCAUGGUCCUUAGAUUCAGGUUCGGCAGGUUCCUUAGCAAGGUUUAUUUGAUUCGAAUCCUCUAUCAUGAAUAAUUGCGGCCUUUGGCAGCGGUGACCGGGAACAAAUUUUUCGUCACAAUAAUAACAUAGUCCAUUUGCCCGUCAUUCUCGUGCCUCUUGAUUUGUGAUGCGUCGAAAUGGAAUUGUUGAAUUGCUGGCAUUUUGGUUUACUUUGGAAGUUGACGGGGGGCCUAAUACGCCACUGGAAUGGUGUGGUAUGAUUCUUUGUGCUCUUGUAAUUGCGGAUGGACGAAAGGAAGUGCUCAUUUUCUUUUGCAGGUUAUUUCGUUCCUCAACUAGUCGAGCAACACCAAUAGCAUCAGUUAAUGUUCGCGGCUGCUUGAUCUUGACAUCCAAAUGAAUUUCAUCUUUGAGACCUGCAAUAAAACAACCCACCAAAAAAUUUUCAGGUAAUCCAUCAAUACAGUGGGAUAAUUUUUCGAAAGCCUCCUGGUAGGCCUCUAAAGUUGAGGUCUAUUUUAAUCGUGUGAGAGCUUCAGAGGGAUCUUCAUAGUCUGUUGGGCCAAACCUUUGAAGCAUGGCUUUUGUGAAUUCUUGCCAAGAUAAUGGUCCCUUAAAUUUUGUUAACCACCGAUGCCACUGUAAGGCAAUACCUUCAAGAUGGAAAGAGGCAAGUUGAACUUGUAGGCCUGGUGCAAUGUUUUUAAAUUCAAAGUAUUGUUCCGCCUUGUAAAUCCAACCGCUUGGAUCUUCUCCGUUAAAUCGUGGGAAGUGAAGUUUGAGGUGGUGAUAUUGGUCAUUUGGUGUGUGGGGUGUGUUAGUGUUUGUGGUAUGUGAGGUUUCUCUGGGGUAAAAAGGGUUGAUUUCAGGCUGGAUGGUUGGUUGAGGUCGAGAGACUUGCAAAGCUUGUAACUCAGUUAACACCUUAUGCAAGGAAUCAUUGAUCUGAUCAAAAUUGGAUUCAUGUCGAGCUAAGGCUUCGUUGACAUCAUUGCGGAAUUCGGCAUUAGAUUUAUCGCGAGUGUCCAUUGACAAACCGGCUCUGAUACCAAAAUGAUAUGGUAUAAUUUAGAAUAAGAGUUAAGAAGAAGAAGGAAGCAAAGAGAUAAAAGAGAGGAAAAAUGUUUCUGUAAUUCUCCCUUUAUUCAACUCAGAACUCUUAUAGCUGGAACUAAACAAAUAAUGCAAACAAAAUAGGAAAAGAAUCAAGACCAGAUCACCUGGUAUUAUAACAGAAAACUCAAAACAGAAUGCUAAAGACUAGCUCCACUAGUUUAUUAAUAGAACUGAUGACCAAGUCUUACAAAGCACAUGUAUCACUGUUGUAGUUAAAAUAAUUUUAAAACAAGUUACAACAGUUCCAACUCAAAAUCAGUAGGCUGCAAUUGGGUUGUUACACAUAUUUCUAAAUUUCAGUCUAAUUUAAUUGUGUAUGGACAAACUAACUUUAUCACUUCUUUCAUAUUAUUACUCAUAAAUUUCAACCUUAUUAUGAUGAUGCACAAUCUAACUUAACAAAAAUAAUGUUCAAAUUGUCAAAAAUGUUCUUUUCUUAAAAAAGAAAAGAAAAUCAUAUACAGUAGUUAAUUUUUCUUCUUCUUUACUCCAGGAUCCAACUCUGUACUCCACUUUUUUGUUGUUAUUGUACCCAGCCGUUAGAUUUUAAUUACAUUGAUUUAACGGUUUGGAUUUGUAAAUGAAUAACGACAUAGUGUUUGGCUACCAUCUGAACCCACUGCAUCUAAUUGGUUUUGUGAUUUUUUGCCUUCUUCUCUGUAACGCUUGACUAGUUCUGGAAAUAUCAACCGCCAUUGACAACAAAUCUGAACCAUGUAUUAUUUCUUAGUAGUGGGCAAAUAAAGUUUGCCCACUACUAAGAAAUAAAGUUUCCACCACCGAACCAGUAUGUUGAUUUGCGAAUACAUUCAUUCAAAUAUUAAACGUUCAGAGAAGAAAGCAAACCAUGGUAGGAUAGCAAAAACUGCGAAUGGUCAUUCCCAACACGAACCCCUAUGGCGGUUUUCCUUUUAAUUUUCUUCUUUGAAUUCUCCUUUUAUUAAUCAUUAGAAAAACUCCCUUUUUUUUAAAUCGUGUGUUAGUAACAUUUACAUGGUUAAUGUCAUCCAAAUCAAAUGGUUGUUAUCUACGAAAAGAGAAUUGCUAGAAAUUUUGUUAGUCCCAUUGCAACAAUAUACAUGUUAUAAAUUGCAUUGUUUUCCAUAUAACAAAUAUAAUAAAAUCUCAAAAAAUUAAUAGUUUUCGGGAUCAUAAAAAAAUUUAUUAAAAUUUAACAAAUAUCAAUUAAUCAGUAAAUUAAUAAAUUAUUAAUUUAUGAAAAUAUUCAUUAUUUUGGAAAAACAUGAUCACGUUUUUAAUAUUGAUUUACCUUGAGUUAGUAUCUAUUAUGUUUUAUUUGUCUAUUAGUUUUCUCUUGGGAAGAUUUUUUAAGAGUUAGCUACUUUAUUUUAACAGUAAUAAAAUUAUUAUUUUACGGUUUUGUUUUUCCAUGUUAAAGACCGAUUAGUCGUCUUCUUCUCCUCAGCAUCAUCAAGCACCGCCUUGAUCAUCUCCAACAUAUUCUCCCACUUCAUCAGAUCGUCUUGGAUCUUUUCUUGGCGUGCAAACCACCCAAUCCCCUCCGAAGCUAACUUUUUUACAAGCAACUCUACGGACGCCGUUAGGAUCGCCUCUCUGAUGAUUGACAUUUUUUUCCCCUUUUUUGGGGGCCAAGAAAGAAAGGAGUAGAAUUAUGGGUUUUGGAAAGUAGAAUAAGAAAAUUGAACAGGUGAGAAAAUGGAUAAUUAAGCAGAAUGAAUCUGUGCUAGUGAAGGGUCUGGUCCAGCAAAGCUUAGUAGAAAUCACGCGUUUAUACUUUAUUGACCGAUGGCUAAUAAUUUGGCAGUUCACCCAUCACCGCCACUUGGUAAGAAAAAUGAAAAGGAAAAUGAGAUUCUUACCACAGUGAGAACCACAGUGAGCAUAGAACGCUGCGUUUUGUGCUAACUAUAAAUUCUCACAGUGGCACGCAUAUCACAUGACACACACAGAGCUCAGACAACACGCUCAACUGCCACAACACUCACCAAAUCUUCACCCAACUCAUGCAUCUCACCUCUCUGUGCUCUCUCUGUGGGCUCUCUCUCCCUCUCUCUCCCCCCGUCGCUCACGCAUCUCACCAUGCUCUCUUUUCACCGUCGACUUUCUCUCUCUCUCUCCCCAUGGGUCUUUCCACAGCUGGCGCGGGUCUCCAUCGAGAAUGCUUCGAACUCAUCAAGGGUGGUGGUAAAAGCAAUAUUUUCAAUCGAGAACGGCGUCGUCUCGGCUUGGAAGAAGUAAUAACACUAGUAUUUGGCGGGGGUUUUGGGUACUUUUUGUUCCUGUUUGUCCAUUAAUUAAUUAAUUUGGAAAAAAAAACGGUGUAUUUGACAAAUGAAUAAUGGGGACGGUUGGAUGUAAUUAAGGGGAUGGUGAACAUAAUAAUGGUUUAAGAAGACCAGGGUUUUGAUCGACAAAGUGGAUUGGAAAAAUCUAGAGCAAAGGCGUUGAUGAAGGGGGCCCAAAUUUGUUUUUUGGGUUUUAAAGAGUGGCAUUUUGAUAACCGACUUUUAUUAUCAGUUAGGUUGUUUUCUGGCAAUUACGCCGGUUGAAAAAGGUGCCGUAAUACUUCCUAAAAUAAUUAACCCUAAAUAAUUUGUCCUGCAUCACCGAACUCCAAAUCUUAUAAAGUGUAACAGACUAAUUUGAGUUUUUUUUUUCAAUUAAAAAAAGGAUGGGCAAAAUAGACAAAUAAUGAAGACAGAAGUUAAGCAGACAGAGGAAAAUGAAUUACAUACUGUCCUUGAGAACUCAAUUCUUUAAUAAACUCAAUUUUUAAUUUUUUAUUUUUUGGGGUAAACUCAUGUCAUAUACUAUAGUCUUUAAUUCGGGCUUUGUUGUAUCAAUUUUUUGGUGGUUAUCUUGUUUUAUUUAUUUUUUAUGCAAGAUUUUUGUAGAAAUACAUCAGGAAUAAGAGUGAAAUCCCAAUUUUAAAAUUUGGGAGAAAUGAAAUGCGAUAUAUUUUUUUAUAAAUAAAAAAAUUUAAUUUUUUUUUAAUUCUAUUAGCAAAAACCAUUAAUUAAUCAACCCAUCAAGUUAUUGGUUUCAUUUACAACUGACAGUCGGUUUCUUAGUUUCAUUCCUUAUCUUUUAAAAGAUAUUACAAUGCUCUGGUUAUUUAGUAAUUACAAAUUAGAAAAGUCAAAUAUUUCUAACCAAAGACACUAGUGGAAAAGAUUUUGAUUCAUUUUUGUGUACACGCAUGACACAAAAUUAAAUUAUAUGGCAAUGUUAAUAGUGAGUCGUUUUUGGGAAUCCAUUAAGUUCGCAUGCGCGUAGACAUCUGUUGCCAGCCCUUUUAUUUUUAUUUUUAUAUCUCCCAAACAUUGUUAGAGUCCCACAUUUUUGACACAUUUUUCUGUUUUCUUGCAUAUGUUGCGAUUUUUAAGUAUCACUCAAAAUUUAACACCGUCAACACCUGCAGGAAAAUUACAUUUUUUAUGUCAGCACACUACAAGAAAAAAACAGAAUACUUGACAUUUUUUAUUUGAUAAUUUUUAAGAAAUAUCAAAUAUAUAUGACAUUUUGUGAAAAACUAAGUAAUUGUGAAAUGUAAAACGUCAAAUUUCAUCUCCAUUCUCUUUCCAAGAAGAACGCACGAAGAAUUUUAGCUUGCUUCAACUGCUUCUCGAAUUUCAGGUAUUGUUUACUUUAAUUUCGAUAAUUUUUUUUUUUACCUCUCUCUUUCUAGUUUGAUAAUUUAGGGUUAUACUUGAAUUAAUUGUAUUUUUAAUCAACCUAGGUUGAUUUAAUUGAUUCCAAGUAUCAAUUUCCUGUUCAACAAACAAGGAACGCACAAAUAAAUUUCAUUUUCAUACUCAAUUUUGAAAGAAUCAAUCAAUUUAUUUUAUCUUUGGUUAGUACACUUCUGUUCAAUUUUUGUUUAUUUAACUUAAGAUAUCUUUUUCUUUCUUUUCUUCAAGCAGAUUAUAGAUUAUAUUGAGAACAGAGCUUUCUCAACGUUGAUUUCAGGUGAUAAUUGAAUGUGUAAUAUUUUCAAUUGAAAUUAAUUGAGUCUCGUAAUUAUAAUAGGGAUUUGAGAUUUACAUCCUGUUGAAAUGAUUUUAGAGUGUUCUGCUAUUUAAAUGUGCUAUUUGAAUGUGCAUUAAUUGUUUGAUUAAAUGUCUCGUAAUAGUAUUACCGUAAUGCACUUUGCUUCAAUUUGGUCUGUUUACACAUUUUAACAAGGGAAAAUUACAGAACUGCAACAGUUUUCAAAUUGAUUGCAUAUUAGAAGUAAUGUUAAUUUAUGCUGCAACAGUUCAAUGGGCUGGGCACAAGUUUAGGACUUUAGUGUUGGGAAAAUAUGCUCUUUAAAAGCAUAUGUGUUUAUUUAAUUGUAAUAAACAUUUUUUCUUAUUAAUAAAAUAAAUGAGGUAUUUUAUUCAAAUAUCUUAAUUGCAUUAAUAUUUGUAUUAAAGUCCAUUUAAUCAUAUUAUAUGUAUUUAUGUGAUCACCAUGUGGAUUCACAGAAGACAUAAAUACAAGUUAUCUUAUGAUUAAAUAAAUUUAGUUCGCAGUUGAUAAAUAAAGUUGGGCACUUUAUUUAGGUAUAGACUGUAAUAAAUUCAUUAAAUGAUUUGUCUUAAUCAUGUAUGAAUUCAUUGAUGUAGUACGACUACAUUGAACAGGAUCACAUAUGAGAUUUAAUUAACUUUGUAAUAACUGUCAGACUUAUUAAAUCUCAUAGGCAUUGAUUUUACUGUAAUCUUAAUCUUGAGUUAAUUAUGAUUUCAUGAUUGUAAUUGUUAUUCCAUUUGAGUUACCAAUGGGCAUGACACAUACUUGUAGUCUAGAUUACCCGGUAUCUUGGUGGGAGCAAUUAUGAGUAUUGGAGUUAUGGAUUAACAAUAUAGAAUUUGUACAACACAUCUCUUGAUGGGUUUUCGGUACUUGAUCAUAGAAUUCUCUGGCCAGAGUGUGUCAACAUAUUUAGUAUGUUGAAAAUGAUCAUUAGAGAAAACCAGUAAGGAUCAAGGAAUAAGAUGUUAUUAAAUUGAUUGGACAGUUGAGAUAUCAAUUUAAUUAACGAUGUGGUACAAAGGAUUGUGCAGUAAAGAAAUCAAUGUGGCUUGGGACGAAUUAUUACUCGAGCAUACAAUUAUGGAAGUCAGUUCCAAUCUUUUAGUGGAGUAGAUUUGGAAUUAAAUAAUUGGGCUAGUUUAAUUACAUGCCUAAUUAUUGUAGCCACUAUUGUAUGUUCCCAAAUGAUCCCCGAGUUAGCUCAUUUAAUUGACUGCACCACUACUGGACUAAUAAGUAAGAUAAUUAGCUAUUUGGGUCAAAAGCCUAAAUAUAUCAUUUAGUGGGAGGCUCCAUUUAAUUAGCUUUUGUAUAAGGGGCCUUAUGUUAUUUUACAAGGUGGGUCCCUUAUUGAAAAAAGAAAAUAACGUGAGUUUUAUUUAGGGCAUUUUUUGGAGCCUAGGGUUUUCACUAAAGGGAGAUAUAUAAGGCUUAUUUUCUCAAAAGAAAAGUGAGAAGCCACUAUAUACAGAUCAGAGAAAAAUAUUUUUCUCUCCAUUGUUGAGAGAAAAAUUUUCUCGUGCUAGUUGCUUUGGUAGUGAUAAAGGCACCCACACGUCAAGUGCAGAUCGAACCUGAGUCAUAACCUGGAAGAUCAUUGGAGACAGUUCGUGAUCUAACAAGCGUGGUGGUGACGGAUCGUGAUCUAAUAGGAGUGGUAGUGACAGAUCGUGAUCUAGGAGCUUAAAUCACUUCAGUGGAAAAAGCCAACUCAGAUUUUCAAGGUACGAUUUCUAGAAUACAAAUUCUUAUAUAUUAUAUGAGAGCGAUCUUCAAAAGGUUUUAUAAAAAUUUAAAAACCUGAUUUUUCUCCAACAUUUAGUUGCUCAAUUAAUGAAUCCACCACUCAUCAGACUUAGAACUUAUAUCUACUGAAUCAAUAAAAAUAGUUGAUCGAAUCAAUACCGAAAGCUUCAUUUGAUUAAUAAUGAACUACAGAUAUUUAUUUAUAACAUCUGUUAGAUUCUGGACAAUCACAAAGAUAUAGUAGCAGAAACUAUGUUCGAGACACUGUAGUUGCUUAAUUAGUGAAAUUGUGAUCUCAUUGCCCCCUUUUUUUGGUUGAUUCUAUAAUUUUAUUAGUCGUUCUUGUGGUUGUAAACAAUAUCAAUUUCUAAUAUUAAUAAAACUGAAUGAAUAAAAUGCGAUGCAUUUGCAGGAAAGUUAAUAGUUUAAAUAUGGAUAAAUCUUGGAUGUUGAUGGAUAGAAGGUCUAUAGAAUAUGAGAACGCGGUAAAUGAGUUUCUCAAGUUUGCAGUACUUCAUGCUAGUCAUCCUGAGCUUUUGAGAUGUCCAUGCCAAGCAUGUCUUAGUUUAUAGGCUCAAACAAUUAAGAGUAUAGAAAAUGCAUGAUAGAACACACAACUCAUAUUUUAGCAACAAUCCUCAGCUCACUGGCCCUUAGUUCAGAAUGACAAUUCUUAUUAGCCAAAGAUUCAAAAUGAUUUUUAGUUGUUUAUAAGUAGAGCACUAGAUCAACAAAUAAUUGAAGUCCUGCAGCUUGGCUAUUGAACUAUACGAUGGUGGCAAUUCGAAGACUACAACUUGGCUCUGCCAUUCGAAGUAAGCAACGCAGCUGCCCAAAGUCUGCCAAGCCAUCAAGACUCCAAGUAUACUUCAAAGCUACAUCAAGACAAUACUAAGAUACAACAUCAACAAUAUUAACAUCAAGAAAUGCAUGGAGGCCAUUGCAUGUUACACCCACCCCAAUAAGAAAAAUACAGUCCUAGAAAUUUACAAACCCGUGCAGUAGGAAUACUAAUUAAUUUAUACAGUUCAAUACUCGUUCCUCUGUUUCAAAUCCAAAUCCACUGGUCUACUAUUCAUUAUGACAAUGCAUAUGCCGAUAUUGUCUUCCAUCCUUUUUGUACCUUUCAAUUUAGUGAGGUUUAGACAGGGGUUCCAGAUUUGGUAAAUCAACAAUCACCAAAUAUGUAGAGCGGCCGGAAGAGGAAGCAUGGUUCCUAAUCCUAAUCUUGAUUUAGAGCAGAUUAGGUAGCAUGUGGCAUUCUACAUUCUUGCAAUGCCAUUUCUUGUUAUGGCAGCGGCAUUCUUGGUCAUGGCCUCACAAGCAAAUGCUUUGAUUUGAAGACUUGCUUGGCUAUGAAAAAUAAGGAGAGCAAAGGUAAUUAAUCUUGGUGUGAUCAACAUUUUUAUGGGGUACUAAGAAAAAUAAAGAUAAUAUAAGGAAUGUUGUUGAGGAGUAUUUUCAUAUUUACACAAGUGUUCAAGUAAAAAUUGAUUUCUUAAAACCCAUUAGCUAGCGCACAUAAUAAUGGGGAGAAAAUUUUAGACUACGAAUGGUCCCACCCAUUUAAUAAUAUUCUUCAAUCAAUUAUGUUUACAUCAAAAAAAAAACCCAACUCUUUAUUACUUUCUAACUAUUCAUAUUAAUGUGUUAAUAAUUAUGAAGAACCGGUGUAAUUUAUAUGAUGUAGGAAGUACUUUAGGCAAAAUCAUCUGAAUCUCAAAAUUUCGUGAUAUUGUGCCAAAUGGGAAGUCAAACCAAUUCGAGGAACUCUCCUGUUUUUGACUGAACAUACAUAAUCCGAACAAUUUGCAAUUAAAUAAAUCGUUCAAAAUCUCCUUUAGUCGAACCCCCAUUUCCAUGGUUUAAUAGAAUAUCAUAAAGGUGCCCAAUAUAGUGAAAUUAACGUUCAGCUCAUGAAGUUGCCGUUAUAAAAAGAAAUUAGUAAAAGAAACUGAAAACCAAUUGACACUGGAUCACGUAAGAUUGUUUGUUAUUAACUAUGAUGGGAAUAUAUACUUGGUCUAUUAAUUAUCAUCUAGCUAAUGCAUGUGCACUUUCAUUUGUGUCUAUCACUGAAGAGUAGAGUUAUUUGAUUGAAUAGUAUCAUAUCACAUAAACUCAAAACUUAAUUUCAUUGCACGAGCAUACCAGGCCAUAUGUGCAAAUCAUUUUCAGCUUACACUAACAUUUCCUUAAUGCAUGUGCACUUUCAUUUGUGUCUAUCACUGAAGAGUAGAGUUAUUUGAUUGAAUAGUAUCAUAUCACAUAAACUCAAAACUUAAUUUCAUUGCACGAGCAUACCAGGCCAUAUGUGCAAAUCAUUUUCAGCUUACACUAACAUUUCCUUAUCAAUCAAUUUUGAUGGUAUGAUAUUAAAAACAUCGAUUUCAUAAUUUUAUGUAAUUCAAAGAAAAGAUAUAAUUGAUUUGAGUUAGUUUAACAUAUAAGGAAAGAGUAAUGGGGAAUGAUGUCGAUGUGGCAUGUGAUGAGUAAAGAUAGACAACAAAUAUUGAUCAUGUAAUAAUGAAAUAUGUAUUUAUUGAAAAUAAAUUGACAGUUAAAAUUAAUAGAUAUAUAUCCAAUGCAUCGAGUUUAUUUUAUCACUUUGCUAACCAUUUUGUAACUACAUGUUAAUUAGAAGUUCAAUUAAUUUUGACCAAAGACUCUAGAGAAUGUCGAAAAGAGAUUUGAUUUUUGUCUUAAAAAAAAUUACAAAUGAAAUAAGUCAAAAUCAAUCACAAGAACAACAAUAAGAGCAUAUUUUAUAAAACCACAAAUACAUAAUAUAAAUUUAGUUUCGAAUUAGAUAAUUAUUAAUUUGUAUUGUAAGAGAGUCUUAUAGAAAAAAGAGGAAUUUUUUAAAAGGAGAUUUGCUUAAGGAACAACUUUAGUUUGGUUUAAUUUGUGAAGGCUCGAGUAAUUGAAAGCAACGCAAUUGAAGGAAAUACAAGCAUUUGAUUUUGACAAAGUAAUCACUACAAUAUUUGACAAGUUUGAGAUGUUAAAAAAACUGGAAAAAUAGACAAAUAAUGAAGACCCUACAAGUUGGCAGAGCAAAUAAACAGAGGAAAACAAAGCAAAUAUUUACCGUUAUGCAUAUAUUUUUUUUAUUUUUUCCGAAAAAAAAUGUUGUGAUAAUUUUUCCCAAAAAGAAGCACAGUUUGAUAUUACUACCAUAGAACUUUAGCUACCAUAUAUAAGCAUGUGUCUAAUUACCAAAUGAAUUCCGCUAUAACAAAGAAUAAAAGCUAAUUUCAUUGAUGGCAUAUGUUGUGCUUUCUUUUCUUUUCUUUUAUUUUAUUUUAUUGAAGUUACUUUGCAAACUGCUCCAUGCUACAUACAUAAUUUACGCUUACACUAGGAUCUUUGCAAUGGUCCAGCAAUUUGUAUUUCCUUUCGGUGAGGUUGGUUUUUUUCUUUAACUAAAAUUUCAGGGAUUAGAAAUCUUAUCCAUUGAACAUCAACUUUGAAUUUUAUUAAUAUUCAAACUUAGAAAAUACUGCAGGAACAAAGUGCAUUCAUAGCCGGUUAAACUAUGUCCAGCUACAAUGCAAGUUUCACUUUUACUUAAUUAAAUAUACAAAAUUAAAUCACAUGAGCCUCUCGUUUCAUUAUACUUCAACUCAAAAUUAAAACACAGAAUUGACGGUAUUGGAGUUUCAUAUUUAAUUUUGCUGUAGUCAUGGGGAAUCAGAUGGCCAUCCAUUUUUACGUCUAUUUUUGUGUGUGCGUGUGUGUAUGUGUGUAUUGGGAUGUCACAGGCCCUAAAAGAUAAAGCUGAACAUCAAUCCCAAAUCUAAAGUGAAAAACAGUAGCAAGAACAGAAUCUUUGUUUUGAUGUCUUAGUUUAUAAGCUCAAACAAUUCAUAGUAUAGAAAAUGCAUGAUAGAACACAGAACUCAUAUUUUAGCAAUAAUCCUAAGCUCACUGGCCCUUAGUUCAGGGUGGCAGUUCUUAUUAGUCAAAGAAUCAAAUUGACUUUUAGUUGUAUCUAAGUAGAGCACUAGAUCAACAAAUAAUUGAAGACUUGCUUGGCUGUGGAACCAUAGGAAGGCAAUUCGUGAACAGCCUUGAUAUUUCAUUUGGUUUUAUUUAAUUCUUUGUAAAGUUGUCUUGUGUGUAAAAUUUUUGUUACAUGAAAUCGGUCGGUGAAGAGAAUUUUUAAAAGCAAACAUCAAAGUCACGAUCAAAGGGACGAAAUCAGUAUAAAUAUUGAUUGUCUCAAGUUAGAUUAUACAAAGAUGAAAUAAUGCUAAUCUAAAAAAUUCGAUGAUUAUAAUUUGAUUUCCAUUAUAUUAAUUAUAUUCAAUCAUGCUCUUUAAAUGAAGAACACUCUAGCAUUUAUAUACACUCAGCUUAUGAAAUUAAUUACAAAACGAUCUUUGACAAAGUCUGAUGAAAAAAGUACAAAGUUAGACUUCCCGAUCAUGCAACCACCCAUCGAAUUGUGUAUUGUGUCAUCGUUGAGCUCUUAGAAGGAUUCAGCUGCUGAGGAGAAGAUAUAAUCUGCUUUUGUGUGAGAAGCUAUGUACUAUGCUUUUAUGGUGUUUCUCUUGGUAGUUGUCGGACAAACUGUAAUGUGAAUUUCUAUCUAAUGGGUAUCCUUUUAGUUACUUUGGGAUUGUUGAUUUAUAUAUGAUGUUUGGUAUCUAAAAUUCAGAUGAUGAUAAUCUUGGCAGUACUUUUGUCAAAUUUUCUUGUGUUGUUGUUGGUUUAAUAAAUAUCACAAAGGUGCAAAAUACAGUAAAAUUAACAUUGAGCUCAUGAGAUUGCCAUUAGAUAUAUUGAAAAAGAAAUUGACACAAGAAACUGAAAAUUAGUUGUUAAUUAUGAUGGGAAUAUAAUCUUGGUAUUUCAAUUAUAUCAUUUGUACUAAUCUCAUUUGUGUCUAUCACAAAAGCAGAGUGGCUUGAUUGAAUAGUGUCAUAUUACGUCACAGCAAUCACAUAAACUCAACCAAAAAUGCAUGAGCAUUGAACAUUCAGCUAAUUUAUACUAAUUAAUUAAUAAUACUAACAAGAGAAGUUGGAUCUCGUCUUCUCUUGGAUAUAUCCGAUGACUUUGAGCUCUCCAGCCUCCCAGCCGGAAAUGUUCUUCCUUCACAUUCGGUGAUUGUUUUUCAUUAUUGCGGCUACUUGACUCAAAUAUGCUAUUGCAAGAGGAGAUUUCUAUUUUGUCUGAUUUAAGCCAUAAGACGCGUUUCAAAUUUCAUUCUGAUUGGUUAUCUGUUAGCUUUUUUGUUUUAAGAACUUCUUAUUUACGGAAGCAAAAUUCUCCUUUCCAGGAUGAUCUAGAUUUAGAAGUUGCUUUUGUCAUAUCAGACGAAGAGGCCAUCUUUAAGGCCUUGUCUAAGAUUGUUGAAUUUACUAGAAGGGACUACUGCUCUGAUUGGUCAAAACUACUAUGGCUGUCUUUUUCAUGAGCUUCUAAGAUCGAAUCAGUUUUAAUGGUAUGAUAUUAAAAACAUCGAUUUCAUAAUUUUAUGUAAUUUCAUAGAAAAUAUAUAAUUGAUUUGAGUUAGUUUAACGUAUAAAGAAAGAGAGAUGGGGAAUGAUGUCGAUUUGGCAUGUGAUGCGUAAUAAUAGACACCAAAUAUUAAUCAUGUAAUAGUGAAAUAUAUAUUUGCUGAAAAAUAUUUGGCAAUAAAAUAAUACUUUAAAAAUUUAAUAUUAUUUGCAAGAAAGUAAUUCGACAAUUAAAAGUAAAAGAUGUAUAUGUGACUCUUCGAGCUUAUUUUAUCACUUCAUUAGCCAUUUUGUAACAACAACUUUAAUAGAAGUUCAAUUAAUUCUGACCAAAGACUCUAGAGAAUGUCGAGAAGAGAUUUGAUUUUUGCAUUCCAAAAAAUUAGAGAUGAGAUAAGUUAAAAUCAAUUACAAGAACAACAAUAAGAAUAUAUUUUUUAAAACCCACAAAUAUAUAUAAUAUAAAUUUAAUUUCGAAUUAAGUAAUUACUAAUUUAUAUAGUAAGAGAGUCUUAUAGGAAAGCAGGAAUUUUUUAAAAGAGAUUUGCUUAUGGAAAAAGUUUAGUUUGGUUUAGUUUGUGAAGGCUCAAGUAAUUGAAAGCAAUGCAAUUGAAGGAAAUAUAAGAUUCUAAUUUUUUUUAAAGUAAUCGCUAAAAUAUUUGACGAAUAGUGAAGACCCUACAAGUUGGCAAUGCAAAUAAACGGAGGAAAACAGGGCAAAUAUUUACUUUCUUCCAAAAAUAAUAAAUGCACAAUCUGCUAUUACUACUAUAGAAUGUUAGCUACUAUAUAUGAGCACGUGUCCAGUUACCAAAUAAUUUCCACUUUAAAAAGGAAUAAAAGCUAAUAUCAUUGUUAGCAAAUUUUAUUUAUUUAUUAUUAUUUUCUAUUAUCCUUUUUUUUUUUGGCGCUUUUAGUUAUAGGCCUAAAAAGAUAAAGAUAAAGAUAAAAAUCAAUCCCAAAUCUAAAGUGAAAAAUUGUGUCUAGAAUAGAAUCUAUGUUUUGAUGUCUUUGUUUACAAGCUUAAACAAUUCAUAGUAUACAAAAUGCAUGAUAGAGAACAUAACUCAUAUUUUAGCAAUAAUCCUCAGCAUCACUGGCCGUUAGUUCAGAAUGACAAUUCUUAUUAGUCAAAGAGUCAAAAUUAUUUUGAGUUGUAUAUAAAUAGGGCACUAUGUUGCGGACCUCCCAAUUCGCUAGCCCAAUUGCCCACAAUUUUGGGCUAGAGAGCCAACACAAGGCCAAGAGUGCUAGCUUGGCCCAAUUCCGGAACAUUCUAGGCAACUCUAGCACAUUGAUCUCGUAAAUACUCUAGAAUUCUCCUUACAAUUCCAGCACAUGUAAAUAGCUAGGAAGUGGUAGAAUUCUCUAGAAUCUCUAGAGCUUGGCAAGCCUCCCCUAUAAAUAUGGGAUGGCAUUAGGCAUUUGCAUCCAACAAACACUACAACAAGCAUUGUAAGCAACUCAAGCAUUGUAAUCUCUCUUCGUGCAAUAAAAGUUUCUUAUUCGGCUCCAUUGCUCUCUUCUCUAGUUCGAGAAGCUCUAGGCUUACUUAGCAACAUUCGGCAAGGUUGUCUAAGUGCCGCACGGGUUAGCUGCACAAAAUACUCAUCCCGUGACAAGUGGUAUCAGAGCUAAGGUUUGCACGCAUGCAAGUUAGCUCACGAAGCAAUGGCCAACCCUUCGAAUGUAGCACAAGAGGGUGUUGUUGGUGUGGAUGCUCCACCGGAACCAAGCCGCGGUCGAGAGGGAGAACGCGUCCAAGGCAAGACUCGCGGCAAGUCCAAGGCCCCAUCCGUGGAUGCGUUGGAGCCUCGUGUGACUACUCUCGAAAUCACAUUGUCCGCCGCUCAAGAAAGCCUCGAGGGAUUGGAGGAACGAGUGGACGGUCUCGAGGGAGAAUACGCCGAGUUCACGGUGGCAACCAAAGCUCUCAUCCAAGAGCAAGCGAACACUCUCCGAGGUGAGUUUCGUUCUUUCCAUGAUGAGUUGCUAAAACUUCAUAGUUUUGUUCAGGACGAACUACGCGCUGUCCGUGCGGAAGUGGAUGAAGUCCGCUCGGAUUAGGCAUGGCACAAGCGCACACUCUCCGCUAGUCCAGCUUCUGCAAACUCGAGUGAUGUGCACCGCAUUGAUGUGCCAAAGCCCGACACCUACGAUGGCACACGCAACGCCACAAUCGUGGACAACUUCCUAUUCGGGCUGGAUCAAUACUUCGAUGCCAUGGGUGUCCGAGAUGAGGCAUCGAAAGUGGGCACUGCACCCACCUAUCUUCGAGGCGCUGCACAACUAUGGUGGCGUCGCAAGCAUGGCGAGAUGGGUAAGGGCAUUUGCACCAUCGACACUUGGGCCAACUUCAAGAAAGAACUCCGAAAGCAGUUCGCCCCAAGCAAUGCGGAGAAGGAAGCGCGAGCGCUCUUACGUCGCCUCAAGCAAUCGGGUAGCAUUCGGGACUACAUCAACGAGUUCACUACCCUUAUGUUAGAGAUAACCGACAUGUCCGACAAGGAUUCACUCUUCUACUUCCAAGAUGGCCUCAAGGAUUGGGCCAAGACCGAGCUUGAUAGGCGUGGUGUUCAAACACUUGACGACGCCAUCGCCGUUGCGGAAUCGCUCACCGAAUACUCUACCCAAUCCAAGGACAAAAAGGCCAACCAAGGCAAAGGUGGGGGAGAGAGUCGUAAGGACAAGGGCAACAACCGCAAAGAUUGGGGGCAGAAAAAGCCGCCUAGCAACAUGAGCGGGCAAGGAAAAUCGGAGGGCAAGAAGGAGGCGCCAAAGCCACAAAGCCCAUGCUUCAUAUGCAAUGGUCCUCAUUGGGUACGCGACUGUCCGGAGAACAGGUCGCUUAACGAUCUUACUACCUAACUCAAGAGCAACCCCGCAAUGUCCACAGAGGAACCCCAACUCAGCAUGGGUUCUCUCCAACGCCUUGGUGCACUCAAUCGCCAACAGCCCGCACUCGUCAAGAAAGGGCUCAUGUAUGCAAGCGCAAAGGUAAACGGUCAGUCCGUUCGCACGCUGCUAAACACGAGAGCAACACACAAUUUCGUGUCCGUAGAUGAGGCCAAGCGCUUAGGCCUCAAGGCCACCAAGGAAUGAGGCACAAUGAAGGCAGUAAACUCACCUGCCAAGCCAAUUGCGGGAAUCGCACAAGGCAUGCACAUCACACUCGGUACGUGGAGCGGAAAGCUUGACUUCUUCAUUGUGCCCAUGGACGACUUCAAGAUGAUCCUCGGCAUGGAAUUCUUCGACCAAGUCCAUGCCUUCCCGCUGCCCGCUACGAACUCCCUAAGCAUCCUCGACGGGAGCAAGGCAUGCAUGGUUCCCACGGAACUAGGCAAGUCCGAGGAGAAGACACUCUCCACCAUGCAAUUCAAAAGGGCUUUCAAGAAGGACCCAAGCCAAGUCCCUCCGCGAAUUCAAGCCAUCCUCAAUGAAUACAAGGACGUGAUGCCUCCAGAACUUCCGAAGAAGCUCCCACCUCGACUAGAGGUAGAUCAUGCAAUCGAGCUGGAACAAGGUGCGAAGCCACUAGCCUUGACGCCCUACCGCAUGGCGCCACCCGAAUUAGAGGAGUUGCGGAGACAACUCAAAGACUUGCUGGACGCAGGCUACAUUCGCCCCUCAAAGGCCCCAUUCAGUGCGCCCGUGCUCUUCCAAAAGAAAAAGGAUGGAUCGCUGUGGAUGUGCAUCAACUAUAGAGCGCUCAACAAAAUCACUAUCAAGAUCAAGUAUCUGAUUCCCUUGAUCGCGGACUUGUUCAACCAGCUUGGCAAAGCGCGGUACUUCACCAAACUUGACUUGCGCUCCGGGUACUAUCAAGUACGCAUCGACAAGGGAGACGAACCGAAGACGGCGUGCACAACAAGGUACGGGUCUUUCGAAUUCCUUGUGAUGCCUUUUGGCCUUACUAAUGCACCCGCCACAUUUGCACACUCAUGAACAAGGUGCUCCAACCAUUCCUCGACCGAUUCGUGGUCGUGUACUUGGACGACAUAGUGGUGUAUAGCACCACGCUCGAGGAUCAUGCCCAACACUUGCGACAAGUCCUCCAAGUACUCCGAGACAACGAGCUCUUCCUCAAGUUGGAAAAGUGCUCGUUUGCCCAACAAGAAGUGGAGUUCCUUGACCACAAGAUUGCGGGUGGGAAGAUCAUGAUGGAGAAUGCCAAAGUAAAGGCCAUCCUCGAUUGGGAGCCUCCCUCGAAAGUGCCCGAACUUUGGUCAUUCCUUGGAUUGGUGAAUUACUACCGCCGCUUCAUCAAGGGCUAUUCGGCCAAGGCGGCACCCUUGCCUGAUAUGCUCAAGAAAAACAGAGCGUGGCAUUAGACCGAAGAGUGCCAACGCACAUUCGAGGAAUUGAAAAGAGCAAUUUCAGAGGAACCCGUCCUCGCUCUUCCGGACCACACAAAGCCCUUCGAAGUCCAAACGGAUGCCUCGGAUUUCACCAUAGGUGAAGUCCUUAUGCAAGAAAGCCACCCCAUAGCAUUCGACAGUCGAAAGCUAAAUGAUACGGAACGCCGCUACACGGUGCAAGAGAAGGAGAUGACCGUAAUCAUACAUUGCUUGCGGGUGCGGCGACAUUACUUGCUCGGCUUACACUUCACGAUCAUGACGGACAACGUGGCGACAAGCUACUUCCAAACUCAAAAGAAGUUGAGUCCGAAGCAAGCACGGUGGCAAGAUUUCCUGGCGGAAUUCGACUAUCGGCUCGAGUACAAACCGGGUAAAGCCAAUGUCGUUGCGGACGCUCUAAGCCGCAAGGCCGAAUUGGCGACACUUAGCAUGAGCCAACCGAAGUCCGACCUUGUCUCACGCAUCAAGGAAGGCCUCCAACAAGAUCCGCUAGCAAAGGAUUUGCUGGAGAAGGUGCUCGAGGGAAAGACAAGGCGUUUUUGGCAAGAGGAAGGCAUCCUCCUCACCAAGGGAGAUCGGCUGUUCGUGCCAAGGUGGGGAAAUUUGCAGAAGGAAGUUAUCAAGGAGUGCCACGACUCCAAGUGGGUUGGUCAUCCAGGAAUUGAGCGCACCAUCGCACUAGUUCAAGUCUCGUAUUUUUAGCCGCACAUGAGGGACGGCAUCGAGGUAUAUGUGCGAACUUUGUCUUGUGUGCCAACAAGAUAAGGUGGAUCAUCAACUUCCAGUGGGAUUGUUGGAGCCGCUGUUGAGUGUUAGAAAAUGCAUAUUUAUAUAGGAGAAAACCGUCAUUUUACAUUUCAAGUCUUACUAACAACCCUUACUUUUAUGUAUUUAACAUUCUUGUGAUUUAAUUACGUGUGUUUUAUUUUAAUUAAGUAAUUUAUGUAUUUUAAGGGCAUUAUAGUCAUUUCACAAUAAAGGAGAGAUCAGACGGCAAAACGGACAUCACUUUUGAACUCAGGACGGUCGAAAACCUUAGGAGGAGCAUAAAAGGAAAAAUGGCACUAUUCACAGGUACGGUACUAUUCACGGGUACGGUACUGUCUACGUUACUGUUCACGACACUGUUCACAUAGACGGAUCGAUGACGUGGCAUUGACCGAUGAUGUGGCAUUGACUGAUGAGGUGUCACAAUCCUGUUGGACUAAAAUUCUUAUAUACCGUUGAUAGUGACGUGGCAGCAUAUUAGUGGACGAAAAAUCUCGCGUACGGUGCAUGCAUCACACAGGAUUAUUUUCAACCAAACCGUGUUACUGUUCAUCCGGGUCAAACCGUGUUACUGUUCAUCCACGUGGUCAAACCGUGGACUGUUGACUGAUGACGUGGCGCAAUCCUGAGCGUCCAAACUGUUUUUAAUCUGAUGGCCAUGAUUUACUCCAUGUAUCUAUAAAAAGGGGGCCUCUCCCCCCUAAUUUGAUAUCUCUGAAUCCAUUUUUGGGAUCCAUUUUCUGUAAUUCCCUCUCCAUCUUGUAUUUUCUUCGUAUUUUAAUAAAUUCUCAUUUUGCCCCUAGUUCAAUUAUGAGUGGCUAAUUUUCUUUCAAGCUUGGGUUGAAGGUGAAGUCUCAACAUGUGUCAUGGGCUUAAUUUGGUAAAUUUAUUUUCUCUUCCCCUCUAGUUUUUGUGGAUGUUUUGACUUCUCGUCGACAAAUAAUAAUAAUCUUGUCUAGAUACCGCCUUGGUUACACCGGCUCUCUAGUAUAAGGUUAUUAUUAUUUGGCACGAUAAGCCCUUAGCACCAUAUUGAUUAGAGCGUGGUUCAUGAGGUGUGGAUUCCCCUCUCAUGAUUUAAUUGACAUUAAUAAGGAUUAUUUAGCCCAUGAUGCAUAUUGAUACGAAUCCGAAUACCCAAGUACGUCAUUUCAAUAGAAUUAUCUUCAAUUUAUUCUCGCCAUUUCAAUUCCAAUUUUAGAAUUUAUUCUCGCCAUUUUAAUUUAAGUUUUAGCAUAUACCAAAUCAUUUCCACCAUAAAUCCAACCACCCAUUUACAAAAUUAAUUCUACAUAUAAUUAAAAUCCACCUCCUCGUGGGAUCGACACUCGUCACCAUUGAUCUACACUACAAUAGAUUCGUGCGCUUGCGAGUACAUUAAAAUUUGCACAACAAGUUUUUGGCGCCGUUGCCGGGGAGGUAAGUAAUUUUAAUUCAUAGAAUUAAUUUUUGUGAAUAAUUUCUUUUAAUUGUUUUCUUGUAAUUUUUUAUUAAAAAAAAGAAAGAAAAAAAAGAGUGAAUUUAUAUUUUGAGUUAAGAAUUUUUAUUUAUUUAUUUUCUCUCUUCUUUACAAUUCUGUAAUUUAAUUUCCAAUUUAUUUUUCUUUGUAAUUUUUUUUUAUCUUAUUAAUUUAUUGUUAGUUAAUUAAUUUCACAAAUUUGUUUUAGUGUGUUUUUAUAGAAAGGUUGUAACAGCGCAAUAAGGUUAGUAUCGUAAUUUCUCCCUCUUCUUUAUUUUUAUUUGUUUUGUUCCCAUAUUUAUUUUUAUUUUAUUUGUUUUGCAUGCAUGGUCGUAGGUCAUUAUUACCUAAUCUUGAACCUAUAGACCUUGAACUUGAGAAAACACUUCGCACACAAAAGCACAUUAAAAAUAAAUUUGAAAUGGAUUUACAAGCACCACAGGAGAGGCCAUUUAAGGACUAUUUUAGUCCCUUAGCUAAUUUGAGCACAUCAUGUAUAAGGUACCCAAAUGUAGCUGCUAGGAGUUUUGAAUUAAAACCUAGUGUGCUAAAUUGUCUCCCCACAUUCUAUGGCUUAGAAAAUGAGGACCCAUAUAAUCAUCUGAAUGAUUUUCAUGCCAUUUGUCAAACUUUUAAGUAUGAAAAUUUUUCAGACGAUGAUGUUAAACUCAGAUUAUUCCCAUUUUCUUUAAAGGAUAGAGCUCGUUCAUGGUUAAAUACUUUACCUGCUAAUAGCAUUACAUCAUGGGAACAAAUGGUAACAAAAUUUUUGAAUAAAUAUUUCCCAGUGCAUAAAACCAAUGCUAUUCGCAGGGAAAUCUCAGAGUUUACUCAGAGAGAAGACGAGCAAUUUUUCAAAACAUGGGAGCGAUUCAAUGGGCUACUCUUGAAGUGUCCACAUCAUGGGUACGAAAAAUGGCACCAAUGUCAAUACUUUUUGGAGGGAUUACUACCGAAUGUGCAAGAAUGGCUAAUGGCAACAAGUGGAGGAGAGCUAAUAUCAAAAAGUGCAUCAGAGAUUUGGGAAUUCUUCCAGCGACAAGCGGAUAAUUCCCAACAACGGAGUCGAUCACUCAGGAAUACUAGAAGAAUUAAGGGAGUAAAUGAGGUUCAAAUUGGCGAGUCAACUUCGGGAAUCAAAGAAGUCAAGGAGAUGGUUGAAGGUCUCUCUCGACAAAUAGCAUCGUUAUCAACUGCUAAAUCAACAGAGGCACAUGACCAUGACUCAUACUCAGAUCAAGCCAAUGCCAUAGGUGUAAUAAGAAAGCCAUCAAAUUACAGCCCAUACUCCAACACAUAUAAUCCUGGAUGGAGAGACCACCCCAAUUUUUCAUGGUCUCAAGGACUCCAACAGAAUGGACCAGCAGCUCCAGCUCCACCAAUGCAACAAAUUCCUCAAGUUCCUCAAGCCUCUCAGCCACCAUUUAGACCAUACAAUCAGAACCAGAACUACUCUCAACCCAGACCAUGGGAGGAUGCAUUCCAAAAUUUCAAGAAUGUUACUCACUCCACGAUUGAGCAACAGAACCGCACUAUUGAUGGACUACGAAAUGAAUUGAGAGUGGGCUUCAACUCACAAGCCCAAUCAGUUUCAAGCCUCGAGAAGAUGGUGGGACAACUUGCUUCUUCAGUUCAGACCUUGGCAAUGACUGUUGAGAAAGGCAAGUUUCCAAGUCAACCAGUGCCUAACCCUAAAGGAGUACAUGAAGCAAGUACCAGUUCACCACAGCAGCAUGGAGAGAUCAAAGCAGUCAUGACCUUGCGAAAAGGAAAAGAAGUCGACAACAAAGUGGAGAUGCCGGUGACAAAAGAAAAUUAAAUUGUACCUGUGAAUGUUGAAGACUCACCACCGGAGGAGAAAGAAGAAACCAACCCACGAGAAUACGUUCCAAAAGCUCCAUUUCCUCAGAGGUUAGCGAAAGGAAAGAAGGGAAAGUCUACAGGUGAGAUUCUUGAAAUCUUCAAACAGAUAAGUGUUAACAUCCCUUUACUUGAUGCGAUUAAACAAGUUCCAUCUUAUGCCAAGUUUCUUAAAGACCUUUGUACUAAAAAGAGAAAUAUGCAUGUCCAAAAGAAUGCAUUUUUAACAGAAAACGUUAGUUCUAUACUCCAACAUAAAAUUCCUUUAAAAUGCAAAGACCCAGGCUCCCCCACUAUCUCGUGUAGUAUAGGGAACCACACAAUUGAGAAUGCUUUGUUGGAUUUAGGAGCUAGUGUAAAUUUGUUGCCUUAUUCUGUAUUUGUGAAACUUGGACUGGGAGAAUUACACCCAACUCCAGUGGUGUUACAGCUUGCAGAUCGGUCCACGAAAAUACCUCGUGGUAUUGUGGAGGAUGUGCUUAUCCAGGUAGACAAGUUUUAUUUUCCUGUUGAUUUCAUUGUAAUUGACACUCAACCAAUACAGGAUUCAAGGAAGCACAUCCCCAUUAUUCUAGGCCGACCUUUCUUGGCAACUGCAGAUGCUCACAUUCAAUGCAGAACUGGAAAUAUGCAGUUGUCCUUCGGCAACAUGACUAUGGAACUAAACAUCUUCAACAUUGCCAAACAACCUCACAAUGCAGAUGAUGGAAUUGUUGAUGUGGAUUUAAUUGAAACAAUAGUUGAUAAUACUUUUCUUUCAAACCUUAGUGAUGAUCCUUUACAAACAUGUUUAACUCACUUUGGUUUGGAUUUUGAUAUUGACAGAUCGGUCGAUGAGGUCAACGCCUUACUUGACUCAGCACCAUCUAUGGACACUAAUCAAUGGAAGUCAAGAGUUGAACAACUAGCACCAUCAGAGAAGAAACUCAUCCCAUCAUCAGAAUCACCACCGAAACUUGAGCUUAAACCAUUGCCCAACACAUUGGAAUAUGCAUUUUUGGGGGAAGAAAGUACUUUGCCGGUAAUCAUUUCAGCAUCCCUCAAUGACGAACAAAAAGGUAAGUUGUUGGAUGUUUUAAAAGAGCAUAAAGGAGCAUUAGGAUGGACCAUAGCAGACAUAAAAGGUAUAAACCCAGUAGACUGCAUGCAUUACAUUCACCUUGAUGAAAAUGCUAAAUCUACUAGGGAAAUGCAACGUCGGUUAAAUCCUAAUAUGAAAGAAGUUGUUAGAACAGAAGUCCUUAAGCUAUUAGACGCAGGUAUCAUUUACCCAAUUUCUGAUAGUUCAUGGGUCAGUCCUGUACAAGUUGUCCCCAAAAAGUCAGGAGUCACAGUAGUUACCAAUGCUGAUAAUGAAUUGAUACCAACUAGAGUAACUACAGGAUGGCGUGUAUGCAUUGAUUAUAGAAAGUUGAAUUCUGUCACACGUAAAGACCAUUUUCCUUUACCAUUUAUCGAUCAAAUGCUUGAUAGAUUAGCAGGCCAUGAAUUUUAUUGCUUUCUAGAUGGCUACUCAGGAUAUAAUCAGAUUCCCAUAGCACCAAAAGAUCAAGAGAAAACCACUUUCACUUGCCCUUUUGGUACAUUUCCAUAUAGGAGAAUGUCAUUUGGAUUAUGUAAUGCACCUGCUACAUUUCAAUGAUGCAUGUUAAGCAUUUUUUCUGAUAUGGUUGAACGAUUCCUUGAAGUCUUUAUGGAUGACUUUUCUGUCUUUGGUGAUUCAUUUGAUCAGUGUUUACAUCAUCUAACACUAGUUAUGCAGAGAUGUAUCGAGAAGAACUUGGUCUUAAAUUGGGAGAAGUGUCAUUUUAUGGUAAAACAAGGUAUUGUCCUCGGUCACAUCAUUUCGAGCAAAGGUAUUGAGGUUGACAAAGCCAAGGUGGAUCUCAUUUCUAAUCUUCCUCCACCCAAAACAGUCAGAGAAGUAAGAUCUUUCCUUGGGCAUGCUGGUUUUUAUAGACGUUUCAUUAAAGAUUUUAGCAAAGUUUCUAGACCCUUAUGCAAUCUACUUGCUAAGGAUGUACCUUUUUUCUUUGAUGAUUCAUGUCUUGUGGCAUUCGGAAAAUUAAAGAAGUUGUUGACAUCAUCACCCAUCAUUCAGCCCCCAAACUGGAGCUUACCAUUUGAGCUCAUGUGUGAUGCAUCUGAUUAUGCAGUAGGAGCAGUAUUAGGACAAAGAGUUGAUCGAAUUCCCCACGUUAUUUACUAUGCUAGUAUGACAUUGAAUGAUGCACAGUUGAACUAUUCAACUACUGAAAAAGAAAUACUAGCAGUAGUGUUUGCAUUGGAAAAAUUUCGAUCUUAUCUCAUUGGUUGUAAAAUAAUUAUAUUCACAGAUCAUGCUGCUCUUAAAUAUCUUCUCACGAAAAAAGAUGCAAAAGCUAGACUAAUUCGUUGGGUGUUGCUUUUGCAGGAGUUUGACUUGGAAUUCAAAGAUAAGAAAGGCACAGAAAAUGUCGUGGCGGACCAUCUCUCUCGUCUCCAUUUUGACACAAUUACAGAAUCAUUACCAUUGAAUGAGUCAUUUCCAGAUGAACAAUUGAUGAGUGUGGAAGUAUUACCAUGGUAUGCUGAUAUCGUUAAUUAUCUUGUUACAGGUCAACUUCCAGAGCAUUGGACCAAGCAAGACAAGGCUAAAUUCUUUGCAGAAAUAAAGAAUUUCUUUUGGGAUGACCCGUAUUUGUUCAAGUAUUGUGUAGACCAAAUUGUUAGACGAUGUGUCCCAGAAAGUGAAAUUCAAAAUAUCCUUUCAUUCUGCCAUGAACAAGCUUGUGGAGGCCAUUUCAGCGCUAAGAAAACAGCGACUAAAGUUUUACAAUGUGGUUUUUAUUGGCCAACUAUAUUUCGAGAUGCUUACACUUUCUGUUCUUCAUGUGAUAGGUGUCAACGAAUGGGGAGCAUUACACGAAGGAACAUGAUGCCACUAAAUCCAAUUUUAGUGGUUGAGAUUUUUGACGUAUGGGGUAUCGACUUCAUGGGACCCUUUCCCCCGUCUUUUGGUCAUCAAUACAUAUUGGUUGCUGUUGACUACGUAUCAAAAUGAGUAGAAGCAAUUCCAUGCAGAACCAAUGAUCACAAGGUGGUGAUAGGAUUUUUUAAAAGCAACAUUGUUUCACGCUUUGGAUUCCCUCGAGCAAUAAUCAGUGAUGGUGGUGCCCACUUUUGUAACAAAGCAUUCAAAGCUCUUUUGACAAAGUAUUCAAUCACACACAAAGUGGCGACUCCGUAUCAUCCACAAACCAGUGGCCAAGUUGAGAUCUCCAAUCGAGAAAUAAAGCACAUAUUAGAAAAAACGGUGAGGCCAGACAGAAAAGAUUGGUCAUUAAGACUUGAUGAUGCAUUAUGGGCAUAUAGAACGGCUUUCAAGACCCCGAUUGGGAUGUCACCCUACAGGCUAGUGUAUGGAAAAGCUUGCCACCUACCUGUGGAACUCGAGCAUCGUGCGUAUUGGGCCAUCAAGAAAUUCAACUUUGACAUGCAGCAAGCCAGCUCAGAAAGAAGAUUACAACUGGCAGAACUUGAAGAAAUUCGCAAUGACGCAUACGAAAAUGCCAAGAUUUACAAGCAACGGAUGAAAGUCUUUCAUGACAAGCAAAUUAUGAGAAAAUCGUUCACUCCAGGUCAGAAAGUGCUUUUAUUCAAUUCUCGCUUGCACCUAUUCCCAGGUAAGUUACGCUCUCGUUGGUCUGGUCCCUUUAUUGUUCAUACUGUUUUUCCACAUGGGGCAAUUGAAAUUAAGGACCCAAAGAACGGUGUCACGUUUAAAGUUAAUGGUCAAAGAUUAAAGCCAUAUCUAGAGUACUAACCACAUGGAGAAGACACCGAAAUAAAUUUGAGUGACCCACCAGAUUUGAAUUGAUUUUUUUUCUUUCUUUUCGUUGAUUUGAUUUUUCUUUCUUUCUUUAUAUUAUUCUUUUGCUAAUUGAAAUUAUUUUUGCAUAAGUGUGUUUGUUUAACUAUUAAGUUUUCUCUUAUCAUUGUUAAUCAUGAGUCUCAUACUUAGACCAUUCCUCCUGAACAUUCUUAAACCACUUCAACGUGUCAAAACUCAUCUCAAAAGACAGAUUCAAUUUUGUAAAACACAUCGUAUUUGGGCUCUACAACCACCAGAGUUAGUAGCCUAUGUUGAGGGUUUAGAAAGCCAACUCAGAGACAUUGAGAGAAGUGUUUACGACAUCCAGUUGGAGCUUGAGGUAAAUUCAAUAAGAGGACGAUUUUAAUUUUCAUUGUGUGUUUUAAUUUGUUUUUCUGUUUGUGUGCUUUAGUUUGUUACCCCAGUGAAGUGGCGGAUAACGGUACUCCGUGACAAUCCAGUCGGUUACUUCAGUUUCCCAUAAUAACUGAUAUUCUGAGGCGAAGGUAUGGACAGAAACGAGAUUCUAGCGAAACUUCACAAGCGAUUCCCUUCACUUCCUCAGAAUGCCCUCCUUACGAUCUAUAAAGCUCGGUCUGAACGCAUGCGAUUACUCAUGAGGAAUAAAAUACCUGCUGACAUUCGUUGGUUAAUCGAAGCUAAAGUACGAUCGGCAGGUGAGUUACCUCCAAAAUUUAUUGCAUACAUGCCUGGUUGUGGUAAAGGAAAUUAUGCAAGAAAACGACGAGCUCGAAGAAUUUUUGUUGCUUGUCAUAAGUGCGCCAGAAUGAGUUGCAAUAAAAACCCAUGUUCUUUAGGAAUGGUGUCUGAUAACAGGGAAGAUAAGAUUCAAUUCAUUAGGGAUGGCUUGAAUAAGGAGUCAUUGGAUGAUAUCCUUUUGUCUCUUGAAACACAUCCCAGUGGAUAUGUGCAAGGAGCGAUUCUCCAGUUAUGGCCAUUAUUCCAGAAAGAGCAUGCACGAUACAGUCUCGGGAAUCUGACUAUAAACGACCCUGUUUGCCAGUUUGUAAGAAAACUGGAUAGGAAGCCUAUCCUCGACCCAUAGAGGGCGUUCAAGCCGUUUCUGGACGUAAAACCAGAAGAAGAUGUGAGCCACAGUCGCAACUACCUGUAAAUAUCCUUUUACUUUAUUGUUAUUUUAUUUCACUAUUGUCUUAUUGUUUGCAUUAUUGUCUUUAAUAAUUUUAUUACUGUUUGCUUUUUCCUUUUUACUGUUUUCUUUUUGACUUGCGAGCCACGUGCUUUACGCGUUAUUUGACACUGACAUAUUACCUCAUACACAACCAUGACCCACUAUCACCAAGACUCUUAAAUGUGAUAUCUUUUGUCCAGCACUCACAAAUUAUUUUUUUGAGAAGUAUCACAAUGGCAGCUACUCCAAAUAGCCAAUUCAAGAACAUUUGUGUGCUUUCUGGAUUUACCUAUGGCAAACAUAAAGAGUUCGUUGAGGCAGCCAUAGAUCUUGGUCGAAGCAUAGCAGAGAGAAAAUUACACUUGGUGUAUGGAGGAGGUAACCGAGGGUUAUCAAAAAUGGUCUCAGAAGCAGCUUUUAUCAGAGGAAGUCAAGUGUUAGGCAUCAUCCCAAGAGUCCUAAAACCAUUGGGCAGUUCGUCUGAUUCAUCAACUGGAGAAGAGUUAGUCGUCUCAGGUAUGCAAGAAAGAAUAACUGAAAUGCUUAAUCAUGCUGAUGCUUUUAUUUUCCUUCCAGGAGAUCUUGCAACACUAGCGGCACUUAUCACACUAGCAUCUUGGGCCCAUCUGCACAUCCACCAGAAACCCAUCGGUUUGUUCAAUGUCAAUAACUUUUAUGAUGGCUUUAUCGCAUUUCUUAACCAUGCAAUAAAAAACUACUUCAUUCCUUCCCAUGUGAAAAAACUUUUUAUUUGUGCUCACACUGCUAAUGAGCUACUUGAUCUGUUACAAGCUUUUAGACCGGAGCCAAACCCCUGGACCUUUGUGUUGGAGCGACCAAAUACUGAUGGUAACAGUAGCAGCAGUAAGAAGUACAAAUUAGAUUUAACUCUCCGCCUGUAAAUAUUUUCUUCUGUGUUGCACCACCCAGGUGAUGUCUUCUAAACUCUACUUCUUUCCUUUUAAACAUUGAGGACAAUGUUUCGUUCUGGUUGGGGGGAGGGAAUAGUCGACAAUUGUGGAAUCUUGGUUAAGUUUUUACUAAUUUUUUGUUGUAGAAACUAACUGUUGCUAACUUUUUGUGUUGAAGAUGGCUGAAUAUAGAGUGUAGUUACUCUAGAAACGCAUCUUCAUUGAUUAAAAAAAAUAAUAAAAUAAAAAAAUAAAAAAAACAAAAAAAAUAAAAAAUUUCUUUUUCUUUAUUAAGUUUUGAUGUUCAUUUUUCUUCUUCUUUUUAAUUUCUCCUCUAUAAAUAUACAUUUUCCAACUUUUGAGUCGAAGAUGGCUGAAUAUAGAGUGUAGUGCCUCUAGAAACGCAUCUUCUAAGUUAAAAAAAAAAAAUUCAUUUUCGUUUUCUAUCAUUUUAAGUGUAACUUUUCUAAUUAGUUUUUAUGCAUCAUUUUCACAUUUCUGCAUGCAUAUUUUCCUUUCAUGUUUAGAAUAGGUUGGGGGGUAGAAUGUUGUUUAAAAAAAAAAAAAAUUGUGUGAUUUGUUUUAACAUUGGAUGACAUGAUUAAUUUUAAAUUUUAGUAUUUGUAUUAUCUUUGGUCUUAAGUGAUGUUACAUUAUGUUUGCUACUCUACAUGUUGAUGUCGGAGACAUAUAUGAGUUGCUUGAAGGAAUGAACAUGUCAUAAUAAGUACCAAGUGAGUUUUUGAGCCUAUCAUUUUUCUUGGAGAGUAACCCUUUUGCCCAUUCUUUAUACAGCUUAGCAGUUUAUUAUUGUAUACACGAUCUCUAGAUUUCUUUUGAGUUAACCCUUAAAAAAAAAAAAAAAUGUGUGUGUUGCUACAUUGGGAGGCCCAUCUAACUAGUAGAUAUGGAUGAUUAUUUAGAGCCCUAAAAGACGAUGGAAAGGCCAUCUUUGAUCCGUUUGAGACUUUCUAGCCAUCCCUUUUAUUAAAUAUCCAUAGUUAACCCUUUUGAGCCUUUUAAAAAAAAAAAAAACAUUUUCUUUGUCAACUUAUCAUCUUGACCCACUCCGAUUUGGAGUAUUACCCGAUAUCUUAUAAGUUCCAUCACCUAUUUAUGUUUGAGAAAAUGUAAAUAAUUAUGUUGAUCAGUGAAGUUAUACCAAAAAAAAAAAGCAAAAAAAAAAACAACAAAACAAAAGUUGUUGUUUCAAAAGAAUAAAAAUAACAAUAAUAUGUGAAAUCCACCUUGCAACUUCCACAAAAAAAAAAAAAAAAAUUUCUCUGCAUUUUUCUCAAACAUACACUUUGUUUUCUUUAUUUCCUUUCUUUGUUAACCAUGUCCCUAGCCUACGUUACAUCCUAAUAAAAGUCCUUCCUGAUUUUAGAGAAUUAUAAUCUGAAGUAGAAGCUGGUUAUAUGGGCUAAAAAGAUGUAGUGGUGCAUAUAAAAAAAAUAAAUAAAUAAAUUGGGUUGACUAACAGUUUUUAUUUGACUUGAGAUCGUAUUAUUUUUAAGCUGAGGGCAUAUUUAUUUUAUCUUGGUGAGAGCAUGUGAUAUCACUUCUUCAUUAUUUUCUCUCAAUUACCAUUCAUUGGAGUGACUAUUUUUAUUUGGUUUAAUUUCUUUGUGAGAGUGUCACUACUUCCAGUGAGAUUUUGGGGUUUGACAUGUCAUUCUUGAAAGUAGCUAUAACAAAGUCUACUGGGCUGAUUCAUGUGGAUGGUUGAUGUGGGUGUGAUGUUGCUUUAGACUGGAGAUAAUGCUUAUACUUUUAUUUGAUUGUUAUCAUUAAUCUGAUUGAAUAAACACUCGUGUUUCUAUAAAAAAAAAUCAUUUUGAAUUUGAAUUUUGUUUUCGCUUUAUUUGCUAGGGACUAGCAAUAAGUUGGUUGGGGGGUGUGUUGAGUGUUAGAAAAUGCAUAUUUAUAAAGGAGAAAACCGUCAUUUUACAUUUCAAGUCUUACUAACAACCCUUACUUUUAUGUAUUUAACAUUCUUGUGAUUUAAUUACGUGUGUUUUAUUUUAAUUAAGUAAUUUAUGUAUUUUAAGGGCAUUAUAGUCAUUUCACAAUAAAGGAGAGAUCAGACGGCAAAACGGACAUCACUUUUGAACUCAGGACGGUCGAAAACCUUAGGAGGAGCAUAAAAGGAAAAAUGGCACUAUUCACAGGUACGGUACUAUUCACGGGUACGGUACUGUCUACGUUACUGUUCACGACACUGUUCACAUAGACGGAUCGAUGACGUGGCAUUGACUGAUGAGGUGUCACGAUCCUGUUGGACUAAAAUUCUUAUAUACUGUUGAUGGUGACGUGGCAGCAUAUUAGUGGACGAAAAAUCUCGCGUACGGUGCAUGCAUCACACAGGAUUAUUUUCAACCAAACCGUGUUACUGUUCAUCCGGGUCAAACCGUGUUACUGUUCAUCCGGGUCAAACCGUGUUACUGUUCAUCCACGUGGUCAAACCGUGGACUGUUGACUGAUGACGUGGCGCAAUCCUGAGCGUCCAAACUGUUUUUAAUCCGAUGGCCAUGAUUUACUCCAUGUAUCUAUAAAAAGGGGGCCUCUCCCCCCUAAUUUGAUAUCUCUGAAUCCAUUUUUGGGAUCCAUUUUCUGUAAUUCCCUCUCCAUCUUGUAUUUUCUUCAUAUUUUAAUAAAUUCCCAUUUUGCCCCUAGUUCAAUUAUGAGUGGCUAAUUUUCUUUCAAGCUUGGGUUGAAGGUGAAGUCUCAACAUGUGUCAUGGGCUUAAUUUGGUAAAUUUAUUUUCUCUUCCCCUCUAGUUUUUGUGGAUGUUUUGACUUCUCGUCGACAAAUAAUAAUAAUCUUGUCUAGAUACCGCCUUGGUUACACCGGCUCUCUAGUAUAAGGUUAUUAUUAUUUGGCACGAUAAGCCCUUAGCACCAUAUUGAUUAGAGCGUGGUUCAUGAGGUGUAGAUUCCCCUCUCAUGAUUUAAUUGACAUUAAUAAGGAUUAUUUAGCCCAUGAUGCAUGUUGAUACGGAUCCGAAUACCCAAGUACGUCAUUUCAAUAGAAUUAUCUUCAAUUUAUUCUCGCCAUUUCAAUUCCAAUUUUAGAAUUUAUUCUCGCCAUUUUAAUUUAAGUUUUAGCAUAUACCAAAUCAUUUCCACCAUAAAUCCAACCACCCAUUUACAAAAUUAAUUUUACAUAUAAUUAAAAUCCACCUCCUCGUGGGAUCGACACUCGUCACCAUUGAUCUACACUACAAUAGAUUCGUGCGCUUGCGAGUACAUUAAAAUUUGCACAACAGCCGCUACCACUAGCAACAAGGCCAUGGGAAAGUGUCUCCAUGGACUUUAUUACUUCGCUGCCCAAGUCCGAAAGUUACGGAAGCAUCAUGGUCGUUGUCGACUGAUACAGCAAGUACGCCACAUUCAUUGCCGCACUAAUUGAUUGCAAAGCGGACGAGGCAGCCCGCCUAUUCGUCAAGCACAUUGUGAAGCUUUGGAGAGUUCCAAAGAGCAUUGUGAGCGACCGAGACCCUCGGUUCACUGGAUGCUUUUGGACGGAGCUCUUCAAGAUGUUGGGGAUCGAUCUUAAGUUCUCGACAAGCUUCCACCCACAAACGGAUGGGCAGACCGAGCGCAUCAAUGGCCUCCUCGAGAUGUACUUGAGGCAUUAUGUGAGUGCUCAUCAGCGGGAUUGGGCGAAGCUACUCGACAUCGCCCAAUUUUCUUAUAACUUGCAGCGAAGUGAGGCUACGGGCAAGAGUCCGUUCGAGAUCAUCAUGGGAUUCCAGCCAAUGACUCCCAACGCCAUAGCCUCGACUUACGGAGGGAAAAGCCCCGCGGCACACAAGCUCACCCGCGAAUGGCAUGAGGAAGCGGACAUCACGCGAGCCUACCUCGACAAAGCCGCGAGGAAGAUGAAAAAAUGGGCGGAUACGAGGAGACGGCAUGUUGAGUACAAGGAAGGUGAUCAAGUCAUGAUCAAGCUCCUACCCCAACAAUUCAAGACUUUGCGGAAAGUUCCCAAGGGGUUAGUGAGGCGCUACGAGGGACCCUUCCGAGUUGUUCGACGUGUGGGCAACGUCUCGUAUCAACCCCAACUUCCGCCAAGACUCAAGAUCCAUCCGGUCUUCCAUUUGAGCCUUCUCAAGCCAUAUCACGAAGACAUAGGAGGUGCGCGCCAACUGCCGUUGUCACCGCGUUCGACAAAGAUGUAGACUACAUCAUUGCGGACCGCACGGUUUCGAGGAGGGGCGUGCCAGCACAUAGCGAGUACUUGAUGAAGUGGAAAAACCUCCCCGAGAGCGAAGCCACUUGGGAACGUGAAGAUGAUUUGUGGCAAUUCGCUGAGCACAUCCAGCACUUCAAGCACGAGAGCGCGACGAGGACGCCGCGAGCUUAGGUAGGGGAGGAUGUUGCGGACCACCCAAUUCGCUAGCCCAAUUGCCCACAAUUUCGGGCUAGAGAGCCAACACAAGGCCAAGAGUGCUAGCUUGGCCCAAUUCCGGAACAUUCUAGGCAACUCUAGCACAUUGAGCUUGUAAAUACUCUAGAACUCUCCUUACAAUUCCAGCACAUGUAAAUAGCUAGGAAGUGGUAGAAUUCUCUAGAAUCUCUAGAGCUUGGCAAGCCUCCCCUAUAAAUAUGGGAUGGCAUUAGGCAUUUGCAUCCAACAAACACUACAACAAGCAUUGUAAGCAACUCAAGCAUUGUAAUCUCUCUUCGUGCAAUAAAAGUUUCUUAUUCGGCUCCAUUGCUCUCUUCUCUAUUUCGAGAAGCUCUAGGCUUACUAGCAACAUUCGGCAAAGUUGUCUAAGUGUCGCAUGGGUUAGCUGCGCAAAAUACUCAUCCCGUGACAACUAGAUCAACAAAGAAUUGAAGACUUGCUUUUGCUAUUUAACCAUGCGAUGGCAAUUCGAAGACUACAGCUUAGCUCUGCCAUUCGAAGUAAGCAAUUCAGCUGCCCAAAUACUGCCAAGCCAUCAAGACAAUAACAAGAUAUAUGGGUUAAUCGCAAAAGAGACAACCCGAGAUCUCUAAUCGCAAAAGAGAGGCAAGCAGGCCCUUCUCUGGAAAGUACUUGAGCUUGGGACAAUUACAGAGUUUAAUGAAAUAAGGUUUUGAUGAUCAACAAUUGAAGAAGACAGGCAGUCCAAAUUUAGUAAAUUAACAAUCACCAAAUAUGGUAGGGUGGCAGGCAAAGGAAGCGUGGUUCCUAAUCCUAAUCUUGAUUGAUAACUGGCUAUGUAACAUGUGGCAUUCUACAUUCUUGCAAUGCCAUUAAUUUCUUGUUAUGGCAGCAGCGUUCUUUCAUCAUGGCAUCACAAGCAAAUGUUUGAUUUGAAGACUUGCUUAGCUGAGAAAAAUAAGGAGAGCAAAGGUAAUUAAUUUUGGGGUGAUGAAUAUCUUUAUGGGUGUACUAAGAAAAAUAAAGAUAAUAGAAGUAAUGUUAUUGAGAAGCAUUUUGAUAUUUACAAAAGUGUUGUUAGAGUGCAAUUUAUGCACUAGUUUUGCAUUGUUUACUUCCCUUAAUAUCAAUGUUUUGCACUUAAUAAUAGUAAUUUACUUGUGUUUUACCUUUGUAGGUGUAAUUCUAUUGAUUGGUGAUAAAAUUGAGCUAUAAGAUGAUGUUUAAGGAUGAUUGGUCUCUUAGAGAAAUUAUGAGCGUCAGAAGAACUUUGUUGAUAAGGCGUGGGCGCGUGCUGUCAACUGCGGACCUGCAGUUUUUAGUUUAACGUGUUUUGUAUUUUUGGUUAUUUUUGUAAUUACGAAUUUAAUAUUUCAGAUAUUAGUAUUUUAUUUUAAAUAGAAUUCUAAAAGAGAAGAGAGAGAGAGUAUUUAAAGGAGGAAUCUAUUGUGAAAGGGGGGAUGGGGAUUGGAGAAAAAGAAAAGAAACCCUAGAUCUUAAUUUUUCUCUUCUCUCUAUGAAGAACUAAACCUAUUUUUUCUGGUUGAAGGAUAAUGAAGCUUUGAUUCAUCACUACUGUGAGAUCUUUCUUAUGCUUUAAUUGUUUUAUUACUUUUUGGGUAUUUGUUUAUUCUCUGAAUUAGUUUCAUGAUUAUGUUUGUUAAUUAGGUAAUUGGCCACUAUUUAAUUAUCAACUUAAUCUAUUGUCAAUUAAAGGAUUCAUCGUAUGAAGAAUUUAAUGUUUGUGACAAAUAACAUAGCAGAGAGUUGUGUUGUGAGAAUAAACAAUCUAAUUUAAAUGAAUCAUCAUAUGUGUUGAUUAUGAUUUGGGUCUCUCUGGUUUUUCAGGCUGUCAAUUGAUUAAAUCCUAUGAUCGUAUCUAGGGUUGUCUAUUGAUUAGGGAAAUAUCCAACGAUCGUACCUUGGUUAUCGACUAGUUAAGGAGAGAUUGGCUAUUAGAGGGUCUCAAUAGCUAUAACCGGUCUAUUCAUAAGUAAUAAUAAUCUAUAUUUGAAUCAAUGAUCAGUAGUCGAAUCAAGUUUAGUUAAUUCCUUCAACCAGAGCUUUCUCCAAUUUGAAUUACAACUUUAAUUUACAUUCUUGUUAUUUUAAUUUGAUUUUUAUUAUUGUCAACAAAACCCCCAUUUUAUGUUUUAUGUUUUAAAAGGAUUUAAAUAAUUACCAAUCUCUGUGGACACGACCCUGCUCAAUCACUAUACACAAUUUAUUUAGAGUAGGAAUUUAUUUUUGUUGGCUUCGACACCCAUCAAGUGUUCAAAGAAAAAAGUUUUUUUUCUAUAUCUAUUUGCUGGUGCACAUAACAAAAGGGCAUUCUGAGUAAAUUUAAAACUACAAAUAGUCUCACUCUUUUAAUAAUAUUCUUCAAUUAAUUCUGUUUAUUUCAAAAUAAAUAUUCUAUCUCUUAUUACUUUCUAACUAGUCAUGCUAAUGUGCCAAUAAUUAUGAAGAACUAGUGUAAUUUAUAUGAUAUAAGAACCCCUUUAGCACAUUAACCCGAAUUUAGCUAAUACAUGUGCCUAAUAUAGCGAAAUCAACAUUCAGCGCAUUAGAGUGCUAUUAUAUAUAUUGAGAAAGAAAUUAACACAAAAAACUGAAUAUUAAUUGACACAGGAUCAUGUUGGAUUGUCAGUUGUUAAUUAUGAUGGGAAUACAAUCUUCAUCAUUGCGACUACUUGACUCAAUUAUGCUAUUGCAAGAGGAGAUUUAUAUUUUGUCUGGUUUAAGCCGUAAGAUGGAUUUCAAGAUUCAUUCUGAUUGGUUAUCUGUUAGCUUUUUGUUUUAAGAACUUCUUAUUUACGGAAGCCAAAUUCUUCUUUCCAGGUUGAUUCAGAUUCAGAAGUUGCUUCUGUCCUAUCAGAAGAAGAGGCCAUCUUUAAGGCCUUGUCUAACACUGUGGAAGUACUAGAAGGGACUACUGCGCUGAUUGACUUUUUCAUGAGCUUCUCUUCCAUUUGAACAUGAGAGUAAUCAGAUAGUUGACAUAUAUGUUACAAAAGUUGGAAGCAACUUAAGCAAUUCAGUAUCAUGUGAGGACUAUAAUAAUAAGCCGAUUCUUUUGCUUGGAUUUUUUUGUUAAUUCACUCGCUGCAUGCUUAUCCCACCUCUGAUUUUUCUUAAUAUUUCUCUGUAGUUCACUUCACAGCACUUUAGCCGCUACAUUGGCAUUUUCUGCUAUUUGUUAUUGUUCAUUGAAGCAAGUUAGCUUAUGAGAUUGCUUUUUGGUAAAUGUUCUUCAGGGGGGUUGUGAAAGGCCAAAUCAACUGAGAUGACCGGGUUUUCUAGAUCAGCCAUCUCUGUCCUCAACAACUGUCAAUUACUGAGACACCAAACUCUAACCUGAUUCAUAUGGAUUUAGACUAAAGCUUCUUGCCGAUACCGUCCCCAGUCAAAGCUGCUAUCCUUGAAAGUUUUGCAAGAGAAAACAUGUCUGAGUCAGACAUUGACGUCCCCCCAAGCAUCAAACAGUAUAUCAAGAGCAAUGUUGGUUUCCCAGUCGAUACAAAUGCAGAAUUCAUAUAUGCAAAUUGCUCUCAAUCUCUGUUUAAUAAGCUAGUCCUCUGCUGUAUCCUACAAAGUGGAACAAUACAUUAUGCUUCCCAGCAGACUCCAAUGGGAAGUAUGUUUCUGCUGCCAAAUUUUUGAAAGCUAUCAUUGUGAAUAUCCCUCCCCAGUCUGAAGUGGGCUUUGAUACUUGUGACAAUACUCGAUCGAGACUGUAAAGAAGCCGUGGGUGUACAUUUCUGGUCCAACAAUCAAUCCAACUGGCUUGCUUUUACAGCAGGAAAGAGAUAGAGAAUAUAUUAACUGUUUGUGCAGAAUAUGGGGCAGGAGCUUGCUUAGUGUCGUGUCAAAAUAAAUAUAACAAAGUUUUAGCUGAAUAUAAAUUCGACUUAGUUAUUAUAGAUAUUUAAUAAAAUAAUAACACGAUUAAUAUGAUACUUCAUGAAAAAAAGAUUUAAUUUAUUAUUUCUACUAGUAAAAACUAUUAAUUCAUCAACCCAUCAAGAUUUUUUUUCUUUUUUUUUUUUUUUUUUUUUUAAUUCAACCCAUCAAUCUUUGUUUGUAACUGCCAGACCGUCAGUUUCUUAAGGCUCACGCAGUGCAAGGGUAGUGUAUCGUUUCUUUCUAACUGAAAUGGGAACUCGGAUGCUGAGAAAAUAUGCCUGCAUGACUUCAUUAAUCCUGCAGGCGUGGUACUAUCACUAUGCAACAUUACAUUAACAUUUCCUCAUCAAUCAAUUUUGAUGGUCUGAUAUUGAAAACGUCGAUUUCAUAAUUUUGUGUAAUUUCAUAGAAAAUAUAUAAUUGAUUUGAGUUAGUUUAACAUAUAAUGAAAGAGUAAUGGGGAAUGAUAUUACUGUGGCGUUUGAUGAGUAAUGAUAGACAACAAAUAUGGAUCAUGUAAUAAUGAAAUAUGUAUUUACUGAAAAAAAUUUGGCAACAAAAUGAUGCUUUAAAAAUUUAAGAUUAUUUGCUAGAAAUAAUUUGACAAUUAAAAGUAAAAGAUAUAUUUGCAAUGCUUCGAGUUUAUUUUAUCACUUCACAGACCAUUUUGUAACCACAUGUUAAAUAGAAGUUCAAUUAAUUCUGACAAAGGACUCUAGAAGAGAUUUGAUUUUUGUAUACCAAAAAAAUUAGAGAUAAGAUAAGUUAAAAUCAAUUAGAAGAACAACAAUAAGGAUAUAUUUUAUAAAAGCCACAAAUACAUAUAAUAUAAAUUUAGUUUUGAAUUAGUAAUUAUUAAUUUAUAUAAUAAGAGAGUCUUAUAGGAAAGUAUAAGAGUCUUAUAGUAAGAGAGUCUUAUAGUAAUUAUUAAUCUGUGAAAUCCCCGGCCCCGCUCAAUCAUUGACUUCCAAAUCUCCAUAUUACCCAAAAUAUAAACUGACUGAAGGUUGGUGGGAAGGCCAUCUUCUUCAAGGCUUGGAAGCUCACCUCCUAUUGUUAAUUCUUGAAGAGAGGUCAGAUUGUGCAAUCCCUUGGGUAAGGCCUCUAGUCUCUUACAAUCAAGUAUCGUCAGCCUCGUGAGUUUCGCACAAGGCAAUCCCCCUUGGGGAAAGGACACUAGAUUUCCACAAUACGCUAUGCUAAUCUCUUGAAGCUGGCGGAGAUUAUGUAAACCACUCGGUAAAAUUUUCAGAUUUCCACAAUUAGAAAUGUCGAUUGUUUCAAGAGAUGUGUUGUUGUCCAACCUUUCUGCUAUUGACUCCAGCUUUGAACAACUCUCAACACGAAGGGACUUAAGAGACGGAGGUAGAUUGCCAACUUCAAGGGACUCAAGCGUGGCAGGUAACUCAUUUUUUGAAAAUAUACAUGUCAGUGAUGGACAGCUGUUAAUACGCAACUGCUCAAGAAGAGAUGAGGUGUACCUUCUAUUGCUGCUGCUGCUGCUACUCUGGACGCCCUCUUCCACUGUCAAAGUCCUUAUAUUAUCGCAAUCGCUGAUUCUCAGCUGCUUGAGGCUCGGUGGUAGCUGGACUCCAGCAAUAUAUGUCAACGAAUGGCAAACCCAAAUCUCCAAGAUCUCGAGAGAUGAAUUGGUGUCGCACAUCCAUACCUCUGGUAAUGAUUUCAGUGCAUCACAUUCCCUAAUCUCAAUUGUCUUCAACUUGGAAGGCAGAGCAACCUCAGGAAAGGAAACAAGGGAACUGCACUUGUAGAUUUCUAUCUCUCUCAAGGAACUGAGGCUGAGAGAUGAUUGUGGCAGCUUCACAAGGCCUUCGCAAUAUCUCAAUCUUAGAUAUUCGAGUCUGCAUGACAACUCGCAGACCUGCUGUUGUUGGCCUUUCUCUUCCUCCGCCACCAAGGAUUGAAGUUUGGGACACCGUCUAAUCGUCAGUCUUCUGAGAGAGCAAAUGUCUUGCAGUAAUUCGUUAUGACUCUUCCAUAUAUAUGUCUGCUCUUUCAUUUCAUUUAUCUUCAAUUCUUCCAAUUUUGGCGGUCGCGGCUUUAAUGGCCCUGCGAGAAACACUUGAUUUGAUGUAUCUCUACAAACCACUGAAUUCUGUGAGCCGAGAUGAUCAGUUGCACUUCUCCACACAACCUUUUUACAUCCACCAAUCUGUAAUUUGCAAAGAGCUGGAAGACUCGAAACUGAAACUGACAAUUCUUCACAUCCUUUAAUAACAAGCUUCUCCAAUGCAGGAAGGCGUUCUGGAAAUGUUCCUUGCAGCUUAGAACAUCUUAAAAUGUGAAGCUCUCUCAAUUUAGGAAACCCUUCAACUCCCUGACUGGAUCCAUGAGGAAUUCAGUCUUCCCAUCCUUGCAUGUCUUCAAAAUGAAGAGUCUCCAAGCAUGGAAAAGGAAUUGGAGUAUCAUUCCCAUAGAACUCUGAACCCAACCUCUUUACACUAGUCAUUCCACAUACUGCAAGAUGCUUUAGAGAGGGUAGUUGCCCGACUGACGGCAGGGUAGGACACAUGCCACAAUAUUCAAAUUUUAAGGUCACCAACUUUGAGAAUGAGGAAUCUCCGAACCAAGUUGGAAAUUUUGCACCUCUAUAGCCGCUGAUACUAAAUUGUUCCAAAUUUUUAUUGGGUUCUAGCAUGUCCAGCACGUCCUUUUCAAUUUCCGCCUCACUUGAAGACGAGCCAUCGGUACUGUGUGUCCAUCGAAGCAAUAAUUCUCUAAGAUUCUUCUUUCCAUCCAAUUGAGCCUCCUUUGCAUCACCAACGUCUUUUACAUUCUCCAAUUUUGAAAUGUUAAGUGUCCCAUGAAGGUGCGUCAACAACUUUAGCUCUCGUAAACCGGAACCACUGCCUUUUCCCACAACAAAAUUACACAACGUCUGAAGACUAGUCAACCUACCAAUUCCUACUGGCAUUUCCUCCAACGACUUCGUAUUUGAAUUCUUAAGAUGAUGCAAUUUGGCGAGGUUUCCCAUGUCUGCACACAACUUCUUCAGCCGAUCACAAUCUUCCAACAAAAGACUAUGCAAAUUGUAAAGCUUGUUGACUGAUUCAGGCAGAGUUCUAAUCUCAGUUCUAGACAGGUUAAGGUACCUUAAAUACCUCAAAUCACCAAUUGAAUCCGGCAGCUCAGGGAUGCAGUAUCCACGCAAAGAGAAGACCCUCAAGCGUCGGAGUUUGAGCAACUUAGGAAGAAUGCUAGGAGCCAAGAAGCCAGGCAAACUUUUUGUCAACAUUACUGGUAAAAAAGUUCUCAAAUGCUGGAUAUCAUACAAGUCCCCAAACCUUUUACCGCCAUCAAAAUAUUCAGGAAUGUAUGAUAGAUGACGAAGAUUUUCGGAAAAACUUUGCUGGUUGUAAAUUUCUGAGGUAUACUCCAUUGUGAAGUAUAUCUCCCCCGCAGCCCAACGGGCAAGGUCAUUGAUAAGAUCGUGCAUCACAAAUCGUGAUGUAUUGUUGCUUAAUUGCUGGAAAAAAGAUCUUGAACGUAGCUCUUGAAAGAACUUUCGACCUAGAACUUCGUUAGGAUUCCCAUUCUCUUUAUGAACCAAGAAACCUGAAGCACUCCAUAAUAAAAUUAUCUCCUCCUCUUCAAAUUCAUAAUCCUUCGGAAACAACGAGCAGUGUGCAAAGCAUUGUUUCAAAAUUGGAGGAAGAUAAUAGUAGCUCACUGCAAGAGCUGGUAUAAUGCCACAUCUCUUUUGUGGUAAUUCCCAUAUCUUGCUACUGAGCACAUCUUCCCACACACCUCUGUCAUGUUCUCCACAUAAAAGUCCUCCCAGUGUUUUUGCUGCCAAGGGCAAGCCAUUGCAUUUGAUCACUAUCUUCUUGCCAAUGUCCUCCAAUGACUUGUGUGAACUGAAAUCUCUUGUCCCCAAAGAGUGCUGAGCAAACACAGACAGACAAUCCUCAGUUGACCCUGCAAGUUGGCAGAGCAACUAAACAGAGGAAAACAAUUGAAAUUAAAACGCAAAAAUUGAUGGUAUUGGAGUUCCUUAUUUAGUUUUGCUGUAGGUCAUGGGAAUUAGAUGGCCAUAAUCCUCAGCUCAUGGCCGUUAGUUCAGAAUGACAAUUCUUAUUAGUCAAAGAAUCAACGGAUAAUUGAAGCUUGCUGGGCUAUUGAACCAUGCGAUGGCAAUUCGAAGACAACAGCAAGAUACAGCCAUUCGAAGUACAAAGACUGCAGUAGGAGUAAUUAAUUAAUACAAAGAUACAACAUCAAGACAAUACCAAAGACUGCCAAGCCAUCAAGACAAUACCAAGAUACAACAUCGAGAAUUACAUGCAGGCCCUAACGCAUUUUAUCCCUUCUCUGUUUUAAAAGAGAUUUACGAACCCAUGCAGUAGGCGUAAUUAAAUAAUUUAUGCAGUUCAGUACUCAUUCCUCCUCUGUUUCAAAUCCAAAUCCACUGCUCUACCAUUUAUUAUGACGCAAGGUAUAUGGGUUAGCAAGUGCUGUCAUUGUCCUCCAUCCUUUGAGUACGUUUCUUCCAUCAAGGGACAACCCGAGAUCUCUAAUCGCAAGUUGAGCCAAUUCAAGGAAAUCCCCUGUUUUUGACUGAAACAUACAUAAUCCGAACAAUUUAUAAUUAAAUAAAUCGUUCAAAAUCUCCUUUAGUCGAAUUCCCAUUUCCAUGGUUUAAUAAAAUAUCACAAAGUUGCCUAAUACAGUGAAAUUAGCAAAUUCAGCUCAUGAGAUUGCCAUUAUGUAUAGUGAAAAAGAAAUUAAUACAAUAAACUGAAAAUUAUGAGAAUAUAAUCUUGGUCUUUUAAGUAUCAUCCAGCUAAUGCAUGUGCACUUUCAUUUGUGUCCAUUACUGAAAAGUAAAGUGGCUUGAUUGAACAGUAUCAUAUGACAGAAACUCAAAACUCUAUUUCAUUGCCCGAGCAUACCAUGCCAUAUGUAAGCUCAAAAGUGCAAUAACAUUGAACAUUCAGCUAGCUAGCUCACACUAAUUAAUUUAUAGGACUGUUAGUUCUUUAUGAUUCACUAGAAGAGAAAAAAUUUGACAAUCAUGAAAACAACAAUAAUUCACUCCCAUAAACAACAUAACAAAUGCAUGGUCUAUUGCAAGUCUUUUUAUGAUUCUAAUUAAAAGAGAAAAUACAAAGGACAUAUUAUAUAUAUUUGAAUGUUCUCCUUGAUAAUAGACAAAAUAACACAAGUCUGGCUAACUAAUCCAAUCAUCAUUAUAGUCUGAUUUUCAUUAUUUAAUUAUGUCCAAUCAUGCUAAUUUAACAAAUAACACUGAACAUUUGAGUAUUUAUAUGUUAAACAGCCUUGGCUAAGUUAGAAAAACAUUAGAGCUGCAUUUACGCUUUGUGUUAUUAAGUAGGACAUGAAGAUAUUAUGUUGCAUUUGUCAGAAAACAGAAAAUUAUUGAAAAAAAUCUUAAAAGAGGUGUGUUGAAUUGUGAGCUUAAAACUGGGUUUUAGAUGUUUCUGCCAUGUCAGUUUAUAGCCCUGAUUGUGCAUGCUCUUUUGUUUGGAUGAAACAGGAGAAUAUUGACAUCUGUGCAUUGUCGUUUACUUCCUGUAAGUGAAUAUCAUGUUCUUCACGUGAUUUCACCUACUCCAUACGGCACAUUCGACAGUCGUUUUGGUCACUUACUGAAGCACGAGUGAAACACCUGAUUCAAGGUUGUGAGCCAUCUUUGUUUAUCCUCGUAGCAUCCUUGAUCUUAUAGUAUCCUUGUGGUUCUUGAAAGUUCUUCUCAUUCCCAUGUGCUGAGUCGCUUGCUGAGAUGAUGAAUAUUUGAUGGUCCUUCCUUGAGACAUUUGAUGGAUGAGAAAUGAUGUAACCAAUAUAGUUCUGUUUUGAAAAAUCACCAAAUGAUGUCAGAUAGUUCUGUUUUCUGUUUUGAAAAAUCAAUAUAAAUCAAUCACCUUAGAUUCUCUUUGUCUCAAAGCACUAUGGGUGAUGAUUUGAUGAGAAAUAUGGGUGAAAGAGAAGUAGGUUGGAAGGUUAGGUUUUGCAGCUGCUGCUCAUAGAUGAAAAAGAAAUAGUUUGGAUUUUCUUUAGGUUAGGUUAGGAGUUGUAACUUGCACACACCACACACGUGACAUGUUUGCACUUUACAUUUAUUUAAUUUAUUUAUUUUUAGAUUUAAUUAUUUUUUCAAUUAAAAUUACAUUAAAAAUAUUUGAGAAAAAAGUUACAGGUUUGGCGGAUAUCCAUACAGGUAUCCAUCGUAUAUUUAGCUAAUACUAAACCCACCCGUAAUGUAGUGCGGGUUUUAAUUUCUAAUACUAAACCCGCCCACAACCCGCAAAAUUACCCACAGUGGGCAAGUUUUGGCGGGCGGGUUUGGACGGACUUACGGAUUUGCAAGUACCAUUACCAUCCCUAUCUUUGGUAUGUGUUUAUCUUGUUUUCGUUCUUUUAUGAUGCAAGAUUCUUGGUUACAUUAGGAAUAAGAGUGAAAUCCCAAUCUUAAAAUUUGGAGAAAUAAAAUGUAAUAUGAUUUUUUUUUGAUUUUUUUCUACUAGCAAAAAUUAUUAAUUUAUUAACCCAUCAAGCUAUUGGUUUCAUUUGUAAGCCGGUCAGUCCAUUUUUUUGCUUUCAAUUGUUAUCUUUUAAAAGAUACUAGAAAAAUCUUACUUUGAGUGCAUUUUAUCACUUCACUAAUUUUUUGGUAAUUACAAGUUAGAAAAAUAAAUUAUUUCUGACCAAAGACACCAGAGAAUGUCGAAAAGCGUUUGAUUAAUUUUUGUAUACACACACAUAAGACAAAAUUAAAUUAUUCGUCAGCGUUGAUAGUGAGUCUGUUGCCUAUGUUGCAAUUUUCAGGUAUCACUGAAAAUUUUAGACCGUCAACACCUGCAGGAAAAUUAUAUACAUAUUCUAUCAUUCAACCUCAACAAAUAUAUUCUUUUCACUGGAAUCCAACAACUGUUAAGUGUUAACCUUGUAGUCCUCAAGAGCAGAAAUUGUUGUAUUAAUUUCUUCAAGUGUCUCUCUUAAAAGAAGAGAGUAAAAUUUCAACUGAGAUCUUGCCACAUAAGACGAUCGAUUUAAUCCGACAAAAUGUGUGUGGGUUAACAAGAGCCAAUGCUGUCCUUGAUCCUUUCUGCAUCUUUCUUCCAUCAGCGGACAAUCCUUGAUCUACAGUUGCACGCUCUUGUCCAAAAAGUAUUUUAGCUUCGGACGAAUAUAAAGCCAAAGAUACACCAACGACGUGAGAUUUUGACCAACUGAAGAUAGGCAUUCCAUGUUUUGGAAAUCAUAAAUCCACAAAAGGGUUCCUAAUUCCUGUGGCGAAAUGACACCACGUCACGAAGUCCUCCGAUUGACAGCCGUUGUAGAGAUGAGAAUCUGUUCAAUCCCCCUUCCCCCCACUCCAUGGAUGACUUCCAAAUCUUCAUAUCAUGAAUAUAAAGUGACUGAAGGUUGCUGGGAAACAUACCAUCAUCUGCCUCGACUGGGAAGCGAUACCAUAUAUGCUUGCCAGACCUCCUCUGUUUAAUUGUUGAAGAUUCUGCGUGUCCUUGGGUAAGGCCUCUAGUUUAUCACACCACGUUAUCCGGAGCUUAGUCAGUUCCGCAGAAGGCAAUCAUCCUUCAGGAAAGGGUCAUUUCAAUAAAAGCACAGUACAAUUGCUGAACUAAUUUUUUGAAAACAGAGAUAUGAGAGAUUGACAAUUUACAAUUGCUUAACUGCUCAAGAAGAGAGCACGCUUGAAAUAUGAAAUAUGAAAAAGAGAGCACAAAUGACAAAUCUUAAGGAAUUAGCAGGAUUCACGUCCGACCGACUCCACGUUGCUAAAGCAAAGGAUUAAUUUUGAGAAAUUGUAAAGAAAUUAAUACAAGUGAAAUGAGAGCCUGCUCAUUUGAUUAUUGGCCAAGGGUGAUUUCAAUAACGUUUUCAAAGAAGAUAUAGAACAAAGAUCAAAACGAAAAAUAAGCAAUUUCAGUCGUUGAAAAAAAAAGAGCAAGCUUCACACAUGCAUGCAUGUGUCGGACCAACAGAACAUGGCUUGUGGUAAGGAUCAAUCAAAGAAAUAUAAAUUCACUGUUUUAUAAAGUAAGCAUCAAAAUGUUUGACAAGUUUUAGAUUUGUAGAAUAUUGGGAAAACGGACAAAUAAUCAAUGAAGACACUGAAAGUUAAGCAGAUCAAUUAAACAGAGGAAAUAACUGAUCAAUUCUUUGUGCAAUGGCCACAGCAACUGUGAGCUUAUAAGUUGCUGAUGUGUUGGGCUUAAAUGCAAGAUUCGAAGAGUUCUUGUGGCUGUGUGAAGACUGACUUCAGUUGGAGGGGUCUUAUUGCAAAUUUUAUGCUGAUGUGGCAGAGUUCGCUGAGAAUUCGUUGUGCCUUUUCCAGAAAUAUCAGAACAAAAGGCGCUGGUGAUUAGCCCCUGAUCUGAGAUCAAUAUCUUCUUCAUUUCUUGUUCAUUUUGUUGGCAAUUUGGUUCUCUGUGAUCCUUGUAAUUUUCUCUUCGUAAUCAACCUGUAUCUCGAUUGUUAUGAUCAAUAAAAGAGCAGUUUUGUACUUGAAACACUACUCUUUGUUCUAUUCUUGGAAUUGCUUUCGUGUUUGGUUGAUCUGGUUUGAUUCUUUCAAGUCCGAUUCAUCAAGUUCUUCACGAACUAACUUGUGUAGCCAUUAAAGUUUCAACAGCAACAGAUUAAAUAUAUCUACAAGACUACAUUAAUCCUAAUGGCAUGGUAGCAUCUCCAUGCAACAUUACAUUAACAUUUCAUCAUCAAUCAAUUUUGAAGAUAUGAUAUUAAAAACAUUGACUUCAUAAUUUUAUGUAAUUUCAUAUAAAAGAUGUAAUUGAUUUUGAGUUAGUUUAACAUAUAAAGAAAGAGGAAUAAGGAAUGAUAUCAAUGUGGUGUGUGAUGAGUAAUGAUAGAUAGCAAAUAUUAAUCAUCUAAUAACGAAACAUGUAUUUACAAAAAAAUAUUUGGCAAUAAAAUGAUGCUAUAAAAAUUUAAUAUUAGUUGCAAGAAAAUAAUUUGGUGAUUAAAAUUCACAGAUAUAUAUGCAAUGCUUUGAGUUUAUUUUAUCACUUCGUUAAGCAUUUUGUAACUACAUAUUAAUUAGAUCGUCCAAAGCUGUGCAUUUUUUUAAAAAAAAAAAAAAAAAAAAAAAAGAAGCACGGUCUGCUACUAAUACUGUAGCAUGUUAGCUACUAUAUAAGCUCCUGUCUAAUUACCAAAUAAAUUCCACUUUAACGAAGAAUAAAAGCUAAUUUCAUUGUUACUGCCUGUUGUGCUUUUAUUUUUUUUUCUUUUUUUCUUUUUGUUAUUGAAGUUACCUCGCAAACUGCUCGGAUGCUAAUUACAAAAUUUCCUCUUACUCUAGGAUCUCUUGAAUGGUCCUGCAAUUUGUAUUCCUUUAUGUGGGAUUGGUUUUUUCUUUGAGCAAAAUUUCAAGGAUAAGAAACCUUACCCAUCGAAAACCAACUUUGAAAUUUAUUAUUAUUCAAACUUAGAAAACUGCAAAAACAAAGCGCCUUCAUAGCACCAGUUAAGCUCUGUCUUGUUACCAUGCUAGUUCUAUUUUUACUUUAUUAAAUGUAUACAAAAUUAAAUUACCUGAGCCUCUAGUUUCACUAGUUUCCAACUUGAAAUUAAAACGCUGAAUUAAUGGUAUUGGAGUUCGUUAUUUAAUUUUUCUUGAGUUCAUGGGGAAUCAGAUGGCCAUCCAUUUUUAUGUCUAUUUUAUGUACUAUUGGCCACUAAGUAGCUUGCCCAUAUAUGCGUAUUGGGAUGUCAUAGGCCUUAAAGCUGAAAAUUAAUCCCCAAUCUAAAGUGAAAAACAGUAGCUAGAACAGAUUCUAUGUUUUGAUGUCUUUGUUUAUAAGCUCAAACAAAUUAAUAGUGUAUAGAAAAUGCAUGAUAGAACCCAAAACUCAUAUUGAUUUUUAGUUUCGAAAUUCAUUUCAGAAAAUCUGUUCCGUUCAACAGAUUUAACUAAAUUAUCAACUAAACUCUAGCCAUGUACUUGCUUAUCUAUGGGUAGAGCACUAGGUCAACAAAGGAGUCCAUCUUUAAGGCCUUGUCUAAGACUGUGGUUGCCUUUUUCAUGAGCUUCUGGCUUUCCAGCUUGCUGAGCGACGUACACAUAAAGAGGUUAUCCUUCUCUUUUUUUCUCUGUUUUCAUAUCACAGAAUCCAUUUUUGAAUAUAUGUAUUUAGGUACACACACACAUGAAUAUGCAUGUUUUUAUGAGGAUAUUCAAGUAUAUUAUUUGACAAUCACAAAAACAACGAUCUACUCCAAUAAAUCUCAUAACAAAUACAUGCUCUAUCUUUUUAGGACUAAUUCAAAGAGAAAAUACGAAGGACACAUAAUUGAAUUCUGUCCAUGAUAAAGAACUCUAAACAAAUUCAUAUACUUAUUGCAGUACCUGUUAAAAAUUCAUUUGUUUCUUCUUUUCCUUUGAUCAACAGCUAAAUACAGCCUUGAAAUUUCAUUUAGUUUUGGUUAAUUUUCUGUGGAGUUGUGUUGUGUGUAAUAGUUUUGUUUCACGAAAUCGGUAGGGGAAGAGAAUUUUUAAAAGCAUAUCAAUGUAAUGAUCAAAGAGACGAAAUCAAUACAAAUAUUGAUUGUCUCAAGUUAGAUUAUACAAAGAAGAAAUAAGCUAAUCUAGCAAUUCAAUCAUAAUAAUUUGAUUUCCAUUAUAUUAAUUAUGUGCAAUCAUGCUAUUUUAAUAAAGAACACUCGAGCAUUUAUAAAUAGUCAACUUAUGAAAUUAAUUACAAAACAAUCUUUCGCAGAGUUUGAUGAAAAGACUGUGUAUUGUGUUAUCUUGAGGUCUUAUAUCAAUUAAAGCCAGGCUGCGCUUUGGCUGACAGCGAGAUAUAUCCAAACAUAAGUGCUGCGAAUGAACUGGGAAGACGGUAGGAAGAUUAAGCUGCUGAGGAGAAGAUAUAUGCAAAAGAAAUAAAGCUAAUCUGUUUUUAUGUAACAAGCUGCUAUGUACUCUGCUUUUAUGGUCUUUCUCUUUGCGGUUGUUAGACAAACUGGAACGUAAGUUUCUAUCUUAUGUGUGUCCUAAUCCUUUUAGAUAGCUUGAGAUUGUUGAUUUAUAUAUGACGUUUGGUAUCCAAAAUUCAGAUGAUGAUAAUCUUGGCAGUACUUUUAUAAAAUUUUCUUUUGUGUUGGUGUUGACUUAAUAAAAUAUUACAAAGGUGCCUAAUAUAGUGAAAUUAACAUUGAGCUCAUGAGAUUGUCGUUAGAUAUAUUGAAAAAGAAAUUAAUGCAAGAAACUGAAAAUUAAUUGAUACUGGAUCAGGUUGGAUAGUUAGUUGUUAAUUAUUGUUGAGUGUGAACCAGAAUUCAGUGUGCAGGGCAAACAACAAUGUCGACCAUCAGACUUGGCAGAAGACGACAUGUCCAAUAAAAGCUUAUCAGGGCUGUACGACAACCUUCCCAUGUCAAUCAGAAUUCGUUAAGUAAUGCACGUGUGUAACACGUGAUCUCCUAAUAACAUAUUAACUGAAACGUCUACUUACUACUGUCGUUUUGGGAUAUAUAUGUUACGCACACGCUCAGCACAUGGGGGAUUGGUUACCAGUUAAAAGAAGCGGGAAAAUUCUGGGGUUAACUACUUAACUGUAACAAACCCAGAAUGAUUUGCAGGCUUCUGAGAUAGGUUUCUAGGAGCUUCAAAGCUUGUAUAAAAAGGGUCCUGAUGACUGAAGUUGAGAGUGGUUUUUUCCUUGUAAUCUCUGAAAAGGCUUGAGCCUUGUUUCCUGCAUUAAUAAAUAAUCAUAGCCCUGUUUCUCAAAGAGGAUGUAGGCUGUAAUGGCUGAACCUCUAUAAAUCCUUUCUGUGUUUUUUCUUUCUCUGUUGUGUGUUUCUAUUCUUGUUUUAGAUUGUAUUGAUUCCUAAUAAAACUGUUAAUCAUUCUUGAUACUGAAUUUUAUUAAAUCUCUUCUUCUCUUUUGAAUAAAAUUUCUUUAAAAUUCAAUUCAUAAAAAAGAAAAUCUCCUUAUAAUUUAAUAUGUUUCAGUUGUCUCAGUGGAAUGAUGCUAUUUGUUUCAAUCAAAGUUUUGAAGCAUCCUAAAAUUUUGAGAUCCAAAUGAAAAUAAAUUAAUUUAAUUCGUGGUGUACUCUAAAUUUUCAGCUAUAAAAAAAUAGCGAAAUUGAAGUGCACUUGGGCAAGAAGAAACAGAGACUGCGAUUAUACAAUUUCAGUGUUUGACUCUAUCGGCAAAAAAAGAAAAUAAAAAAGAACUCCCAUUGUUCCAUUGUUUUUCCCAUAAAUAAUAAUAUACAGAGAAUUUUGUUUAACGAGAGAUAUAAUAGGUAUUUAGGUGAGUUUAUAGCGUAAAUUUUAAAAUUUUAAAAUUUAAUAAUGGAUUUAAUAAGUAAUUGGGUUCAAAUAGUAUUUUAGUGGUUUUAAAUAGCCCCACCCUUUUUAUUUUAAAAAAAGAUUUAAUUACAAAAAUAUUACUUCCAAUCGACAACAUUUUAUAUUUUAUUUUAUUAAAUAUUAUUUUAUUUUUGAAUUACUAAUAAUGCACAAAACGGCAUCAUUUAUUGAUAUUUUUAAAUUGUUUAAGAUUUGUUUAAUUAGAAAAUUUCCAUUGUUGAUAUUUAAAUAAUUUUAAAAAAUAAAAUAAUAAAAUUGGUGUCGUUUAGUUUUGUUAAAUAUACUAAGGGCUCGUUUGGUAUGCCGGAUUGGAUUGGAUCAGAUUGGAUAAGAUAAAAUUGGAUUGGAUAAUAAUGGAUUAUAUAUAAUACUAUAUUGGGUUUGGUCCAAUUUUAGAUUGAACUAUAAAUAAUCAUCUCUUAUAUUAUAAUAUUAUAAUUUACAAGUUAUUAUUAUUAUUAUUAUUAAUAUAAACUAAAAUUUUGUAUUAUUAAUUAUACAAAUCAACCUCAAUGAUAUUAAUGAAAUAUAAAUCAUAAUUUAAAUAAUUUUUAUUUUUUUAAAUAUUUUUAUGAUAUUUUUAUUAUUUUUAUUCAAUAAUCUAUUAUUUUAUAAAAAUUUAUAUUUGUGAAUAUUAAUUUAAUAAUAAUUUAUAAUGUAAAUUUGAAAUUAUAAAAAUAUUUAAUAAAGCAAAUAAAUAAAAAUAAAAUUUUCAUUCAAUGUGAAAUUAAUAAUGAUUUUUAGUAUAAUUUAUUAUUAAAAUUAUUAAAAUCAAUAUUUUUUAUUACAUUUAUCACAUAUUACUAUAAUUUUAAUAUUUAUAAAUUAUUAUGUUUAAUUGAAUUAUUAAUAUAAUCUAAUACUAACUAAUCCCAUAGCCCCCUUGAAAUAAUUUCUUUUACAAAAUUGAAAUUAGCUUUGGGGCUCACGAUAAAUAAAUUCUAAUACUUUUGACAGCACUAAAUAUAGGAAUAGGAUAAAAUUUUAACAAAGAGUUUAAUCUCCACUUUUAAUCCUCCUCCAACCAAACAUGCCCUAAGCUAACGGAUCAUGGCAAAUUUGUAGUAAGUGAUGAACGAUUUGAUAAGCUCUACCCCAUCAGUUCCUUAAUUGAGAAAAUUCCCAAGCCCGUGCAGCCUCACAAUUGAUAGAGACCCGAAGCCACCAAACUCGACAAUCAUCACUCAACGUCGUUGCAGGCUACCGGUCGCUCAACAAGCACCAGUUCCUCACUCUACAGCCAUCACUCAAGCGCUGCCAUUUCCUGUUAAUUAUUCGCUCGAAUUAGGGUUCUGAUAAUUGGGGAUUUUUUUCUUAAUUGUGGAAUUAUGAAGUAAUGAUGAUGACGACGAAGAUGUGGUGGUUGACGACGGCAAAGGCAACGUUGAAUAUUGAGGCACUGGAGAAACAAGCAUUGGCUAUUAUCUUGGUCGAUUUGCCUCGAAUUGAUCACUAAAAAUGGGGAUAUCGUGGGCCGAGCUUCAACGCAGUCGCAAAUUUCAUUUGGAUAACUGAAUUUUAUUUUAUUUUUGUGUUUAAUUUGUUUAAAGUUUAAUUGUUUAGAUCUAGGCUAAAUUUUAAUGAUCAUUUUUAUGAUUAAAUGACAUGAGUAUGCUUAAGUUUUUUUCCUUCAAAUUGAUUUUCUGAUGUUACAUUUUGUUAGCAAAAAGUUAAAAAAUAGUAGAAACUGUCAGAAUUUUUGUUAUGAAGAUGUUGUUUUAGUUUGAUAUUGGGAAAAUAUCAUUAUACAUAUUGCCAUCAUAUUCAUGGGAGACCAAAAUGGGAAUGAUGGCAGGCUAUGCAUUGCUCACAACUAAUUUAAAACUCACUAUUUCUGUUUUUGGUGUUUUAGUAAUUCUGGGGGCAUUCCAACUAUAAUUAAUAAGCUAUAAACUUGUUUAGUAAUUACUAAUCAACUUGCUAGAAAGAGUCACAAACUAAUUAGCUUUCUCUUGUAAUUUUUACAGAUCAUCAGUGGAUAAGAACUACAAGGAGUUGAAGACUUAAAGAUAAGAACUACAAGGAGUUGAAGACUUUAAACCCUAAACUUCAUAUCUUGAUUUACAAGUGCAAUGGGGUUUCACCCCAAUUAUGGGCUAGAGAUGUACUCUUUCUGUUCUUGGUGCUUCCCACCCCCCCCCCCCCCCCCGCCCCCCAAAGUCAUUUUUUGUUCUCUACUCCAUUGUAAAUUUGUAUUCAAAAGUCUUUUUCUUUGUCUUUAGUUUUUAAAUUUAUGGAGAUGAUCUUAUGAGGUCUUAAAUAAAUAGUUGUAGAGCUUUACUAAAACUAUGUACAAUCUUAUUGAGAUUUGGGUGUGAUUUUGUAAGAUUGCUAAAAAAUUCAUAUUUGGUAUUUGUUUUAUUUUCCUAGUCGAAUUUCUUGCUUGUAGAAGAUAAAAGAAAAGUGCAAUUUCAUGUUGCAAUAAUUUUUUUUCCUUCCCUCUUUUUCUUCCCAUAUAGUCUGGCUCUGGAUUUGGUGCAGUUGAUGGUUUUAAUACAGUGAACCAAUUUCGUCAGAAUCAUCUUAAAGGAUUAAAGUGGCUUCCUUUUGCAACUGGGUAAGUCAAUGUUACUUCCUGAAUUCAGUUUGGAGUUCUUUCGGAAUAGAUUUCCUUCCCUUACAUUACUUAGCUUCUAGUUGCAUCUUCUUGGCCUUCUCCAGCUGACUUUCCUAUUGGCAAAUUCCUUCGCUUCUAUUGUUUUCAGGUGCCAGUGCUGGAUUUGGAGGUAUGAAUCAUGCCUUCAUUUUUACUUUUUAUGAUUAUUUUUUUAAGGUGUAUGGUACUGUAAUAUAGUUCUUUGUAUAGCUAGUACAAAAUAGUUCUUUAACUUCUUACGUUCGGCUAUAAUGGUCUUGACAUAUGAUAGGGCAGCUCUAUCACCAAUUGACGUGGAAUGAGAAAUAGGAGACAAAUGGGAUUAGAAAAAUAAGAAACAUGACAAAAAUAAAAAUCUAAUCUACUCAUAUAAGCAACUCAUCAAAUAAGUGUAUCGCAUACUUAAGUGAAUAACAAUCUGUAAUUUCCACGAAUCAAAGUAAAAUUAUAAUAUUCUUUAAAUAAGACUCAUAAGCUUGUUAGGUGUUAUAUUGAAUCAUCUAAGUUGAAUAAUCUUUUGGGUCGAAUAUUUAAUUUCUUAUUCCAUACGUUUCAGUCUCUCAAUAGUUGAAUUAGCAAUGAAAAUUUGAAAAUGGAAAAAUCCAAUGCAAUUAUUUUAGCUGCUUAUCAUAGAUAAGAAUUUCAAAUUUGACACUUUAUUGUCUGUUGUCAAAUUCAUAAAGUAUGAACCUGCAUUAGCUUAGUUCUCUAAUAUUUAUAAAUAAGUAAUACUUGAAUUAAGAUGAAAGAAAAUUGAAAAGUAGAGUUGCUUGAUUGAAUAGCGUCAUAUUUUACAUCACAGAAACUCAAUUUUCAUUGCCAUACGUAGCUCAAAAGUGCAUGAACAUUUAAAAGUCAGCUAACUUAUACUAAUUAAUUAAUACGAGUCUCAGUUCUUACUUCUUAGUACUUGGCAACAUCCAUCCAUAAGAGUGAAACUCCUAUUGAUUUCAUAUAUACAAAAUAAAUAACUUACAAAGGCAAUAUAUACAAUCACGACAAAAACACCAAUUCACUCCAAUAAACAACAUAGCAAAUACAUGGUCUAUAUUGCAAGUCUUUUUACUAUUUUAAUUAAAAGAGAAAAUACGAAGGACAUAUUAUAUAUAAUUGAAUAUUAUCCUUGAUAAUUAGACAAAAUAACACUAAUCUAGCUAACUAAUCCAGUCAUCAUAAUAAUCCGAUUUCCUUCAUUUAAUUAUGUCCAUUGAUGCUAUUUUAAUAAAGAAUACUGAACACUUAAGUAUUUAUAUGCUCAACAACUUCGGCCACGUUUGAAAAGAUCAUAUUAAUUAUUAAUAUAAAGAAAAUAACCCUACAAGGUACAUAUUACAUAUGCAUGUAGUUGCAAUAAAUACAUAAUAAUAAAGAUUGUAAAAGUUCAGGGCCAUUAAUUCAACAAUUACUAAACCAAUAUCCCAAUAAUUGUUUGAUUACUAAUCUUAGCAUUAAAAGAUCUGCAAACUUUAUUCGGCCAAAACAAAUGCUUCCUUAUUGCUUCCUUGAUCUUAUCCUGCCUGGUGAUUCCUGAAUGUCCUUCCCAUUCUGAUAUGCUGAGUUGUUUGCUGAUUAUAAAUACAAAUCACCUUAAAUUUUCUUAGUCUUGUUCUUCAUGCGAAAUUCUACGUAAUGGCUUAGUUGGUUUAAAUUCUUCUUUUUUCUUUGAAUUGUUGAUUUGUAAUGUUCUUCUCGCUCUCACAUGUGGCAUUCUGCACUCUUCCAAUGCUAUUUCUUGUUAUGGCAGCAGAAUUCUAGAUUUUCUCCCAGUUUCUUUUGUAAAGACUUCUAAAGAGGCAUCCAGAUACUGAGAUACAAUCCAAUCUAAACCCAUACAUAUAUACACCUCACCUUCCCCCAUUUCCCCAGAAAAUCAACAAACAGUUUGCUUGAAAACAAACACUCUAAAAAAACUAUCUAGCCACCCAGAUAGCCAAAUCAAGAAUUCUUGCAAUGGCAAUGUCAUUUCUUGUUAGGGCGGCAACAUUGAAGAUCAUGGCAUCACAAGUGAAUGCUCUGAUGCCGUACACAAGAUCACCUCUCUUUGACAUAAUGCUCCCUAUGACGGAAGAUCCUUUCAAGGUUCUUGAACAAAGCUCUCUAACAAUUCCUAAAGGAGGUCGAGAGCAGACUGGAAGGAGACACGAACAGCACACGUGAUCACACUCGACAUUCCAAGGAUGAAGGAAAAUGAUGUGAAGAUUGAAGUUGAAGAGAACAGGGUACUGAGAGUGAGUGGGAGAGGAAGAGUGAUGAUUAUUAUAAGGAGGGAGUUGAAGGAGAGAAAUGGCACUGAGCUGAGAGGACAAGUGGCACGUUUUGGAUGCAGUUUAGGAUGCCAAUGAGUGCUGAUUUGGAACAUGUUAAAGCUCUUUUGGAAAAUGGAGUUCUGAGGAUCACAGUACCAAAGCUUGCUGAGGAGAAGAAGAGCCGGCCUGAGGUUAUUAGCAUUAGUGGAUUCUUUUGGUGAAGAUAUUAAAGCCACCAAGGCUCAAAUGUAAUUAAUCAACGAAAGUAAGUGUUUGGCUUGGUUUUGUGGUUCUCUUUGGAUGUUCUGUUUAUGUUUUUAUGGGUUUUUGAAGAUGGCUCACAGGUAUUAGCACCAAUAAGUGCUUUUUAUAAAUCCUGGUCCUAAAUUUGUAAAAAAAAAGUUAAUGCGCUUGGUUUAUUGUUAAUUAAAAAAAAAAAAAGUCCUUUCCUUUGGCAUUUAUCAUGCAUUUGAAAAAAAAAAUUAUUCCACUGUAAUUCAUAAAGAUAUAUUUUUCCCCGGAUCCCCGGUUACAUUAAAGCGUUGAUACGAAUAUCCGUUGUGAUUAUAAAAAAGUUAAUCAAUCCGAAUAUUCAAUAAGUGGUAAAUUGGCACAAAAACAAUUAAGUCACGAACUUGCAUAUAGUGCAUUAAAUUGAAGAGCAUAAAGAAUUUUGUAAUGCAGUCCAGCAAUCAAAAACCAUUUUACAACACCAUUAAAAAAUCAUUGCAGCACUAUUGCUGAUGAGGCAGCUGGUAAUUCCUCUGGUGAAGAUAUUAAGGCCGCUGAAGCUGAAAUGUAAUUAGUGUCGUCAGAAGAUUAUGUAAUAAAGUGCUUUAGAUUAAUCUUGGUUGGAUUACUAUUCAUUAACCAUAUUUAAUUUAUGUGAUCAAUCGGUAUUUGCUAGCAUCAUUGUUAUACAACAACAUAUUAAUUAACUACUGAACUCUGCCAGCGAAUUAAUGAGCAAAUCCUCCUCAAAUUAUGCAUGUAUACGAUCAAAAUAAUUUCAAUUUCACCAUAUACGCGCGUGUGUGUAUACAUAUAUAAUACUUAAUAAUCACCAAACCAACAAUUCCCAAGUUGGAUUAUACAUAGACGAAUAAAUAAUGCUAAUCUAGCAAGUCCAAUCAUAGUAAUUUGAUUACCAAAUAUUAACCAUGUCCAAUCAUAUUCUUAAAUAAUCGCCGAACCAACAAUUUGCAAGUUAGAUUAUACAUGGAAGAAUAAAUAAUGCUAAUCUAGCAAGUCCAAUGGUAAAAAUUUGAUUUUCAUUAUAUUAACCGUGUCCAAUCAUGCUAUUUUAAUAAAGAACACUUGAAUAAUAUUUUCAUGUCCAGCAGGUAAAAUUUCAAAACAAUUUUUGCCAAAGUCCUCCUCGGCUAAAUUAAUUUAUGCAUUAAUAAAGUCCUCCUCUUCUAAAUAAUAAAAAACCUGUUACGUUAUUCUACCAUUUUUUUUUAAAAAAAAAAGCAUUCUACUAUUUAAAAAAAGAAUUCGAAAACUGGUUCUAGACAUACACCGAACCAUAUUAAUUUAAAACAGUUUUCAACUGAGAUUUGAAAUUACACACACAAACACACCGAGUCCUUUAUAUAAAGUGCUUUUAAUAAAUUAUGGUCGGUUUACUAUUAAUUAAUCAAAUUUAAUUUACUCAAAUUACUCCUGUACACGAUCAAAAUAAUAUCAAUUCUAUGAUAUAUAUAUACGUGCACAUACAUACAAAAUGUAAAUAACUUUCAAAUAUAAAAUAUUUAAAAUAGACGAAAUAACUUUCAAAUGUUUAUUGUAUUUUGAUGGGUUUUUGAGGAUGGUUGUAUGUAUUAGCAACAACAAGGUGCUUUUUAUAAAUCCGGGUCCUAAUUUUGUAAAAGAAAUUAAUACUCUCGGUUUAUUGUUAAUAAAAAAGAAAAAAGAAAAAGCAUUUUUCUGUGGCAUAUAUUAAGCAUUUUGAGAAAAAAAAAAUUACAUUCCAAUUCAUGAAAGACAUUCCUUCUGUCAUAUUGAUGUGUUAAUAGAAAGAUCUAUGUGAAUUAUAACAAUUUUGAUGAAUCUAAAUAUUUAAUAACUGAUAAAUUAUAUUUAUAAAUAUUAAUACCGGUGGCACAUAAGCACUUAAUUCAAGAACUCGCCUAUAGUGCAUUAAUUUAAAGAGUAGAAAUAUUUAAUAAAUCAUGCCCGGUUUACUAUUAAUUAAUAAAAUUUAAUUUACUCAAAUUACUCCUCUACAUGAUCAAAGUAAUUUCAAAUAUACAACACACAAAAUGUAAAUGACUUUGAAAUAUAAAAUAUUUAAAAUAAUCACCCCACUAACAAUUCACCACAAAGAUUAUAAAUAGUCGAAAUAAUGAUAAUCUAAGGGGUCCGGUCAUAAUAAUUUGAUUUUUAUUUAUAUUAAUUAUAUAAAAAAGAGUACUCGAGAUUAUAUAUAUCCAACAGCUAAAAUUUCAAAACAAUAUUUGCCAAAGUCUGAUGAAGAGAAUACAUAUAUAUAACAUGCACUCGCACACAUUCUAUUGUUUAAUUAAAAAAUUCGAAAGCCCAUUAUAUACAUGAUAAAGACUUACCGACACCGAACCAUAUUCAUUUAAAGGAAUUGUUUUCAACUGAGAUUUAAAAUUAUUUACACAAACACGCCCGAUUUUUUCUUUUUUUUAAAAAUUACUAAUAAUAAAAUAUUUCAGUCGUCCUCUGUUCGGCUGUCAAAAACCCAUUAAGAUCGAUUUGAACAGAAGGUAUAUGGGUUAACAAUCCUCCAUCCUUUCUGCACUUCUCUUCCAUCAACGGACAGCGAUAGAUACUUAAUUGCAAAAGUGAGGAAGGCAGGCCCUUCUCCGGAAAGUAUUUGAGCUUGGGACAAUCCACGAGAUUUAAGUGGGUGAGGUUUUGAAGAUCAACAAUUGAAGAAGAUAGGCGUUCCAGAUUUGGAAAAUCUACAAUCCUCAGAGAUGUUAGAGAGGCAGGAAGAGGAAGCGCGGUCCCUAAUCUUUUGUCCUCUAGUGGAAAUGACACCAUGUCGUCAUCACAUCCUUCGAUUGUAAGAUGUCGCAGAGAAGAGAAUCUAUGAAAUCCCCGACCCCGCUCAAUCAUUGACUUCCAAAUCUCCAUAUUACCCCAAAUAUGAAGUGAAUGAAGGUUGGUGGGAAGGCCAUCUUCUUCAAGGCUUGGAAGCUCACCUCCUAUUGUUAAUUGUUGAAGAGAGGUCAGAUUGUGCAAUCCCUUGGGUAAGGCCUCCAGUCUCUCACACCCAUAGAUCCUGAGCUUACUCAGUUUCGCACAAGGCAAUCCCCCUUCGGGAAAGGACACCAGAUUUUCACAUUCCCAUAUUUCGAUCUCUUGAAGCUGGCCGAGAUUAUGUAAACCACUCGGUAAAAUUUUCAGAUUUUCACACCCAGAAAUAUUGAUUGUUUUCAAGAGAUGUGUUGUUGUCCAACCUUUCUGCUAUUGACUCCAGCUUUGGACAAUACCAAACAAAAAGGGACUUAAGAGACGGAGGUAGAUUGCCAACUUCAAGGGACUCAAGCGUGGCAGGUAACUCGUUUUUUGAAAAUAUACAUGUCAGUGAUGGACAAUCCCUAAUUUCUAACUUCUCAAGAAGAGAUGAGGUGUACCUUCUAUUGCUGCUGCUGCUGCUGCUACUCUGGAUGCCCUCUUCCACUGUCAAAGUCCUUAUAUUAUCACAACUAAGGAUGUCCAACCUCUUAAGGCUCCGUGGUAGCUGGACUCCAGCAAGAUAUGUCAACGUACGACAAUGCUCAAUAUACAAGGUCUCGAGAGAUGAAUUGGUGUCGCACAUCCAUGCCUCUGGUAAUGAUUUCAGUGCGUCACAACCUUCAAUCUCAAUUAUCUUCAACUUGGAAGGCAGAGCAACCUCAGGAAAGGAAACAAGGGAACUGCACUUGUAGAUUUCUAUCUCUCUCAAGGAACUGAGGCUGAGAGAUGAUUGUGGCAGCUUCACAAGGCCUUCGCAAUAACUCAAUCUUAGAUAUUCGAGUCUGCAUGACAACUCGCAGAGCUGCUGUUGUUGGUCUUUCUCUUCCUCCGCCACCAAGGAUUGAAGUUUGGGACAGCUUGUAAUCGUCAGUCUUCUGAGAGAGCAAAUGUCUUGCAGUAAUUCGUUAUGACUCUUCCAAAUAUAUGUCUGCUCUUUCAUAUCAUUUAUCUUCAAUUCUUCCAAUUUUGGCAGUCGCGGCUUUAAUGGCCCUGCGAGAAACAGUUGAUUUGAUGUAUCUCUACAAACCACUGAAUUCUGUGAGCCGAGAUGAUCAGCUGCACUUCUCCACACAACCUUUUUACAUCCACCAAUUUCAAAUUUGCAAAGAGCUGGAAGACUUGUAACUGAAACUGACAAUUCUUCACAUCCUUUAAUAACAAGCUUCUCCAAUGCAGGAAGGUGCUCUGGAAGUGUUCCUUGCAGUUUAGAACAUCUUAAAAUGUGAAGCUCUCUCAAUUUAGGAAACCCUUCAACUCCUUGACCGGAUCCAUGAGGAAUCCAGUCUUCCCAUUCUUCCAUGUCUUCAAAACAAAGAGUCUCCAAGCAUGGAAAAGGAAUUGAAGCAACCUUCCCAUAGAACUCUGGAUCAAAUCUCCUUACGCUGCUCAUUCCACAUACUACAAGCUGCUUUAGAGAGGGUAGUUGCCCGACCGACGGCAGGGCAGUACACAUGCUACAAUAUUCAAAUUUAAGUGUUACUAAAUUUGACAAUGAGGAAUUUCCUAACCAAGUUGAAAAAUUUGUGCCUCCAUAGCCGCUGAUACAAAAUUGUUCCAGAUUUUUAUGGGGUUUUAGCAUGUCAAGCACGCCCUCUUCAGCUUCUGCCUCCCUUGAAGAUGAACCAUUAGUAUUGCGAGUCCAUCGAAGCCAUAAUUCUUUAAGAUUCUCCUUUCUAUCCAAUUGAGCGUCCUCGGCAUCAAUAAUGUGUUUUACAUUCUCCAAAUUUGAAAUGCAAAGUGUCCCCCCAAGUUGCGUCAAGGACUUUAGCUCUCGUAACGGGAACCACUGUCUUUUCCCACAACAAAAUUACACAACGUCUGAAGACAAGUCAGCCUACCAAUUCCGACUGGCAUUUCCUCCAACGAAGAUGUAUUUGAAUUAUUGAGAUGAUGCAAUUUGAUGAGGUUUCCCAUGGCUGCACACAACUUCUUCAGUCGCCAACAGCCCUCCAACAGAAGGGUGUGCAAAUUGUAAAGCUUGUUGACUGAUUCAGGCAGAGUUCUAAUCUCAGUUCCAGAUAGGUUAAGGUACCUUAAAUACCUCAAAUCACCAACUGAAUCCGGCAGCUUGGGGAUGAAAUAUCCACACAGAGAGAAGACCCUCAAUCGUUGGAGUUUGAACAACUUAGGAAGAAUGCUAAGAGCAAAGUAUCCAUGCGACCUAUUUGACCGCCUUACUGGUAGAAAAGUUCGCAAAUGCUGGAUAUUGUACAAGUCUUCAAACCUUUUACCGCCUUCAUAAUAUUCAGGAAUGUAUGACAGAUGAUGAAGAUUUAUGGAAAAACUUUGUUGCUUGUUAACCUCCGAGGUAUACUCCAUUGUGAAGUAUAUCUCCCCCGCAGCCCAUUGAGCAAGGUCAUUGACGAGGUCGUGCAUCACAAAUCGUGAUGUACCGUUGCUUGAUUGCUGGAAAAAAGAUCUUGCACGUAGCUCUUGAAAGAACCUUCGACCUAGAUCUUCACUUGGAUUCCCGCUCUCUCCGUGAUCAAGAAACCCACAGCACUCCAUAAUAAAAUUAUCUCCUCCUCUUCGAAUUCAUAAUCCUUUGGAAACAAUGAGCAGUAUGCAAAGCACUGUUUCAAAGGUGCCGAGAGAUAAUAGUAGCUCACUCUAAGCGCCGGUAUAAUGUCACAUCUCUCUUCUGGUAAAUCCCAUAUGUUGCAACUGAGCACACCUUCCCAAUCACUUCGGUCACAUUUACCACGUAAGAGUCCACCAAAGUUUUUUGCAGCUAAGGGCAAGCCGUUGCAUUUGAUCACAAUCUUCUUGCCAAUUUCCUCCAAUGACUUGUUUGAACUGAAAUCUUUUGUCCCCAAAGAGUGUUGAGCGAACACGGACAGACAAUCAUCAAAUGACAACUUUUUCAAUUCAUAAGCUGGAGCAGUUCCCAUGAUGGCUGCAACCUCUUGAUUACGAGUUGUGACAAUAAUCUUACUUCCCGGUGCGCCAGCUUCAAACGGACGGCUCAUGUCAACCCAAUCAUUGUAUUUCUCAUUCCAAACGUCGUCUAAACAAGCAAAAAUUUCUUUUGAGAUAACUUCUUCUUCAGCUCCUNAAGUUUAAUUGUUUAGAUCUAGGCUAAAUUUUAAUGAUCAUUUUUAUGAUUAAAUGACAUGAGUAUGCUUAAGUUUUUUUCCUUCAAAUUGAUUUUCUGAUGUUACAUUUUGUUAGCAAAAAGUUAAAAAAUAGUAGAAACUGUCAGAAUUUUUGUUAUGAAGAUGUUGUUUUUAGUUUGAUAUUGGGAAAAUAUCAUUAUACAUAUUGCCAUCAUAUUCAUGGGGAGACCAAAAUGGGAAUGAUGGCAGGCUAUGCAUUGCUCACAACUAAUUUAAAAACUCACUAUUUCUGUUUUUGGUGUUUUAGUAAUUCUGGGGGCAUUCCAACUAUAAUUAAUAAGCUAUAAACUUGUUUAGUAAUUACUAAUCAACUUGCUAGAAAGAGUCACAAACUAAUUAGCUUUCUCUUGUAAUUUUUACAGAUCAUCAGUGGAUAAGAACUACAAGGAGUUGAAGACUUAAAGAUAAGAACUACAAGGAGUUGAAGACUUUAAACCCUAAACUUCAUAUCUUGAUUUACAAGUGCAAUGGGGUUUCACCCCAAUUAUGGGCUAGAGAUGUACUCUUUCUGUUCUUGGUGCUUCCCACCCCCCCCCCCCCCCCCGCCCCCCCAAAGUCAUUUUUUGUUCUCUACUCCAUUGUAAAUUUGUAUUUCAAAGUCUUUUUCUUUGUCUUUAGUUUUUUAAAUUUAUGGAGAUGAUCUUAUGAGGUCUUAAAUAAAUAGUUGUAGAGCUUUACUAAAACUAUGUACAAUCUUAUUGAGAUUUGGGUGUGAUUUUGUAAGAUUGCUAAAAAAAUUCAUAUUUGGUAUUUGUUUUUAUUUUCCUAGUCGAAUUUCUUGCUUGUAGAAGAUAAAAGAAAAGUGCAAUUUCAUGUUGCAAUAAUUUUUUUUCCUUCCCUCUUUUUCUUCCCAUAUAGUCUGGCUUCUGGAUUUGGUGCAGUUGAUGGUUUUAAUACAGUGAACCAAUUUCGUCAGAAUCAUCUUAAAGGAUUAAAGUGGCUUCCUUUUGCAACUGGGUAAGUCAAUGUUACUUCCUGAAUUCAGUUUUGGAGUUCUUUCGGAAUAGAUUUCCUUCCCUUACAUUACUUAGCUUCUAGUUGCAUCUUCUUGGCCUUCUCCAGCUGACUUUCCUAUUGGCAAAUUCCUUCGCUUCUAUUGUUUUCAGGUGCCAGUGCUGGAUUUGGAGGUAUGAAUCAUGCCUUCAUUUUUACUUUUUAUGAUUAUUUUUUUAAGGUGUAUGGUACUGUAAUAUAGUUCUUUGUAUAGCUAGUACAAAAUAGUUCUUUAACUUCUUACGUUCGGCUAUAAUGGUCCUUGACAUAUGAUAGGGCAGCUCUAUCACCAAUUGACGUGGAAUGAGAAAUAGGAGACAAAUGGGAUUAGAAAAAUAAGAAACAUGACAAAAAUAAAAAUCUAAUCUACUCAUAUAAGCAACUCAUCAAAUAAGUGUAUCGCAUACUUAAGUGAAUAACAAUCUGUAAUUUCCACGAAUCAAAGUAAAAUUAUAAUAUUCUUUAAAUAAGACUCAUAAGCUUGUUAGGUGUUAUAUUGAAUCAUCUAAGUUGAAUAAUCUUUUGGGUCGAAUAUUUAAUUUCUUAUUCCAUACGUUUCAGUCUCUCAAUAGUUGAAUUAGCAAUGAAAAUUUGAAAAUGGAAAAAUCCAAUGCAAUUAUUUUAGCUGCUUAUCAUAGAUAAGAAUUUCAAAUUUGACACUUUAUUGUCUGUUGUCAAAUUCAUAAAGUAUGAACCUGCAUUAGCUUAGUUCUCUAAUAUUUAUAAAUAAGUAAUACUUGAAUUAAGAUGAAAGAAAAUUGAAAAGUAGAGUUGCUUGAUUGAAUAGCGUCAUAUUUUACAUCACAGAAACUCAAUUUUCAUUGCCAUACGUAGCUCAAAAGUGCAUGAACAUUUAAAAAGUCAGCUAACUUAUACUAAUUAAUUAAUACGAGUCUCAGUUCUUACUUCUUAGUACUUGGCAACAUCCAUCCAUAAGAGUGAAACUCCUAUUGAUUUCAUAUAUACAAAAUAAAUAACUUACAAAGGCAAUAUAUACAAUCACGACAAAAACACCAAUUCACUCCAAUAAACAACAUAGCAAAUACAUGGUCUAUAUUGCAAGUCUUUUUACUAUUUUAAUUAAAAGAGAAAAUACGAAGGACAUAUUAUAUAUAAUUGAAUAUUAUCCUUGAUAAUUAGACAAAAUAACACUAAUCUAGCUAACUAAUCCAGUCAUCAUAAUAAUCCGAUUUCCUUCAUUUAAUUAUGUCCAUUGAUGCUAUUUUAAUAAAGAAUACUGAACACUUAAGUAUUUAUAUGCUCAACAACUUCGGCCACGUUUGAAAAGAUCAUAUUAAUUAUUAAUAUAAAGAAAAUAACCCUACAAGGUACAUAUUACAUAUGCAUGUAGUUGCAAUAAAUACAUAAUAAUAAAGAUUGUAAAAGUUCAGGGCCAUUAAUUCAACAAUUACUAAACCAAUAUCCCAAUAAUUGUUUGAUUACUAAUCUUAGCAUUAAAAGAUCUGCAAACUUUAUUCGGCCAAAACAAAUGCUUCCUUAUUGCUUCCUUGAUCUUAUCCUGCCUGGUGAUUCCUGAAUGUCCUUCCCAUUCUGAUAUGCUGAGUUGUUUGCUGAUUAUAAAUACAAAUCACCUUAAAUUUUCUUAGUCUUGUUCUUCAUGCGAAAUUCUACGUAAUGGCUUAGUUGGUUUAAAUUCUUCUUUUUUCUUUGAAUUGUUGAUUUGUAAUGUUCUUCUCGCUCUCACAUGUGGCAUUCUGCACUCUUCCAAUGCUAUUUCUUGUUAUGGCAGCAGAAUUCUAGAUUUUCUCCCAGUUUCUUUUGUAAAGACUUCUAAAGAGGCAUCCAGAUACUGAGAUACAAUCCAAUCUAAACCCAUACAUAUAUACACCUCACCUUCCCCCAUUUCCCCAGAAAAUCAACAAACAGUUUGCUUGAAAACAAACACUCUAAAAAAACUAUCUAGCCACCCAGAUAGCCAAAUCAAGAAUUCUUGCAAUGGCAAUGUCAUUUCUUGUUAGGGCGGCAACAUUGAAGAUCAUGGCAUCACAAGUGAAUGCUCUGAUGCCGUACACAAGAUCACCUCUCUUUGACAUAAUGCUCCCUAUGACGGAAGAUCCUUUCAAGGUUCUUGAACAAAGCUCUCUAACAAUUCCUAAAGGAGGUCGAGAGCAGACUGGAAGGAGACACGAACAGCACACGUGAUCACACUCGACAUUCCAAGGAUGAAGGAAAAUGAUGUGAAGAUUGAAGUUGAAGAGAACAGGGUACUGAGAGUGAGUGGGAGAGGAAGAGUGAUGAUUAUUAUAAGGAGGGAGUUGAAGGAGAGAAAUGGCACUGAGCUGAGAGGACAAGUGGCACGUUUUGGAUGCAGUUUAGGAUGCCAAUGAGUGCUGAUUUGGAACAUGUUAAAGCUCUUUUGGAAAAUGGAGUUCUGAGGAUCACAGUACCAAAGCUUGCUGAGGAGAAGAAGAGCCGGCCUGAGGUUAUUAGCAUUAGUGGAUUCUUUUGGUGAAGAUAUUAAAGCCACCAAGGCUCAAAUGUAAUUAAUCAACGAAAGUAAGUGUUUGGCUUGGUUUUGUGGUUCUCUUUGGAUGUUCUGUUUAUGUUUUUAUGGGUUUUUGAAGAUGGCUCACAGGUAUUAGCACCAAUAAGUGCUUUUUAUAAAUCCUGGUCCUAAAUUUGUAAAAAAAAAGUUAAUGCGCUUGGUUUAUUGUUAAUUAAAAAAAAAAAAGUCCUUUCCUUUGGCAUUUAUCAUGCAUUUGAAAAAAAAAAUUAUUCCACUGUAAUUCAUAAAGAUAUAUUUUUCCCCGGAUCCCCGGUUACAUUAAAGCGUUGAUACGAAUAUCCGUUGUGAUUAUAAAAAAGUUAAUCAAUCCGAAUAUUCAAUAAGUGGUAAAUUGGCACAAAAACAAUUAAGUCACGAACUUGCAUAUAGUGCAUUAAAUUGAAGAGCAUAAAGAAUUUUGUAAUGCAGUCCAGCAAUCAAAAACCAUUUUACAACACCAUUAAAAAAUCAUUGCAGCACUAUUGCUGAUGAGGCAGCUGGUAAUUCCUCUGGUGAAGAUAUUAAGGCCGCUGAAGCUGAAAUGUAAUUAGUGUCGUCAGAAGAUUAUGUAAUAAAGUGCUUUAGAUUAAUCUUGGUUGGAUUACUAUUCAUUAACCAUAUUUAAUUUAUGUGAUCAAUCGGUAUUUGCUAGCAUCAUUGUUAUACAACAACAUAUUAAUUAACUACUGAACUCUGCCAGCGAAUUAAUGAGCAAAUCCUCCUCAAAUUAUGCAUGUAUACGAUCAAAAUAAUUUCAAUUUCACCAUAUACGCGCGUGUGUGUAUACAUAUAUAAUACUUAAUAAUCACCAAACCAACAAUUCCCAAGUUGGAUUAUACAUAGACGAAUAAAUAAUGCUAAUCUAGCAAGUCCAAUCAUAGUAAUUUGAUUACCAAAUAUUAACCAUGUCCAAUCAUAUUCUUAAAUAAUCGCCGAACCAACAAUUUGCAAGUUAGAUUAUACAUGGAAGAAUAAAUAAUGCUAAUCUAGCAAGUCCAAUGGUAAAAAUUUGAUUUUCAUUAUAUUAACCGUGUCCAAUCAUGCUAUUUUAAUAAAGAACACUUGAAUAAUAUUUUCAUGUCCAGCAGGUAAAAUUUCAAAACAAUUUUUGCCAAAGUCCUCCUCGGCUAAAUUAAUUUAUGCAUUAAUAAAGUCCUCCUCUUCUAAAUAAUAAAAAACCUGUUACGUUAUUCUACCAUUUUUUUUUAAAAAAAAAAAGCAUUCUACUAUUUAAAAAAAGAAUUCGAAAACUGGUUCUAGACAUACACCGAACCAUAUUAAUUUAAAACAGUUUUCAACUGAGAUUUGAAAUUACACACACAAACACACCGAGUCCUUUAUAUAAAGUGCUUUUAAUAAAUUAUGGUCGGUUUACUAUUAAUUAAUCAAAUUUAAUUUACUCAAAUUACUCCUGUACACGAUCAAAAUAAUAUCAAUUCUAUGAUAUAUAUAUACGUGCACAUACAUACAAAAUGUAAAUAACUUUCAAAUAUAAAAUAUUUAAAAUAGACGAAAUAACUUUCAAAUGUUUAUUGUAUUUUGAUGGGUUUUUGAGGAUGGUUGUAUGUAUUAGCAACAACAAGGUGCUUUUUAUAAAUCCGGGUCCUAAUUUUGUAAAAGAAAUUAAUACUCUCGGUUUAUUGUUAAUAAAAAAGAAAAAAGAAAAAGCAUUUUUCUGUGGCAUAUAUUAAGCAUUUUGAGAAAAAAAAAAUUACAUUCCAAUUCAUGAAAGACAUUCCUUCUGUCAUAUUGAUGUGUUAAUAGAAAGAUCUAUGUGAAUUAUAACAAUUUUGAUGAAUCUAAAUAUUUAAUAACUGAUAAAUUAUAUUUAUAAAUAUUAAUACCGGUGGCACAUAAGCACUUAAUUCAAGAACUCGCCUAUAGUGCAUUAAUUUAAAGAGUAGAAAUAUUUAAUAAAUCAUGCCCGGUUUACUAUUAAUUAAUAAAAUUUAAUUUACUCAAAUUACUCCUCUACAUGAUCAAAGUAAUUUCAAAUAUACAACACACAAAAUGUAAAUGACUUUGAAAUAUAAAAUAUUUAAAAUAAUCACCCCACUAACAAUUCACCACAAAGAUUAUAAAUAGUCGAAAUAAUGAUAAUCUAAGGGGUCCGGUCAUAAUAAUUUGAUUUUUAUUUAUAUUAAUUAUAUAAAAAAGAGUACUCGAGAUUAUAUAUAUCCAACAGCUAAAAUUUCAAAACAAUAUUUGCCAAAGUCUGAUGAAGAGAAUACAUAUAUAUAACAUGCACUCGCACACAUUCUAUUGUUUAAUUAAAAAAUUCGAAAGCCCAUUAUAUACAUGAUAAAGACUUACCGACACCGAACCAUAUUCAUUUAAAGGAAUUGUUUUCAACUGAGAUUUAAAAUUAUUUACACAAACACGCCCGAUUUUUUCUUUUUUUUAAAAAUUACUAAUAAUAAAAUAUUUCAGUCGUCCUCUGUUCGGCUGUCAAAAACCCAUUAAGAUCGAUUUGAACAGAAGGUAUAUGGGUUAACAAUCCUCCAUCCUUUCUGCACUUCUCUUCCAUCAACGGACAGCGAUAGAUACUUAAUUGCAAAAGUGAGGAAGGCAGGCCCUUCUCCGGAAAGUAUUUGAGCUUGGGACAAUCCACGAGAUUUAAGUGGGUGAGGUUUUGAAGAUCAACAAUUGAAGAAGAUAGGCGUUCCAGAUUUGGAAAAUCUACAAUCCUCAGAGAUGUUAGAGAGGCAGGAAGAGGAAGCGCGGUCCCUAAUCUUUUGUCCUCUAGUGGAAAUGACACCAUGUCGUCAUCACAUCCUUCGAUUGUAAGAUGUCGCAGAGAAGAGAAUCUAUGAAAUCCCCGACCCCGCUCAAUCAUUGACUUCCAAAUCUCCAUAUUACCCCAAAUAUGAAGUGAAUGAAGGUUGGUGGGAAGGCCAUCUUCUUCAAGGCUUGGAAGCUCACCUCCUAUUGUUAAUUGUUGAAGAGAGGUCAGAUUGUGCAAUCCCUUGGGUAAGGCCUCCAGUCUCUCACACCCAUAGAUCCUGAGCUUACUCAGUUUCGCACAAGGCAAUCCCCCUUCGGGAAAGGACACCAGAUUUUCACAUUCCCAUAUUUCGAUCUCUUGAAGCUGGCCGAGAUUAUGUAAACCACUCGGUAAAAUUUUCAGAUUUUCACACCCAGAAAUAUUGAUUGUUUCAAGAGAUGUGUUGUUGUCCAACCUUUCUGCUAUUGACUCCAGCUUUGGACAAUACCAAACAAAAAGGGACUUAAGAGACGGAGGUAGAUUGCCAACUUCAAGGGACUCAAGCGUGGCAGGUAACUCGUUUUUUGAAAAUAUACAUGUCAGUGAUGGACAAUCCCUAAUUUCUAACUUCUCAAGAAGAGAUGAGGUGUACCUUCUAUUGCUGCUGCUGCUGCUGCUACUCUGGAUGCCCUCUUCCACUGUCAAAGUCCUUAUAUUAUCACAACUAAGGAUGUCCAACCUCUUAAGGCUCCGUGGUAGCUGGACUCCAGCAAGAUAUGUCAACGUACGACAAUGCUCAAUAUACAAGGUCUCGAGAGAUGAAUUGGUGUCGCACAUCCAUGCCUCUGGUAAUGAUUUCAGUGCGUCACAACCUUCAAUCUCAAUUAUCUUCAACUUGGAAGGCAGAGCAACCUCAGGAAAGGAAACAAGGGAACUGCACUUGUAGAUUUCUAUCUCUCUCAAGGAACUGAGGCUGAGAGAUGAUUGUGGCAGCUUCACAAGGCCUUCGCAAUAACUCAAUCUUAGAUAUUCGAGUCUGCAUGACAACUCGCAGAGCUGCUGUUGUUGGUCUUUCUCUUCCUCCGCCACCAAGGAUUGAAGUUUGGGACAGCUUGUAAUCGUCAGUCUUCUGAGAGAGCAAAUGUCUUGCAGUAAUUCGUUAUGACUCUUCCAAAUAUAUGUCUGCUCUUUCAUAUCAUUUAUCUUCAAUUCUUCCAAUUUUGGCAGUCGCGGCUUUAAUGGCCCUGCGAGAAACAGUUGAUUUGAUGUAUCUCUACAAACCACUGAAUUCUGUGAGCCGAGAUGAUCAGCUGCACUUCUCCACACAACCUUUUUACAUCCACCAAUUUCAAAUUUGCAAAGAGCUGGAAGACUUGUAACUGAAACUGACAAUUCUUCACAUCCUUUAAUAACAAGCUUCUCCAAUGCAGGAAGGUGCUCUGGAAGUGUUCCUUGCAGUUUAGAACAUCUUAAAAUGUGAAGCUCUCUCAAUUUAGGAAACCCUUCAACUCCUUGACCGGAUCCAUGAGGAAUCCAGUCUUCCCAUUCUUCCAUGUCUUCAAAACAAAGAGUCUCCAAGCAUGGAAAAGGAAUUGAAGCAACCUUCCCAUAGAACUCUGGAUCAAAUCUCCUUACGCUGCUCAUUCCACAUACUACAAGCUGCUUUAGAGAGGGUAGUUGCCCGACCGACGGCAGGGCAGUACACAUGCUACAAUAUUCAAAUUUAAGUGUUACUAAAUUUGACAAUGAGGAAUUUCCUAACCAAGUUGAAAAAUUUGUGCCUCCAUAGCCGCUGAUACAAAAUUGUUCCAGAUUUUUAUGGGGUUUUAGCAUGUCAAGCACGCCCUCUUCAGCUUCUGCCUCCCUUGAAGAUGAACCAUUAGUAUUGCGAGUCCAUCGAAGCCAUAAUUCUUUAAGAUUCUCCUUUCUAUCCAAUUGAGCGUCCUCGGCAUCAAUAAUGUGUUUUACAUUCUCCAAAUUUGAAAUGCAAAGUGUCCCCCCAAGUUGCGUCAAGGACUUUAGCUCUCGUAACCGGGAACCACUGUCUUUUCCCACAACAAAAUUACACAACGUCUGAAGACAAGUCAGCCUACCAAUUCCGACUGGCAUUUCCUCCAACGAAGAUGUAUUUGAAUUAUUGAGAUGAUGCAAUUUGAUGAGGUUUCCCAUGGCUGCACACAACUUCUUCAGUCGCCAACAGCCCUCCAACAGAAGGGUGUGCAAAUUGUAAAGCUUGUUGACUGAUUCAGGCAGAGUUCUAAUCUCAGUUCCAGAUAGGUUAAGGUACCUUAAAUACCUCAAAUCACCAACUGAAUCCGGCAGCUUGGGGAUGAAAUAUCCACACAGAGAGAAGACCCUCAAUCGUUGGAGUUUGAACAACUUAGGAAGAAUGCUAAGAGCAAAGUAUCCAUGCGACCUAUUUGACCGCCUUACUGGUAGAAAAGUUCGCAAAUGCUGGAUAUUGUACAAGUCUUCAAACCUUUUACCGCCUUCAUAAUAUUCAGGAAUGUAUGACAGAUGAUGAAGAUUUAUGGAAAAACUUUGUUGCUUGUUAACCUCCGAGGUAUACUCCAUUGUGAAGUAUAUCUCCCCCGCAGCCCAUUGAGCAAGGUCAUUGACGAGGUCGUGCAUCACAAAUCGUGAUGUACCGUUGCUUGAUUGCUGGAAAAAAGAUCUUGCACGUAGCUCUUGAAAGAACCUUCGACCUAGAUCUUCACUUGGAUUCCCGCUCUCUCCGUGAUCCAAGAAACCCACAGCACUCCAUAAUAAAAUUAUCUCCUCCUCUUCGAAUUCAUAAUCCUUUGGAAACAAUGAGCAGUAUGCAAAGCACUGUUUCAAAGGUGCCGAGAGAUAAUAGUAGCUCACUCUAAGCGCCGGUAUAAUGUCACAUCUCUCUUCUGGUAAAUCCCAUAUGUUGCAACUGAGCACACCUUCCCAAUCACUUCGGUCACAUUUACCACGUAAGAGUCCACCAAGAGUUUUUGCAGCUAAGGGCAAGCCGUUGCAUUUGAUCACAAUCUUCUUGCCAAUUUCCUCCAAUGACUUGUUUGAACUGAAAUCUUUUGUCCCCAAAGAGUGUUGAGCGAACACGGACAGACAAUCAUCAAAUGACAACUUUUUCAAUUCAUAAGCUGGAGCAGUUCCCAUGAUGGCUGCAACCUCUUGAUUACGAGUUGUGACAAUAAUCUUACUUCCCGGUGCGCCAGCUUCAAACGGACGGCUCAUGUCAACCCAAUCAUUGUAUUUCUCAUUCCAAACGUCGUCUAAAACAAGCAAAAAUUUCUUUUGAGAUAACUUCUUCUUCAGCUCCUCUUGAAGCAAAUUUAAAUCACUGUCAUCAAUAGUCUGCUUAGUAACGGAUCUUAGAAUUGUUUUUGUUAGCCUCUUAACGUCGAAAUCGUCAGAGACACAAGUCCAUGCCUUGAGAUCAAAAUGAUCCUGCACUCGCUUAUCAUUGUAGACAAGCUGAGCAAGAGUAGUUUUGCCCAUCCCGCCCAUACCUAUAAUAGGAAUAACAGAGAAUCCACCAUCGUUGCUUAAAUCAUCCCUCAACAGCAGUUCAACAACAUCCUUCUUUUCUGUUUCCCUGCCAUAUACUUUGGCUUCAGUCACUAAAGAGGUUGUCUCUAGCCUUUGACUGGCUUUUUUGGACCCUCCGGCUGAACUUUCUUUCAAAUCUAGCAAGUUUUUCUGUGUCACAAUUUCUUGAAAUCUGCUGUUGAUCUCUUUGAUUUUGGACAUCAAGCCAUAAUCGAACUGAAUCGAUUGUGGAGUAAAAGUGGUGCAGCAAGGAGGAAUGAGCUUCCGAAACUUACUUGUUCUGGUACGACUGCUACUGGGUUGAUCAUGAGCAGCAGCUGGUUCUCCAUUUCCAAGCAGCAACAUCCUCCGGAAAGCCUCAGUUUGAAACUCAUCCAACAAGUCUUCAACAUCAUAAGCCAAGUUCUGAAGCUUGCCAAGCCACUUCUUCACAGACCGAUUAGUCGUCUUCUUCUCCUCAGCAUCAUCAAGCACCGCCUUGAUCAUCUCCAACAUAUUCUCCCACUUCAUUAGAUCGUCUUGGAUCUUCUCUUGGCGUGCAAAAAACAGAAUCCCCUCUGAAGCUAACUUAUUGACCAGCAAAUCAACGGACGCCGUAAGGAUUGCCUCUCCGAUGAUUGACAUUUUUUUUCUUUUUUUUUGGGCAAAGGAAGAAAGGAGCAGAAUUAUGGGUUAUGGAAAGCAGAAUGAGAAAAUUGAACGGGUGAGAAAAUGGAUAAUUAAGCAGAAUGAGUUUGUGAUUGUGAAGGGUCUGGCCCAGCUAGAAAUCACGCGUUUAUACUUUAUUGACCAAUGACUAAUAAUUUGGCAAUUCACCCAUCACACCACCACUUGGUAAGCAAAAUGAAAAUGCUUAGUAAUUAAUAAGUGUCAAGGGUCAAGCAAAAUACGACGUAAAAUGUGGCAAGUCUCCCCACUUGUUUUCCUUGCAGCUAAGAAAAGAAAAACACAGCCCACCACCCAUUAAUAAUUUAGCAAUUCAUCAAUCACCACCACUUGUUACGAAAUUCCUUCCGUUAGAUAUUCGUAUAGGUCAAGGAGUUAAUCCAGUGUCAAUUACUUAGAACCUUCACUUUACAAAUCUUCAACUCAUAAACCAAGAUAAAUCAAAACGUUUCUCUCUCUCUAUUUUUUUUUUUUUAAACUCCUAAAACGUUUCUUUUUAGAAAUAUUUUACUUUAUUCAUCUAAUAUGUUAUCUAACAAAUAGACACAGAUGAAAUCACUCUAAAGUGAAGAUGAAAGGGGAAAAAAAACAUUCCAACCACCAAUAAUUUAGCAAGCUAACGUUUUCAAAAUAUUGUUCUUUAUAAUUGAACAGGAAAUAAGACUAAGUUUUGGACAUUUUCAUAUUCACUUACUUUCAAAAGCAGUAUUUCGAAACAUUUUACAGAAUCAAGUAACAGUUAUAUAACGAGAAAAGUGCAAAGUUGUGUAAUUCUAAUUUUUUUUUUUAUCACAGACACUCAGAUCAUUUUUUGUUUGGGUCGCCAACUCGCCAAUGAACCUAUGAUUGAAUGAGUGUUUAGAAAGAAAAUCAAUGAAAAAUAGUUUAUUUUGGCCGUCGAAAUAUAGUAAGUGAGAAAGAUUAUUCUGUUUUUUUUUUGUUAAUUAGGUUAGUAAUUAUGAUUGAGUGACUCAGAACUAUAUUCUAGAUUGGGAAUCAAUGGUUCUCCCACACUGAGAGGCUGUAAGUUUAAGAUUGUCGUUUGCUAUUUCAUCGACAAGAGAGCACUCGAUUUUAUUAAAAGGAGAAAGUCGUAAGAUUUCCUUUAUUAGAAAAUGUAUCUGAUCAUUCCUUUUUACUUGAAAAUUUCAUAUAUAAAAACAUAUUAAUAAAUGACAUACUAUACAUAAAUUAUUAAUUCACUUGAUAGUUGAUUAUCGAAGGACAUGUGACCCAUGGGAGCAUGCAGUCAAUAAAAUAAUUCUUUUUUUUUAACAAAAAAUCGGUGAUGUUGAAAAGCAUUACUUUAUACUAUUAUUACUCUAAUUGGGUGAACAUUUCAAAAAAAGCAUUACUUUUUUUUUAUUUCCAAUCUUUACCAAAAGAAAAAUAUUUAUUGAUCCCUUUUAUCAACUUGCUUUUAUUGACUUUCUUCCUAAUAGAAGUGAAAAGAGAAACCAAUAAGUGUUACCAGAUUAAAUUCAUAAGCUUCGAAGAAGUAAAUUAGUCAAAUUAACCAAAACAUCCAUUAAGCUGGUCAGAGGAUCAGACCGCUCUCUAUCCACCCUUAUCACGGCCUGGUCCAAACUCAUUUUUCUUUGAAAAUAGACAAAUAAUAAAGCCACUACAAGUUAAGCAGAUCAAAUAAACAGAGGAAAUAGCUGAUCAAUUCUUUGUGCAAUGGCCACGGCAACAACAAAAAUAUGCCUACAUGACUACAUUAAUCCGACUGGCGUGGUACCAUCGCCAUGCAGCAUUACAGCAACAUUUGAUCAUCUAUCAAUUUUCAUGAUAUGAGAUUAGAAACAUUGAGUUUAUAAUUUUAUGUAAUUUCAUAGAAAAGAUAUAAUUGAUUUGAGUUAGUUUACCAUUUAAGGAAGGAGUAAUGGGGAAUGAUAUCGCUGUGGCAUGUGAUGAGUAAAGAUAGACAGCAAAUAUUGAUCAUGUAAUAGUGAAAUAUGUAUUUACUGAAAAAUAUUUGGCAAUAAAAUGACGCUAUAAGAAUUUAAUAUUAGUUGCAAGAAAAUAAAUUGACAAUUAAAUUAAUAGAUAUAUAUGCAAUGGUCCGAGUUUAUCUUAUCAGUUCGCUAACCAUUUUGUAACUACAUAUUAAUUAGAAGUUCAAUUAAUUUUGACCAAAGACUCCAGAGGAUGUCGAGAAGAGAUUUGAUUUUGGUAUUAAUAAAAAUAGAAAUAAAAUAAGUCAAAAACAAUUACAAGAACAACAAUAAAAGCAUAUUUUAUAAAAGCCACAAAUACGUAAUAUAAAUUUGAUUUUGAAUUACGUAAUUACUAAUUUAUAUAGUAAGAGGGUCUUAUAGAAAAAUAGGAAUUUUUUAAAAGAGAUUUGCUUAAGGAAAAAGUUUAGUUUGGUCUAGUUUGUGAAGGCUCGAGUAAUUGAAAGCAAUGCAAGUGAAAGAAACACAAACUUCUAAUUUUUACAAAGUAAUCGCUAAAAUAUUUGACGAGUUUGAGAUUUUAAAAAGGCUGAGAAAAUAGACCAAUAAUAAAGACCUACAAGUUAGCAGAACAAAUAAACUGAGGAAAACAUGGUAGAUAUUUACCAUUAUACAUUUUUUAUUUUAUUUUUUCCAAAAACGAAUGUUGCGAAUUUUUUAUGAUAAGAGAACAGAACUCAUGGUUCAGCAAUAAUCAUCAGCUCACUGGCCGUUAGUUCAGAAUGACAAUUCUUAUUAGUCAAAGAAUCAAAAUGAUUUUUAGUUGUUUAUAAGUAGAGCACUAGAUCAACAAAUAAUUGAAGACUUGCUUUUGCUAUUGAACCAUGCGAUGGCAAUUCGAAGACUACAGCUUAACUCUGCCAUUCGAAGUAAGCAACUCAGCUGCCCAAAGACUGCCAAGCCACCAAGACAAUGCCAAGAUACAACAUCAAGAAUUACAUACAGGCCGUCACAUAUUACAUCUCUCCUCUGUUUUAAGAGAGAUUUACGAACUCACGCAGUAGGAGUAAUUAAUUAAUUUAUACAGUUCAGUACUCAUUUCUCCACUAUUUCAAAUCCAAACCAUUUAUUAUGACGCAAGGUACAUGGGUUAGCAGGUGCCGAUAUUGUCCUCCAUCCUUUUGUAUACGUUUCUUCUAUCGGAACAAUUUACAAUUAAAUAAAUCAUUCAAAAUCUCCUUUAGUCGAACCCCCAUUUAUAUGGUUUAAUAAAAUAUCACAAAGUUGCCUAAUACAGAGAAAUUAACAAAUUCAGCCCAUGAGAGUGCCAUUUUAAUGCAAGAAAUUGAAAGUUAAUUAACACUGGAUUAUGUUGGAUUGUUACUUGUUAAUUACGAUGGGAAUAUAAUCUUGGUCUUUUAAUUAUCAUCUAGCUAACCCAUGCGCAAAAGCUUCAUUUGUGUCUGUCGCUAAAGAGUAAAGUUGCUUGAUUGAACGGUAUCAUAUGACAGAAACUCAAACUCUAUCAUUGUCCGAGUAUACCAUGCCACAUGUGUAGCUCAAAGGUACAAUAACAUUGAACAUUCAGCUAGCUAGCUCAUACUAAUUAAUUUAUAGGAUUGUUAGUUCUUUAUGAUUAACUUAAAGUGAAAAAAUUUGAAUAUCACGAAAACAAUAACAAUUCACUCCCAUAAACAACAAAAUAAAUGCAUAAUCUAUAUUGCAAGUCUUUUUAGGAUUUUAAUUAAAAGAGAAAGUACGAAGGACAUAUUAUAUAUAAUUGAAUGUUCUCCUUGAUAAUUAGACAAAAUAACAUCAAUCUGGCUAACUAAUCCGAUUGUUAAAGUGCAAUUUAUGCACUAGUUUUGCAUUGUUUACUUCUCUUAAUAUCGAUGUUUUGCACUUAAUAAUAAUGAUUUACUUGUGUUUUACUUUUGUAGGUGCAAUUCUAUUGAUUAGUGAUAAAAUUGAGCUACAAGAUGAUGUUUAAGGAUGAUUGUUCUCUUGGAGAAAUUAUGAGCGGCAGAAGAACUUUGUUGAUAAGGCGUGGGCGCGUGCUGUCAACUACGGACCUGCAGUUUUUAGUUUAACGUGUUUUAUAUUUUUGGUUAUUUUUGUAAUUACGAAUUUAAUAUUUCAGAUAUUAGUAUUUUAUUUUAAAUAGAACUCUAAAAGAGAAGAGAGAGAGAGUAUUUAAGGGAGGAAUCUAUUGUGAAAAGGGGGAUUUUGAAUUGGAAAAAGAAAGAAACCCUAAAUCUAAUUUUUCUCUUCUCUCUAUGAAGAACUAAACCUAUUUUUCUGGUUGAAGGAGAAUGAAGCUUUGAUUCAUCAUUACUGUGAGAUCUUUCUUAUGCUUUAAUUGUUUUAUUACUUUUUGGGUAUUUGUUUAUUCUCUGAAUUAGUUUCAUGAUUAUGUUUGUUAAUUAGGUAAUUGUCCACUAUUUAAUUAUCAACUUAAUCUAUUGUCAAUUAAAGGAUUCAUCGUAUGAAGAAUUUAAUGUUUGUGACAAAUAACAUAGCAGAGAGUUGUGUUGUGAGAAUAAACAAUCUAAUUUAAAUGAAUCAUCAUAUGUGUUGAUUAGGAUUUGGGUCUCUCUAGUUUUUCAGGCUGUCAAUUGAUUAAAUCCUAUGAUCGUAUCUAGGGUUGUCUAUUGAUUAGGGAAAUAUCCAACGGUCGUACCUUGAUUAUCAACUAGUUAAGGAGAGAUUGGCUAUUAGAGGGUCUCAAUAGCUAUAACCGGUCUAUUCAUAAGUAAUAAUAAUCUAUAUUUGAAUCAAUGAUCAGUAGUCGAACCAAGCUGAGUUAAUUCCUUCAACCAGAGCUUUCUCCAAUUUGAAUUACAACUUUAAUUUGCAUUCUUAUUAUUUUAAUUUGAUUUUUAUUAUUGUCAACAAUUCCCCCAUUUUACGUUUUACGUUUCAAAAGGAUUUAAAUAAUUACCGAUCUCUGUGGACACGACCCUGCUCAAUCACUAUACACAAUUUAUUUAGAGUAGGAAUUUAUUUUUGUUGGCUUCGACAACCAUCAAAUUUUGGCGCCGUUGCCGGGGAUUGGUGUCAUUUAUUUAAUCCUUUUUACGUUUUACUUGGUGUAUGGUUCGUUCUUCUCGUACAGGUACACUUUCGUUUGAUCCUGAAAUUGAGAAGACAGCUCGCCAGUUGAGACAGCAGACGAAGCGAGCUAAGCAACGAUCCUCGUCGCCUUUGCUUUCUGAAACAGAUACAGUGCCUGAUUUAGUUGAAUCAUCUAGCGAUUCAGAAGAACAAGUGAUGGAUAGACCUGCACCUGUAGAAAGAACUCUUAGAGAGUUAGCUGAACCAGACUUGAAUCAACAACCACUCUGCAUUCAAUAUGUAGACUUGGAGGUAAAUUUUGAAUUAAAGUCUGGUCUUAUUCAUUUAUUACCCAAGUUUCAUGGUUUUGCAGGUGAAGAUCCUCAUAAACAUCUCAAGGAAUUUCAUGUUGUAUGCUCAAGUAUGAGGCCACAAGGCGUGACUGAAGAGCAGAUUAAGCUGCGUGCUUUUCCGUUCUCUGUAGAUGGGCUAGCUAAAGAUUGGUUGUACUACUUGCCUCCUGGAUCGAUUACAACGUGGAAUGGUUUGAAGAAGCAGUUCCUUGAGAAGUACUUUCCUACUUCAAGAGCUGCCAACAUCAGAAAAGAUAUUUGUGGGAUCAGACAACUUCCUGGGGAGACUUUGUAUGAGUAAUGGGAGCGAUUCAAACAAUUGUGUGCCAGCUGUCCUCAGCAUCAGAUUUCUGAUCAACUUCUUAUUCAAUAUUUUUACGAAGGACUAUCAUUAAUGGAUAGGAGUAUGAUAGAUGCUGCUAGUGGAGGCGUGUUAGUGAACAAGACCCCUACUCAAGCAAGGGAGUUGAUAUCAAAUAUGGCUGCCAACGCACAACAAUUUGGCAGUAGGCAAGAUCUCACUUCAAGGAAGGUGAAUGAGGUAAAUAUUUCUUCUGUUGAACAACAUUUAGAUAAACUUACUUCUCUUGUGGAAAAGUUUGUUGUAGGUAAUGUGCAACAUGUGAAGACUUGUGGCAUUUAUUCCAAUAUGGGUCAUUCAACUGAUAUGUGUCCUACACUUCAAGAAGAACCCGUUGAACAAGCCAAUGUAGUUGGAGAAUUUCCAGGCAUGCCUCAGAGGAGGUAUGAUCCUUAUGCACAAACAUACAAUCCGGGAUGGAAGGAUCAUCAUAACUUCAGCUAUGGAGUUAGGCAAUCAGGAUUCUCACAACAAUAUCCACCAAGACAACCAGCACCUCCACAGUCAAACUCCAAGUCAGGUAUAUCUCUUGAAGAAAUUGUUAAAUCACUUGCGACUAACACUCAACAAUUUCAACAGGCAACUACAGCAAGCAUUCAGAACUUGGAGAACCAAAUGAGUCAAUUGGCGACUACAGUGAGCCGUCUGGAGUCUCAAGUAUUAGGGAGAUUGCCUUCACAAUCUGAGGUGAAUCCAAAGCAAAACGUUAGUGCUGUCAUCCUUAGAAAUGGGAAAGAGUUGCAAGAGUCUAGUAAGAAAGUGACAAAGCAUGUAGAAGAUGAGCUUGAGAAGAAUGAAUUGAUGCCUCAAUCUCAAGAUGCGCAACCUACCAAAGCGAAACCCCGACCUAUUGUGAUACCUCCUCCUUUUCCAAGCCGGUUUGCAAAAUCCAAGAAGGAGGAACAAGAGAAAGACAUCCUUGAGACAUUUCGCAAGGUUGAGGUAAAUAUUCCUUUAUUAGAUGCUAUAAAACAAAUACCUCGAUAUGCUAAAGUCCUUAUGGAACUGUGCACCUCUAAGAGAAAAUUAAGAGGAGAUGAAAAAGUUCACAUGGGGGAGAAUGUUUCAGCAGUUUUCCAAAAGAAACUACCUCCUAAGUGCAAGGAUCCAGGUAUGUUUACUAUCCCUUGUAAAAUUGGUAGUGUUAGAAUUGAAAAGGCUUUGUUAGAUCUAGGAGCUUCUAUUAAUGUCAUGCCUCAUUCCAUUUAUUCAUCUUUGAAUAUUGGUCCAUUAAAAGAAACUGGUGUGAUAAUUCAACUAGCUGAUAGGUCUAAUGCAUAUCCUGAUGGGGUAUUAGAAGAUGUUUUAGUACAAGUUAAUAAGUUGGUUUUUCCUGCUGAUUUUUAUGUACUUGAUAUGGAAGAUGAUAACUCCUCUAAUUCUGUCCCAAUUUUGCUAGGAAGACCUUUUCUUAAGACUGCUAGGACUAAAAUGGAUAUACAUAAAGGGACUCUCACUAUGGAGUUUGAUGGAGAGGUUAUAGAAUUCAAUAUGAAUGAUGCCAUGAAAUAUCCUAGUGAAGAACAUUCAGUAUUUUCUGUGGAUGUUAUUAACCCUAUAGUGCAGGAAGUUUUUUACAAGGAAAAAACGAAGACAUUUCAUGAUAGAAUGAUUUUGAGAAAGGAGUUCUCUAUUGGUCAAAAAGUUCUUCUUUUUCAUUCUAAGCUUAAACUUUUUCCGGGUAAAUUACGUUCUUGCUGGGUUGGACCUUUUAUUGUUACUAAUGGUUUUCCUCAUGGUGCAGUUGAGAUUCGGAGUCCGACCUCUAACAAAGUUUUUAAGGUUAACGGUCAUCGCUUAAAACCUUUUUAUGAAGGUUUUUCGGUGAAUAUUGUGGAGGAUGUGGCUCUCGAGAGUCCUAAUUAUGGAGAUUGAUGCAUAAAUGUGUCUAACCAAAGACAUAAAACAAAGGCGCUUUUUGGGAGGCAACCCAAAUGAUUUAUUUAUUUUGGUUUUUGUUAUAUCUUCUUUUAAUUUUGAUUCAGAUUUUUUUUUAAAAAAAUAAUGUGUUAGCUUAUUUUGGUCAGAAGAAAAUUUUCGAUAAGGCGUGCCCACGUCUUAACUAAUAAGUACUUCUGUAAUUUUUAAAGUAAAAUAGUUUUAAGGCAUGCCCACGUGCUUAUUGGAAAAGUACUUCUGAAAUUUUUAGUGUCUCAAAGUGAUUCAUCACUAAAAAAUAAAAAAAAUAAAAAAAAUUAAAAAAAAAAAUUAAUUUUAUUUAUUUUAUUUUUUUUAUUUCUUUUGUUCUUUCUUUUAUAUAUAUUUUUUAUUUAUUUAAAAAAAUCAUUGUUCAAAAAAAAAAAAAUUUUACUGUUCACAAAAUCCUUAAUUUUCCAGAACUUGCUUUCUUCUCCAGCCGCUCGCAGCACCAACAGCCCACAAACCAGCCGCAGCGCGCAACAUCAGUCCCAGCAGCAAGCUCCAGCAUCCCCAGCCCGCGCGCGCAACGCGAAUCAGCCCUAGCCGCCGCACGCAGCAUCGCGCACCGCAACCAGCAGCAGCGCGAAUCAACCUCAGCGCAGCGCAUCAGUCCCGCGCGCGCAGUGCAACAGAUCCGCAAAGCAGACCCGCAACGCAAAUCGGCUCUCGCGCGCAGUACAGCAGUGCGUAGAUCCAGCACCGCAACCAGCAGCACGAACCAGCUCCAGCCAAGCAGCAACGCAACGCAACCAGCCUACGCCCUGUAUUCCAGCCGGGUAAAUCGAAAUCCGUGAGUGCAAUUAUUGUAACAAUGCCAAAGAGGAAAGCAUCUACUUCCAAGUUAUCGAAAAAGACACCCGUCGCAAAGAAAUCUAAGAUUGCCGCUCCCACUACGGUUCCAUGGAACACAAUUUCAGAUUCACGCCAAGCCGUGAGACAAAGAUCGAAGCAUGGAAAAGGCAUGAGUGUUUUGCCACUUGCGGAAUCCAAUCUCGGAGGGUGCCUCGCAUUCGCGACUCAACAAGAGAAAGAGGUGUGGUCGAAUUCAAGGAGGGGAGAUUUCAGUUUACUGAACCAGGACCCACUCAACUUCCGAAGAAGAUUUAUGCUAGGAGUGGUGCUGCCUCUGAUGACGAGUUUGACGACGACACUAUUGCCCUGCCAACUAUUCCUUCUACAUCCGCACCACUUUUGAGCAUUCAGUUAGAGAAAAUGGAGCACAAGCUGAACAAGAUGGAGCAGAAUUUGGCCGCAUACUUCGAGAGUGUGAGAUUUACCCCACCAUUUCCGCCAAGCCCAUAGACGUUAUGUGGAUCAAAGCUCACAAUUCAGGGAAGUUUCUUUUUGCCUUUAAUCUUUUAUCCUUACGCUUUAAUUUUUAUGUGAGCUUUGAUUAUCUUACAUUGGGGACAAUGUAAGUUCUUGGUGUGGGGGAGGGAUUUUUACAUUAUUGAUGCCUGGAAUUAUUAUUUUCACUCUACUCAUCCUUAAAUGAUUUUGGAGUUAGUAUGCUUUAUAUAUUAUUUUUUCUUUUCUUUUCUUUCUCACUACUUUUUUUCCCAUCUAUCUCAAAUUAUUUACAUCUAUUUUUAUUCCAUCAUACUCUUUCAUCACUCACAUUUUAUCUUUCACUUUUCAUCUUUCUCACUUCUUAUCAUUUUUACCUUUUCUUUUAUAUCUCACUCAUACCUUCUUCUCAUUCUACACCACUAUUGAUGGUUGAUUCAUUUGAAGAGUGUACAUGAUUUGAUGGCAAAUUUACCAACUUUGUGAGGAUUUGAGCCUAUGAGCAACCACUUUGCUCUAAUAUUUUUGUUAUGUGAAUAUCAAUCUUAGUUUGUUUAUUCUAGAACUUGCUUUGUUAUGCAUGUUGAAGCCGCAUUACGGGAUUUUAUGCAUUAAAAUGAUAAGGGCAAACCAUUUACCAUUUUUCCAUUCUCGCAUUUUCCUUUUUCUCUACCCGAAGACCUUUAUUUGCUACCUUUGUUUGAGCCUUAACCAUUACCCAUCUAAUUCUCUCCGUCUACUUAACCAUUUUUCUUCUUUUGAGCCUCGAUUUAAGGAGAUUUUUGGACUCAUUGUGUGGAUAUAUUUUGUUGCUUUUUCUACCUUGUAUUAAAGUUUCUCAAUUAGAUCAACAAGCAUUAUGCUUGAAUUAAAUUGUGCAAGGUUCGUUUCUUUUGUUUGAUUCAGAAAAAAAAAAGAAAAAAAAAGAAAAGAAAAGGAAAAAGAAAAAAAAGAAAAAGAAUAAUCGAAAAAAAAGAGGAAGAAAAAAAAAUGUUUACAUUCUUGGUGACUUGAGUAGAAAUAAGCAUUUUGAUAUCAUAAGUUCAUUCUUCUCAUUUUGAUCUCUUUUUCUUUCGUAAACCUUUCUUUUUCAUUUCACCCAUUUAACCCCAUUACAACCCUUUUAAGACCCUUAGAUUUUUGCAUUUUAUUCAUGUUUUGUGGAUUGAGAUGUGAUAUAUGAGCAAGCUUAUGGUAAUAGCAUUCUUUGAUUUGAUUUGAGUGGAUAAAUGACACCCUAAACACUUUGAGUGCAUGGAGUGAAGUUAUUGAGAGGGCUAUUAAAUCUUGUUGCACUUGAAUUUUGAAUGGAUCUUCUUGGUGGUUGAAUGUUCUUAUUCUAUCUUAUGAAAUUCUAUGCUUUAAAAUCCUUAUCUCUCGAAUGUUGAACGACUUAAUUUCUUGAGGUAUGCUUGCUUAAAAUUGUUUUUGGAUGAGUUGAGAUGAGAAUUUAGUGGAGAUUUGAGAUUAGUCUUGAGUUAUAUGCUUGAGGACAAGCAUCAUCUUGGUGUGGGGGAAUUUGUUAAAGUGCAAUUUAUGCACUAGUUUUGCAUUGUUUACUUCUCUUAAUAUCGAUGUUUUGCACUUAAUAAUAAUGAUUUACUUGUGUUUUACUUUUGUAGGUGCAAUUCUAUUGAUUAGUGAUAAAAUUGAGCUACAAGAUGAUGUUUAAGGAUGAUUGUUCUCUUGGAGAAAUUAUGAGCGGCAGAAGAACUUUGUUGAUAAGGCGUGGGCGCGUGCUGUCAACUGCGGACCUGCAGUUUUUAGUUUAACGUGUUUUAUAUUUUUGGUUAUUUUUGUAAUUACGAAUUUAAUAUUUCAGAUAUUAGUAUUUUAUUUUAAAUAGAACUCUAAAAGAGAAGAGAGAGAGAGUAUUUAAGGGAGGAAUCUAUUGUGAAAAGGGGGAUUUUGAAUUGGAAAAAGAAAGAAACCCUAAAUCUAAUUUUUCUCUUCUCUCUAUGAAGAACUAAACCUAUUUUUCUGGUUGAAGGAGAAUGAAGCUUUGAUUCAUCACUACUGUGAGAUCUUUCUUAUGCUUUAAUUGUUUUAUUACUUUUUGGGUAUUUGUUUAUUCUCUGAAUUAGUUUCAUGAUUAUGUUUGUUAAUUAGGUAAUUGUCCACUAUUUAAUUAUCAACUUAAUCUAUUGUCAAUUAAAGGAUUCAUCGUAUGAAGAAUUUAAUGUUUGUGACAAAUAACAUAGCAGAGAGUUGUGUUGUGAGAAUAAACAAUCUAAUUUAAAUGAAUCAUCAUAUGUGUUGAUUAGGAUUUGGGUCUCUCUAGUUUUUCAGGCUGUCAAUUGAUUAAAUCCUAUGAUCGUAUCUAGGGUUGUCUAUUGAUUAGGGAAAUAUCCAACGGUCGUACCUUGAUUAUCAACUAGUUAAGGAGAGAUUGGCUAUUAGAGGGUCUCAAUAGCUAUAACCGGUCUAUUCAUAAGUAAUAAUAAUCUAUAUUUGAAUCAAUGAUCAGUAGUCGAAUCAAGCUGAGUUAAUUCCUUCAACCAGAGCUUUCUCCAAUUUGAAUUACAACUUUAAUUUGCAUUCUUAUUAUUUUAAUUUGAUUUUUAUUAUUGUCAACAAUUCCCCCAUUUUACGUUUUACGUUUCAAAAAGAUUUAAAUAAUUACCGAUCUCUGUGGACACGACCCGGUUUACGUUUGUUUAAUCUAAUGGCUAUAACAUGUGUACCGUCAAAAGCUACAGUAUCCAUCUUUGUUUGUCCUCGUGGCAUCCUUGAUCUUAUAUUAUCCCGGUGGUUCUUGAAAGUUCUUCUCAUUCCCAUGUGCUGAGUUGCUUGCUGAGAUGAUGAAUACUUGAUGGUCCUUCCUUGAGACAUCUGAUGAGAAACGAUGUAAUCAAUAUAGUUCUAUUUUGAAAAAUCAAUAUAAAUCAAUCCCCUUAGAUUCUCUCUGUCUCAUAGCACAAUGGGUGAUGAUUUGAUGAGAAAUAUUAAUAUGAAUGCGUCAGAUAGAAGCUUGGUUGCAAUCAGAUAUUAAGUAUAUUUGUCAGAAUGGAUGCAACAAAAAUUCUAUCUGAUCUGUAGUUCAUGAAAAGCGGCCGAAUGCUUCCGGCAAUUCAAGCAAAUAGAAGCUUGGUUGAUUGAUUGCUCUUCAUGUGAAAUUCUACCUAAUGGCUAUACUUUUAAUGGUUUAAAUUCUUCUUUUUUUCUUUGAAUUGUUGAUUUAUACUGUCUUGUAUGCAAAUUAAAUUCGAAAUUUCGGAUGAUGAUAAUCUUGAUUUAGAACAGAUUAGGUAACAUGUGGCAUUCUACAAUCUUGCAAUGCCAUUUCUUGUUAUGGCAGCAGCAUUUUUUUCUCAAUUGUUUGUGUGGACUAAUUUUCUGAAUUCAAAACUUGGCGUAUUAAAACGUCAUCGUUUUGUCCAUUAAGAUUUUUCAACUGUUCAUGAAGGUGUUUUUGCUAAGGACAGCCUAAGUUUUAAGUUCUGCACGUGACAAGCACGUGAGAGAAGAAUCAAGUUAGUUAUAAGUUGUUAUACACGUGGCUGGAUCUGGUGCAAUCUGGUGUUAUGAACAGCCGUUAUAUAAGCUGAGCUUUCAGGCAGUUUCAGCAAGAUGUAAAGAGCUUUCUAGAGAGAAUGAAGAGAGAGAGAAAGUAUCAUCUUAUUCCUUGUUAGUUGCUCCGUGUGAUCUCUGUAAAAUUACUUUGAAUCAUAAAUAAAACUCAUUUUGGUCGAUUCUCCCUUGGAUGUAAGUUGUGUCUCAUUGCACAGCUUAACCACGUAAACAGUGCUGGUUUCUGUGUGUGAUUUUUUGUUAAUCUUGCUUAUUUCUUGUAUCCUAAUGGCUGAAAUCUUGCUUUAAUUUCCCAAGUCAUCUAUUGAGUUCAUCGAGGUCAUUCAAUUGUUCAUAUGUAGCUAGUUUGAUCUUGAACAAGGUCUUGGGCUGUGUUUUGAUAGCUUGAUUAGCGGCUAUCUUGACAGUACAAUUGGUAUCAGUGCUAGGUCUUCAGAUCAAGAUCCAAGUAUGGCUACAUCAAAGAUUGAUCUUGAGCUUGUAGACUCAGUGAUAAGGGAAGUGGCAAAAGAAUCCACGGUUGCUGACUUAUGGGCUAAGUUGGAGAGUGUGUACAUGAGAAAAUCCCUUGCUAACAGAUUGUACUUAAAGAAGAGGAUGUUUGCCUUAAAGAUGAUUGAAGGCUCAUGUCUUGAUGAUCAUAUUGAUGGGUUCAACAAAGUGUGUGACACUUUGAAAAGCAUUGAUGCAGAAUUAAAUGAUGAAGAUAAAGCCUUGCUAUUAAUGAGCUCCCUUCCCAAAGUCCUAUGAGCAUUUUUUUGAUGCCUUGAUGUGUGCAUAUAUGCAUAUCAUAAAUUUUAUUUUAUGAUCGCGGCUAAUCCGACGACUUUCGAGUACAUUCAUUCAAAUAUUAAACGUACCAGGUCUACAGAUUUACGUUUUGCCAUUUGUGGCAGGAUAGCAAAAAUUGCAAAUGGUCAUUCCCAGCACGAACACCUAUGGCUCUUUUCCUUUAAUUUUCUUCUUUGAAUUUUCCUUUGAUUAAUCAUUAGAAAAACUGCUUUCUUUUUUUUUUCUUUUUUAAACACGUGCCGUUAACAUUUACAUGGUUAAUCUCAUCGAAAUCAAAUGGCUGUUAUUCCCAUUGCAACCAUAUAUUGUUAUAAAUUGCAUUGUUUCCUAUAACAAAUAUAAUAAAAUCUCAAUAAAUUAAUAGUUCUGGGACCAAUGAAAAAUUAGUUAAAAUUUAACGAAUAUCAAUUAGUCGAUAAGUUAAUAAAUUAUUAAUUUAUGAAAAUAUUCAUUAUUUUGGAAAAAAAAAUGAUUACGUUUAUAGUAUUGAUUUACCUUGAGUUAGAAUCUAUUUUUUUUAUUUGAAUAGUAAUUUUCUUUUAAGAAGAUUUUUUAAUAGUUAACUACUUUAUAAUAAGACUAUUGUAUGAUUUAUAUUUUUCCUUGUUAGAGAUGAUAGUUCUGCUAUGCAAGCUGUUUCGAUCAAAGGAUUAGAUGAUAUUGACAUUGAAUAAUUUUUUGUUGCAAAAUGACAACACCAAUUAGAAUUUCUUUUCGCAUUACAAAAGUAAAAAAUGAGAUCCAAUUCUAAAUUAAUUUAAAAAGAAAGCCAUAUAGACAUAUCAUAUGGAUUUUGUUUUAUACUAGGUAAUCUAUGUGGUAAUAUAUUUCCUUCAAAAUGUACUAUUUGAUUUUGAAAUUAUUUUUAAAAAAUUUAAUAUCACAAUAAUAGUCAUGAUUCCAUCAGUUUGAGGUUUUUUUCUUUUUUUUGUUUAAGAAAAAAGAUGGGAAAAUAGUCAAAUGAUGAAAACACAUGCUAAGCGGAGCCAAUAAACAGGGGAAAGUGAACUACUGUCCUUGAACACGUUCUCUAAUAAUCUCAAUAUUCUACGUACAUUUUUGUAAAUUCAUGUCGCAUACAAAAGCCUUAUGGGUUUUGUUGCAUCAAUUCUUUGGGGAUUUAUCUUGUUUUAUUAUUUUGCGACGCAAGAGUCCUCGAAGCAAUACAUUUGGAAUAAAACGAUUUAAUUUAUUUUUCGUUGUUAUUAACAAAAACUAUAUAUUAUUAAUUAAUCAACUCAUCGAGAUAUUGGUUUCAUUUGUAACAAGUAGCUAAUUGCUUAGUACAUUGUUGUACUUACUCAUUAUCAUAUCAAGAAGAAUUUGUAAAUAAGAACAUAGACGUGGUACGCUGUGAUGUGAUAAAUUUAAUUCAAAUCUAAAUUAAGAGAUGAUUCAUAUAUAUAUAGGUACAUACUGAAAAAAGAUAUUCAAACAUAAGCACUCCAUUUUAUGAUAUACCUAACGAUAAUCGGUUUAUUGUCCAUAGGAAAUGAAGUGAAUAGAAACAGAUGUAGAAAGACAAAAAGAUGAAAAAGCGCACAUGACUAUUUAUAAAAUAAUAAAUUAAAUUUAUAUCGUUUUUAAUAAGUGUGAGAUUAUUUACAUUUUUAAAUUUAUUUUGAAUGCUCUUAUUUUUUAUUACAAAACCUCAUAAUUCAAUUUACUAUUAAGAGCAAUUCAAUAUAAAUAAAUAGAACAAUAAUACCUUUGACACCCACCUAGAGCGCACACACCCAUGUAAAAUUAUUAAACCUUAAACCGAAGAACGUUCUUCCUCAACAUUAAAACUCGUGCAUUAUUUAAAAGUAUAUUUAACAAAUUUUCACAAAGAGACUCCAGCAAAAAUUUUCACAAAUUUUUACUCGGCUGUCAAGGAGAUUGCACUAAAUAAACAACAGCAGAAAAACAAAUAAAAAACUUGAUACACGAGUAGAAUAUACUCAUUAAAUUUUAAUUUUCGGCACAAUUAUGAGCUGCAUAUUUAUACACACACACAAAUAACUGUUCUGCAAAUAUGUACAAAUCAAUUUCAGCCAUCCAAAUUUUUUUCGAAUUUUAAUGAAUAUAAAUUUUAUAAGUUGGGCAACUAUGAAACAUAAAAUUAGCAAAAUGAUAUUAUUAACAAAUAAGGAGAGCAAAAGGUAAUUAUAUCUUGGUGUGCUAAAUAUUUUUAUGGGUGUAGUGAAAAAACUAAAGAUAAUGGAAGAAAUGUUAUUGAGGAGUAAGUGAAAAGUGAUUUCCUAAAAUCUAUUAACUAAUGCGCAAAAUAGAAGGGCAUUUUGAGAAAAUUUUAGAUUAAAAAUAGUCCCAUCCUUUUAAUAAUAUUCUUCAAUCAAUCUGUUUAUUUCAAAAUAAAAAUCCAUCUCAUUUUUACUUUCUAAUUAGUCAUAUUAAUGUGUUAAUAAUUACGAAGAACCAGUAUUAUUUGUAUGAUGUAGGAAGCCCUUUCGACACAAUAACCCAAAUUUCUAAGAGUAGCGGCUGGACUUGAUUGGGAACAACUUCGAUUCAGUUUAAAAGGUUAAUCUCAAAAUUUCGUGAUAUUGUGCCUAAAGAGCUUCCUGCAUCAGUAUAACAGUUUCUAAAUUAAUAUAAUUGUGUGUUCAUUUUUUAUGAUUUUCCUUUAAUUUGUUUUUUAGAAACUGUUGUUCUUCAAUAAUUAUUCUAACAAUGUUGCUUUAAAGUGAUGUUGAUACGGGAGUCGAUGAGUCUUUAUCUGAAACAAAAAUUUACAAAAAAAAAUAUUAAAUUAAAAAAAAAGUACAUCAAAUAUUGGGCUCCCCCAAGUUUUACAUUUGUCUUCCACAAUGAGACAAGCCCUUUUUUCAAGUGAAGACUUUUGAUGUACAAUUUGUAAAGGAAAUUUGCCCCAUAUAAUUUUCCUUGCUACAACUUGCAAGCUUAUGUAAAUCAUAUCAACUUAAAAGAUUCCAAGAUUUGGUAUUUUGGUGAUUUGAGUAUCCAAUGGUGAUGACACAUACGCAUGGAAGUCCCCUGAUUUGAGUUUGACUAAAAUAAUCUCAAUAAUUUAAAACAACACAUCAGGCCAAAGUCCUUAAGAGAUGAACUGGAUUUCAGUGCAUCACAUUCCGAAAUUGAUACUAACCUUAAUUGGGAAGGCAGAACAGCCUCUCUUUCCUACUGUUGCACAAAAUGGCAAGUCAAGCCAAUUCAAGGAACUUCCCUGUUUUUUACUGAAAAAUACAUAAUCUGAACAAUUUAUAAUCAAAUAAAUCAUUCAAAAUAUCCUUUAAUCGAACCCCCGUUUCCAUGGUUUAAUAAAAUAUCACAAAGGUGCCUAAUACAGUGGAAUUAACACUCAGCUCAUGGGAUUGCCAUUAUAUAUAUUGAAACAGAAAUUAAUACAAGAAACUGAAAAUUAGUUGACACUGGAUCACGUUGGAUCGUUAGUUGUUAAUUUUGAUGGAAAUAUAAUCUUGAUCUCUUACUUAUCAUCUAGCUAAUGCAUGUGCACUAGUUUUAAUUGUGUCUAUCACUGUAAAUAGUAGAGUUGCUUGAUUGAAUAGUAUCAUAUUACAUCACAGAAACUCGCUCAAUUUUCAUUGCCAUAUGUAUCUCAAAAGUGCAUGAACAUUGAACAUUCAGCUAACUUAUACCCAACAACAUCCAUCAGUCAGAGUGAAACCCCAAUUGAUUUCAUAAAUACAAAAUAAAUAACUCGCAAAGGCAAUCUUUGACAAUCACAAAAGCAACAACAAUUCACUCCAACAAACAACAUAACAAUUAUAUGGUCUAAAUUGCAGGUCUUUUUAUGAUUUUAAUUGAAAGAGAAAGCACGAGGGACAUAUUAUAUAUAAUUGAAUGUUAUGAUUGAUAAUUGGGCAAAAUAAUACUAAUCUAGCUAACUAGUCCAAUCAUCAUAAUAAUCUGAUUUUCAUUAUUUAAUUAUGUUCAAUCAUGUUAUUUUAAUAAAGAACACUGAACGCUUGAGUAUUUAUAUGUUCAACAACUUCGGCUAAAUUUGAAAAAAAAACGUAUUAAUUAUGAAUAUUAAUAAAUUACCCUACAAGCCACAUAUUGCAUACAUAUGCAGUUGCAACAAAUAUAUGUGUAAUAAAAAGAUCAUAUGUGCUUAGAAAAUGAAGCAUCAUUGAAUAAAUGAAAAAAAAAAGAAAGAAAAUUAAAAUCAGCGUCCAGCGAAAAGAAUCCAUCUUUACGUAUUGCCUCCAAUUUGGUACAUCUAUCGAACUUUAAAAAAAUUGCAGUAGAAAUUAGAGCUCAUUUUUUUAGAUAUGGCUCAUAUACAAUACAAGUGUCAAGAUGUAAUUAGAGUUUACAUAUAUACACGUGUCUAAUUCUAAUUGACAGACAAACUAAUCAUAAAUACUCAGGUGUUUCUAAAUGAUUGAAUAAUGAUAUUGUAGUGACUUCAUUGCUUUGUUCUCUGAUUAGAAAUAAAUCACUGUCCAAGAACCUUUGUCAAGAUCUGUUCAAGUUGCAAUUAAACCAACACCAAUCUGAGGCUUCAAUGCUGAUUCACACCUUAGCUCUAGGCUAAUGGAGAUUAAAACAGAAGAUUAAAUUGAACUAGAAGCAGCACACACUCACACAAAGAACAGGAUUUAACGUGGUUCGAUUGUGCAUAAAUGCACAAUCUACAUCCUUGGCAGAAGCCACAGAAAAAGCUUUAUUGAUGAUUCAAAAUGAAUUUUACAGAGCUAAUACAGAGGAGAUUACAAGGAACAAGAAGACUCUUUCUCUCUUUCUAAGAUCUCUGUGGAAAGCUCUCAAAAUCCUAUGCAAUUUUUUUCAACAACCAGCCUCUUUAUACCCCUGAUAUUUGAAACCCAGAUUGCACAGCUUUUGGACGCGUGUAUAACGGCUUCAUAACGAAUUUGAUUCCCUUCUCACAUGCGGUCUCACGUGCUUCACUUAAACUUGCUCAAAACGACUGAAAGUAGCGUCGUUUUUGCUUAGGUUUAGUGAAGAAGAUAGCAUGUGUGUUGCACGUGACUCGUAAAUGGAUUCGCUUACUCAAAACACAGCCGCUUCAGGGCUUCGAGUUUUGGAUUCAUUGCACUCUAGUCCACAGAUAUUAUUGGUAUUUAUAAAUUUCAAAGAGGUGAUAACAGAUGGUCUAUUAUAAACACUAAGAAGGGUCCCUAGCAUUGCCUGAACAACUUUACUUAUGGUUUCUCAUCAAAUAAUGUUACAAAAAAGAAAUAAAUAAGUUAGAAGAUUCACAGCAUAUUGGAGUGUAAUUUUUACUUGAGUGACAAUGAAUGAAGUUAUGUUAAUUUACAUUAAGUAGAAACCUUCCUAAAUAGGAAUAGAAAUACUCUAUUAAACAUAUCAAAUACUACCUUAAUAAAAAUUUAGUUGACAAAAAUUAAAAAAAAAAAAGCCUUGAAGGCUUGAAAUAAUUAACCCCAACUAAAUAAUUGUCUUACAUCACCGAUUUUUCCUUUUUUUUUUCAUUUUAAUAAGACAUCACCACACUCCUGACUUUAUAAAGUAAAGCAUAAAAUAUAAUGGAGACGUUUGAGUUUAAAAAAAUAAAGUUGGGAGAAUGACUUGUCAUGCUGUCUUUGAUCAUUGAGCACAUAAUUCUCUGAAAAAAAACUCAAUUGUAUUUGUGUUUGUUGUAGAUUCAUGUCAUUUACUAGUCCUUUGGGUUUUGUUGUAUCAAUUCUUUGGUAAAUGUUUAUCUCAUUUUCGUUUUUUUAUGAUGUGAGAUUCCUGGUUAUAUUAGGAAUCAGAGUGAAAUCUAAUCUUAAAAUUUGGAGAAAUAAAACGUAAUAUAAUUUUUAAAAUUUGGAGAAAUAAAAUGUAAUAUGAUUUUUUUACGAAUAAAACGAUUUAAUUUAUUUCUUUUCUACUAGUAAAAAUUAUUAAUUUAUUAACCCAUCAAGCUAUUGGUUUCAUUUGUAAGCUCGUCAGUCAGUUUUUUACUUUGAGUUGUUAUCUUUCAAAAGAUAUUAGAAAAAUCUUACUUUGAGUGUACUUUAUCACUUCACUGAUUAUAGGGUAUUUACAAGUUAGAAAAAUAAAUUAUUUCUGGCCAAAGACACUAGAAAUUAAAGUUCAUAUGACUUUGUAAUACUGUUUGGUAAGUGAGAAAAUUGCCGAGAAAAUACAGAGCAAAUAGAAUCUUUAAGAAGAUGUAAAUUUCUGUAUUUUAUUGAUCUAAAAAAUUAUACAAGCUCUUAUAUACAAUUGUAAGAUUCUACACACUCACAAUGGAAUAUCACGCUACUAGUAACUAACAACCUUUAUAACAAACUCAACUGAUUCAGGCUGACUCCAGAGAAUGUCGAAAGGCGUUUGGCUAAUUUUUGUAUACACACAUAACACAAAAUUAAAUUAUUUGGCAGCGUUGGCAGUGAGUCGUUUUUGGCCAUCCAUAAGUUCACAAAUGUGCAUGGACAUCUGUUGCCAACCCUUUUAUUAUUUUAUAUCUCCAAAACAUUAUUAGAGUCCCACAUUUAUCACACAUCAUUAAGUAGAAUGCGCUAAUUAGGAAGCCAGUUUCUUUGUUCUGUUUUCUUGCAUAUGUUGCAAUUUUCGAGUAUCACUGAAAAUUUUAGACCGUCAAAACCUGCAGGAAAAUUAUAUACAUAUUCUAUCAUUCAACCUCAACAAAUAAAUUCUUUUCACUGGAAUCCAACAAUCGUUAAGUGUUAACCUUGUAGUUCUCAAAAGCAGAAAUUGUUGUACUAAUUUUUUCAAAGUGUCUCUCUUAAAAGAACACUAAAGAUAGGAGAGAGUGAAAUUUUAACUGAGAUCUUGCCACAUAAGACGAUCGAUUUAAUCCGACAAAAUAUGCGUUAGGUUAAUAAGAGCCAAUACUGCCCUGAUCCUUUCUGCAUCUUUCUUCUAUCAGCGGACAAUCCUUGAUAUACAGUUGCAAGAGCGAGGUAGGCACGCUCUUGUCCAAAAAGUAUUUUGGCUUCGGACGAAUAUAAAGCCAAAGAUACACCAACGACGUGAGAUUUUGACCAAUUGAAGGCAGGCAUUCCAUGCUUUGGAAAUCAUAAAUCCACAAAAGGGUUCCUAACUCCUGUGGCGAAAUGACACCACGUCAUGAAGUCCUCCGAUUGACAGUCGUUGUAGAGAUGAGAAUCUGUUCAAUCCCCCUUCCCCCCACCCCAUCGAUGGCUUCCAAAUCUUCAUAUCAUGAAUAUAAAGUGACUGAAGGCCGCUGGGAAACAUACCAUCAUCUGCCUCAACUGGGAAGCAAUACCAUAUACGCUUGCCAGACCUCCUCUGUUUCAUUCUUGAAGACUGUGCAUGUCCUUGGGUAAGGCCUCUAGCUUAUCACACCACGUUAUCCGGAGCUUAGUCAGUUCCGCAGAAGGCAGUCCUCCUUCAGGAAAGGGUCAUUUCAAUAAAAGCACAGUACAAUUGCAUAACUAAUUUUUUGAAAACAGAGAUAUGAGAGAUUGACAAUUUACAAUUGCUUAACUGCUCAAGAAGAGAGCACGCUUGAAAUAUGAAAUACGAAAAAGAGAGUACAAAUGAAAAAUCUUAAGGAAUCAGCAGGAUUCAUAUCCGACCAACUCCACGCUGCUAAAGCAAAGGAUUAAUUUUUGAGAAAUUGUAAAGAAAUUAAUACAAGUGAAAUGAGAGCCUGUUCAUUUGAUUAUUGGCCAAGGGUGAUUUCAAUAACGUUUUCAAAGAAGAUAUAGAACAAAGAUCAAAACGAAAAAUAAGCAAUUUCAGUCGUUGAAAAAAAAAGAGCAAGCUUCACACAUGCAUGCAUGUGUCGGACCAACAGAACAUGGCUUGUGGUAAGGAUCAAUCAAAGAAAUAUAAAUUCACUGUUUUAUAAAGUAAGCAUCAAAUGUUUGACAAGUUUUAGAUUUGUAGAAUAUUGGGAAAACGGACAAAUAAUCAAUGAAGACACUGCAAGUUAAGCAGAUCAAUUAAGUUGCUGUGAGCUUAUAAGUUGCUGAUGUGUUGGGCUUAAAUGCAAGAUUCGAAGAGUUCUUGUGGCUGUGUGAAGACUGACUUCAGUUGGAGGGGUCUUAUUGUAAAUUUUAUGCUGAUGUGGCAGAGUUCGUUGAGAAUUCGUUAUGCCUUUUCCAGAAAUAUCAGAACAAAAGGCGCUGGUCUGGUGAUUAGCCCCUGAUCUGAGAUCAAUAUCUUCUUCAUUUCUUGUUCAUUUUGUUGGCAAUUUGGUUCUCUGUGAUCCUUGUAAUUUUCUCUUCGUAAUCAACCUGUAUCUCGAUUGUUAUGAUCAAUAAAAGAGCAGUUUUGUACUUGAAACAGUACUCUGUGUUCUAUUCUUGGAAUUGCUUUCGUGUUUGGUUGAUCUGGUUUGAUUCUUUCAAGUCCGAUUCAUCAAGUUCUUCACGAAUUAACUUGUGUAGCCAUUAAAGUUUCAACAGCAACAGAUUAAAUCUGUCCACAAGGCUACAUUAAUCCUAAUGGCGUGGUACCAUCUCCAUGCAACAUUACAUUAACAUUUCAUCAUCAAUCAAUUUUGAAGAUAUGAUAUUAAAAACAUUGACUUCAUAAUUUUAUGUAAUUUCAUGUAAAAGAUGUAAUUGAUUUUGAGUUAGUUUAACAUAUAAAGAAAGAGGAAUAAGGAAUGAUAUCAAUGUGGCGUGUGAUGAGUAAUGAUAGGUAGCAAAUAUUAAUCAUGUAAUAACGAAACAUGUAUUUACAAAAAAAAUAUUUGGCAAUAAAAUGAUGCUAUAAAAAUUUAAUAUUAGUUGCAAGAAAAUAAUUUGGUGAUUAAAAUUCACAGAUAUAUAUGCAAUGCUUUGAGUUUAUUUUAUCAAUUCGUUAAGCAUUUUGUAACUACAUAUUAAUUAGAUCGUCCAAAGCUGUGCAUUUUUAAAAAACAAAAAAGAAGCGCAGUCUGCUACUAAUACUGUAGCAUGUUAGCUAGUAUAUAAGCUCCUGUCUAAUUACCAAAUAAAUUCCACUUUAACGAAGAAUAAAAGCUAAUUUCAUUGUUACUGCCUGUUGUGCUUUUAUUUUAUUUUCUUUUUUCUUUUUGUUAUUGAAGUUACCUCACAAACUGCUCGGAUGCUAAUUACAAAAUUUCCUCUUACUCUAGGAUCUCUUGAAUGGUCCUGCAAUUUGUAUUCCUUUAUGUGGGAUUGGUUUUUUCUUUGAGCAAAAUUUCAAGGAUAAGAAACCUUACCCAUCGAAAACCAACUUUGAAAUUUAUUAUUAUUCAAACUUAGAAAACUGCAAAAACAAAGCGCCUUCAUAGCACCAGUUAAGCUGUGUCUUGCUACCAUGCUAGUUCUAUUUUUACUUUAUUAAAUGUAUACAAAAUUAAAUUACCUGAGCCUCUAGUUUCACUAGUUUCCAACUUGAAAUUAAAACGCUGAAUUAAUGGUAUUGGAGUUCGUUAUUUAAUUUUGCUUGAGUUCAUUGGGAAUCAGAUGGCCAUCCAUUUUUAUGUCUAUUUUAUGUACUAUUGGCCACUAAGUAGCUUGCCCAUAUAUGCGUAUUGGGAUGUCAUAGGCCUUAAAGCUGAAAAUUAAUCCCCAAUCUAAAGUGAAAAACAGUAGCUAGAACAGAUUCUAUGUUUUGAUGUCUUUGUUUAUAAGCUCAAACAAAUUAAUAGUGUAUAGAAAAUGCAUGAUAGAACCCAAAACUCAUAUUGAUUUUUAGUUUCGAAAUUCAUUUCAGAGAAUCUGUUCCGUUCAACAGAUUUAACUAAAUUAUCAACUAAACUCUAGCCAUGUACUUGCUUAUCUAUGGGUAGAGCACUAGGUCAACAAAGGAGUCCAUCUUUAAGGCCUUGUCUAAGACUGUGGUUGCCUUUUUCAUGAGCUUCUGGCUUUCCAGCUUGCUGAGCGACGUACACAUAAAGAGGUUAUCCUUCUCUUUUUUUCACUGUUUUCAUAUCACAGAAUCCAUUUUUGAAUAUAUGUAUUUAGGUACACACACACAUGAAUAUAUAUGCAUGUUUUUAUGAGGAUAUUCAAGUAUAUUAUUUGACAAUCACAAAAACAACGAUCCACUCCAAUAAAUCUCAUAACAAAUACAUGCUCUAUCUUUUUAGGACUAAUUCAAAGAGAAAAUACGAAGGACACAUAAUUGAAUUUUGUCCAUGAUAAAGAACUCUAAACAAAUUCAUAUACUUAUUGCAGUACCUGUUAAAAAUUCAUUUGUUUCUUCUUUUCCUUUGAUCAACAGCUAAAUACAGCCUUGAAAUUUCAUUUAGUUUUGGUUAAUUUUCUGCGGAGUUGUGUUGUGUGUAAUAGCUUUGUUUCACGAAAUCGGUAGGGGAAGAGAAUUUUAAAAACAUAUCAAUGUAAUGAUCAAAGAGACGAAAUCAAUACAAAUAUUGAUUGUCUCAAGUUAGAUUAUACAAAGAAGAAAGAAGCUAAUCUAGCAAUUCAAUCAUAAUAAUUUGAUUUCCAUUAUAUUAAUUAUGUGCAAUCAUGCUAUUUUAAGAAAGAACACUCGAGCAUUUAUAAAUAGUCAACUUAUGAAAUUAAUUACAGAACAAUCUUUCGCAGAGUUUGAUGAAAAGACUGUGUAUUGUGUUAUCUUGAGGUCUUAUAUCAAUUAAAGCCAGGCUGCGCUUUGGCUGACAGCGAGAUAUAUCCAAACAUAAGUGCUGCGAAUGAACUGGGAAGACGGUAGGAAGAUUAAGCUGCUGAGGAGAAGAUAUAUGCAAAAGAAAUAAAGCUAAUCUGUUUUUAUGUAACAAGCUAUGUACUCUGCUUUUAUGGUCUUUCUCUUUGCGGUUGUUAGACAAACUUGAACGUAAGUUUCUAUCUUAUGUGUGUCCUAAUCCUUUUAGAUAGCUUGAGAUUGUUGAUUUAUAUAUGACGUUUGGUAUCCAAAAUUCAGAUGAUGAUAAUCUUGGCAGUACUUUUAUAAAAUUUUCUUUUGUGUUGGUGUUGACUUAAUAAAAUAUUACAAAGGUGCCUAAUAUAGUGAAAUUAACAUUGAGCUCAUGAGAUUGCCGUUAGAUAUAUUGAAAAAGAAAUUAAUGCAAGAAACUGAAAAUUAAUUGAUACUGGAUCAGGUUGGAUAGUUAGUUGUUAAUUAUUGUUAAGUGUGAACCAGAAUUCAGUGUGCAGGGCAAACAACAAUGUCGACCAUCAGACUUGGCAGAAGACUACAUGUCCAAUAAAAGCUUAUCAGGGCUGUACGACAACCUUCCCAUGUCAAUCAGAAUUCGUUAAGUAAUGCACGUGUGUAACACGUGAUCUCCUAAUAACAUAUUAACUGAAACGGCAACUUACUACUGUCGUUUUGGGAUUUAUAUGUUACGCACACGCUCAGCACAUGGGGGAUUGGUUAACAGUUAAAAGAAGCGGGAAAAUUCUGGGGUUAACUACUUAACUGUAACAAACCCAGAAUGAUUUGCAGGCUUCUGAGAUAGGUUUCUAGGAGCUUCAAAGCUUGUAUAAAAAGGGUCCUGAUGACUGAAGUUGAGAGUGGUUUUUUCCUUGUAAUCUCUGAAAAGGCUUGAGCCUUGUUUCCUGCAUUAAUAAAUAAUCAUAGCCCUGUUUCUCAAAGAGGAUGUAGGCUGUAAUGGCUGAACCUCUAUAAAUCCUUUCUGUGUUUUUUCUUUCUCUGUUGUGUGUUUCUAUUCUUGUUUUAGAUUGUAUUGAUUCCUAAUAAAACUGUUAAUCAUUCUUCAUACUGAAUUUUAUUAAAUCUCUUCUUCUCUUUUGAAUAAAAUUUCUUUAAAAUUCAAUUCAUAAAAAAGAAAAUCUCCUUAUAAUUUAAUAUGUUUCAGUUGUCUCAGUGGAAUGAUGCUAUUUGUUUCAAUCAAAGUUUUGAAGCAUCCUAAAAUUUUGAGAUCCAAAUGAAAAUAAAUUAAUUUAAUUCGUGGUGUACUCUAAAUUUUCAGCUAUAAAAAAAUAGCGAAAUUGAAGUGCACUUGGGCAAGAAGAAACAGAGACUGCGAUUAUACAAUUUCAGUGUUUGACUCUAUCGGCAAAAAAAGAAAAUAAAAAAGAACUCCCAUUGUUCCAUUGUUUUUCCCAUAAAUAAUAAUAUACAGAGAAUUUUGUUUAACGAGAGAUAUAAUAGGUAUUUAGGUGAGUUUAUAGCGUAAAUUUUAAAAUUUUAAAAUUUAAUAAUGGAUUUAAUAAGUAAUUGGGUUCAAAUAGUAUUUUAGUGGUUUUAAAUAGCCCCACCCUUUUUAUUUUUAAAAAAGAUUUAAUUACAAAAAUAUUACUUCCAAUCGACAGCAUUUUAUAUUUUAUUUUAUUAAAUAUUAUUUUAUUUUUGAAUUACUAAUAAUGCACAAAACGGCAUCAUUUAUUGAUAUUUUUAAAUUGUUUAAGAUUUGUUUAAUUAGAAAAUUUCCAUUGUUGAUAUUUAAAUAAUUUUAAAAAAUAAAAUAAUAAAAUUGGUGUCGUUUAGUUUUGUUAAAUAUACUAAGGGCUCGUUUGGUAUGCCGGAUUGGAUUGGAUCAGAUUGGAUAAGAUAAAAUUGGAUUGGAUAAUAAUGGAUUAUAUAUAAUACUAUAUUGGGUUUGGUCCAAUUUUAGAUUGAACUAUAAAUAAUCAUCUCUUAUAUUAUAAUAUUAUAAUUUACAAGUUAUUAUUAUUAUUAUUAAUAAUAUAAACUAAAAUUUUGUAUUAUUAAUUAUACAAAUCAACCUCAAUGAUAUUAAUGAAAUAUAAAUCAUAAUUUAAAUAAUUUUUAUUUUUUUAAAUAUAUUUAUGAUAUUUUUAUUAUUUUUAUUCAAUAAUCUAUUAUUUUAUAAAAAUUUAUAUUUGUGAAUAUUAAUUUAAUAAUAAUUUAUAAUGUAAAUUUGAAAUUAUAAAAAUAUUUAAUAAAUAAAUAAAUAAAAAUAAAAUUUUCAUUCAAUGUGAAAUUAAUAAUGAUUUUUAGUAUAAUUUAUUAUUAAAAUUAUUAAAAUCACUAUUUUUUAUUACAUUUAUCACAUAUUACUAUAAUUUUAAUAUUUAUAAAUUAUUAUGUUUAAUUGAAUUAUUAAUAUAAUCUAAUACUAACUAAUCCCAUAGCCCCCUUGAAAUAAUUUCUUUUACAAAAUUGAAAUUAGCUUUGGGGCUCACGAUAAAUAAAUUCUAAUACUUUUGACAGAACUAAAUAUAGGAAUAGGAUAAAAUUUUAACAAAGAGUUUAAUCUCCACUUUUAAUCCUCCUCCAACCAAACAUGCCCUAAGCUAACGGAUCAUGGCAAAUUUGUAGUAAGUGAUGAACGAUUUGAUAAGCUCUACUCCAUCAGUUCCUUAAUUGAGAAAAUUCCCAAGCCCGUGCAGCCUCACAAUUGAUAGAGACCCGAAGCCACCAAACUCGACAAUCAUCACUCAACGUCGUUGCAGGCUACCGGUCGCUCAACAAGCACCAGUUCCUCACUCUACAGCCAUCACUCAAGCGCUGCCAUUUCCUGUUAAUUAUUCGCUCGAAUUAGGGUUCUGAUAUUUGGGGAUUUUUUUCUUAAUUGUGGAAUUAUGAAGUAAUGAUGAUGACGACGAAGAUGUGGUGGUUGACGACGGCAAAGGCAACGUUGAAUAUUGAGGCACUGGAGAAACAAGCAUUGGCUAUUAUCUUGGUCGAUUUGCCUCGAAUUGAUCACUAAAAAUGGGGAUAUCGUGGGCCGAGCUUCAACGCAGUCGCAAAUUUCAUUUGGAUAACUGAAUUUUAUUUUAUUUUUGUGUUUAAUUUGUUUAAAGUUUAAUUGUUUAGAUCUAGGCUAAAUUUUAAUGAUCAUUUUUAUGAUUAAAUGACAUGAGUAUGCUUAAGUUUUUUUCCUUCAAAUUGAUUUUCUGAUGUUACAUUUUGUUAGCAAAAAGUUAAAAAAUAGUAGAAACUGUCAGAAUUUUUGUUAUGAAGAUGUUGUUUUAGUUUGAUAUUGGGAAAAUAUCAUUAUACAUAUUGCCAUCAUAUUCAUGGGAGACCAAAAUGGGAAUGAUGGCAGGCUAUGCAUUGCUCACAACUAAUUUAAAACUCACUAUUUCUGUUUUUGGUGUUUUAGUAAUUCUGGGGGCAUUCCAACUAUAAUUAAUAAGCUAUAAACUUGUUUAGUAAUUACUAAUCAACUUGCUAGAAAGAGUCACAAACUAAUUAGCUUUCUCUUGUAAUUUUUACAGAUCAUCAGUGGAUAAGAACUACAAGGAGUUGAAGACUUAAAGAUAAGAACUACAAGGAGUUGAAGACUUUAAACCCUAAACUUCAUAUCUUGAUUUACAAGUGCAAUGGGGUUUCACCCCAAUUAUGGGCUAGAGAUGUACUCUUUCUGUUCUUGGUGCUUCCCAACCCCCCCCCCCCCCCCCCCGCCCCCCCAAAGUCAUUUUUUGUUCUCUACUCCAUUGUAAAUUUGUAUUCAAAAGUCUUUUUCUUUGUCUUUAGUUUUUAAAUUUAUGGAGAUGAUCUUAUGAGGUCUUAAAUAAAUAGUUGUAGAGCUUUACUAAAACUAUGUACAAUCUUAUUGAGAUUUGGGUGUGAUUUUGUAAGAUUGCUAAAAAAUUCAUAUUUGGUAUUUGUUUUAUUUUCCUAGUCGAAUUUCUUGCUUGUAGAAGAUAAAAGAAAAGUGCAAUUUCAUGUUGCAAUAAUUUUUUUUCCUUCCCUCUUUUUCUUCCCAUAUAGUCUGGCUCUGGAUUUGGUGCAGUUGAUGGUUUUAAUACAGUGAACCAAUUUCGUCAGAAUCAUCUUAAAGGAUUAAAGUGGCUUCCUUUUGCAACUGGGUAAGUCAAUGUUACUUCCUGAAUUCAGUUUGGAGUUCUUUCGGAAUAGAUUUCCUUCCCUUACAUUACUUAGCUUCUAGUUGCAUCUUCUUGGUCUUCUCCAGCUGACUUUCCUAUUGGCAAAUUCCUUCGCUUCUAUUGUUUUCAGGUGCCAGUGCUGGAUUUGGAGGUAUGAAUCAUGCCUUCAUUUUUACUUUUUAUGAUUAUUUUUUUAAGGUGUAUGGUACUGUAAUAUAGUUCUUUGUAUAGCUAGUACAAAAUAGUUCUUUAACUUCUUACGUUCGGCUAUAAUGGUCUUGACAUAUGAUAGGGCAGCUCUAUCACCAAUUGACGUGGAAUGAGAAAUAGGAGACAAAUGGGAUUAGAAAAAUAAGAAACGUGACAAAAAUAAAAAUCUAAUCUACUCAUAUAAGCAACUCAUCAAAUAAGUGUAUCACAUACUUAAGUGAAUAACAAUCUGUAAUUUCCACGAAUCAAAGUAAAAUUAUAAUAUUCUUUAAAUAAGACUCAUAAGCUUGUUAGGUGUUAUAUUGAAUCAUCUAAGUUGAAUAAUCUUUUGGGUCGAAUAUUUAAUUUCUUAUUCCAUACGUUUCAGUCUCUCAAUAGUUGAAUUAGCAAUGAAAAUUUGAAAAUGGAAAAAUCCAAUGCAAUUAUUUUAGCUGCUUAUCAUAGAUAAGAAUUUCAAAUUUGACACUUUAUUGUCUGUUGUCAAAUUCAUAAAGUAUGAACCUGCAUUAGCUUAGUUCUCUAAUAUUUAUAAAUAAGUAAUACUUGAAUUAAGAUGAAAGAAAAUUGAAAAGUAGAGUUGCUUGAUUGAAUAGCGUCAUAUUUUACAUCACAGAAACUCAAUUUUCAUUGCCAUACGUAGCUCAAAAGUGCAUGAACAUUUAAAAUUCAGCUAACUUAUACUAAUUAAUUAAUACGAGUCUCAGUUCUUACUUCUUAGUACUUGGCAACAUCCAUCCAUAAGAGUGAAACUCCUAUUGAUUUCAUAUAUACAAAAUAAAUAACUUACAAAGGCAAUAUAUACAAUCACGACAAAAACACCAAUUCACUCCAAUAAACAACAUAGCAAAUAUAUGGUCUAUAUUGCAAGUCUUUUUACUAUUUUAAUUAAAAGAGAAAAUACGAAGGACAUAUUAUAUAUAAUUGAAUAUUAUCCUUGAUAAUUAGACAAAAUAACACUAAUCUAGCUAACUAAUCCAGUCAUCAUAAUAAUCCGAUUUCCUUUAUUUAAUUAUGUCCAUUGAUGCUAUUUUAAUAAAGAAUACUGAACACUUAAGUAUUUAUAUGCUCAACAACUUCGGCCACGUUUGAAAAGAUCAUAUUAAUUAUUAAUAUAAAGAAAAUAACCCUACAAGGUACAUAUUACAUAUGCAUGUAGUUGCAAUAAAUACAUAAUAAUAAAGAUUGUAAAAGUUCAGGGCCAUUAAUUCAACAAUUACUAAACCAAUAUCCCAAUAAUUGUUUGAUUACUAAUCUUAGCAUUAAAAGAUCUGCAAACUUUAUUCGGCCAAAACAAAUGCUUCCUUAUUGCUUCCUUGAUCUUAUCCUGCCUGGUGAUUCCUGAAUGUCCUUCCCAUUCUGAUAUGCUGAGUUGUUUGCUGAUUAUAAAUACAAAUCACCUUAAAUUUUCUUAGUCUUGUUCUUCAUGCGAAAUUCUACUUAAUGGCUUAGUUGGUUUAAAUUCUUCUUUUUUCUUUGAAUUGUUGAUUUGUAAUGUUCUUCUCGCUCUCACAUGUGGCAUUCUGCACUCUUCCAAUGCUAUUUCUUGUUAUGGCAGCAGAAUUCUAGAUUUUCUCCCAGUUUCUUUUGUAAAGACUUCUAAAGAAGCAUCCAGAUACUGAGAUACAAUCCAAUCUAAACCCAUACAUAUAUACACCUCACCUUCCCCCAUUUCCCCAGAAAAUCAACAAACAGUUUGCUUGAAAACAAACACUCUAAAAAAACUAUCUAGCCACCCAGAUAGCCAAAUCAAGAAUUCUUGCAAUGGCAAUGUCAUUUCUUGUUAGGGCGGCAACAUUGAAGAUCAUGGCAUCACAAGUGAAUGCUCUGAUGCCGUACACAAGAUCACCUCUCUUUGACAUAAUGCUCCCUAUGACAGAAGAUCCUUUCAAGGUUCUUGAACAAAAGCUCUCUAACAAUUCCUAAAGGAGGUCAUCAUCAAACUCUGGCCCUGGCGAGAGCAGACUGGAAGGAGACACGAACAGCACACGUGAUCACACUCGACAUUCCAAGGAUGAAGGAAAAUGAUGUGAAGAUUGAAGUUGAAGAGAACAGGGUACUGAGAGUGAGUGGGAGAGGAAGAGUGAUGAUUAUUAUAAGGAGGGAGUUGAAGGAGAGAAAUGGCACUGAGCUGAGAGGACAAGUGGCACGUUUUGGAUGCAGUUUAGGAUGCCAAUGAGUGCUGAUUUGGAACAUGUUAAAGCUCUUUUGGAAAAUGGAGUUCUGAGGAUCACAGUACCAAAGCUUGCUGAGGAGAAGAAGAGCCGGCCUAAGGUUAUUAGCAUUAGUGGAUUCUUUUGGUGAAGAUAUUAAAGCCACCAAGGCUCAAAUGUAAUUAAUCAACGAAAGUAAGUGUUUGGCUUGGUUUUGUGGUUCUCUUUGGAUGUUUUGUUUAUGUUUUUAUGGGUUUUUGACGAUGGCUCACAGGUAUUAGCACCAAUAAGUGCUUUUUAUAAAUCCUGGUCCUAGAUUUGUAAAAAAAAGUUAAUGCGCUUGGUUUAUUGUUAAUUAAAAAAAAAAAGUCCUUUCCUUUGGCAUUUAUCAUGCAUUUGAAAAAAAAAUUAUUCCACUGUAAUUCAUAAAGAUAUAUUUUUCCCCGGUUCCCCGGUUACAUUAAAGUGUUGAUACGAAUAUCCGUUGUGAUUAUAAAAAAUUUAAUCAAUCCGAAUAUUCAAUAAGUGGUAAAUGGCACAAAAACAAUUAAGUCACGAACUUGCAUAUAGUGCAUUAAAUUGAAGAGCAUAAAGAAUUUUGUAAUGCAGUCCAGCAAUCAAAAACCAUUUUACAACACCAUUAAAAAAUCAUUGCAGCACUAUUGCUGAUGAGGCAGCUGGUAAUUCCUCUGGUGAAGAUAUUAAGGCCGCUGAAGCUGAAAUGUAAUUAGUGUCGUCAGAAGAUUAUGUAAUAAAGUGCUUUAGAUUAAUCUUGGUUGGAUUACUAUUCAUUAACCAUAUUUAAUUUAUGUGAUCAAUCGGUAUUUGCUAGCAUCAUUGUUAUACAACAACAUAUUAAUUAACUACUGAACUCUGCCAGCGAAUUAAUGAGCAAAUCCUCCUCAAAUUAUGCAUGUAUACGAUCAAAAUAAUUUCAAUUUCACCAUAUACGCGCGUGUGUAUACAUAUAUAAUACUUAAUAAUCACCAAACCAACAAUUCCCAAGUUAGAUUAUACAUAGACGAAUAAAUAAUGCUAAUCUAGCAAGUCCAAUCAUAGUAAUUUGAUUACCAAAUAUUAACCAUGUCCAAUCAUAUUCUUAAAUAAUCGCCGAACUAACAAUUUGCAAGUUAGAUUAUACAUGGAAGAAUAAAUAAUGCUAAUCUAGCAAGUCCAAUGGUAAAAAUUUGAUUUUCAUUAUAUUAACCGUGUCCAAUCAUGCUAUUUUAAUAAAGAACACUUGAAUAAUAUUUUCAUGUCCAGCAGGUAAAAUUUCAAAACAAUUUUUGCCAAAGUCCUCCUCGGCUAAAUUAAUUUAUGCAUUAAUAAAGUCCUCCUCUUCUAAAUAAUACAAAACCUGUUACGUUAUUCUACCAUUUUUUUUUUUUAAAAAAGCAUUCUACUAUUUAAUAAAAGAAUUCGAAAACUGGUUCUAGACAUACACCGAACCAUAUUAAUUUAAAACAGUUUUCAACUGAGAUUUGAAAUUACACACACAAACACACCGAGUCCUUUAUAUAAAGUGCUUUUAAUAAAUUAUGGUCGGUUUACUAUUAAUUAAUCAAAUUUAAUUUACUCAAAUUACUCUUGUACACGAUCAAAAUAAUAUCAAUUCUAUGAUAUAUAUAUACGUGCACAUACAUACAAAAUGUAAAUAACUUUCAAAUAUAAAAUAUUUAAAAUAGACGAAAUAACUUUCAAAUGUUUAUUGUAUUUUGAUGGGUUUUUGAGGAUGGUUGUAUGUAUUAGCAACAACAAGGUGCUUUUUAUAAAUCCGGGUCCUAAUUUUGUAAAAGAAAUUAAUACUCUCGGUUUAUUGUUAAUAAAAAAGAAAAAAGAAAAAGCAUUUUUCUGUGGCAUAUAUUAAGCAUUUUAAGAAAAAAAAAUUACAUUCCAAUUCAUGAAAGACAUUCCUUCUGUCAUAUUGAUGUGUUAAUAGAAAGAUCUAUGUGAAUUAUAACAAUUUUGAUGAAUCUAAAUAUUUAAUAACUGAUAAAUUAUAUUUAUAAAUAUUAAUACCGGUGGCACAUAAGCACUUAAUUCAAGAACUCGCCUAUAGUGCAUUAAUUUAAAGAGUAGAAAUAUUUAAUAAAUCAUGCCUGGUUUACUAUUAAUUAAUAAAAUUUAAUUUACUCAAAUUACUCCUCUACAUGAUCAAAGUAAUUUCAAAUAUACAACACACAAAAUGUAAAUGACUUUGAAAUAUAAAAUAUUUAAAAUAAUCACCCCACUAACAAUUCACCACAAAGAUUAUAAAUAGUCGAAAUAAUGAUAAUCUAAGGGGUCCGGUCAUAAUAAUUUGAUUUUUAUUUAUAUUAAUUAUAUAAAAAAGAGUACUCGAGAUUAUAUAUAUCCAACAGCUAAAAUUUCAAAACAAUAUUUGCCAAAGUCUGAUGAAGAGAAUACAUAUAUAUAACAUGCACUCGCACACAUUCUAUUGUUUAAUUAAAAAAUUCGAAAGCCCAUUAUAUACAUGAUAAAGACUUACCGACACCGAACCAUAUUCAUUUAAAGGAAUUGUUUUCAACUGAGAUUUGAAAUUAUUUACACAAACACACCCGAUUUUUUCUUUUUUAAAAAAAUUACUAAUAAUAAACUAUUUCAGUCGUCCUCUGUUCGGCUGUCAAAAACCCAUUUAAGAUCGAUUUGAACAGAAGGUAUAUGGGUUAACAAUCCUCCAUCCUUUUUGCACUUCUCUUCCAUCAACGGACAGCGAUAGAUACUUAAUUGCAAAAGUGAGGAAGGCAGGCCCUUCUCCGGAAAGUAUUUGAGCUUGGGACAAUCCACGAGAUUUAAGUGGGUGAGGUUUUGAAGAUCAACAAUUGAAGAAGAUAGGCGUUCCAGAUUUGGAAAAUCUACAAUCCUCAGAGAUGUUAGAGAGGCAGGAAGAGGAAGCGCGGUCCCUAAUCUUUUGUCCUCUAGUGGAAAUGACACCAUGUCGUCAUCACAUCCUUCGAUUGUAAGAUGUCGCAGAGAAGAGAAUCUAUGAAAUCCCCGACCCCGCUCAAUCAUUGACUUCCAAAUCUCCAUAUUACCCCAAAUAUGAAGUGAAUGAAGGUUGGUGGGAAGGCCAUCUUCUUCAAGGCUUGGAAGCUCACCUCCUAUUGUUAAUUGUUGAAGAGAGGUCAGAUUGUGCAAUCCCUUGGGUAAGGCCUCCAGUCUCUCACACCCAUAGAUCCUGAGCUUACUCAGUUUCGCACAAGGCAAUCCCCCUUCGGGAAAGGACACCAGAUUUUCACAUUCCCAUAUUUCGAUCUCUUGAAGCUGGCCGAGAUUAUGUAAACCACUCGGUAAAAUUUUCAGAUUUUCACACCCAGAAAUAUUGAUUGUUUCAAGAGAUGUGUUGUUGUCCAACCUUUCUGCUAUUGACUCCAGCUUUGGACAAUACCAAACAAAAAGGGACUUAAGAGACGGAGGUAGACUGCCAACUUCAAGGGACUCAAGCGUGGCAGGUAACUCGUUUUUUGAAAAUAUACAUGUCAGUGAUGGACAAUCCCUAAUUUCUAACUUCUCAAGAAGAGAUGAGGUGUACCUUCUAUUGCUGCUGCUGCUGCUGCUACUCUGGAUGCCCUCUUCCACUGUCAAAGUCCUUAUAUUAUCACAACUAAGGAUGUCCAACCUCUUAAGGCUCCGUGGUAGCUGGACUCCAGCAAGAUAUGUCAACGUACGACAAUGCUCAAUAUACAAGGUCUCGAGAGAUGAAUUGGUGUCGCACAUCCAUGCCUCUGGUAAUGAUUUCAGUGUGUCACAACCUUCAAUCUCAAUUAUCUUCAACUUGGAAGGCAGAGCAACCUCAGGAAAGGAAACAAGGGAACUGCACUUGUAGAUUUCUAUCUCUCUCAAGGAACUGAGGCUGAGAGAUGAUUGUGGCAGCUUCACAAGGCCUUCGCAAUAACUCAAUCUUAGAUAUUCGAGUCUGCAUGACAACUCGCAGAGCUGCUGUUGUUGGUCUUUCUCUUCCUCCGCCACCAAGGAUUGAAGUUUGGGACAGCUUGUAAUCGUCAGUCUUCUGAGAGAGCAAAUGUCUUGCAGUAAUUCGUUAUGACUCUUCCAAAUAUAUGUCUGCUCUUUCAUAUCAUUUAUCUUCAAUUCUUCCAAUUUUGGCAGUCGCGGCUUUAAUGGCCCUGCGAGAAACAGUUGAUUUGAUGUAUCUCUACAAACCACUGAAUUCUGUGAGCCGAGAUGAUCAGCUGCACUUCUCCACACAACCUUUUUACAUCCACCAAUUUCAAAUUUGCAAAGAGCUGGAAGACUUGUAACUGAAACUGACAAUUCUUCACAUCCUUUAAUAACAAGCUUCUCCAAUGCAGGAAGGUGCUCUGGAAGUGUUCCUUGCAGUUUAGAACAUCUUAAAAUGUGAAGCUCUCUCAAUUUAGGAAACCCUUCAACUCCUUGACCGGAUCCAUGAGGAAUCCAGUCUUCCCAUUCUUCCAUGUCUUCAAAACAAAGAGUCUCCAAGCAUGGAAAAGGAAUUGAAGCAACCUUCCCAUAGAACUCUGGAUCAAAUCUCCUUACGCUGCUCAUUCCACAUACUACAAGAUGCUUUAGAGAGGGUAGUUGCCCGACCGACGGCAGGGCAGUACACAUGCUACAAUAUUCAAAUUUAAGUGUUACUAAAUUUGACAAUGAGGAAUUUCCUAACCAAGUUGAAAAAUUUGUGCCUCCAUAGCCGCUGAUACAAAAUUGUUCCAGAUUUUUAUGGGGUUUUAGCAUGUCAAGCACGCCCUCUUCAGCUUCUGCCUCCCUUGAAGAUGAACCAUUAGUAUUGCGAGUCCAUCGAAGCCAUAAUUCUUUAAGAUUCUCCUUUCUAUCCAAUUGAGCGUCCUCGGCAUCAAUAAUGUGUUUUACAUUCUCCAAAUUUGAAAUGCAAAGUGUCCCCCCAAGUUGCGUCAAGGACUUUAGCUCUCGUAACCGGGAACCACUGUCUUUUCCCACAACAAAAUUACACAACGUCUGAAGACAAGUCAGCCUACCAAUUCCGACUGGCAUUUCCUCCAACGAAGAUGUAUUUGAAUUAUUGAGAUGAUGCAAUUUGAUGAGGUUUCCCAUGGCUGCACACAACUUCUUUAGUCGCCAACAGCCCUCCAACAGAAGGGUGUGCAAAUUGUAAAGCUUGUUGACUGAUUCAGGCAGAGUUCUAAUCUCAGUUCCAGAUAGGUUAAGGUACCUUAAAUACCUCAAAUCACCAACUGAAUCCGGCAGCUUGGGGAUGAAAUAUCCACACAGAGAGAAGACCCUCAAUCGUUGGAGUUUGAACAACUUAGGAAGAAUGCUAAGAGCAAAGUAUCCACGCGACCUAUUUGACCGCCUUACUGGUAGAAAAGUUCGCAAAUGCUGGAUAUUGUACAAGUCUUCAAACCUUUUACCGCCUUCAUAAUAUUCAGGAAUGUAUGACAGAUGACGAAGAUUUCUGGAAAAACUUUGUUGCUUGUUAACCUCCGAGGCACACUCCAUUGUGAAGUAUAUCUUGCCCGCAGCCCAUUGAGCAAGGUCAUUGACGAGGUCGUGCAUCACAAAUCGUGAUAUACCGUUGCUUGAUUGCUGGAAAAAAGAUCUUGCACGUAGCUCUUGAAAGAACCUUCGACCUAGAUCUUCACUUGGAUUCCCGCUCUCUCCGUGAUCCAAGAAACCCACAGCACUCCAUAAUAAAAUUAUCUCCUCCUCUUCGAAUUCAUAAUCCUUUGGAAACAAUGAGCAGUAUGCAAAGCACUGUUUCAAAGGUGCCGAGAGAUAAUAGUAGCUCACUCUAAGCGCCGGUAUAAUGUCACAUCUCUCUUCUGGUAAAUCCCAUAUGUUGCAACUGAGCACACCUUCCCAAUCACUUCGGUCACAUUUACCACGUAAAAGUCCACCAAGUGUUUUCGCAGCUAAGGGCAAGCCGUUGCAUUUGAUCACUAUCUUCUUGCCAAUUUCCUCCAAUGACUUGUUUGAACUGAAAUCUCUUGUCCCCAAAGAGUGUUGAGCGAACACGGACAGACAAUCAUCAAAUGACAACUUUUUCAAUUCAUAAGCUGGAGCAGUUCCCAUGAUGGCUGCAACCUCUUGAUUACGAGUUGUGACAAUAAUCUUACUUCCCGGUGCGCCAGCUUCAAACGGACGGCUCAUGUCAACCCAAUCAUUGUAUUUCUCAUUCCAAACGUCGUCUAAAACAAGCAAAAAUUUCUUUUGAGAUAACUUCUUCUUCAGCUCCUCUUGAAGCAAAUUUAAAUCACUGUCAUCAAUAGUCUGCUUAGUAACGGAUCUUAGAAUUGUUUUUGUUAGCCUCUUAACGUCGAAAUCGUCAGAGACACAAGUCCAUGCCUUGAGAUCAAAAUGAUCCUGCACUCGCUUAUCAUUGUAGACAAGCUGAGCAAGAGUAGUUUUGCCCAUCCCGCCCAUACCUAUAAUAGGAAUAACAGAGAAUCCACCAUCGUUGCUUAAAUCAUCCCUCAACAGCAGUUCAACAACAUCCUUCUUUUCUGUUUCCCUGCCAUAUACUUUGGCUUCAGUCACUAAAGAGGUUGUCUCUAGCCUUUGACUGGCUUUUUUGGACCCUCCAGCUGAACUUUCUUUCAAAUCUAGCAAGUUUUUCUGUGUCACAAUUUCUUGAAAUCUGCUGUUGAUCUCUUUAAUUUUGGACAUCAAGCCAUAAUCGAACUGAAUCGAUUGUGGAGUAAAAGUGGUGCAGCAAGCAGGAAUGAGCUUCCGAAACUUACUUGUUCUUGUACGACUGCUACUGGGUUGAUCAUGAGCAGCAGCUGGUUCUCCAUUUCCAAGCAGCAACAUCCUCCGGAAAGCCUCAGUUUGAAACUCAUCCAACAAGUCUUCAACAUCAUAAGCCAAGUUCUGAAGCUUGCCAAGCCACUUCUUCACAGACCGAUUAGUCGUCUUCUUCUCCUCAGCAUCAUCAAGCACCGCCUUGAUCAUCUCCAACAUAUUCUCCCACUUCAUUAGAUCGUCUUGGAUCUUCUCUUGGCGUGCAAAAAACAGAAUCCCCUCUGAAGCUAACUUAUUGACCAGCAAAUCAACGGACGCCGUAAGGAUUGCCUCUCCGAUGAUCGACAUUUUUUUUCUUUUUUGGGGGCAAAGGAAGAAAGGAGCAGAAUUAUGGGUUAUGGAAAGCAGAAUGAGAAAAUUGAACGGGUGAGAAAAUGGAUAAUUAAGCAGAAUGAGUUUGUGAUUGUGAAGGGUCUGGCCCAGCUAGAAAUCACGCGUUUACACUUUAUUGACCAAUGACUAAUAAUUUGGCAAUUCACCCAUCACACCACCACUUGGUGAGCAAAAUGAAAAUGCUUAGUAAUUAAGUGUCAAGGGUCACGCAAAAUACGACGUAAAACGUGGCAAGUCUCCCCACUUGUUGUUCCUUGCAGCUAAGAAAAGAAAAAACAGAGCCGUAAUUAAUGACAGAAUUUUAAAAAUAAUAAUAAGAGAAAAACCUACACAUUUUCGACUUAGAGUGGAACCGUAAUUAAUGCUAAAAUUUACUCAGCUAACUUUUUCAAAAUAUUGUUCUUUAUAAUUUUCAAAAUCCUAAUUAAGGUUCAUCUCAAAUGUUUGAAGAGUCUAUCAAUUCUUCUAAGUUAAGAAUAUCAAAAUUUUUACUUUUUCUUCAAACGUUGAAUAAUGAAAAAAAAAAUGUUGAAUAUGGAGGAAAAUAGAAUGCAUCCAUAUUUGCUGUAGAAGUCUUCUACUUAUACAAACAAGUUAGAAUAAACGAUUCUAAUCUCUCUUUUUAUUCCUGUACAUUUUUUUUAAUCUCAAUGCGAAUCGUAUCAUAAUGUUAUAUUCCUAUUGUAAAACGAAAUUUUAGAUAAAACAAAUUCGACUCAUUUGUUAAAAGUAUAUAUUUAGUAGGUUAAUAACAUAUCUAAUAAAACGUGAUUACUACACUAAAUGAAAUAAAUGACAGUACUACCACCCAUUAAUAAUUUAGCAAGUUUCCCAUGCUCGUGUUUCCGGAAACAUUAAUCAAUUAGUGAAGCAAACAUGUAAUGAUUUGUAAAGAUCCCUAGCAUCACAUUAUUGGGAGGUAUUGCGCUUAGUAUUGACAAUUUUUGUAAGAUGAAUUUGUAAGACUUAUUAAUUUCGAUGAAAAUGUAUCGUUAUUAAGCUAUUAUUUAAUUCAUUAAGUUAACUUGAGGUAUUAAUAUUCACUAAUUGUGGUGCUGAUUAAUUUACUUAACUUGUCAUUAUUUGUAAUUAAGAAUGAGGUUCAAUCAAUUUAUUGGGGAAAAAAAACAAAGAUAGUGUUUUUUUUUAGAUUUUAAUUUUUAGGAUUUGAUUUCUCUCUCUUUCGCUUUUUGAUGUUGCUAAAGAGGCAAUAAAAAACUUGUUGAAUGUCAUCAAAUACUUGUAUCUCAUCUCACAAAUUGGCAAUAUUUGUUUGGUAUUUCAUCUUAACGGGACGCCGUAAGGAUUGCCUCUCCGAUGAUUGACAUUUUUGUUUCUUUUUUCCCGCACAGAAAGAAACAGAAUUUUUAGUUUUAAAGCAAAAUGAGAAAAUUGAGCAGUAAGUGUGAAGGGUCAAGCAAAAUGCAUGUAUCAAGUCUUCCGCUUGUUUAUUCCAGUAAAGUGAAAAUAAAAACAGAGCCCACCACCCGUUGAUAAUUGGAAAAUGAUAAAUGAACGAAAGCGCGACGAAGGAACGACAUAAAACGCGUUCCCUCAUCAAAAUUUUCUUUUGUGGGACUUAUUAUAAAUAAUAAAAUAUUUUUUAUGUGACUGACUAUAAAUAGUAAAAUAAGGAAGGAAAAGAACAUAUAGACUCCCAACGUUUGGAUAAGGGACACAAAAUCCCUUAAUGUUUCAAAAAAAUAUUUAGACCCCCAUUUGUUAAUAGAAACCAUUUCUUUUAACAAAAAUUAUAAUUUUAAGGUGCAAUUACCAUUAUACCCUUAUAGCAUACUAAAAAAUAAUUGUUCAUUGUGCAAUUUAUCCCUAUAUUAUUAAUAAAAUUACGAAUAUACCUUCAUUACCCAAUUUUUCCAUUUAAUUUUUUGUCAAAUUUUCUCUUCAAACUAAAUAAAUUUAAUCCAUUGCUCAAGAAUAAAAAUAAAUAAAAUUACUUAUUAAUGUCAUAAGAAUAACAAUUUUCCAUAUGUCAAUCAUUUAAACUUGUAUAAUCCACAAAAUAAAAAAAAAUUGGUUACAACAAUAAUUACAAAAUCUUAAUUGUACUAAAUAACAUAUCCAAUAGACAUAAAAACCAUCAAUCUAGUAAACAUAACAAAAAAUCCUUGUAUUAUAAUAUUGUAUCAAAUUAGUAUUGGUAAACAUUACAACAUAAUAUUUUUUGAAAAAAAAAAACAUAAUUUGUUCACAAAUAAAAUAAAAAAAACAUAACCACUCCCUCGUCAUCCCAAUUUAAUCCCAUUUCAUCAUCAACAGUUGUUAUGUCUUCAUUGUCAUCAUUUGACCAAUAUGCUUCAUCAUCUUCUUGUUCAAAAAAAUAAAGUGAGUUAGUAUUCAGGUUUUGGGACGACUAAUCAACCUCAGCUUGAAAUGAUUCUUGUUGGGCUGUCUUUGUAGUAUUAUAUGAAAGCAUGCCAUUAUUUGUUACCAUCUGCAAACCAGUACAUUCUUUUCAUUAAUAAAUUAAGCACAAAAUUCACAUGCUCCAGGACCAUUAAAAAAAAUGCAUAAUAUCUCACCUAGGUAGAAUUCUAACCCAACUGGUUAGAUAUAACAAAAUAAAAUUGAUUCAUUUAUUCCAUGCACAUCUAAAAUUGAUAAAGCAAAGAAAUAACAAAAGUAAUUACCAAGAAAUCUCCAAUAAACCGGACAAAUUAAGAACUAUAUUCAUCAAACAACCAUAAACCAAAAAAAAAUUCUCGUAAUCAUUUACUUAUAUUCUCUCACAUACAUCACAUAUGCAUCAAACAUGCUAGAGAAUUGAACCACUUUAAUCUAUUAGAAUUUUUUUCUCAAAUCUCAAAAGCAUAAAUUUUCAAUGAUAAUGAAAAGAAAUAAAGUUAAUUUAGUAAAACAAAUGAAAAUUAAAGAGAGAAAAAUAGGUUUUAAGAGAAUUGAAACUUGGAUUCCACAAGCAAGAGCAGCAACCAAACAUGAGCACGAGCAGCAGCCAAAUAAAGGCAGUUCCAGCAGCCAAACGCGAGCAGGUCCAGCAACUUUCUCGAUCGCGAGCAGUUCUUGCAACCAGACGUGAUCUCGAUCGAUGGACGAGCAAAAGUUCUAGCAGCUUCCUCGAUCAGGACCAGUUUCGGCAACCAGACGCGGUCUCGAUCGACGCACGAGCAGAAGUUCCAGCAGCUUCCUCGAUCGCGAGCAGUUCCGGCAACCAGACGUUUUCUCGAUCGACACACGAAUAGAAGUUCCUGCAGCUUCCAACAGCGCGAGCGGUUCCAGCAACUUCCGGCAGCCCCAGCAGUUUUCGGCAAACCGUGAGUGUGCGUGUGUUAAAGGAUUUGUCUGGAAGUAGUGUGUGUGUGUGGUUUGUUUGUGUGUGUCAUGUGUGCGUGGAUUUUUAGUCAAUUCAUUUGUUAUUAAUCUACAAUUAUGAUAUUAACCUUGUAAUGAUUUAACGAAAAAGUUUCGGUUAACCAAUGAGGGUUUGAAUUUUUUUUUUGAAACAUUAGGAAGUUUUGUGUCUCUUAUCUAAACGUUGGGGGUCUCUAUGUCCUUUUCCCAAUAAAAAAUGAAAAAAAGAUACUGAAAACGAACGAAAGUGCGACGAAGGGACGACAAAAAGCGCGUUCCCUAAUCCAAUAUUUCUUUUAUGGGACCGAUAACAAAUAAUAAAAUAUUCUUUUGUGGGACCGAUAAUAAAUAAUAAAAUAUUCUUUUGUGGGACCGACUAAAAAUAGUGUCAAAUCAAUUGUAUUUGAGUUGGAAUCUCUGUUUGGUUACUGAGAAAUAGAGAGAAAGUUGCUGAAUAUUCUGAAUCUUAUUCAAUUAAUAAAACGUGAUAGAUCUUACUGACUUUAUAUAUUUACAUGAUCAUUAGUAAAAGCUUUAACUAACUAAUUUGCAUUACAUUGAAAACAACCAAUCAAAUCAGUAAGAGACUAGCUAAUACUAACUAACUUUUGCACACGUUAACACUCAUUGUUGCUUAACAGAAUCAGCUGACUCAGCAUUGUUGACGUGGCAUUGCUGAUGUAUCUUAACUGCUGGCUUCCUCUCUCUUUUCAAUUCAGCACAAUGAGCUUUCUUCACAGCCCCUCUCAAACUCAAGGGGCAUAAAUGCACAUUGAGUUUGGUUCUCAGAUAAAUGAAUUGAGGAGAGUUUAAGGACUUAGUCAUUAUGUUUGCUAUCUGCUCUGCACUAGGAACAUAGAGUAUCUUAAGAUUGUUGUGAAAAUUUUAUUGAACUCGCAAGCGCACGAAUCUAUUGUAGAAUAGACUAAUGGUGACGAGUGUCGAUCCCACGAGGAGGUGGAUUUUAAUUAUAUGUAGAAUUAAUUUUGUAUGAGGUGGUUGGAUUUUAUGGUGAAAGUGACUUAGAUUAUCCUAAAAUUGGAAUUGAAAUGGCGAGAAUAAAUUGAAGAGAAAUCUAUUGAAAUGACGUACUUAGGUAUCUGGAUCCGUAUCAACAUGCAUCAUGGGCUAAAUAAUCCUUAUUAAUGCCAAUUAAAUCAUGAGGGGGGAAUCCACACCUCAUGAACCACGCUCUAAUCAAUAUGGUGCUAAGCGCUUAUCGUGCCAAAUAAUAAUAAUAGUGUACUAUAGAGCCCGUGAAACCAGGGCGGUACUAGACAAGAAUAUUAUUAUUUAUCGACGAGAAGUCAAAACAUCCUAAAAAACUAGAGGGGAAGAGAAAAUAAAUUUACCAAAUAAAGCCCAUGACACAUGUUGAGACUUCACCUUCAACCCAAGCUUGAAAGAAAAUUAGCUAUUCAUAAUUGAACUAGGGGUAAAAUAGAAAUUUAUUAAAAUAUGUAGAAAAUACAAGAUAGAGAAAGAAUUAUAGAAAAUGGAGUCCAAAAAUAGAUUCAGAGGUAACAAAUUAGGGGGGAGAGGUCCCCUUUUUAUAGAUACAUUGAGUAAAUCAUGGCCAUCGGAUUUAAAAUAGUUUUGAUGCUCAGGAUUACGCCACGUCAUCAGUCAACAGUACGCGUGAACAGUACGCGGAUUGACCAUGCGGUUUGACCACGCGGUUUGAACAGUGACAUUGUUUGAACAGUAACGCGGUUUGGUUGAAAAUAAUCUCAUUUGUUGCAUGUACCAUACGCGGGUUUUUGGUCCACUAAUAUGCUUCCACGUCACCAUCAACAGUGCAUAAGAAUUUUAGUCCAAUAGGAUCAUGACACCUCAUCAGUCUAUGCCACAUCAUCCGUCAAUGUCACGUCAUCGAUCCGUCUAUGUGAACAGUGUCGUGCACAGUAACGUAGACAGUACCGUACAUGUGAACAAUACCAUUUUUCCUUUUAUGCUCCUCCUAAGGUUUUCGACCAUCCUGAGUUCAAAAGUGAGGUCCGUUUUACCGUUUGAUCUCUCGUUUAUUGUGAAAUGACUAUGAUGCCCCUAAAAUACAUAAAAUACUUAAUUAAAAUAAAACACACAUAAUUAAAUUACAAGAAGCUUAAAUACAUAAAAAUAAGGGUUGUUAGUAAGACUUGAAAUAUAAAACGAUGAUUUUCUCCUUUAUAAAUAUACAUUUUCUAACAUUCAACAAAGAUCUCUAGCUAGAACUUUAUCCCUGAUAAAAUGUAGAUCGAUCUCUAUGUGCUUUGUUCUUGAAUGAAACAUUGGAUUAUGAACAAGUUCUUUAGCACUCACAUUAUCACACUAUAUAAUUGGUUUCUCCACACAACAAAGAUUAAUCUCAACAAAUAAAGACUUUUAACCAUGUUAUCUCUGAGACAACAGCUGCAAGAGCUCUGUAUUCACUCUCUGCAGAAGAUUUAGUAACUACUAAUUGCUUAUUUGAAGACCAUGAGAUUAAGUUGUUUCCCAGAUACACACAAUAGGCACCAGUAGAUCUUCUAUCAUCAAGGUCACUCCCCCAAUCUGCAUCUAUAAAUGCUGUAAUUUUUAGCUCACCUUCUUUAACAAAUUUCAGCCCAUAGUCUUGUGUUUCCUUCAAAUACUUUAGCACUCGUUUGCAUGCCAUAAGAUGUUGAAGUGUUGGUGAAGAUACAUACUGACUUAGCUUAUGAACAGAGUAGGUUAUCUCAAGUCUUGUCAAAACUAAAUACUGAAGACCUCCUACUAUGCUUUUGUAAUGAGAAGGAUCUUCUAUGUAGUAACCCAUUUCUCCAUCAACAUUCUUCUGUAAUCUGUAAUCUUUAUUGCUGCUCAUUGGUGUAUCUGUUCCUUUGCAUUCAAGCAUAUCAACUUUAGUCAAUAAGUCUCUAAUAUACUUCUUUUAAGACUGAUACACACUAUCUAGAUCAUACAAAAUUUCUAUUCCAAGAAAAUAAGACAGCUUUCCCAUAUCCUUUAAUGCAAAUGCAGAACUGAGCAGCUUGAUAAAAUUUUCCAACUCAUCACAAUUUGAUCCUGUAAUCAGUAUGUCAUCUACAUAUAUCAGGAUUAAAAUGAUUGAUCUUUUAUUCCUCUUCAAGAAUAAAGAUAAGUCAGACUUGGAGUUCUCAAACCCCCAUUGAAUAAGACUAUUUUUCAACUUGUCAAACCAUGCUCGUAGAUCUUGUUUCAAACCAUAGAGUGCCUUGUGAAGUUUGCACACAAACUCAGGUCUUUUUGAAUUAAUAAACCCUUCUGGUUGACUCAUAUAUACCUCCUCAGUUAGAUCUCCAUUUAAGAAUGCAUUAUUCACAUCAACCUAUCUUAUCUACCAUUGAUUCAUCACUGCUAGGCUCAAGACCACUCUAACUGUUGCUGCUUUCACCACUGGACUAAAUGUCUCAAAGUAGUUAACUCCCUCUAUUUGCUGGAAUCCUUUAGCAACUAACCUUGCCUUAUAUUUUGCAACACUUCCAUCAGUGUUUGAUUUUACUCGAAACACCCAUUUGUUGCCAACCAGCUUGUGGUUUUAUGUUCUUGGCACAAGUGUCCGGGUACCAUUUGAUAUUAGUGCAUCAUAAUCAGCUUUCAUUGCCUGAAACCAUCUCUCAUCAUUGAGAGCCUCCUAAACAGUGUCUGGUUCUUUAUGUAACAAUACUGCUAUAUAUACCUUUGGCUUAAAGAUACCUGCUUUCCCUCUAGUAAUCAUGCGAUGUUGGUUUAGAGAUGGUGAGGUUACCACUGUUUGGUUAAGAUGGGAAGUAUUAUUUUGUUGGUUUUGUGAAAUUUCAUCUGAAGGUUGAUUAAAUGUUGUAUCAAGUACAGAAGGUAACAUUGUAUGUGCAGAUGGAUUAUUUGUAUCUGUGUUUGAGGGUUGCUGGUCUGAGCCAUUUGCCUGUGUUGAGACUACUGUUGAAGGGAAAAUAUUGCCACUGGAGUAUGCUUGAGAGAAAGAUUCAUUGCUGCUGACUGAAAAAUUUGAUAUGACAUGAAAUGUUGAUAAUUGAAAAACUUGUAUAGGAGUGAUUGUGCAAUAUGUAUCAGACUGGGACUUGUUUGAAAAAUGAAAGCUAGGAUAUGAAGAAAAUGGAUAUGAGUGUUCAUCAAAGACAACAUGCCUAGUUAUAUAUAUAUGACCAGAGGGAUGAAAAUACUUGUAGCCUUUAUGAGAUGGACUAUAACCAAGAAAGAUGCACUUAGUUGUGUGAUAGUCAAACUUAUGCUUAUUAUAAUCUCUCAAAUAUGGAUAACAAGCACAUCCAAAGCAUUUCAGCAUGUUAUAAUUAGCCUUAUGUUUGUAAUGUUUUUCAUAUGGAGUAGACAUCUUAAGUGUAGAAGUAGGGAGUCUAUUAAUGUGAUAGAUUGAGGUAUGAAAAGCAUCCCACCAGAAUUGAAAAGGAAGUUUGGCUUGAGCUAGAAGUCCUAAUUCUACAAUCUGCCUUUGUUUUCUUUCAACAAGUCCAUUUUAAUGGUGAGUGUAAGGGAAAUAGUGCCUAAAAAGAAUGCCACACUCAUUUAGGAAGGAAGUAAAUGGUAUGUAUUCACCCCCACAGUCAGAUUGUAGACCUUUGAUAGUAGUUUGAAAUUGUUUUUCAACUUGAAGUUUAAACAGUUUGAACACUUCUAGAGCUUCUGAUUUAAGUUUCAAAGGAUAAAUCCAGGUGUAUCUAGUGUGAUCAUCCACAAAGCUAAUGUAAUACCUAUAACCAUCUCUAGAUUAUGUUGGUGAAGGACCCCAUAGAUCAGUAUGAACAAGUCUAAAGCUGAUGUGGAUUUGAUAUCAGUAAUUGGAAAAUGAAGUCUAUGAAAUUUGCCCAACUGACAUGCUUCACAGAAAUGCUUUGUUGCUUGAUUAAAAAUAUUUGUAGAGCACAAAUUGGGAUGCACAAUCUUAAGUAACUGAACCAGGCUUUGAGUAUUAGGGUGGCCAAACCUUUUGUGAAGUAAAGACAUUUUAUUGAAUGAAUCAAUGCUAUAAGUAUUCUUAUUUGACUGAAAACAUUUUCCAGAACAAAAACUAUUGACUGUAGUGUUAAGAUAACACUGAGAUAAUAUAGAGACAGGUGUAUUUAUUGAACAUUGAGAUAGAAAAGAGGUAUAUAUAGAUUGUGAUGAUGAAUUCAACUGCAAUUUGUAUAAACCUUUCUCAGCAAUACCCCGUAGUAGAAUUUUCCCCUUCAGUAUAUCCUUCACAAAACAAACAGAUUCAAGGAAUUCAACAAAUAAGUCAUUAUCAGUGGUAAGUUUUGAAACACUUAGUAGAUUCUAUGUAAUAGAUGGAAUAAGCAGUAUAUCCUUAAGUGCAAUGCAUGUAUUGGCAUAUUGUAUUUUAGAGCUUUGAAUUGUAAGAGUGGUGUUACCAACAUGUGUGAUUGACAUACCUUUACCAUCACCAAUGAUAAGCUUGUCAUUACCUCUGAACUCAUUACUGACAUGCAUAUUUGCCAUGCUAUUUGUUAGAUGGUAUGUAGUUCCGCUGCCAAGAUACCAUCCUUCAUCUAUUGGUCCUUCAAAAUUAGCAACAUAAGCAGCUCCAGUUCCAUUCACAUGCAAGCUCAUUGAAUCAGAUAUGUAUGAAGAACAUGAUGGAUUAUACAUGGGAGGUAUUCCUGAAUAAGCAGCUGCAGUAGGCCAUAAAUCUUCAGUGGGUGCAUUAAAGUAUGUCAUAUAGGCUGAUAUCUGAUUUCUUCCUCUUUUCAUGUGUUGGGGCAUAUAGUUUUCUUCAAAUCUAUGCCAACAUUCUGCUGCUGUGUGUCCAGAUUUAAAGCAUAUUUGACAUACAACACCUUGCUCAUCAUUACUAUCCGAAUUUGACAAACCAGAGUUAGCACUAUAUUGUCCUCUCAUGAAUUGUGCCUGCUUAUUAUUGUUUCCAACCAUUUGACCUCUACCAAGAUUGUUACCAAAAUUUCCAGAUCCAAAUGGAAAACCUCUUGGAUGAGAAUUGAUAAAUUGUCCUCUUCCAGCAAGAAAAUUAUUCCUUCCAAAUUGAUUUCCACCAUGAAAUCCUCCAUUAUAUCCACCUCUUCGAGCAUUACCUCUUGCUUGAGCAUAAUAAGCAUUCAUCAUACCAUAGCUAUUAUUAUUAUGGGAAACAUUAGCAAGAUUUGCAUUGAAUAUCUAUUUUUCAUUUAGACUCUGUUCCAAUCUUGUUUCAUGUGUGAGCAGCAAUGCAUAUGCAUCAUCAAAAUCUAGUUUGCUAGCAGUAAUGAAAGUUGCUAAAUCUAGAUAGCCUAGUUCAAGACCAUUAAGGAUUUGUUGUAGCAAAUCUUUGUUAGAAACUAGAUUACCAGCACAAGCUAAUUUAUCUGCUAUUUGUUUCAUUUUCAAACAAUAAUCUUCUAUAUUUAGUGAAUUUUUUCUCAAAACACUCAUUUCAUAUUUGAGUUGAAGAACUCUAGCUUAAGAUUUUGCACCAAACUUUUCUCCAAUGUUUUCCACACAUCAUAUGAACUAUUACAAGAAUGAACAUGACUGAGAAUACCUUUAGUGAUCGAGCUUAAUAGCCAGCUUAGUAAUGUCUGAUCAUGUGAUCUCCAGAUCGUAUAUUCUGGAUUUUCAACUUGUUGAGUAACUCUUUCCAUUGCUUCAGCAUAGCUUCUAGAAGUAAGAAACUAAGUAAGUGCUACUUUUUCUCCAUUGAUAUAGCCUUCAAGCCUGUUUACUCUUAUCAAAGUUAAUACUUGAUUUCGCUAGAGCAUGUAAUUGGAUCUAUCCAAUUUGAUUAGUGUAAUGAAUGAAAAGGUAGUUUGUAUUGAUUGAUUCAUGUUUGUUGUGUUUAAAUUGCUUGAGCUUGCCAUAUUCGUGGCUCUGAUACCAUGUCAAAUCAAUUGUAUUUGAGUUGGAAUCUCUGUUUGGUUACUGAGAAACAGAGUGAAAGUUGCUGAAUAUUCUGAAUCUUAUUCAAUUAAUAAAACGUGAUAGAUCUUAUAGACUUUAUAUAUUUACAUGAUCAUUAGUAAAAGCUUUAACUAACCAAUUUGCAUUACAUUGAAAACAGCCAAUUAAAUCAGUAAGAGACUAGCUAAUACUAACUAACUUUUGCACACGUUAACUCUGAUUGCUGCUUAACAAAAUCAGCUGACUCAGCAUUGUUGAUGUGGCAUUGCUGAUGUAUCUUAACUGCUGGCUUCCUCUCUCUUUUUAAUUCAGCACGAUGAGCUUUCUUCACAAAUAGUAAAAUAAAAAAUGAAAAAAAGGAUAGUGUGCAAUUUUUCUUUUAAUAAUUUGGCAAUUCACCAAUCACCGGUCACCACCACUUGUUACCAGAUUCAAUGAAUGUAAAAACGCACCUCGACAUUUGUAGGGUCAAGCAACAUUAAUCCAGUUGUUCGGGUAAAUGCUAAAUAAAGUGGAAAAUGGGAUGUAUCUACUACGAACCUUCCCUUUACAAAUCUUCAAACUCAUAAGCCAGAGGCAGCCCCCACCACCAUCAAUAAUUCAGCAAGUUUCACAUGCUUGUGCUUGUCUGCUUGACGAACCGGAAAUGGGUGGACCAGGCACCAUUGAAUAAUUGGAAAAAAAAUGAAAAAUAAAAAUCCGUGUCUAACAAAAAGAAUGCAUCUUCAUGUGUUGCUUCCUAUUCAGUACCUCUAGUCAUCUACCUAGCAUUUAAAAAAAUGGAAGUAGUAAUUAAAUCUGACUUUUUUAGAUAUGGCUCAUAUAUAUUACAAGUAUCAAGAUUUAAUUAGAGUACACGUAUUUACAAUGUGUCUAGUUUUAAUUGAGAGAUAAACCAAUCAUUAAUAAUGAGGUUUUUCUAAAUGAUUGAAUAAUGAUAUUAAUUAUUGAUAUUUACAAAAUUUCUAAGAAGUGAUAACUAACACGUUGGGGAUAUGUAUUUGUGCGGAAUGGUAAAUAUAAAGAAUAGCAAUAAAAAUGGUGGAACUUUAAUUGUAUAAAAUUAAUAUGUAAUUCAAGGUACGAUACAAAUAUCACUUUUCUUAAGACAUUAUUUACCCCUAGCAAUUGAGUGAUGCACAUGAGUUAAGCAAAUAUGCCUUUAGGAUAUAAUGAAACAUUUAUUUAUUUGCUUCCGUUGUGCAUCAACGAAAGUAAACCUGAAUACUCUUGAAUAUUGCAAGUCUGCUAGGAAUCAAUAUGUUGAUUCUGUUAAAAAACAAUGUAUUGGAUAUUUGAUGCAUAAAAAAUAUAUGUUAUUUGAUGAAAUUCAUUUUAGGAAAUAGGGGUAAGAAAAGAGUGGUGAAGGAUUAUCUUAUUCAUAUCUAAACUUCUAAAUAAUGGAUUUAUUUAUUAUGGUGACAUAAUAAUAAUUGUAAAUUAAAAAUAAAUUUACUAUUAAAAAAAUAAAAUUUAUUAAUAAAAAUAAGGGUUAUAUAUCUUUUUUAAAAUGUUAAGAAGUUUUAUAUCUCUUUUUUGGAUUAAAUUUUCUAUUUCCUAUUAAGCAAAACCCACGUCAAAAGUGAAAAGGAAAAACAGAGCCCACAGAAUAGAGCCCAUUACAAAUAUAAAAUCGGAGGAGCUCAUGAUCAUGCCUUUUGCUUUACAUACUAAAUUAAAUAAAAGCCAAACCAGAAUCUUGCCUUUCCUUAACAUGAUUAAUUAGGCCCUGCAUCAGAGAGAACAUGAAAGCAAUGAACCAUUUUGUUAAUCUUAAAUGUCAGGAAUAUAAUUAGCUUGGAAUAAAGUUGCAUUCUUCUCCUCUGACUGUCUCUUCAGGUUCAUUUUAAAAGUUUGAAGAGAGUUUCAAUUCUUCUACACUUUAGAAUAUCAAUGUUCUUGCUUUCUUCAAAUGUUGAAUAAAGAGAAAAAAAAAUUGUUGAAUGUAGAAGGAAAAUAGAAUGCAUCCACCUUCGCUUUGGAAGUCUUCUACUUAUAAAAGCAAGCUAAAUUAAAAGAUUUUAAUCUCUCUUUUUAUUAUUAUAAGUGCACUGCAUUUUUUUUAAAUAAUCACCUAUACAAAUUUGUAAUGUAAUGAAAUAUUCAUAUUCCUGUAGUGUCGAAAUGAGAUAAAAUGAAAUUUUAAAUAACACAAUUUCGACUCGUUUGUUAAAGGUAUAUACUUAAUAAGCUAAUAACAUAAUUAACAGAACCCUAUUAUUACACUAAAUGAAAUAAAAGACGGUAGCCACCAAUAAUUACACUAGCAAGCUUCGCAUGCUCGUGUUUAAGGAACUGGACAUUGGUGAAUUAAUCACGGAUAAGAAACAAUUUCAAAAAACAAAAUGGAUACUAUACAUUUUCUUUUUUUAAAUUGUACAGAAAAUGGGACUAAUUUUCAAAUAUUUUCAAAUUCACUUAUUAACAAAAGCUAUACAAAAUGAUUUCCUUUUUAUUUUGAAAUAUUAUACGGAAUCAAAUAACAGUGAUUGAGAGAGUGUAAAGUGGUAAUUCUCCGAUUGUAUUUUCUCUCUUUUUUAAAAGGAGAUGGUGGGGUUUGGUUGUUUACAAAACUAUUGGUGUGAGGGUCUAUUUGUUUUUGUUUUCACUUUAUUAAUUAAUUACGAAGCAAACAUGUAAUCAUUUGUAAAGGGGCCACUAGCAUCGGAUCAUGUAAGAUGAAUUCGUAGGACUUAUUAAUUUUGAUGAAAAUGUAGCAUUAUUAAGUUAUUAAUUCAUUAACUUGAGGUACUAAUAUUUACUAAUUGUGGUGAUUAAUUUAUUUAACUUUGUCAUAAUUUUCAAUUGAGAAUGAAGUUCAAUCAAUGUAUAAAAAAAUAAUUUUUUUAGAUUUUUAAUUCCUAUGAUUUAAUUUCUCUCUGUUUCGAUUAUUGACGUGUUAAAAGCUUGCAGAAUAUCAUGAAAUGCUUGUAUCUCACCUCACAAAUUGGCAAAUAUCGGAAGGCUUCCAUGACGAAUUGAAAUUAAAAACAACCACCAUCGAAAUUUAAUUUUAAGAAUCUUUUUUACUUGAAAUUUUUGAAAAAAAAUUAACCAGAUUAAAUUAGAGAUAUCAACCUUAACUUAGUGUUGUGCACCACAUUGGCCACUUCUAAUUGUGAAAAGAAAUAGAACUUUUGUAUCGAUGAAACUUAUUUUAUUAGUAUUAUUCAUCAUAUGGUUAAUGGCUUAGCCGAAGGAGAAGGGGUCAGCCAAAAUAAAUAAAGUACCUUCUCAUGCAUUAACCUUUAUUAACUGUUGUAGUUAAAAUAAUUUUAAAACAAGUUAAAACAGUUCCAAUUCAAAAUCAGUAGGCUGCGAUUGGGUUGUUACACAUAUUUCUAAAUUUCAGUCUAAUUUAAUUGUGUAUGGACAAAUUAACUUUUAUCACUUCUUUUAUAUUAAUACUCAUAAAUUUCAAUCUAACUUAACAAAAAUAAUGUUCAAAUUGUCACAAAAUGUUCUUUUCUUAAAAAAGAAAAGAAAAUCAUAUAUAUAGUAGUUAAUUUUUCUUCUUCUUUACUUCAGGAUCCAACUCCGUACUCCACUUUUUUGUUGUUAUUGUACCUAGCCGUUAGAUUUUAAUUACGUUGUUUUAACGGUUUGGAUUUGUAAAUGAAUAACGACGUAGUGUUUGACUACCAUCUGAACCCACUGCAUCUAAUUGGUUUUGUGAUUUUUUGCUUUCUUCAAUAAAAAAACAGUUUAUUUUUGGUCGUCGAAACAUGGUAAGUGAGAAAGAUUAUUCUGUUUUUUUUUUUGUUAAUUAGGUUAGCAUUUAUGAUUGAGUGACUCAGAACUAUAUUUUAGAUUGAGAAUCAAUGGUUAAGAUUGUCGUUUGCUAUUUUAUCGACAAGAGAGCACUCGAUUUUAUUAAAAGGAGAAAGUCAUAAGAUUUCCUUUAUGAGAAAAUGUAUCUGAUCAUUCCUUUUUACUGGAAAAAUUAAUAUACAAAAACUUACUAAUAAAUGACAUAAUAUACAUAAAUUAUUAAUUCAUUUGAUAGUUGAUUAUCGAAUGACAUUUGAUCCAUGGGAGCAUGCAGUCUAUAAAAUAAUUCUUCUUUUUUUUUUUUUAAACAAAAAAUCGGUGAUGUUGAAAAGCAUUUCUGUAUAUUAUUAUUACUCUAAUUGGAGUGAACAUUUCAUAAAAAGAAUGCCGUAUGAAACUAAAUUAUUAAUUCGUUUGAUAGUUGGUUAUUGAAUGACAUGUGACCCACAGUAAAUAGUUAAAUUUGGCGGCAACAAUAAUUACAAGACGAACUUAAAGCAGCGCAUAGGUUUUUCUUAAAAAUACAUAAACAAUUCGAUAUUUGAAAUUCUAAUAUCUCAAUAAUAUUGAGGGUCCUUCUAUCUUACAUGCAUGUAAGAUACAUUCCUCUCACAUGAAUAGUGUGUGGGUCCCACAUAUGCACUAUUCAUGUGAGGGGGAUGUAUCUUACAUGCAUGUAAGAUAGGGUUUGCCUAAUAUUGAUCAUGAUUCAGUUACCAAUUAGAUCCACUUACAAUUUCUUUUUUUCUUUUUUUUGAUUUCCAAUCUUUACCAAAAGAAAAUAUUUAGUGACCCCUUUUAUCAACUUGGUUUUAUUGACUUUCUUCCAAUCAUAGAAGUGAAAAGAGAAACAGAGGCCAGCACCAAUAAGUGUUACCAGAUUCUGUAAAGACAAAAUCAGUGCCCAGCAAAAAGAAGCUAUGUUUUCGUUAUAUGCUGCUUCCUAUUUAGUACAUGCAUAUAAAGAUAUACACGUGCACAUGCAGCACAUCUAUUUAAAAUUUAAAAAACGGAAUUAGAAAUACAGGAUUUAUGGUAGAAAUACAACAGGAAUAAGAGUGAAAUUCCAAUUUUAAAAUUUGGGAAAAAUGAAAUACGAUAUUUUUUUAUGAAUAAAAUAAUUUAAUUUUUUUUAAUUCUACCAGCAAAAACCAUUAACUUAUCAAGUUUUUGGUUUCAUUUACAGUUGACAGUCGGUUUCUUAGUUUCAUUCCUUAAUUCUACAAGAAAAAAACAGAAUACUUGACAUUUUUUAUUUGACAAUUUUUAAGAAAUGUCAAACAUAUAUGACAUUUUGUGAAAAACUGAGUAAUUGUGAAAUAUAAAUGACAAUUUAUUUAAACGUCAAAUAAUUGUGACGUUUUAUCAAAUAAAUGAUAAAUAUAUUACAUUUUUAUUGAAUAAUUAUCAUUUACCUUUUCCUUUUAUUGACUUGAGAAAAAACAAAAAACAAAAAAAUUGACUAUACUGCUUUUGUUUUCGUUCAUAGAACAGAUUUUAGUUUCUUUUGAGAAAAUUCAAACUCAUUCCCAUUACUUUCUUUUCAAAAAUCACCUCUCAAUUUUUCAUCAAUCACUCAAUUCCGAAUUUCAUCUCCAUUCUCUUUCGAAGAAGAAUGCACGAAGAAUUUUAGCUUGCUUUCGCUGCUUCUCGAAUAUUGGGUAUUGUUUCCUUUAGUUUAGAUAAUUUUUUUUUUAUAUCUCUCUUUCUAGUUUGAUAAUUUAGGGUUAUACUUGAAUUAAUUGUAUUUUUAAUCAACCAAGGUUGGUUUAAUUGAUUCCAAGUCUCAAUUUCCUGUUCAACAAACAAGGAACGCACAAAUAAUUUUCAUUUUCAUACUCAACUUUGAAAGAAUCAAUUUAUUUUAUCUUUGGUUAGCACACUUCUGUUCAAUUUUUGUUUAUUUAACUUAAGAUAUCUUUUUCUUUCUUUUCUUCAAGCAGAUUAUAGAUUAUAUUGAGAACAGAGCUUUCUCCUUAAUUCCGCCAAGAGCAACGUUGAUUUCAGGUGAUAAUUGAAUGUGUAAUAUUUUCAAUUGAAAUUAAUUGAGUCUCGUAAUAAUAAUAGGGAUUUGAGAUUUACAUCCUGUUGAAAUAAUUUCAGAGUGUUCUGCUAUUUGAAUGCGCAUUAAUUGUUUGAUUAAAUGUCUCUUUAAAAGAUUAUUUUUGUUUUUAGCAAACAUCUUAAUGCACUUUGCAAAUUGAAUCCAACAAGGGAAAAUUAUAGAACUGCAACAGUUUUCAAAUUGAUUGCAUAUUAGAAGUAAUGUUAAUUUAUGCUGCAACAGUUCAAUGGGCUGGGCACAAGUUUAGGACUUUAGUUGCUCAAUUAAUGAAUCCACCACUCAUCAGACUUGGAACUUAUAGCUAUUGAAUCAAUAAAAAUAGUUGAUGGAAUCAAUGCCGAAAGCUUCAUUUGAUAUUUAUUUAUAACAUCUGUUAGAUUCUGCACAAUCACAAAUAUAUAGUAGCAGAAACUAUGUUAGAGACACUGUAGUUGCUUAAUUAGUGAAAUUGUGAUCUCAUUGCCCCCUUGUUUUGGUUGAUUCUAUAAUUUUAUUAGUUGUUCUUGUGGUUGUAAACAAUAUCAAUUUCUAAUAUUAAUAAAACUGAAUGAAUAAAAUGCGAUGCAUUUGCCGGAAAGUUAAUAGUUUAAAUAUGGAUAAAUCUUGGAUGUUGAUGGAUAGAAGGUCUAUAGAAUAUGAGAACGCGGUAAAUGAGUUUCUCAAGUUUGCAGUACUUCAUGCUAGUCAUCCUGAGCUUUUGAGAUGUCCAUGCCAAGCAUGUCUUAGUUUAUAGGCUCAAACAAUUAAGAGUAUAGAAAAUGCAUGAUAGAACACAGAACUCAUAUUUUAGCAACAAUCCUCAGCUCAUUGGCCCUUAGUUCGGAAUGACAAUUCUUAUUAGCCAAAGAUUCAAAAUGAUUUUUAGUUGUUUAUAAGUAGAACACUAGAUCAACAAAUAAUUGAAGACCUGCAGCUUGGCUAUUGAACUAUACGAUGAUGCCAAUUCGAAGACUACAACUUGGCUCUGCCAUUCGAAGUAAGCAACGCAGCUGCCCAAAGUCUGCCAAGCCAUCAAGACUCCAAGUAUACUUCAAAGCUACAUCAAGACAAUACUAAGAUACAACAUCAAUAAUAAUAACAUCAAGAAAUGCAUGGAGGCCAUUACAUGUUACACCCACCCCAAUAAGAAAAAUACAGUCCUAAACAUUUACAAACCCGUGCAGUCGGAAUACUAAUUAAUUUAUACAGUUCAAUACUCGUUCCUCUGUUUCAAAUCCAAAUCCACUGGUCUACUAUUCAUUAUGACAAUGCAUAUGCCGAUAUUGUCUUCCAUCCUUUUUGUACCUUUCAAUUUAGUGAGGUUUUGACAGGGGUUCCAGAUUUGGUAAAUCAACAAUCACCAGAUAUGUAGAGCGGCCGGAAGAGGAAGCAUGGUUCCUAAUCCUAAUCUUGAUUUAGAGCAGAUUAGGUAACAUGUGGCAUUCUACAUUCUUGCAAUGCCAUUUCUUGUUAUGGCAGCGGCAUUCUUGGUCAUGGCAUCACAAGCAAAUGCUUUGAUUUGAAGACUUGCUUGGCUAUGAGAAAUAAGGAGAGCAAAGGUAAUUAAUCUUGGUGUGAUCAACAUUUUUAUGGGGGUACCAAGAAAAAUAAAGAUAAUAUAAGGAAUGUUGUUGAGGAGUAUUUUUAUAUUUACAAAAGUGUUCAAAGUAAAAAUUGAUUUCUUAAAACCCAUUAGCUAGCGCACAUAAUAAUGGGGAGAAAAUUUUAGACUACGAAUGGUCCCACCCAUUUAAUAAUAUUCUUCAACCAAUUAUGUUUACUUCAAAAAAAAAAAAAACCAUCUCUUUAUUACUUUCUAACUAUUCAUAUUAAUGUGUUAAUAAUUAUGAAGAACUGGUGUAAUUUAUAUGAUGUAGGAAGCACUUUAGGCAAAAUCAUUUGAAUCUCAAAAUUUCGUGAUAUUGUGCCAAAUAUCCAAAACAGAGCUCCCUGCAUUUCAUUGCGCUAGCUAAUUUCUUGUACCAAAAUUAGGAAUUACUGAAGAGUAGAGUUACGUGACUGAAUAGUAUCAUAUCACAGAAACUCAAAACUCAAUUUCAUUGCGCGAGCAUACCACGCCAUAUGUAGCUCAAAAGUGCAAUAACAUUGAACAUUCAGCUGGCUAGCUUAUAUUAAUUAAUUAAUACUACUACUAGUUCUUUAUGAUUAAUUAAAAGAUGAAAUAUUUGACAAUCACGAAACAUUAUUCCAUCACUAAAGAGUAGAGCUUCCUACAUUGUUACCCAAGCUCUUUUGUAUCUCCCAAACAUUAUUAGAGUCCCACAUUUGUGGCACAUCAUUAAGUAAAAUGUGCCAAUCAGGUGAUUGUUUUUCAUUAUUGCGGCUACUUGACACAAUUAUGUUAUUGCAAGACGAGCUUUCUAUUUUGUCUGGUUUAAGCCAUAAGAUGGGUUUCAAGAUUCAUUCUGAUUGGUUAUCUGUUAGCUUUUCGUUUUAAGAACUUAUUUACGAAAGCCAAAUUCUUCUUUCUAGGUUUAUUCAUAUUCAGAAGUUGCUUUUGUCAUAUCAGAAGAAGAGGCUGCUAAGACUGUUGAAGUACUAGAAGUGACUACUGCGCUGAUUGGUCAAAACUACUAUGGCUGCCUUUUUCAUGAGCUUCUAAUAUCCAAUGUUGAUUAUCUCUUCCAUUUGAGCAUGAGAGUAAUCAGAUAGUUGAUAUUUAUGUUACAAAAGUUGGAAGCGACUUAAGCAAUUCAGUAUCAUGCGAGGACUAUAAUAAUAACCCCGAUUCUUUUGCCUCUUGGAUUUUUUUGUUAAUUCACUUGCUGUAUGCUUAUCCGACCUCUGAUUUUUUCUUAAUAUUUCUUUGUAGUUCACUUCACAGCACUUAUAGCCGCUGCAUUGGCAUUUUCUGCUAUUUGUUAUUGGUCAUUGAAGCAACUUAGCUUACGAAGUUUCUUUUUGAUAAAUGUUUUUCAGAGGGUUGUGAGAGGCCAAAUCAAUUGAGAUGACCGGGUUUUCUAGAUCAGCCAUCUUUGUCGUCAACAGUGCUAAACUGUCAAUUACUGAGACACCAAACUCUAACCUGAUUCAUAUGGAUGUAGACUAAAGCUUCUUGCCGAUACCAUCCCCAGUCAAAGCUGCUAUCUUUGAAAGUUUCGCAAGACAAAACAAUGUUGGUUUCCCAGUCGAUACAAAUACAGAUUUCAUAUAUGCAGAUUGCUCUCAAUCUCUGUUUAAUUAGCUAGUCCUCUGCUGUAUCCUAGAAGGUGGAACAAUACAUUAUGCUUCCCAGCAGGCUCCAAUGGGAUCUAUAUAUGUUUCUGCUGCCAAAUUUUUUAAAGCGAUCAUUGUGACUAUCCCUGGGCAGUCUGAAGUGGGCUUUGAUACUUGUGACAAUACUCGAUCGAGGCUGUAAAGAAGCCGUGGGUGUACAUUUCUGGUCCAACAAUCAAUCUAACUGGCUUACUUUACAGCAACAAAGAGAUAGAGAAUAUAUUAACUGCUUGUGCAGAAUAUGGAGCAAGAGCUUAUUUAGUGUCGUGUCAAAAUAAAUAUAACAAAGUUUUAGCUGAAUAUAAAUUGUUAAUUACAGGCAGAGCAAGUUGAGUUUAAAAAAUGCGAAGCACCCAGUCCCAAAACAGAGAAGCUUGACGUUGGCCGGCAGGAUUAAUAUAUAUAUAUAUUUUUAACAACAAUCAAAGCCAGUUGGGAAUUUAUUAAGAGGUUAAUUAGUUGAAGUAUAAAAAAGGAAUUAGCAGGAUUCACGCUCGACCAAAUCCACAUGGCCAAAGCAAAGGAUUAAGGUUGAGAGAUUAUAAUGAAAUAUAAGUAAUGAAAUAUAAGUAAGCGUCGCACAUGCAUGCGUCUGACUGACAGAACAAAUGAAGGAAACAUAAACUUAUCAUUUUUAAGAUGUAAGCAUCAAAACAUUUGACAAGUUUGAGGUUCGUGAGAUAUUGGGAAAAUAUACAAAUAAUAAUGCCACUACAAGUUAAGCAGAGCAAAUAAACAGAGGAAAUAACUGAUCAAUUUAGUUCUUUGUGCAAUGGCCACAGCAACAGAGAAAAUAUGCCUACACGACUACAUUAAUCCUACUGGCGUGGUACUAUCACCAUGCAAAUUAACAUUAACAUUUCAUCAUCAAUCAGUUCUGAUGACAUGAUAUCAAAAACAUUGAUUUCAUAAUUUUAUGUAAUUUCAUAUAAAAGAUAUAUAUAGUUUAUUUGAGUUAGUUUAACAUAUGAAGAAAGAGUAAUGGGGAAUGAUAUCACUGUAGCGUGUGAUGAGUAAUGAUAGACACCAAAUAUGGAUCAUGUAAUAAUGAAAUAUAUAUUUACUGAAAAAUAUUUGGCAAUAAAAUGAUGCUUUAAAAAUUUAAUAUUGUUUGCUAGAAAAUAAUUUGACAAUUAAAAGUAAAGGAUGUAUAUGCAAAGCUUUGACCUUAUUUUAUCACUUCACUAACCAUUUUGUAAGUACAUCUUAAAUUGAAGUUCAAUUAAUGCUGACGAAAGACUCCAGAGAAUGUCGAGAAGAGAUUUGAUUUUUGUAUACCAAAAAAUUACAGAUGAGAUAAGUUAAAAUCAAUUACAAGAACAACAAAAAGAAUAUAUUUUAUAAAAGCCACAAAUACAUAUAAUAUAUAAUCAGUUUCGAAUUAAGUAAUUAUUAACUUAUAUAGUGAGAAAGUGUUAUAGGAAAGUUGGAAUUUUUUAAAAGAGAUUUGCAAAGGAAAAAGUUUAGUUUAGUUUAGUUUGUGAAGGCUCAAGUAAUUCAAAGCAAUUAGCAAUGCAAUUGAAGGAAAUAUAAACUUCUAAUUUUUACAAAGUAAUCGCUAAAAUAUUUGACAAGUUUGAGAUUUUCAAAAAGCUGAAAAAAAUAGACAAAUAAUGGAGACCCUACAGAUUGGUAGCGCAAAUAAACGGAGGAAAAUAGGGCAAACAUUUAUUUUUUCCAAAAAGAAUAAAAGCACGUGUCUAAUUACCAAAUAACUUCCACUAAAAAAGAAUAAAUGCUAAUAUCAUUGUUAGCCCAUGUUGUGCAUUUUUUCAUUUAUUUAUUUAUUUAUUUGCUUUUACUUAUUGAAGUUACUUUGCAAACUGCUCCAAGCAAACUACAAAAUUUCUUCUCACUCUAGGAUCUUCGCAAUGGUCCUGCAAUUUGCUUUCCUUUCUAUUAGGUUAGCUGUUUAUUCAAAAGAAAAAAAAUUGGGGAAAUGGAAACCUCACCCUCUAAAUACAGAUUUUGAAUUUUAUUAUUAUUAUACAAAAUUAGAUAACUAUGCAAAUAAUGGGCGGUUAUAACCAGUGAAACUGUGUCUAGCUACGAUGCAGGUUUAAUUUUCACUUGAUUAAAUAUAAACAAAACUAAAUCACCUGAGCCUCUGGUUUCACUAUUUUUCAACUUGAAAUUAAAACGCAAAAAUUGAUGGUAUUGGAGUUCAUUGUUUAGUUUUGCUGUAGGUCAUGAGGAAUCAAAUAGCCAUCCAUUUUUAUGUCUAUUUUAUGUACUAUUGGUCACUGAGUAUUGGGAUGUCAUAGGCCCGAAAAGAUAAAGCUGAAAAUCAAUCCCCUAUCUAAAGUGGAAAACAGUAGCUAGAACAGAAUCUAUGGUUUGAUGUCUUAGUGUAUAGGCUUAAACAAUUAAUAGUAUAGAAAAUGCAUGAUAGAACUCAUAUUUUAGCAAUAAUCCUCACCUCACUGGCCGUUAGUUCAGAAUGACAAUUCUUAUUAGUCAAAGAAUCAAGAUGAUUUUUAGUUGUAUAUGAAUAGCGCAGUAGAUCAACAAAUAAUUGAAGACUUGCUUUUGCUAUUGAACCACGCGAUGGCAAUUCGAAGACUACAGCUUAGCUCUGCCAUUCGAAGUAAGCAACUCAGCUGCCCAAAGACUGCCAAGCCAUCAAGACAAUACCAAGAUACAACAUCAAGAAUUACAUACGGGCCGUCACAUAUUACAUUUCUGCUCUGUUUUAAGAGAGAUUUACGAGCCCAUGCAGUAGAAGUAAUUAAUUAAUUUAUACAGUUCAGUACUCAUUCCUCCUCUGUUUCAAAUCCAAAUCCACUGCUCUGCCAUUUAUUAUGACGCAGGGUAUAUGGGUUAGCAAGUGUCGAUAUUGUCCUUCAUCCUUUGUGUACCUUUCUUCUAACAAGGGACAGCACGAGAUCUCUAAUAACAAAAGAGAGGCAGGCAGGCCGUUCGCUGGAAAGUACUUGAGCUUGGGACAAUUACAGAGUUUCAAUGAAAUGAGGUUUUGAUGAUCAACAAUUGAAGAAGACAGGCGUUCCAAAUUUGGUAAAUCAACAAUCACCAAAUAUGCUAGAGUGGCAGGAAGAGGAAGCGUGGCUCCUAAUCCUACUCUUGAUUUAGUAUUGCGUAUGUAACAUGUGGCAUUCUACAUUCUUGCAAUGCCAUUUCUUGUUAUGGCAGCAGCGUUCUUUCACCAUGGCAUCGCAAGCAAAUAUUUGACUUGAAGACUUGCUUUGCCAAGAAAAAUAAGGAGAGCAAAGGUAAUUGAUUUUGGUGUGAUGAAUAUUUUUAUGGGUGUACUAAGAAAAAUAAAGAUAAUAGAAGUAAUGUUAUCGAGGAGUAUUUUGAUAUUUACAAAAGUGUUCAAAGAAAAAAGUGAUUUUUUGAAAUCUAUUUGCUGGUGAACAUAAUAAAAUGGCAUUCUGACUUCUGAGUAAAUUUAAAACUACAAAUAGUCUUACUCUUUUAAUAAUAUUCUUCAAUUAAUUCUGUUUCUUUCACAAUAAAAAAUCCAUCUCUUUAUUACUUUCUAACUAGUCAUACUAAUGUGUUAAUAAUGAAGAACCAGCGUAAUUUAUAUGAUAUAAGAAGCCCUUUAGCACAUUAACCCGAAUUUAGCUAAUGCAUGUGCCUAAUAUAGCGAAAUCAACAUUCGGCUCAUUAGAAUGCCAUUAUAUAUACUGAAAAAGAAAUUAAUACAAAAAAAAACUGAAUAUUAAUUGACACUGGAUCAUGUUGGAUUGUUAGUUGUUAAUUAUGAUGGGAAUACAAUUUUCAUCUUUUGAUAAUCCGCUAACUAAUGCAUGUGCACUUUCAUUUGUGUCUAUAUAUACAAAAACUUGUAUCCGAUGGUUUACAUAUGUAUGAAGAUAAUGUAAUAAAGUGCUUUUGAUAAAUUCCCCUGGUCUGUUUACUUCACUAAUUCAUUAAUGUGCAAGUCCUCUAUAGAGCUGUGUUGUGCGUACAAGUUUUGCUACAUGAAAUCCUUAGGUGAGGAGAAUUUUUAAAAGCAUACAUCAAAGUAAUGAUUAAAGGGACAAAAUCAACAUAAAUAUUGAUUAUCUUGAGUUAGAUUACACAAAGAUGAUAAUGUAGUAAAUUUAUCAUAAUACACUACUAAAAAAUGCAUUUUAAUGACACAAAUUUUAUGACAUACAUCUUUAUGUCAUGAAAAUACUUGCAUGAUGUAUAAUGCUUCUGUGAUUAUUUGAUGAUAAAUUCAUAAUUGAUGCAGAUACAAAAUGAAGUGAUGAUAGGUAAAUAUCAUGUGAUUUUUUUUAUGGGUAAGAAUAUUUGAACCCACCAAAUUACUCUUUAAACUUACUUUUUUAUUGAUAAUUUUAUUACAAAAUUACCGAUAAUUUGAAUUACUAUUACAGACAAACAAUAAUUAUAUAAAAUUAUUUUACUUUUACUCAUUGUUUAAACCUACCGCAAAACUCAAUCAAAGGAUGCUUAUUUUCUUCUUCUGCACAAGUGUAGCAAAGUUUUUAAUAAGUUCCUCCUUCAUCCACAGUUGAGAACUUUCUAACUUUUGUUUCUUGUUCUAGUAAUUUGGAUAUGCUGUGUUAGAUACUGAAUUUAUUAAAUUUCUUCUUCUCUUUUGAAUAAAAUCUCUUUAAAAUUCAAUUCAUAAAAAAAAAAUUAAUCUCCUUAUAAUUUAAUAUGUUUCGGCUGUCUUAGUGGAAUGAUGCAAUUUGUUUCAAUCAAAGUUUUGAAGCAUCCUAAAUUAUAUAUUUUUUUGUUUAAUUUGUUUAGAGUUCAAUUGUUUAGAUCUAGGCUAAUUUUUAUUGAUAAUAUUUAUGAUUAAAUUAUAUGAGUAUGCUUAAAUUUUUUUUUUCCUUCAAAUUUAUUUUCUGAUGUUGCAUUUGGUUAGCAAAAAGAUAAAAAUAGUAGAAAAUGUCCGAAUUAUUGUUAUGAAAAUGUUGUUUUAGUCUGAUAUUGGGAAAAUAUCCUUAUACAUAUCGGCAUGAUAUUCAUGGGAGACCAAAUUGAGAAUGAUGGCAGACUAUGCAUUGCUCACAACUAAUUUAAAACUCACUAUUUCUAUUGUUUGUGUUUUAGUAACUUUGGGGGAAUUCCAACUAUAGUUAAUAAGCUAUAAACUUGUUUAGGAUUACUAAUCAACUUGCUAGAAAGAGUUGCAAACUAAUUAGCUUUCUCUUAUAACUUUUACAGAUCAUCUGUGGAGGAGAACUGCAAGGAGUUGAAGACUCUAGACCCUAAACUUCAUAUCUUGAUUUAUAAGUGCAAUGGCCAUAAGUCCGAAUUAUGGGCUGGAGAUGGUAUAUGUAAUCUUUCUGCUCUUGGUGUUUUUUUUUUUUUUUUUUUCCCUCUAGUUAUUUUUUGCUCUCUACUCCAUUGUAUAUUUGUAUUCAAAAGUAUUUUUUCUUUGUUUUAAGCUUUCAAAUUUAUGGAGAUGAUCUUAUUAGGUGUUAAAAAAAUAGUUGUAGAGCUUUACUAAAACUAUGUAAACUCUUAUUGAGAUUUGGGUUUGAUUUUGUAAGAUUGCUAAAAAUUUCAUAUUUUAUACUUGUUUUAUACUUUUCUAGUCGAAUUUCUUGCUUGUGGAAGAUAAAAUAAAAGUCCAAUUCAUGUUGUAAAAAUUUUUUUUCCUCCCUUUUUUCUUCCCUUAUAAUCUGGAUCUGGUUUUGGUGCAGUUUAUGGUUUCAAUGCAGGGAACCAAUUUCAUCAGAAUCAUCUUAAAGGAUCAAAGUGGCUUCCUUUUGUAACUGGGUAAGUCAAUGCUACUUCCUGAAUUCGAUUUGGAGUUCUUUCGGAAUAGAUUUCCUUCCCUUACAUCACUUGGCUUCUAGUUGCAUCUUCUUGGCUUUCUCCAACGGACUUUUUUAUUGGCAAAUUCGUUUGUUUCUAUUGUUUUCAAGUGCUAGUGCUGGAUUUGGAGGUAUGAAUGGUGCCUUCAUUUUUAUUUUUUUAAUUUUCUUUUGGGUGUAUAGUACUGUAAUAUACUUCUUUGUAUAGCUAGUACAAAAUAGUUCUUUAAUUUUAUUUGUCAUGAUUUAUUUCUAUUGCCUGGUGAUGACACCCAUCACGACUUAGUAGUCGUGAAUAAAUCGAAAAUCAAAUUGCACUGGUUUUUACCGGUUAUCAACAAUUGUGAUGUUUUGAGAUUAUAACAUACUUGACAACGCCGACUAGCGUUCUCUCCUAUGUGAAUUGGGACAAAAAUUAUUUUCCCAAUCACGCUUUCGUUUGAACAAUUCCACUUCAGAUAUAUAAAAUAAUGAUGAAAUUGUGUUUUAAAAUUAGUUACGAGUAAUUGGUUCAAUAUUAAUACAAAACUAUUUUAAGUAACACGUGGCAUAUUCUAAUUCCAGUGAGCUUCUAACUCAGAUUCCCAAAUCAAAAGAAACGUUUCAAUUUUCUCCAGAACGUUCUGCAAAACAUUUCUUCGAGUCUCUACGUUGUGCUAGAAUUUUCUCUCAGUUUCUUUUCCAUAGACUUCUAAAAAAUUGUCCAGAUACCGAGAUAUAAUCCAAUCUAAGUGUACAUAUUGUAAGAAAAACGAUACACAGUGAGAUAACAAUUUAAAUAGUAGCUAAUUUAAACAACAAUGUAAACUAGCAAUGGGAAACAACAAAUGAAGAACUGAAGAGAAAGGAGACCAAAACAGAAAUAUAAACCCGAGGCCUGCGGACAGUUUCCUUAAACAUAUUUACCCCCUCUUGGAGUGCUUUAGGUCAGCUGGUAUCUGUUUCCCAGGAUACAACAGGCACGAAUUUUCGGCUAAGCACAGGCUAGAAAUUCUGGCGAACCACAACAACGAGCUCGAUCAGAGAAAACAGACGACGAAGAUGGAGGAAGGAAAAUAAGUGUGCUGGUUUUUUCAGUGUGCAAAAAAACAGAAGAGGAGAUGCCUUUUUAUAGUCAUAUGAGGAUGUAACAGCUACUUUGUAUUGAAUUUCUGAAUUCAAUAUAUUUUAUUUAAUUGUUAUAACAGCCAAAUCAAUUCAAUGAAUUGAUUUCAAAAUUGAAUUAAAAAAAACGUGAAUUAUAUAACAGCUAAAAAUAAUUGUUGAAGCUGUUACAAAUCCUUUGAAUUCAAACGUGAAACUGUUACAAUAAAAAAAAUUCAAAAGGAAAUUAAAAACGUGCCAAGCUUGCAUGGAUGAUUUUGGGCUGACAUUCGCGUACGCAGACGAGUUCAACCAAAUCGGUCAUGGAUUUGCACCCCCCUGCACACGCGCACGUGGAGAGAGCCUCUAUCCUUAUAAUUCUUGAACAAGCAUGGUUAAGUGUUUAUAUAUAAACACUAAUCCCUAGGCUUCUUUUUCCCAUGUGGGAUAAGCCUAAUUUCUUUUCAAAUUUCCAACUUCAAAGGUGAACUUUGAGAGACAAUUUCUCAUUCACCCAAGCACCAUUUUGAGAAAAUAAGAUUAUACUUUUGAAGUAUCAAAGGAGUAGAAUCCGAACCUCACAAGAUUUUCCACUUUCGUUAAGUGGGACCCACUCAAAAUAUGCCCUCAAAAUAGCAUCUAUAUAUGCUAUUUUUUCAACAAUCCCCCACAUGAAUGAAAAUUGGCAGUAAAACAAAAAACCGCUAUAUUUUUUUUACAUCAAAACCAGUUUUGACCUUAAUGAUUGAGUUUAUUGGAUUGAUACCUAGCACAUGAUAGGUUGGUGUUAUCCUUUUAACCUUCCCUUGUAAUAGUAUAAUUACUUUACUGGCUGAUCAGUAGACGCGAUGUCUUUGAACUGUGCGGCCGUUAGUGUAAACGAUCAUAUACUACACAUAGGUAUUUCUCCUAACACUGUUGAGUUCUCAUGGUUAUGUUCGUUUUGGCCUUGAACAUCUACCUGGUUCUGCAAGAGUUUCUAAGAGCUAAACCCAUCAUAGCUCCCUUUGAAGCGGCCCCACUUCUCUCUCACAUAGGUGAUAUCUUAAUUAAGAGUAACCCGCAUUACUCCGCUCGAAUUUUCCGACGCAUAAGAAUCAUUAAGAGCCUAGCUCAACCUUAUUCCCCACGAGCAUCAUUGUUUCAUAAUAGGAAUGGUCAAUGAGGUAAUCUUCUCAAGAGAAUAAACCCCACAAUAAUCCAACUUUAGUCUUUAACAAAUAGGUUGUUCAAUUGAACCUAGAUCUUGGGAUCUCCAGUCUACUAGGUUGGGUUUUCCUUCGUUAUUGACUAAUCAAUCUAUGAGUUUUAAUCCCAUUCCCCUCGAUGAUUUUUCUACUAGCUCUCUAUUUAACCCUUUGGUUAGCGGAUCCGCAAUGUUAUCCUUUGACCUCACAUAGUCAAUAGAAAUAACUCCAGUAGAAAUAAGUUGUCUAAUGGUAUUAUGUCUAUGACGUAUGUGUCUACACUUACCAUUAUACAUAUUGCUUUGUGCCCUACCGAUAGCUGAUUGACUAUCACAAUGUAUACAAAUCGAAGGCACAUGCUUUGGCCACUUUGGAAUACCUUUUAAAAAAUUGCGUAGCCAUUCUGCUUCUUCACCACAUUUAUCUAAUGCAAUGAAUUCAGAUUCCAUUGUAGAUCUAGCAAUUACUGUCUGUUUAGAAGAUCUCCAUGAUACAGCUACACCUGCUAGUGUAAAUACAUAGCCGCUAGUAGAUUUUGAAUCUUUUACAUCUGAUAUCCAGUUAGCAUCACUAAAUCCUUCUAAUACUUCUGGAUACCUAGUAUAGUGCAGUCCAUAAUUACGAGUGUAUCGAAGAUACCUAAGUACUCUUACGAUAGCUUUCCAGUGAUCAGUUCCUGGAUUACUCGUAUAUCUACUAAGUUUACUUACCGUAUAGACUAGAUCUGGUCUGGUACAACUUGUUAAGUACAUCGGACUGUCUAUUAUUCUAGCAUAUUCUACUUGAGAAAAACCCUCUUCUCUAUUUUUCGAUAGAUGGAUACUAGUAUCUAAUGGAGUUUUAGACAUAAUAUUAUCAUUUUUAUUAAAUUUUCCAAGAAUUUUAUCUACAUAAUGAUUUUGACUUAGAAUAAGUCCAUUAGAAGCCCUUCAGAUUUUAAUUUCCAAAAUGACAUUUGCAAGACUCAUGUCUUUCAUGUCAAACUUAGACUUCAACAUAUUCUUGGUAGAUUUAAUCAUGUCAUCAUCACUUCCAACAAUGAGCAUGUCAUCAACAUAUAAACAUAAAAUGACAUAGCCAUUUUCCGUUUCUUUGACAUAAACACAUUUGUCACACUCGUUGAUUUUAAAACCACUUGUGAUCAUCGUAUGAUCAAAUUUCUCAUGCCACUGUUUCGGUGCUUGCUGCAAGCCAUAUAAUGACUUUACCAAUUUACAAACUUUCUUUUCUUGUCCUGGAGCUAUAAAACCUUCAGGUUGCUCCAUAUAGAUUUCUUCAUCUAAAUCUCCAUUUAGAAAAGCCGUCUUUACAUCUAUUUGAUGUAUCUCGAGAUUGCGCAAAGCUGCAAUUGCUAUUAUCAUCCGUAUGGAAUUUAUUCUCAUAACAGGAGAAUAAGUAUCAAAGUAAUCAAGGCCUUCUCGUUGCCUAUUACCUUUAAUUACAAGCCUAUCCUUGUAUUUAUUGAUUUAUCCAUCAGCUUUCAUUUUCCUUUUGAAAAUUCACUUAUACCCCAAAGGUUUACAUUCUGGAGGAAGAUCUGCUAGCUCCCAAGUAUGAUUUUGUAAAAUGGAUUCAACUUCACUGUUAAUGGCUUCUUUCCAUAAAGUGCCUUCAGCUGAAGUUACAACCUCUUUGAAGCUUUGAGGUUCACUUUCUAGCAAAUACGUCAGAAAGUCUAGACCAAAAGACUUUUCUAUCCUAGCUCUUUUGCUACGUCUAACCUCAAUUUCUUGUUCUUGAUCUUCUUCUUCUUCUUCUUCUGGUGCUUCAUCAUUUUCUUCAUUUCCAAGUGUUGUUUCAUGAAAUUGUCGCAAUUCUCUCGAUUCCACUCUAGAAUUGCAAGGAAACACAUGUUCGAAUGAUGCAUUUCUUGAUUCUAUUAUCAUAUUUUUGUGGACAUCUGGAACUUUAGACUCAUGUAACAAAAAUCGAUAAGCACUACUGUUUUGUACAUAACCAAUGAAAAUGCAGUCAACAGUUUUUGGUCCUAUUUUUACUUUUUUAUUGAAAGAACCACUACUUUAGUAAGACACCCCCACACUCGUAAGAAUUUAUAUGAAGGUGAUCUAUUUUUCUAUAGCUCAUACAGGGUUUUAUCUUCUUGCUUUCGGGGUAUCUUAUUUAAUAAAUAAUUAGCUGACAAAACAGCUUCUCCCCACAUAUUCUGGGGUAACCCAGAACUUAUCAACAUUGCAUUCAUCAUUUCCUUUAAAGUUCGAUUCUUUCGUUCUGCAAUCCCAUUAGAUUGAGGUGAAUAUGGAGUCGUGACUUGAUGUAUGAUUCCAUUUUGUUCACAUAGUGACAUAAACAUAACAACAUACUCACCACCACGGUCACUCCUUAAUUCUUUGAUUUUUCUAUUAAGUUGAUUCUCAACUUCAUUUUUGUCGAGAAUAAACUUUUUCAAAGCUUUAUCUUUACUUUUCAAUAAAUAUACAUAGCAAUAUUUUGUGCAAUCAUCUAUAAAGGUAAUAAAAUAUUUAUUAUCACCUCUUGUUUGAAUGGAUUUAAAGUGACAAAUAUCAAUAUGUAUUAAAUCAAGUGGUUCGGUGUUUCUGUUAAUUAUUUGGAAAGAUGACCUAGUUAGUUUUGCCUCAACACAAGUUUCACACUUAUGUUUCAAAUCAAUUUGGAAAUUGGGAAUAUGCUUCAUGUUAAUUAAUUUACGCAAAGAAUUAAAAUUAACAUGUCCUAAUCUACCAUGCCAAAGAUUAGAAGACUCAAGCAAAUAAGCAGAAGAAGUAGCUUUAUUAUUAAUUAUUGGUUUCAGAGUCAUUACAUUGAGCUUAAAUAGCCCAUCAUUAACAUAACUCUUUCCCACAUACAUCCCAUUUUUAGACAAAACUACCCUAUCUGACUCAAACACCAUUUGGAAGCCAUGUUUGUUCAACAGCGAUCCAGACACCAAGUUCUUCUGAAUUUCUGGCACAUAAAACACAUUGUUCAGAGUCAGUUCUUUCCCAGACGUCAUCUUCAAAAUCACCUUCCCUUGACCCUCAAUCUCAGACGUAGCCGAAUUCCCCAUGAAUAGCUUCUCUCCAUUGCUAACUGCUUCAAGUGAAGUGAACAAUCCUUUGUCCGAGCAAACAUGUCUGGUUGCUCCCGUAUCAAUCCAUCAUUCUCUCGGAUUAUAGCCAACCAGAUUCACUUCUGAAACCACUGUAGAGAGGUUUAUGUCUGAAACAUGUUGAGUGAUGUUUUCCAUCACAUUCUCCUCUCGCUUCUUUUUAGGCAACCUGCAAUCUGAAGCAUUGUGACCCAUCUUAUCACAAUUAAAACAUUUUCCUUGAAACUUUGUUUACUUCUUGGAAAUUCCUCCUUUCGGACCCAAUUUUUUAUUUUUAUUUUUAGGUCCAUGUUCGACAAAAUUUGCCUUUGCCAUAGAAAUAACUCCUUUUCUUUUUGCAUUUCUGUUAUCUCCCUCAAUUCUGAACUUAACAACCAGCCCUUCAAUAUUCAUCUCCUUUCAUUUGUGCUUCAAAUAGCUCUUGAAAUCUUUCUAAGCAGGAGGCAAUUUUUCAAUAAUUGCGGCAACUUGAAAAGUUUCACUUAGAUGCAUCCUUUCUGCAAGGAUUUCAGAUAAUAUAAUUUGAAGCUCGUGUACUUGACUUAUUAUAGUUUUAGAAUCCACCAUUUUAUAAUCUAGGAAGCGACCAACAACAAACUUUUUGGUUCCCGCAUCCUCGGUUUUAUAUUUCCGGUCAAAGGAUACCCAUAACUCCUUGGCUGUUUUCUUUCCUAUGUAUACAUUAUACAAGGAAUCACUAAGGCCAUUCAUUACAUAAUUUUUACAUAAAAAAUCUUAAUGAUGCCAUGCAUCAAUUGCACUUGCAACUUGAAUAUCCGUUUCACCCUCUUUAGGUUUAGGAGCAUUCUCGAUCAAGAAACUUGCAAGGUUCAGCAUGGUCAAGUAAAAGAAUAUCUUUUGCUGCCAACGUUUGAAAUUCUGGCCAUUGAAUUUUUCAGGCCCUUCCGCAUGAUUGAUAGGAAUUGCCACAGAGGCUGGUUCCUUUACAACAGUUGGUGCAGCAACAGAAGAUGAAACUGGGACAUACGGAAUAUCAUCAACGGUUUCAGUUGCCAUCUCAAUGAUAAUUGAUUCUGUUUUAAGAUUGUAAAAAAAAUGAUACACAGUGAGAUAAUAAUUUAAAUAGUAGCUAAUUUAAACAACAAUGUAAACUAGCAAUGGGAAACAACAAAUGAAGAACAGAAGAGAAAGGAAACCGAAACAGAAACAUAAACCCGAGCCUUGCAGACAGUUUCCUUAAAACAGAUUUACCACUCUUGGAGUGCUUUAGGUCAGCUGGUAUCUGUUUCCCAGAAUACAACGGGCACGAAUUUCCGGCUAAGCACAGGCUGAAAAUUCCGGCGAACCACAACAGCGAGCUCAAUCAGAGAAAACAGACGAUGAAGAUAGAGGAAGGAAAACAAGUGUGCUGGUUUUUUCAGUGUGCAAAAAACAGAAGAGGAGGUGCCUUUUUAUAGUCAUAUGAGGAUGUAACAGCUGCUUUGUAUUAGAUUUCCGAAUUCAAUAUGUUUUACUUAAUUGUUAUAACAACCAAAUCAAUUCAUUGAAUUGAUUUUAAAAUUGAAUUAAAAAAACAUGAAUUAUAUAACAGCUAAAAAUAAUUGUUGAAGCUGUUACAAAUCCUUUGAAUUCAAAACGUGAAUCUAUUACAAUAAAAAAAUUCAAAAGGAAAUUAAAAACGUGCCAAGCUUGCAUGGAUGAUUUUGGGCUGACAUUCGCGUACGCAGACGAGUUCAACCAAAUCGGUCUUGGACUUGCACCCCCCCUGCACACGCACGUGUGGAGAGAGCCUCUAUCCUUAUAAUUCUUGAACAAGCAUGGUUAAGUGUUUAUAUAUAAAUACUAAUCCCUAGGCCUCAUUUCCUUUCAAAUUUCCAACUUCAAAGGUGAACUUUGAGAGACAAUUUCUCAUUCACCCAAGCACCAUUUUGAGAAAAUAAGAUUAUACUUUUGAAGUAUCAAUGGAGUAGAAUCCGAACCUCACAAGAUUUUCCACUUUCGUUAAGUGGGACCCACUCAAAAUAUGCCCUCAAAAUAGCAUAUAUACAUGCUAUUUUCCACUUUCGUUAAGUGGGACCCACUCAAAAUGUGCCCUCAAAAUAGCAUAUAUACAUGCUAUUUUUUCAACACAUAUCUCUAUGUCACCUCCCUCCAUUUCACCAGAAAAUCAACAAACACUUAGCUUCAAAACAAACACUCUAAAAAAGCUAGCUAGUUGAUGGCAAAAUCAAGAAUUCUUGCAAUGGCAAUGUUGUUUCUUGUUAUGGCAGCAACAUUGAUGAACAUGGCAUCAAAGCAAAUGCUCUGAUGCUGUACACACGAUCACCUUUCUUUGACGUAAUGUUCCCAAUGACGGAAGAUCCUUUCAGGGUUCUUGGACAAACCCUGUUAACAAUCCCAAAAGGAGCUGAACAUCAUCAAACUCUAGCACUGGCGAGAGCAAACUGAAAUGAGACACCAACAUCACACGUGAUCACACUCGACAUUCCAAGGAUGAAGAAAGACGAUGCGAAGAUAGCAGUUGAAGAGAACAGGGUACUGAGAGUGAGUGGGGAGAGGAAGAGCGAUGAUUAUUAUAAGGAGGAAGUUGAAGGAGAUAAAUGGCACAGAGCUGAGAGACCAUUUGGCAAGGUUUGGAGGCAGUUCAGGAUGCCUAUGAGUGCUGACUUGGAUCAUGUUAAGGCUCAUUUGGAAAAUGGUGUUCUAAGGAUCACAGUGCCAAAACUUGUUGAGGAGAAGAAGAGGCAGCCUAAGGUUAUUAACAUUGAUGAAGAGCCUGGUAAUUCUUCUGAUGAAGAUGUUAAGGCCGCCAAGGCUCAAAUGUAAUUGAUUAAAGAAAGAAGUGUUUGAUUUGCUUGAUGUGCUAUUUGUUUUGUGAUCUUUUCUUGGUUUUGUUGUGGGAUGUUUUUCUUUGGAUGUUCUGUUUAUUGUAUUUUGAUGGAUUUUUAAAGAUGGCUUUUAUGUAUUAACAACAAAAGUGUUUUUUAUAAAUCCGGGUCCUAAAUUUGUAAAAGAAAUUAAUAAUACUCUUGGUUUAUUGUUAAUAAAAAUAAAAAAGAAGAAUCUUUUUCUUUAGCAUAUAUUAUGCAUUUUAAGGAAAAAAAAAUUAUCACAUUCUAAUACAUAAAGAUAUUCCUCUUCUGUCAUAUUAAUGUGUUAAUACGAAGGUCUAUUGGAAUUAUAAUAGUUUAGAUGAAUCCAAAAUAUUCAAUAAUUGAUAAAUAGUAUAUUGACACACAGAAAAUGUGCGUGUGUAUGUAUAUAAAUGAGGUUUCAACAGCUGAGAAAGAGAUAGCCAUUAUACAUUACACAUUUGCACUCAAUAAGAAAUCAAUUCAUUAAUAUAGCCAUUAAUACGCCUGGUUUAUUGUUAAUGAAAAUUAAAAAAGAAAAAAAGUCUUUUCUUUGGCCUUUAUUAUGCAUUUUAAGAGGAAAAAAAAUUUAUCCCACUCCAAUUCAUGAAGAUAUUCUCUUUUCUGUCAUAUUGAUGUGUUAAUAUGAAGAUCCAUUGCAGUUGGUGAAUUCAAAUAUUCAGUAACUGAUGAAAUUGUAUUUAUAAAUUCAUACUAAUAGCAAUUGAAGAUUAUAAUUAAUUUUGUAAUAUGGUCUAGCCCUCCUGUGUUUAAUUAGCACUCAAAAACCACUUUACAAUAGGGCAUUAAAAGAACAUUAUAACGUCAUUGCUGAUGAGUUCUGGCGAAGACAUUAAGUUAAGGCCACAAAAAUCGAAAUGCACGUAGCUUCGUUUGUUUUUUAUUUUUGAUUCUCUUUGGGGGCAAAUGCUUGGCUUCGUUUGCUUUUUCGUUUUUGAUAUUUUAUUGGGCUUUAUUGUGUGGCAUCUUCUUGUUUUCUUUUGAUUUUCUGUUUUGGUUGUUAUGGGAUUUGAUGACGACGUACAUGUACGAAGAUUAUAUAAUAAAAUGUUUUUGAUAAAUUAUGGUCGGUUUAGAAUUAAUUAACUAAAUUUAAUUUACUUGAUCAAUUGAUAUUUGUAAGCAUUGUUGUUAUACAAACACAACAAAAGAAGAACAUUAAUGUACUAAUUAAUUACUAAUAAGAACAUUAAUAACUUUUGCCGAAGAAGAGAAAUAUUACACAUAUGUAACCGUGCAGCAUAUGUAACCGUGCAGCUAAAUAAAAGAAACUGAAGUUUAUUUCAACAGCUAAAGAAUGAGAUACGCAUAAGAAAUUAAUCCAUUAAUUAAUUAAUUAAUUCAUAGUCCCCCGCUGCUAAAAUAAAGCGAGCGUCUUACUCUACCUAACAUUUUUCCUUUUAUUAAUUUAAAAUAGUUUUCAACUGAGAUUUGAAUUUUAAAAUUACACGCUUGAUUUAGAAGAAAAAAAAGUCAAAUAUAUGUAACCGUACCGCGGAAAAGACAAAUAUAAGAAACUGAAGUUUCAACAGCUGAGAAUGAGAAUUUAAUUCAUUAAUUAAUUAAUAGAGUCCUCCUUUGCUAAAUAAUGCGAACCCAUUGUUCUUUUUAUUUCCAAAACCCAUUAAUCACCAACACAUAAUACACGCCCAAUUUAAAAAAAAAAACUAAUAAUAAAAUAUUUCAGUCUUCCUUUGUUGAGUCGUCAUUAAAAACCCAUUUACCAGCUAUUCGAGCAUAAGGUAUAUGGGUUAACAAGUCCCAAUAUUGUCCUCCGUCCUUUCUGCACUUCUCUUCUAUCAACGGACAGCGAUAGAUUCUUAAUUGCAAAAGUGAGGAAGGCAGGCCCUUCUCCGGAAAGUAUUUGAGCUUGGGACAAUCAUAGAGUGUCAAUUUAGUGAGGUUUUGAAGAUCAACAAUUGAAGAAGAUAGGCUUUCCAGAUUUGGAAAAAAGGCAAUGCUCAGAGAUGUUAGAGAGGCAGGAAGAGGAAGCGUGGUCCCCAGUCUUCUGUCCUCUGGCUCUGGUGGAAAUGACACCAUGUCGUCAUCGCAUCCUCUGAUUAAAAGAUAUCGCAGAGAGGAGAAUCUGUGAAAUCCCCGGCCCCGCUCAAUCAUUGACUUCCAAAUCCCCAUAUUACCCUCAAUCCUCAGUGAAUGAAGGUUGGUGGGAAGGCCAUCUUCUUCAAGGCUUGGAAGCUCACCUCCUAUUAUUGUUAAUUGUUGAAGAGAGGUCAGAUUGUGCAAUCCCUUGGGUAAGGCCUCUAGUCUCUUACAAUCAUAUAUCUCCAGCCUCCUGAGUUUCGCACAAGGCAAUCCCCCUUCGGGAAAGGACUCCAGAUUUCCACAACCCCCAAUACCAAUCUGUUGAAGCUGGCACAGAUUAUGUAAACCACUCGAUAAAAUUUUCAGAUUUUCACAGUUAGAAAUGUUGAUUGUUUCAAGAGAUGUGUUGUUGUCCAACCUUUCUGCUAUUGACUCCAGCUUUGGACAUCCAUAAACAUCAAGUACCUUAACGGACGGAGGUAGAUUGCCAACUUCAAGGGACUCAAGCGUGGCAGGUAACUCGUUUUUUGAAAAUAUACAUGUCAGAGACGGACAACUGGAAAUUGCUAAGUUCUCAAGAAGAGAUGAGGUGUACCUUCUGCUGCUGCUACUCUGGAUGCCCUCUUCCACUGUCAAAGUCCUUAUUUUAUUGCACCUCUGGAUGUCCAACCUCUUAAGGCUCAGUGGUAGCUGGACUUCAGCAAUAUAUGUCAACGAAUGGCAAUCCCAAAUUUUCAAGAUCUCGAGAGAUGAACUAGUGUCGCACAUCCAUGGCUCUGGUAACGAUUUCAGUGCAUCACAUUCUCUAAUCUCAAUUUUCUUCAACUUGGAAGGCAGAGCAACCUCAGGAAAGGAAACAAGGGAACUGCACUUGUAGAUUUCUAUCUCUUUCAAGGAACUAAGGCUGAGAGAUGAUUGUGGCAGCUUCACAAGGCCUUCGCAAUAUCUCAAUCUUAGAUAUUCGAGUCUGCAUGACAACUCGCAGAGCUGCUGUUGUUGGUCUUUCUCUUCCUCCGCCACCAAGGAUUGAAGUUUGGGACACCCUCUUAUCUCCAGACUUUUGAGAGAGCAAAUGUCUUGUAGUAAUCCGUCAUGACUCUUCCAUAUAUAUGUUUGCUCUUUUGUCGACAAAAUUAAUUCUUCCAAUUUCGGUAGUUGUGGCUUCAACGGCCCCGCAAGAAACACUUGAUUUGAUGUAUCUCUACAAACCACUGAAUUCUGUGAUCCGAGAUGACCAGUUGCACUUUCCCACACAACCUUUUUGCAUCCACCAAUUAAGAAUUUGCAAAGAGCUGGAAGACUCAAAACUGAAACUAACAAUUCUUCACAUCCUUCAAUAACAAGCAUCUCUAAUACAGGAAGGUGUUCUGGAAAUGUUCCUCGCAGUUUAGGACAUUCUAAAAUGUGAAGCUCUCUCAAUUUAGGAAACCCUUCAACCCCUUGACCGGAUCCAUGAGAAAUCCAGACUUCCCAUUCUUGCAGGUCUUCAAAACGAAGAGUCUCCAAGCAUGGAAAUGGAAUUGGAGAGUCAUCCCCAUAGAACUCUGAACCCAAUCUCUUUACUCUACUCACUCCACGCACUGUAAGAUGCUUUAGAGAGGGCAGUUGCCCGACAGACGGCAGGGCAGUACACAUGCCGCAAUCUUCAAAUUCAAGUGUUACUAAAUUUGAGAAUAAGGAAUCUCCUAACCAUGUUGGAAAUUUUGUACCUCCAUAGCCACAGAUACCAAAUUGUUCCAGAUUUUUAUGGGGUUUGAGCAUGUCAAGCACACCCAUUUCAGUUUCUGCCUCCCUUGAAGAUGAACCAUCGGUACUGCGUGUCCAUCGAAGCAAUAAUUCUUUAAGAUUCUUCUUUCCAUCCAACCGAGCCUCCUUCGCAUUACCAACGUCUUUUACGUUCUCCAAUUUUGAAAUUUCAAGUGCCCCACGAAGAUGCAUCAACAACUUUAGCUCUGAUAACCCCGAACCACUGUCUUUUCCCACAACAAAAUUACACAACGUCUGAAGACAAGUCAACUUGCCAAUUCCUAGUGGCGUUUCCUCCAACGAAUCUGUAUUUGAAUUAUUGAGAUGAUGCAAUUUGAUGAGAUUUCCCAUGUCUGCACACAACUUCUUCAGCCGAUCACAAUCUUCCAACAAAAGACUAUGCAAAUUGUAAAGCUUGUUGACUGAUUCAGGCAGAGUUCUAAUAUUAGUUCCAGACAGGUUAAGGUACCUUAAAUACCUCAAAUCACCAACUGAAUCUGGUAGCUCGGAGAUGUGAUAUCCACGCAAAGAGAAGACCCUCAAGCGUUGGAGUUUGAGCAACUUAGGAAGAAUGCUAGGAGCCAAGUAGCCAGGCGAACUAUCUGUCAACAUUACUGGUAAAAAAGUUCUCAAAUGUUGGAUAUCAUACAAGUCCCCAAACCUUUUACCGCCAACAUAAUAUUCAGGAAUAUAUGACAGAUGACGAAGAUAUCGGGAAAAACUUUGUUGCUUGUUAACCUCAGAGGUAUACUCCAUUGUGAAGUAUAUUUCCCCUGCAGCCCAAUGCGCAAGGUCGUUGAUAAGAUCGUGCAUCACAAAUCGUGAUGCAUCGUUGCUUGAUUGCUGGAAAAAGGAUCUUGAAUGUAGCUCCUUAAAGAUUUCAAGACCUAAAUCUUCACCAGUUUUCUCACGCUCUUUGCGAUCCAAGAAGCCCGAGGCACACCAUAACAAAAUUAUCUCCCCCUCUUCAAAUUCAUAAUCCUUUGGAAACAAUGAGCAAUACGCAAAGCAUUGUUUCAAAGGUGCCGAAAGAUAAUAGUAGCUCACUCUAAGCGCCGGCAUAAUGUCACAUCUCUCUUCUUGCAAUUCCCAUAUCUUGGUACUGAGCACUCUCUCCCAAUCACAUCUGUCAUCUUUUCCUCGCAAAAGUCCUCCAAGUGUUUGCGCUGCCAAGGGCAAGCCAUCGCAUUUGGCCACUAUCUUCUUGCCAAUUUCCUCCAAUAAGUUAUCUGACCCCAAAGAAUGUUGAGCAAAUACAGCUAGACAAUCAUCAAUUGACAACUUUUUUAAUUGAUAAGCUGAGGCAGUUCCCAUGAUGUCUGCAACCUCUUGAUUACGAGUUGUGACAAUAAUCUUACUUCCCUUCGCUCCAGCUUCAAACGGACGGCUGAGGCGAACCCAAUCAUUGUAAUUCUCAUUCCAAACGUCGUCUAAAACAAGCAAAAAUUUCUUUUGAGAUAACUUCUUCUUCAGCUCCUCUUGAAGCAAAUUUAAAUCACUGUCAUCAAUAGUCUGCUUGGUAACGGAUCUUAGAAUUGUUUUUGUUAGCCCCUUAACGUCGAAAUCCUCAGAGACACAAGUCCAUGCCUUGAGAUCAAAAUGAUCCCGCACUCGCUUAUCAUUGUAGACAAGCUGAGCAAGAGUAGUUUUGCCCAGCCCGCCCAUACCUAUAAUAGGAAUAACUGCGAAUCCACCAUCGUUGCUUAAAUCAUCCCUCAACAGCAGUUCAACAACAUCCUUCUUUUCUGUUUCCCUGCCAUAUACUUUGGCUUCAGUCACUAAAGAGGUUGUCUCUAGCCUUUGACUGGCUUUUUUGGACCCUCCAGCUGAACUUUCUUUCAAAUCUAGCAAGUUUUUCUGUGUCACAAUUUCUUGAAAUCUGCUGUUGAUCUCUUUGAUUUUGGACAUCAAGCCAUAAUCGAACUGAAUCGAUUGUGGAGUAAAAGUGGUGCAGCAAGUAGGAAUGAGCUUCCGAAACUUACUUGUUCUUGUACGACUGCUACUGGGUUGAUCAUGAGCAGCAGCUGGUUCUCCAUUCCCAAGCAGCAACCUCCUCCGGAAAGCCUCAGUUUGAAACUCAUCCAACAAGUCUUCAACAUCGUAAGCCAAGUUCUGAAGCUUGCCAAGCCACUUCUUCACAAACUGAUUAGUCGUCUUCUUCUCCUCAGCAUCAUCAAGCACCGCCUUGAUCAUCUCCAACAUAUUCUCCCACUUCAUUAGAUCGUCUUGGAUCUUCUCUUGGCGUGCAAAAAACAGAAUCCCCUCUGAAGCUAACUUAUUGACCAGCAAAUCAACGGACGCCGUAAGGAUUGCCUCUCCGAUGAUCGACAUUUUUUUUUCUUUUUUUGGGCAAAGGAAGAAAGGAGCAGAAUUAUGGGUUAUGGAAAGCAGAAUGAGAAUAUUGAACGGGUGAGAAAAUGGAUAAUUAAGCAGAAUGAGUUUGUGAUUGUGAAGGGUCUGGUCCAGCAAGCUUAGUAGAAAUCACGCGUUUAUACUUUAUUGACCAAUGACUAAUAAUUUGGCAAUGCACCCACCACCACCACUUGGUGAGCAAAAUGAAAAAGUUUAAUAAGUGCAGGGGUGCAGCAAAAUACGACGUAAAAUGUGGCAAGUCUCCCCACUUGUUGUUCCUUGCAGCUAAGAAAAGAAAAAACAGAGCCCACCACCCAUUAAUAAUUUAGCAAUUCACCAAUCACCACAAAAUUCCAUUAGAUAUUCGUCGAUCAAGUAGUUAAUCCAGUGUCUGCCACGUAGAGCCUUCACUUUACGAAUCUUCAACUCAUAAACCAAGUUAAAUCAAGACGUUUCUCUCUCUUUUUUUUUUUUUUUUCCCCUUCAAAACUCCUAAAACGUUUCUUUUUAGAAAUAUUUUACUUUAUUCAUCUAAUAUGUUAUCUAACAAAUAGACACAGAUGAAAUCACUCUAAAGUGAAGAUGAAAGGGGAAAAAAAACAUUCCAACCACCAAUAAUUUAGCAAGCUAACGUUUUCAAAAUAUUGUUCAAUGGUUCUCCCACACUGAGAGGCUGUAAGUUUAAGAUUGCCGUUUGCUAUUUCAUCGACAAGAGAACACCCGAGUUUAUUGAAAGGAGAAAGCCAUGAGGUCUCCUUUAUGAGAAAAUUAUGUAUCUGAUCAUUCCUUUUUACUUGAAAAUUUCAUAUACAAAAACUUACUAAUAAAUGACAGAAUAUACAUAAAUUAUUAAUUCAUUUGAUAUAUAGUUGAUUAUCGAAGGAUAUGUGACCCAUUGAUUAUCGAAGGAUAUGUGACCCAUGGGAGCAUGCAGUCUAUAAAAUAAUUCUUUUUUUUAUUAAACAAAAAAUUGGUGAUGUUGAAAAGCAAUAUUAUUAUUACUCUAAUUGGGGUGAACAUCCAUAAAAAGAAUGCCGUAUGAAACUAAAUUAUUAAUUCGUUUGAUAGUUGGUUAUCGAAUGACAUGUGACCCACAGUAAAUAGUUAAAUUUGGCGGCAACAAUAAUUACAAGACGAACUUAAAGCAGCGCAUAGGUUUUUCUUAAAAAUACAUAAACAAUUCGAUAUUUGAAAUUCUAAUAUCUCAAUAAUAUUGAUCAUGAUUCAGUUACCAAUUAGAUCCACUUACAAUUUCUUUUUUUCUUUUUUCUGAUUUCCAAUCUUUACCAAAAGAAAAUAUUUAGUGACCCCUUUUAUCAACUUGGUUUUAUUGACUUUCUUCCAAUCAUAGAAGUGAAAAGAGAAACAGAGGCCAGCACCAAUCAGUGUUACCAGAUUCUGUAAAGGCAAAAUCAGUGCCCAGCAAAAAGAAGCUAUGUUUUCGUUAUAUGCUGCUUCCUAUUUAGUACAUGCAUAUAAAGAUAUACACGUGCACAUGCAGCACAUCUAUCUAAAAUUUAAAAAACGGAAUUAGAAAUACAGGAUUUAUGGUAGAAAUACAACAGGAAUAAGAGUGAAAUUCCAAUUUUAAAAUUUGGGAAAAAUGAAAUACGAUAUUUUUUUAUGAAUAAAAUAAUUUAAUUUUUUUUUAAUUCUACCAGCAAAAACCAUUAACUUAUCAAGUUAUUGGUUUCAUUUACAGUUGACAGUCGGUUUCUUAGUUUCAUUCCUUAAUUCUACAAGAAAAAAACAGAAUACUUGACAUUUUUUUAAACGACAAUUUAUUUAAACGUAAAAUAAUUGUGACGUUUUAUCAAAUAAAUGAUAAAUAUAUUACAUUUUUAUUGAAUAAUUAUCAUUUACCUUUUCCUUUUAUUGACUUGAGGAAAAAAAAAAUUUGACUAUACUGCUUUUGUUUUCGUUCUUACAUGUUAUGGCAGCGGCAUUCUUGGUCAUGGCAUCACAAGCAAAUGCUUUGAUUUGAAGACUUGCUCGGCUAUGAAAAAUAAGGAGAGCAAAGGUAAUUAAUCUUGGUGUGAUCAACAGUUUAAUAGGGGUACUAAGAAAAAUAAAGAUAAUAUAAGGAAUGUUGUUGAGGAAUAUUUUGAUAUUUACAAAAGUGUUCAAAGUAAAAAUUGAUUUCUUAAAACCCAUUAGCUAGCGCACAUAAUAAUGGGGAGAAAAUUUUAGACUACGAAUAGUCCCACCCAUUUAAUAAUAUUCUUCAAUCAAUUAUGUUUAGUUCAAAAAAAAAAAAAAAAACCCAUCUCUUUAUUACUUUCUAACUAUUCAUAUUAAUGUGUUAAUAAUUAUGAAGAACCGGUGUAAUUUAUGUGAUGUAGGAAGCACUUUAGGCAAAAUCAUCUGAAUCUCAAAAUUUCGUGAUAUUGUGCCAAAUAUCCAAAACAGAGCUUCCUACAUUGCUAUAGCAGUUUUUAAAAGUUGAGGACUCCAAAUAUCCAAUAACUGAUAAAUUGUGUUAAGAAAUAUAAAUAUUAAUGGUGAUGACACAUAUGCAUGGAAUUCCUCUGUUUUGAGUUUGACUAAAACAACCUGAAUAAUUUCAAACAAUCCAUCAGCCCAAAGUCCUUGAGAGAUCGAACUGGAUUUGAGUGCAUCACAUUCUGAAAUUGAAACUAACAUUAAUUAGAAAGGCAGAACAGCCUCUGUUUUUUACUAUAAUACAAAAUGGGAAGUCAAACCAAUUCGAGGAACUCUCCUGUUUUUGACUGAACAUACAUAAUCCGAACAAUUUACAAUUAAAUAAAUCGUCCAAAAUCUCCUUGAGUCCAACCCCCAUUUCCAUGGUUUAAUAGAAUAUCAUAAAGGUGCCCAAUACAGUGAAAUUAACGUUCAGCUCAUGAAGUUGCCGUUAUAUAUAUCGAAAAAGAAAUUAAUAAAAGAAAUUGAAAACCAAUUGACACUGGAUCAUGUAAGAUUGUUAGUUGUUAAUUAUGAUGGAAAUAUACACUUGGUCUAUUAAUUACCAUCUAGCUAAUGCAUGUGCACUUUCAUUUGUGUCUAUCACUGAAGAGUAGAGUUACUUGAUUUAAUUUCAUUGCGCGAGCAUACCACGCCAUAUGUAGCUCAAAAGUGCAAUAACAUUGAACAUUCAGCUAGCUAGCUUAUACUAAUUAAUUAGUACUACUACUAGUUCUUUAUGAUUAAUUAAAAGAUAAAAUAUUUGAUAAUCACGAAACAUUAUUCCAUCACUGAAGAGUAGAGCUUCCUACAUUGUUACCCAAGCUCUUUUAUAUCUCCCAAACAUUAUUAGAGUCCCACAUUUGUGGCACAUCAUUAAGUAAAAUGUGCCAUUUAGGAAGAGCUGGCUUCUUUGUUUUUUUUUUUCUUGGAUGUGUUGCAAUUUUCAAGUAUCAUUCAAAAUUUGAUGAUACGAAAAUAUGUCUAUAUGACUUCAUUAAUCCUACUGGCAUGGUACUAUAACCGUGCAGCAUUACACUAACACUUCCUUAUCAAUCAAUUUUGAUGGUAUGAUAUUAAAAACAUCGAUUUCAUAAUUUUAUGUAAUUCAAAGAAAAGAUAUAAUUGAUUUGAGUUAGUUUAACAUAUAAGGAAAGAGUAAUGGGGAAUGAUGUCGAUGUGGCAUGUGAUGAGUAAAGAUAGACAACAAAUAUUGAUCAUGUAAUAAUGAAAUAUGUAUUUAUUGAAAAUAAAUUGACAGUUAAAAAUAUUAGAUAUUUAUCCAAUGCACCGAGUUUAUUUUAUCACUUCGUUAACCAUUUUGUAACUACAUGUUAAUUAGACGUUCAAUUAAUUUUGACCAAAGACGCUAGAGAAUGUCGAAAAGAGAUUUGAUUUUUGUCUUAAAAAAAUUAAAAAUGAAAUAAGUCAAAAUCAAUCACAAGAACAACAAUAAGAGCAUAUGUUAUAAAACCACAAAUACAUAAUAUAAAUUUAGUUUCGAAUUAGAUAAUUAUUAAUUUGUAUAGUAACAGAGCCUUAUAGAAAAAGAGGAAUUUUUUAAAAGGAGAUUUGCUUAAGGAACAACUUUAGUUUGGUUUAAUUUUUGAAGGCUCAAGUAAUUGAAAGCAACGCAAUGGAAGGAAAUACAAGCUUUUGAUUUUGACAAAGUAAUCACUAAAAUAUUUGACAAGUUUGAGAUGUUAAAAAAACCGAAAAAAUAGACAAAUAAUGAAGAUCCGACAAGUUGGCAAAGCAAAUAAACAGAGCAAAUAUUUACCGUUAUACAUUUUUUUUUUUUUUUUUGCCAAAAAAGAAUGUUGCGAUAUUUUUUCCCAAAAAGAAGCACAGUUUGAUAUUACUACCAUAGAACUUUAGCUACCAUAUAUAAGCACGUGUCUAAUUACCAAAUGAAUUCCGCUAUAACAAAGAAUAAAAGCUAAUUUCAUUGAUGGCAGAUGUUGUGCUUUCUUUUAUUUUAUUUGAUUGAAGUUACUUUGUAAACUGCUCCAAGCUAAAUAAAAAAUUUACUCUCACACUAGGAUCUUUGCAAUGGUCCAGCAAUUUGUAUUUCCUUUCGGUGAGGUUGGUUUUUUUCUUUAAAUAAAAUUUCAGGGAUGAGAAAUCUUAUCCAUUGAACAUCAACUUUUAAUUUUAUUAAUAUUCAAACUUAGAAAGUACUGCAGGAACAAAGUGCAUUCAUAGCCGGUUAAACUAUGUCCAGCUACAAUGCAAGUUUCACUUUUACUUAAUUAAAUAUACAAAAUUAAAUCACAUGAGCCUCUCGUUUCAUUAUACUUCAACUUAAAAUUAAAACACAGAAUUGACGGUAUUGGAGUUUCAUAUUUAAUUUUGCUGUAGUCAUGGGGAAUCAGAUGGCCAUCCAUUUUGACGUCUAUUUUAUGUCCAUCCCCAUAAAGUUUCAUACAAUAUGUGUGUGCGUGUGUGUAUGUGUGUAUUGGGAUGUCACAGGCCCUAAAAGAUAAAGCUGAACAUCAAUCCCAAAUCUAAAGUGAAAAACAGUAGCUAGAACAGAAUCUUUGUUUUGAUGUCUUAGUUUAUAAGCUCAAACAAUUGAUAGUAUAGAAAAUGCAUGAUAGAACAGAGAACUCAUAUUUUAGCAAUAAUCCUAAGCUCACUGGCCCUUAGUUCAAACUGGCAGUUCUUAUUAGUCAAAGAAUCAAAUUGACUUUUAGUUGUAUAUAAGUAGAGCACUAGAUCAACAAAUAAUUGAAGACUUGCUUGGCUGUGGAACCAUAGGAAGGCAAUUCGUGAACAGCCUUGAUAUUUCGUUUGGUUUUAUUUAAUUCUUUGUAAAGUUGUAUUGUAUGUAAAAUUUUUGUUAAAUGAAAUCGGUAGGUGAAGAGAAUUUUUAAAAGCAAACAUCAAAGUCACGAUCAAAGGGACGAAAUCAGUAUAAAUAUUGAUUGUCUCAAGUUAGAUUAUACAAAGAUGAAAUAAUGCUAAUCUAAAAAAUUCGAUGAUUAUAAUUUGAUUUCCAUUAUGUUAAUUAUAUUCAAUCAUGCUCUUUAAAUGAAGAACACUCUAGCAUUUAUAUACACUCAGCUUAUGAAAUUAAUUACAAAACGAUCUUUGACAAAGUCUGAUGAAAAAAGUACAAAGUUAGACUUCCCGAUCAUGCAACCACCCAUCGAAUUGUGUAUUGUGUCAUCGUUGAGCUCUUAGAAGGGUUCAGCUGCUGAGGAGAAGAUAUAAUCUGUUUUUGUGUGAGAAGCUAUGUACUAUGCUUUUAUGGUGUUUCUCUUGGUAGUUGUCGGACAAACUGUAAUGUGAAUUUCUAUCUAAUGGGUAUCCUUUUAGUUAGUUUGGGAUUGUUGAUUUAUAUAUGAUUUUUGGUAUCUAAAAUUCAGAUGAUGAUAAUCUUGGCAGUACUUUUGUCAAAUUUUCUUGUGUUGUCGUUGGUUUAAUAAAAUAUCACAAAGGUGCAAAAUACAGUAAAAUUAACAUUGAGCUCAUGAGAUUGCCAUUAGAUAUAUUGAAAAAGAAAUUGACACAAGAAACUGAAAAUUAGUUGUUAAUUAUGAUGGGAAUAUAAUCGUGGUAUUUCAAUUAUAUCAUUUGCACUAAUCUCCAGCCUCCCAGCCGGAAAUGUUCUUCCUUGACAUUCGGUGAUUGUUUUUCAUUAUUGCCGCUACUUGACUCAAAUAUGCUAUUGCAAGAGGAGAUUUCUAUUUUGUCUGAUUUAAGCCAUAAGACGGGUUUCAAGGUUCAUUCUGAUUGGUUAUCUGUUAGCUUUUUCUUGUUUUAAGAACUUCUUAUUUACGGAAGCAAAAUUCUCCUUUCCAGGAUGAUCUAGAUUUAGAAGUUGCUUUUUUCAUAUCAGACGAAGAGGCCAUCUUUAAGGCCUUGUGUAAGAUUGUUGAAUUUACUAGAAGGGACUACUGCUCUGAUUGGUCAAAACUACUAUGGCUGUCUUUUUCAUGAGCUUCUAAUAUCGAAUCAGUUUUAAUGGUAUGAUAUUAAAAAAAUCGAUUUCAUAAUUUUAUGUAAUUUCAUAGAAAAGAUAUAAUUGAUUUGAGUUAGUUUAACGUAUAAAGAAAGAGAGAUGGGGACUGAUGUCGAUUUGGCAUGUGAUGCGUAAUAAUAGACACCAAAUAUUAAUCAUGUAAUAGUGAAAGAAUUGAAGACUUGCUUUUGCUAUUAAACCACGCGAUGGCAGUUCGAAUUUAUUAAUUUAUACAGUUCAGUACUCAUUCCUCUUUCUUCUGUUUCAGAUCCAAAUCUAGUGCUCCAUCAUUUAUUAUGACGCAAGGUAUAUGGGUUAGCAUGUGUCGAUAUUGUCCUCCAUUCUUUGUGUACCUUUCUUCGAACAAGGGACAACCCGAGAUCUCUAAUCGCAAAAGAGAGGCAGGCAGGCCCUUCUCUGGAAAGUACUUAAGCUUGGGACAAUUACAGAGUUUAAUGAAAUGAGGUUUUGAUGCUCAACAAUUGAAGAAGACAGGCGUUCCAAAUUUAGUAAAUUAACAAUCACCAAAUAUGGUAGGGUGGCAGGCAGAGGAAGCGUGGUUCCUAAUCCUAAUCAUGAUUGAUAACUGGCUAUGUAACAUGUGGCAUUCUACAUUCUUGCAAUGCCAUUUCUUGUUAUGGCAGCAGCGUUCUUUCAUCAUGGCAUCACAAGCAAAUGUUUGAUUUGAAGACUUGCUUAGCUGAGAAAAAUAAGGAGAGCAAAGGUAAUUAAUUUUGGUGUGAUGAAUAUUUUUAUGGAUGUACUAAGAAAAAUAAAGAUAAUAGAAGUGAUGUUAUUGAGGAGCAUUUUGAUAUUUACAAAAGUGUUCAAAGAAAAAAAGUUAUUUUUUGAAAUCUAUUUGCUGGUGCACAUAACAAAAGGGCAUUCUGAGUAAAUUUAAAACUACAAAUAGUCUCACUCUUUUAAUAAUAUUCUUCAAUUAAUUCUGUUUAUUUAAAAAUAAAUAUUCUAUCUCUUUAUUACUUUCUAACUAGUCAUGCUAAUAUGCUAAUAAUUAUGAAGAACUAGUGUAAUUUAUAUGAUAUAAGAAGCCCUUUAGCACAUUAACCCGAAUUUUGCUAAUACAUGUGCCUAAUAUAGCGAAAUCAACAUUCAGCGCAUUAGAGUGCCAUUAUAUAUAUUGAGAGAGAAAUUAACACAAAAAAUGGAAUAUUAAUUGACAUUGGAUCAUGUUGGAUUGUCAGUUGUUAAUUAUGAUGGGAAUACAAUCUUCAUCUUUUGAUUAUCAGCUAGCUAAUGCAUGUGCACUUUCAUUUGUGUCUAUCACUGAAUAGUAAAGUUACUUGAUUGAGUAGUAUCAUAUCACAGGAACUCCAAACUCAAUUUCAUUGCCGGAGCAUACUAUGCCAUAUGUAGCUUAAAAGUGCAGCUAUCUUAUACUAAUUAUUUAAUACGACUAUUAGCUCUUUAUGAUUAAUUAAAAGAGAAAAUGUUUGACAAUCACGAAAAUAAUAACAAUUCACUCCUAUAAACAACAUAACAAAUACAUGGUCUAUAUUGCAAAUCUUUUUAUGAUUAUAAUUAAAAGAGAAAAUACGAAGACAUAUUUUAUAUAAUAAUUGAAUGUUCUCCUUGAUAAUUAGACAAAAUAACACCAAUCUAGCUAAUUAAUCCAAUCAUCAUACUAAUCCAAUUUUCAUUAUUUAAUUAUGUCCAAUCAUGCUAAUUUAAUAAAGAGCACUGAACACUCGAGUACUUAUAUGUUCAACAACUUUGGCCGAGUUUGAAAAAGAUUAGAGCUGCAUUUAUGCUUUGUGUUAUUACUGACGACAUGAUCAUAUUAUGUCGCAUUUGUCAGAGAACCGAAAAACUGUGGGGGAAAAAAAAAAUCCUAAAAGAGAUGUAACGAAAGCAAAAUGAGAAAAUAAUGCACACAUCAUAGCAAUGCUUCAUUCAUUUUGAUUCUAUCUAUACAAAAACUUGUAUCCGAUGGUUUACAUUUGUUUAAUCUAACGGCUAUAACAUGUAUACAGUCAAACGCUACUGCUGCCAUCUUUCUUUGUCCUCGUUGUAUCCUUGAUCUUAUAUUAUCCUGGUGAUUCUUGAAAGAUCUUCUCAUUCUCAUAUGCUGAGUCGCUUGUUGGGAUGAUUAAUACUCGAAGGUCCUUCAUUCAGACAUUUCAGCAAACACCUGAUUCAUUCUAUCAAACAUCUGCAUCACUAAUCGCUAAAUGAUAUAAAAUAGUUCUGUUUUGAAAAAUUGAUAUAAAUCAGUCACCUUAGAUUUUCUUAGUCUCAGAGCACAACGGGUGAUGAUUCGAUGAGAAAUAUUAAUAUGCAUGCAUCCGCUGCAUUAGUUAGAGCUGCUUGUCAUUUUCUUCUUUCUUUUGGAUACUAUUUUAAAUUUUUAAUCAGUCUAAUUCAGCUGCAUGUUUGCUUUCAGUCCAAAUCGAAAUCAGAUAUUAAGUACUUCUACUGGUAUGGACACACCCAAAAAUCUAUGGGAUCCGUAGCUCUUGCAGAAGCGGCAGAAUGCUGCCAGCAAUUCAGGCAGAUAGAGGCUUGGCUGAGUGGUUGUUCUUCAAUGUGAAAUUCUACAUAAUGGCGAUCCUUUUAAUGGGGUUUAAAUUUUUUUUUUUUUUGAGUUGUUGAUUUAGAGCAGAUUAAGUAACAUGUGGCAUUCUAUAUUCUUGCAAUGCCAUUUCUUGUUAUGGCAUCAACAUUCUUAAUUUUGAUUUGCUUAAUUUUGCUUUCUGUUUUUGAUAUUUUCUUCGCAUUGUUGUUGUGGGAUUUGUUAUUUGUAGAUAGUGUAUAUGUAUGAAGAUAACGUAAUAAAGUGCUUUUGAUAAAUUCCCCUGGUCUGUUUACUUCACUAAUUCAUUAAUGAGCAAGUCCUCUAUAGAGCUGUGUUGUGCGUACAAGUUUUGCUACAUGAAAUCGUUAGGUGAGGAGAAUUUUUAAAAGCAUACAUCAAAGUCAUGAUUAAAGGGACAAAAUCAACGUAAAUAUUGAUUAUCUUGAGUUAGAUUAUACAAAGAUGAAAUAAUGAUAAUCUAGUAAAUUUAUCAGAAUACACUACUAAAAAAUGCAUUUUAAUGACACAAAUUUUAUGACAUACAUCUUUACGUCAUGAAAAUAUUAUGAAAAUACUUGCAUGAUGUAUAAUGCUUUCGUGAUUAUUUGAUGAUAAAUUCAUAAUUGACGCUAAUAUGAAAUGAAGUGAUCAUAGGUAAAUAUCAUGCAUUUUUUUUUUAUGGGUAAGAAUAUUUGAACCCACCAAAUUACUCUUUAAAUUUAUUUUUUUAUUGAUAAUUUUAUUACAAAAUUACCGAUAAUUUGAAUUACUAUUACAGACAAACAAUAAUUAUAUAAAAUUAUUUUAUUUUUACUCAUUGUUUAAACCUACCGCAAAACUCAAUCAAAGUAUGCUUAUUUUUUUCUUCUAUAAGUGUUUAAUAAGUUCAUCCUUCAUCCACAGUUGAGAACUUUCUAAUUUUUUUUCUUGUUCUAGUAAUUUGGAUAUGCUGUGUUAGAUACUGAAUUUAUUAAAUUUCUUCUUCUCUUUCGAAUAAAAUCUCUUUAAAAUUCAAUUCAUAAAAAAAUAAAAAAUUAAUCUCCUUAUAAUUUAAUAUGUUUCAGCUGUCUUAGUGGAAUGAUGCAAUUUGUUUCCAUCAAAGUUUUGAAGCAUCCCGAAAUUUUGAGAUCGACAUGAUAACAAAUUAAUUUAAUUCAUUGUGUACUCUAAAUUUUCAGCCACAAAAAAAUAGCCAAAUUGAAGUGUACCUGGGCAAGAAGAAACUGCGAUUAUACAAUUUCAGUGUUCGACUCUAUCAAUAAAAAAGAAAAUAAAAAAGAACUCUCAUUGUUCCAUUAUUUUUCCCAUAAAUAAUGAUAUACAGAGAAUUUAGUUUGAUAUGGGAUAUAAUAAGUAUUUAGGUGAGUUUAUAAAGUAAAUUUUAAAAUUUUAAAAUUUAGUAAUGGGUUUAUAAAUAAUUGAGUUCAUAUAAUAUUUUAAUAAAUUCAAAUAACCCACCCUUUUUUUUUUAAAAAAAAGAUCUAAUUACAAAAAUACCAUUCCAAUCGGCAGCAUUUUAUAUUUUAUUUUAUUAAAUAUUAUUUUAUUUUUAAAUUACUAGUGACGCAAGAAACGGCAUCAUUUAUUGAUAUUUUUAAAUUGUUUAAGAUUUGUUUAAUUAGAAAAUUGCCAUUGUUGAUAUUUAAUUAAUUUUAAAAAAUAAAAAUAAUAAAAUUGGUAAGCUCUACUCCAUAAGUGAUGAACGAAUUGACAAAUUUGCAGUAAGUGAUGAACGAAUUGAUAAGCUCUACUCCAUCGGUUCCUUAAUUGAGAAAAAACCCAAGCCCGUGCAGCGCAGCCUCACAAUUGAUAGAGACCCUAAGCCACCAAACUCGACAAUCAUCACUCAACGUCGUCGCAAGCUACCGGUCGCUCAACAAGCACCAGUUCCUUGCUCUACAGCCAUCGCUCAACCGCUGCCAUUACCUGUUAAUUAUUCGCUUGAAUUAGGGUUCUGAUAUUUUGGGAUUUUUUGUUAGUCGUGGAAUUAUGAAGCAAGGACGACGAUGACGAAGAUGUGGUGGUUGACGACGGCAAUGGCAACGUUGAAUAUUGAGGCACCGGAGGAAAAAGCAUUGGCUAUGUAUCUUGGUCGAUUUGCCUCGAAUUGAUCACUAAACAUGGGGAUAUCGUGGGCCGAGCUUCAACGCAGUGGCAAAUUUCAUUUGGGUAACUGAAUUUUUUUUUUUGUUUAAUUUGUUUAGAGUUCAAUUGUUUAGAUCUAGGCUAAUUUUUAAUGAUAAUUUUUAUGAUUAAAUUAUAUGAGUAUGCUUAAAUUUUUUUUCCUUCAAAUUUAUUUUCUGAUGUUGCAUUUGGUUAGCAAAAAGAUAAAAAUAGUAGAAAAUGUCAGAAUUAUUGUUAUGAAAAUGUUGUUUUAGUCUGAUAUUGGGAAAAUAUCAUUAUACAUAUUGGCAUGAUAUUCAUGGGAGACAAAAUUGAGAAUGAUGACAGACUAUGCAUUGCUCACAACUAAUUUAAAACUCACUAUUUCUAUUGUUUGUGUUUCAGUAACUUUGGGGGAAUUCCAACUAUAGUUAAUAAGCUAUAAACUUGUUUAGGAUUGCUGAUCAAUUUGCUAGAAAGAGUUGCAAAGUAAUUAGCUUUCUCUUAUAACUUUUACAGAUCAUCUGUGGAGGAGAACUGCAAGGAGUUGAAGACUCUAGACCCUAAACUUCAUAUCUUGAUUUAUAAGUGCAAUGGGCAUAAGUCCGAAUUAUGGGCUGGAGAUGGUAUAUGUAAUCUUUCUACUCUUGGUGUUUUUUUUUCCUCUAGUUAUUUUUUGUUCUCUACUCCAUUGUAUAUUUGUAUUCAAAAGUAUUUUUUCUUUGUUUUAAGCUUUUAAAUUUAUGGAGAUGAUCUUAUUAGGUGUUAAAAAAAAUAGUUGUAGAGCUUUACUAAAACUAUGUAAACUCCUAUUGAGAUUUGGGUUUGAUUUUGUAAGAUUGCUAAAAAUUUCAUAUUUUAUACUUGUUUUAUACUUUUCUAGUUGAAUUUCUUGCUUGUGGAAGAUAAAAUAAAAGUCCAAUUCAUGUUGUAAAAUUUUUUUUCCUCCCUUCUUUCUUUCCUUAUAAUCUGGCUCUGGCUUUGGUGCUAUGCUUGGUGCAGUUUAUGGUUUCAAUGCAGGGAACCAAUUUCAUCAUAAUCAUCUUAAAGGAUCAAAAUGGCUUUCUUUUGUAACUGGGUAAGUCAAUGCUACUUCCUGAAUUCGAUUUGGAGUUCUUUCGGAAUAGAUUUCCUUCCCUUACAUCACUUGGCUUCUAGUUGCAUCUUCUUGGCUUUCUCCAGCGGACUUUUUUAUUGGCAAAAUUCCUUUGUUUCUAUUGUUUUCAAGUGCUAGUGCUGGAUUUAGAGGUAUGAAUGGUGCCUUCAUUUUUAUUUUUUUAUUUUUAUUUUGGGUGUAUAGUACUGUAAUAUACUUCUUUGUAUAGCUAGUACAAAAUAGUUCUUCAACUUCUUACUUUUGGCUUUAAUGGGUUCGAUAUAUGAUAGCGGAGCCCUAUCAGCAUUUGAUGUCAGACAACAAAUAGGGGACAGAUGGGAUUAGAAAAAUAAGAAACAUGACCAAAAUAAAAAUCUAAUCUACUCAUAUAAGCAACUCAUCAAAUAAGUGUAUCACAUACUUAAGUGAAUAAGAUUCCGUGAUUUCUAGGAAUCCAAGUCAAAUUAUAACAUUCUUUAAAUAAGACUCACAAGCUUAUUAGGUGUUAUAUUGAAUCAUCUAAGUUGAAUAAUCUUUUGGGUUGAAUAUGUUAAUUUCUUAUUCCAUAUGUUUCAGCCUCUCAAUAGUUGAAUUAGCAAUGAAAAUUUGAAAAUGGAAAAACUCAGUGCAAUUAUUUUAGGUGCUUAUCAUAGAUAAGAAUUUCACUUUUUACACUUCAUUGUCUGUUGUCAAAUUUAUUAAGUAUGAACCCGGAUUAGGUUUGUGCUCUCAAGGAUUUAUAAAUAAGUGCUACUUGACUUAGAUGUAAGAAAAUUGAAAAGCAGAGUUGCUUGAUUGAAUAGCUUCAUAUUUUACAUCACAGAAACUCAAUUUUCAUUGCCAUAUGUAGCUCAAAAGAGCAUGAACAUUGAACAUUCAGCUAAUUUAUACUAAUUAAUUAACACAACUAUCAGUUCUUACUUCUUGGUACCCGGCAACAUCCAUCCAUAAGAGUGAAACCCCCAUUGAUUUCAUAUAUACAAAAUAAAUAACUUACAAAGACAAUACCUGACAAUCACAACAAAAACACCAAUUCACUCCAAUAAACAACAUAACGAAUACAUGGUCUAAAUUGCAAGUCUUGUUACGAUUUUAAUUAAAAGAGAAAAUGCGAAGGACAUGUUAUAUAUAAUUGAAUGUUAUCCUUGAUAAUUAGACAAAAUAACACUAAUGUAGCUAACUAAUCCAAUCAUUGUAAUAAUUGGAUUUUCUUUUUUAAUUAUGUCUAUUGAUGCUAAUUUAAUCAAGAACACUGAAUACUUGAGUGUUUUUAUGUUCAACAACUUUGGCUAAGUUUGAAAAGAUCAUAUUAAUUAUUAAUAUAAAUAAAUAAGCCAACAAGGUACAUAUUACAUAUAUGUGUAGUUGCAAUAAAUACAUAUGUAAUAAAGAUCAUAAAGCUCAGGGCCAUUAAUUCAACAUUACCAAAUCAAUAUCCCAAUAAUGGUUUGAUUACUAAUCUAAGCAUUAAAUGAUCAGCAAACUUUAUUUGGCCAAAACAAAUGCUUCCUUGUUGCCUCCUUGAUCUUUUCCUGGCUGGUGAUUCCUGAAUGUUCUUCUCAUUUUGAUAUGCUGAGUCGUUUGCUGAUUAUAAAUGCUAAUCACCUUAAAUUUUCUUAGUCUUCUUCUUCAUGUGAAAUUCUACCUAAUGGCUAUCCUUUUAUCUGGUUUGAAUUCUUCUUUUUUCUUUGAAUUGUUGAUUUCUAAUGUUCUUGUCAUUCGCACAUGUGGCGUUCUGCACUCUUGCAAUGCCAUUUCUUAUUAUGGCAGCAGCAUUCUUGGUCAUGGCAUCACAAGCAAAUGCUUUUGAAUUGCUUUGUUUGAUUUUUGUUUCUAAUAUUUUUUUUUUUGGCAUUGUGGGAUACUGUUUCUCUUUUGAUUUUCUGUCUUUGUUGUUAUGGGAUUCUGGUAUAGUAUGCAUCAGUACACAUAUGAAGAUGAUGUGAUAAAGUGCUUUUGAUAAAUUGCCCCAGUCAGUUUACUUCACAAACCAACCAUUAAUGAGCAAAUCCUUCUAAUGACCCUUGUACACAUUAGAAUAAAUACAAUUCUAUAUAUACACAAAAAUAAAUAACUCUCAAGUAUAUUAUUUGAUAAUCGCAAAAGCAACAAUUCACUCCAAUAAAUCUCAUAACACACUCAUGUUCUAUGUUGCAAGUCUUUGUAGAGAAAAAAUGAAGGACACACAAUUGAAUUUUUUCUAUAAUAAAGAACUCUAAACAAAUUCAUAUACAUAUUGCAGUACCCCUUACAAAUUCAUUUGUUUCUUCUUUUCCUUUGAUCAAGUGCUAAUUACAGCCUUGAUAUUUCAUUUGGUUUUAGUUAAUUUUCUAUAGGGUUGUGUUGUGUGAAAUUAAUUACAAAACAAUCUUUAACGAAGUCUUAUGAAAAUACCAUAUUAUAACUACAAAGUUAGGCUUCCUAAUCAAGCUACUGUUCAUCAGAUUGUGUAUUGUGUUACUGGUGAGCUCUUAUGUCAAUUAUGACCAGAUGGCGCCUUGGCUAACUGUGAGUUAUGUGCGAACAUAAGAGCUGCAAAUGAGUUAUGUACUAUUUUUAUGUGACAAGGUAUGUGCUCUGUUUUUAUGGUCUUUCUCUCUGUAGUUCCCUCUGUAGUUUUUUUUUUUUUGGGAUACAUUGAUAAUAAAAUUAGAAGUCUACUAAUAUGUACAACCAGAAACCUAUUGGGGACUUUUUGUCUUUUGAUGCAGUUGUAGGGCACAGCUCAAAUAUUCUUUCCUCAUUUAAUAUUGGAGAAAUCCGACUCCCAAGCGAUUCUGUCUACGGUUGUUGGACAAACUGUAAUGUGAAUUUCUAUCUAAUGGGUGUAUCGUCCUUGCAGUCAGUUUGGGAUUGUUGAUAUAGAUAUGAUGUUUAGUCUCCAAAAUUCAGAUGAUGAUAAUGUUGUGAGUACUUUUUGUCAUAUUUUCUUUUGUGUUGGUGUUGGGAUCUUAAUUUUGUAUCCACUGUUAGGACAAUAUGAACCCAUUUUAAGUGAUAUGAUGCAAGUUCAUGUUCAAGAAUCCAUUUAAUGAAACAUUCCAGUGUUUAAUAAUGAGUAAUUGGUUUAAGAUUAAUACCAAAUAUUUUAAGUAACAUGUGGCGUAUUCUAGUGAGAUCCUCCAACUCAGAUUUCUAACUCAAAUGGAAACGUUUCGAAUUUCUUCAGAACAUUCUGCAGAACGGUUCGUCUUGUCUUUACAGUUUCUUUUGUGAAUUUCUCCCAGUUUCUUUUGUGAAGACUUCUGAAUAAGCUUCCAGAUAUUGAGAUACAAUCCAAUCUAAGCCCAUACGUAUAUACGCCUCACAUUUGUCCAUUUCCCCAGAAAAUCAAAAAGCACUUUAGUUCGAAACAAACACUCUAAAAAAAACCAUCUAGCUACCCAGAUGGCGAAAUCAAGAAUCUUGCAAUGGCAAUGCCAUUUCUUGUUAUGGCAGUAGCAUUGAUGAUCAUGGCAUCACAAGCAAAUGCUCUGAUGCCGUACACACGAUCACCUUUCUUUGACGUGAUGUUCCCAAUGACGGAAGAUCCUUUCAGGGUUCUUGAACAAACCCCGUUAACAAUCCCAAAAGGAGCUGAACAUCAUCAAACUCUAGCACUGGCGAGAGCAGACUGAAAGGAGACACCAACAUCACACGUGAUCACACUCGACAUUACAGGGAUGAAGAAAGACGAUGUGAAGAUUGAAGUUGAAGAGAACAGUGUACAGAGAGUGAGUGGGGAGAGGAAGAGUGAUGAUUAUUAUAAGGAGGAAGUUGAAGGAGAAAAAUGACACAGAGCUGAGAGAACAUUUGGCAAGUUUUGGAGGCAGUUUAGGAUGCCUAUGAGUGCUGACUUGGAUCAUGUUAAGGCUCAUUUGGAAAAUGGUUCUAAGGAUCACAGUGCCAAAACUUGCUGAGGGGAAGAAGAGGCAGCCUAAGGUUAUUUAAAUAUUUUUAUUAGUUAUAAUAAGUUAUAAAUUUAUUAAUAAAUUAUAAUGUAAAAAUAAAAAAAUGCUAUUAUUGAAUGAUAAAUUAUUUAUUUAUUAAUUUAUAUUAAUAAUUAUAAUGUAAAAACAAAUAAAAUAAAAAUAUUAUAUUAAAUUAAAAACUAUAUUUAUUUAUUAUUUUAGUAUUAUAAUAAUAAUAAAACAAAAAGCAAAAGUUAAAAGCAAAAGCAAAAAAAAAAAACAAAGCUAAUGUGUCAGUUGAUGCAUUAGCUACAGUGCUUUUAACCCAUGUCAUGUUUCCCCAAACAUGGUACAAGUAUUAACUUAAUGUAAAUAGUAAUUUAAUACCCCCUUAAUACUACAACCAAACACAUUCAAAGAUAUUCAUCUUCUGUCAUAUUAAUGUGUUAGUACGAAGGUUUAUUGGAAUUAUAAUAGUUUAGAUUAAUCCAAAAUAUUCAAUAAUUGAUAAAUAGUAUAUAUAAAUAUUAAUAGCAAUGGCACAUAAUCAAUUAAUUCAAGAACUUGCCCAUAGUGCAUUAAGUUAAAAGAGUAAAAAUAACAUUGCAAUCAGGGAUAUUUAUAACACUGUUGCUGAUGAGGCAGCUGUUAAUUCUUCUGGUGAAGAUGUUAAGACCACUAAAGCUGGAAUGUAAUCAGGGAAAUAUAAUGUAUUCACUUAGUUUGCUAUUUGUGUUUUUUAUAUUUGUUUGGCUAAUUCUUUGCUCAGAUUGCUUUUUUGUUUUUGAGAUUUUAUUGGCUUAGUCGUGGGAUAUUAUUUAAUCUUUUAAUUUUGUGUUUUUAUUGUUAUGGGAUUUGAUGAUGGCAUACAUAUAAGAAAAUUAUGCAAGAAAGUGCUUUUAAUAAAUUAUGGUCACUUUACUAUUAAUUAACCAAAUUUAAUUUACUCAAAUUACUCCUAUACACGAUCAAAAUAAUUUCAAUUCCAUGAUAUAAAUACGCGCAUGCGGACACACAAAAUGUAAGUAACUUUUAAAUACAAAAUAUUUAAAAUAAUCAUCACACUAACAAUUCACAAGUUAGAUUAUAUUAAGGCCACCAAGGCUUAAAUGUAAUUGAUUAAGGAAAGAAGUGCUUGCUUUGCUUGAUGUGCCAUUUGUCUAUGAUGUUUUCUUGAUUUUGUUGUGUGAUGCUUCUCUUUAGAUGUGCUGUUUAUUGUAUUUUGAUGGGUUUUUGAGGAUGGUUGUAUGUAUUAGCAACAACAAGGUGCUUUUUAUAAAAUCCGGGUUCUAAUUUUGUAAAAGAAAUUAAUACUCUCGGUUUAUUGUUAAUAAAAAAGAAAAAAGAAAAAGCCUUUUUUCUUUGGCAUAUAUUAUGCAUUUUAAGAAAGAAAAAAAAUCACAUUCCAAUUCAUGAAAGACAUUCAUUCUGUCAUAUUGAUGUGUUAAUAGAAAGAUUUAUGUGAAUUAUAACAAUUUUGAUGAAUCUAAAUAUUUAAUAACUGAUAAAUUGUAUUUAUAAAUAUUAAUACCGGUGGCACAUAAGCACUUAAUUCAAGAACUCGCCUAUAGUGCAUUAAUUUAAAGAGUAGAAAUAUUUAAUAAAUCAUGCUCGGUUUACUAUUAAUUAAUCAAAUUUAAUUUACUCAAAUAUACUCCUCUACAUGAUCAAAGUAAUUUCAAGUAUACAACACACAAAAAUGUAAAUGACUUUGAAAUAUAAAAUAUUUAAAAUAAUCACCCCGCUAACAAUUCACCAGCAAGAUUAUAAAUA
rnacentral:lncRNA from 1 species